AGUCGCUCCCUCCUUAUUUCAAAAAGCCAUGACAAAAAUCUUUAGUCCUAUUCUCCAUCAUGCAUUGGUCUACAUUGACGAUAUCUUGUUAUUUUCUUCUGACCAUGAGAGCCACCGGAAGCUCCUUUUGGAUUUCUUUCACAUUGUGCAGGCACAUGGCAUCAUGCUUUCUGAAAAGAAAAGCAGCAUAGGAAAGGAAUCAAUUGACUUUCUUGGCAUGGUGAUUAAAGACGGCCAGUAUCAGCCUGGUCCCCAUAUUGCAAUCGAAUUACUCAAGUUUUCGGACACACAUCUCAAUAGAAAGCAGAUACAACAAUUCCUCGGGAUUGUUAAUUAUGUCCUUGAUUUUAUCCCAAAAGUUGCAAUCCACACCAGCCAGCUGUCACGCAUGCUCAAGAAACAGUGCCCUCCAUGGGGCCCUGCUCAGACAGAAGCUGUCAAGCAGCUAAAGGUGAUAGCACAAGCACCUCCUCCACUUCGAAUUCCCACAAGUGGACAACGCAUCCUCCAGACUGAUGCCAGCGACGAUUAUUGGAGUGCCAUUCUCCUUAAAGACAUCAAUGGCGUGUGUCAUUUCUGUGCACAUGCAAGCGGACAGUUCAAAGACUCUAAAAAGAACUACCAUGUGAUCUACAAAGAGAUUUUGGCAGUCAAAUAUGGAAUUAAGAAAUUUGAAUUCCAUCUCAUCAGCCACAAAUUCCUUAUCAACAUGGAUAACUCUUCGUUUCCCCGUAUCUUUGACUUUAAGAACAAAUUGCUACCUGACAAGCAAUUACUCAGCCUCAAAACCUGGUUUGCUAAGUAUGAUUUCACUGUUCAACACAUAAAAGGCAACUAAAACCUCAUUCCAGACUUCCUCACCUGUCCAGCUAUAAAUAAACCCGCACUCAUUUCCUCAAUUCAAACCAUUCCAGUUAUAGCCAUGAAUCGCCAACUUCCUUUCAAAGCUCUCAACUAAAGAAAUUUCCCCAUGAACAUCUCUUUCCAAUUAGCUUACCAACUUCAAGAUUUUGCAAAGAAAUUCCUUUACAGGUUUUUCUUUAAUGUUCAGACCAAAAAACCUGACCGCUUUCCUAAUCUUUGCGUGGAGCACCUGUUUCUCACAGGCCUCACUCUGUCCUCUCUGUCCAUCUCUGAAGAUGAGCUUUGGUAUAUGUGGUGUCUCACCACCUUGUAUGCUACAAUGCUAGUUUUUCCCAUCAAACCAGUCCUGACUCACCUUACCACUCCAGAGUUCUCACCAGACCUUCUAUGGACUCUCUUUGAAUGGUAUUCCCCCCUCACAUGGUGGCGCCAGCAACUCCAACAUUUGUCUACCUUUCAUGGAUUAGACAAAAUGUCAGCACAAGAAGCUAACAUGUGGACUACAGCCUUCAUUGUCCACAAGCCUUAUUUUCAGCAUCCAGAAACACGGGAUUACUGGACACAAGACAUGGCACAUGAAUGGAGAACUUACCCUCAUCCUUAUACCUUCAUCCAUGAUACAUCGGUCACCUCCGUUCUCAAAGCCUAUCUCAUGGAACUUAACAAUGUUCCUCCACCUGCCACAAAUAUUCACCACACCUCCAUUGGAACACCCUUGAAAUAAUUCCAAAAACACAAGGCUGUACUCCAGGUUCAAGUUCAAGUCCUCACGGAAUCCUUGUAAUGGAACAACGUCCUGACUAUACUAAUGUCUUAUUCCAAGAUGCUCAGGACCCAUGGGAAGACUUUCAGUCCCUUCUCCAUACUAACACUCCCCGUUAUACUGUCACAAACCCAGACUCUCCUGCUCCAUCUACCUCACAGCACAUGUCUGAAGUUGAUGAAGAAAAGUAUCAGCAAGCUGAGGCGUAUCUCGACCAGAGACAGAGGCGUCGGCACAAGCGCCAAUAUGAAAAAGACACAGGCGACGUGUCACCAUCUCGCUAUCCCUCCACUCCAUGACAACGCCUUAUCUUUGUCGCACGAGUUUUGAUAGCAGAACCCAUGUGACUCCUGUUUGUCUUUUGCUUUACUUUUGUUAAAGUCCUUGUCGGUAUGCUUUACUUUUGUUAAAAUCCUUGUCGGUGUGCUUUACUUUUGUUAAAGUCCUUGUAAGUAUGCUUUACCUUUUGUCAAAGUCCUUAUCAGCAUGGUUUGCUGUCAAAAAAGGUGUGCUAUGUGAUAUGAUCAUUCGAGAGGUCCUGUUCUCAAUGAUCGUCUAUAAAAGGCACCUUUGGUCCCAGUUGCAAGGGAGCCAAUCUGAAAAAUAAAAGCUUAAGUUUUAUACAUCAUGUUUCCCUAAACCUCUCUCUCUCUUCUAGGAAUCGAAGAAAUUAUUUGAAUUAAUAAUGGUACGCUCACCUCAAAAUUUCUAAACUGAGUAUGCUCUGCACUUGCCUCGAGCCUGAGGAUCCUGUGCAUCAGAAAGGUCUUGUUUAUCCUCCAAAACUGAUUUCUCUACAAUGAAAGUGUUUUCUCACAACGUUCACCCUCUUUAAAGGUUUUUGGGUGGUAUCGUGAAAAAAUUGUUUUCAAAAAUGAAUUUCGGAUUUGGUAUUAAUUGGAUAAGUGUAUAUCGGCUGGAAACCAAAGUGUGCGGACUACUGGUCCAAAGGAGAUUUAAAUAUCUUGGCUUACCAAGAUACCUAGAACUGAGCAAUAUGCUACUCAAGCCAACAAAGGACGUAAGCAAGUGGUUUUUCAGCCUGGAGAUUGGGUUUGGGUGCAUAUGAGAAAGGAGAGGUUCCCAGCACAAAGGCGCUCCAAGUUGCUUCCAAGGGGAGAUGGUCCAUUUCAAGUGGUUGCACGGAUCAAUGACAAUGCCUACAAAUUGGAUCUUCCUGGUGAGUAUAAUGUGAGUGCUACUUUCAAUGUUUCUGAUCUUUCUCCUUUCGAUGUAGGUGAAGAUUCGAGGAUGAAUCCUUUUGAGGAGAGGGGGAAUGAUGAGAACCAUCAAGGGAAUACCAUUAAAAGUUCAAGUGAUCCUUUGCAGAUUCAUGGAGGCCCAAUUACAAGAGCAAGAGCCAAAAAGAUGCAAGCUGCUUUAAAUGGAUUAAUUGAGAAAAUGUGGAUUGAAAAUGCAAUUCAAGAUGCAAGACAUCAUGAAUUAGGCUUGAAGAGAAGACAAGGCAUUGUGGGCAUUAUUCAAGUUAUUGGGCAGCCAAAUACACAAUUUGUAUCAAAUGCAGAAAGGUCAAAUUUGGAAUAAAAACUGUAUUGAUUGAGCUAGAAGUAACGUGUAAGCUAUAUACCGUUGGAAAGAUAAUUAAGUUAGCUUUCCAAUAAAUUUUACAAAGCUGGAUUUGGAGUUCUCUAGAAGGAGUUAUGACCAAUUCAUUACAGCUUGUUCAGACUUGGGAUUUUCAACGACUCCUUUGUUUUUCAACUUCAUUUGUUUGUUUUGUUUUAAGUUUGUCAAUGAUAGCAUUAAUUAUAGUAAGUAAGCUAGCAUUAAGUUUGUCAAAGAUAGCAUUAAUUAUGGUGGGUUGGUGAAGACUUUUGAAACAUCUUUUGACAAACCUACUUGGAGGGUUGUUCCAAUGUUUCCAUUUGUAUUUUUAGGACCUUGGGUUUCUUUUAGCCUAUUUAAAUUCAGCAACCUUGCUAUGUAAUGAGAAUAGAGAUUAAUGUUAUUUGAAUUUGAAAGAUUAUUCUUUCUUUGGUUCUUUUGAGAACUAAUGAACUUAUCAAGAAUUUGCAUUCUUAUGGCGUUCCAAAUUUAGACUUAUCACUCACCUUCUCAUCUAUUUCUUAAGUGUGGCGUCAAUACCAUUCUCUAUACCUUUGGUUCAUAUUUUCUUAAGCAUUGGGUCAAGGUUUUGCUUGUCUUAAAUCUGUUUACAACUUUCUUGGGAAGUUGAAACUACAAAUUAAGUGUGGGAUUGAAAGUUUCAUUGUGGGAUUCGCAUUAGGAACCAAUGACUUUUGUCCAUAUAACACAAUUGGGAAAUAUUUGAAUACCAAUGGGUUUUUUGGUAAUCAACUGGGUGGUGAAAAACUUUCCAUUGACGGCUUUGGAGUUUUCUUCAGAAUGUUGCCAAUAUUGAGAUGGAAGAAUGUCUGGGUUUAACAUACUUCUUUAGGCUCCGAUAUCAAGAAGUCCAAUGGCGGGAAUUGAUCUCUGGAAUUUGGAGGGUAAGAUGUGGAGUUUUGUGGAAGGGAUAGGGAUGGUAGUGUCGAGAGACAAAAGUUGUUGGUGAAAAAUAGUUUGAAACUCAUCAUUUUCAUAAUCAUCGGAUGAGUUUUGCAAUGCAAAUACUGUUUCAUCAGUAGGCUCCUCUUGUUCUGAGAAGUAGAACUCAAUUUCAUCUUUGUGAGGAGAAUAAUCAGUGGUGGCCUAUAAAUGCUCAAGAAGUCUGAUAGCCUUAUGCUUUUUGUUAGGGCAGUCUUUAGCAUAAUGGCCUUUCUUUUUGCAGAUGAAGCAUCGGCUAGACUUUCUCCUCUUCUGUUCUCGAAAAGAACUAGACCUUUUCCUAAAAAACCUAUAUGGUUUUGGUCUGGAUUUUGAUCUAGGAGAUGAAUCUAGAUUUUUGAAUUUUCUGAAAUGCUUCUUCUUUUUAGUGCUGCAAUCACAAUCUUUCUUUUUCUUGCAUUUGAUCUGUAAGUAGGGCUUUUUGCAAAAACUUUAGAAAGGUUCUUUGUCUUUUAAUAGUUCCUUGAAGAACUGUUUCUGUUCACAUAAUUUUUCCAAACAUCCUUUGGCGAUCUGAAAGAUCUUUCCCAAGGAAAUGUUGUCAAUGGUGAGAUUGAGACUCGUGAGCUGCCUCUGUAUGUCUGGUUGUAAUUCUUCAGGUAAAGAUGCCAGAAAUACAUGCUUGAGAGUCGGAUCAUUAAACCCAUUGAGCUUAUAAAAUAGGAUAGACAUCCGUUUAUAAUGGAAAUCAAGAUCUUUAGAGUUAAAGGAGCAGCAUUUCAUAUUGAGGUAGUCUCGUCUUGCAGCUUCAAAGACUGCGGCUGAUUCUCCAAUGAAUUGUUCAUGAAUGACAGAAAGAGCAGUUGAGAUAUUAGGUAGUUGCACAAACUGUAAUUGUCUGCACUCUCCUAAAGUAUCAAACUAAUCCCUUAAAGAUCCCGUAAAACGAGCAGCAAGUUCUCUAAGGACUGAUGUUGUAGUAGCAUUGGCUCUUAACAUUUGGAGAUCUGUCCAAGCAGCCAUUUCGGAUAAUCUGUCUCUCCAUUUACUUGCAGGGAUAUCAUCAAAAGUGAACCAUGGACCAUUUGAAGGUUUAUGAUCAUUUGGGGGUUGAGCAGGCUGGUUUGGAGCUGAGGAUGCUUCUGGAGCAUCUUCCUCAAUAUCUGAGGUUAUUUCAAAGAAUGGGUCAGUUCUUGAGGAUUGACCAGGCUCAGUCUCUUGAGGCUGAGCCAUAAGGAUUCUAGUGAUAUCAACAUAAGAUUUUUCAAAACCACUAGAUGAAAGGGAAGUUUCAACGGAAGAUUCUGAUUCAGGGUCAGAGGGAUCUUCUGAAAUAGUUAGAUUUGAAUAAGAAGUUUGGUCUGUAUCAGAUGGAUCUGAGAUUAGUUGUGCACUGUAUUGUUGCAUUGGGGAUUUAUCUUUGGCUUGUGUCGGUGUUGGUUGACGAGGAAGUGGAGUAUAGAGAGGCGGUUGCUGUUCUGAGAUGGACAAAGGUGGUUGAAAAGGUUGUUUUUCUGGUCUUGGUCGAGGAUGAGGUUUAGAUCUGGAUGGUUUUGGAAGAGGAUUAUUUUGAAACAAAGUAUGGGUCAUUCCAAAUAAUUUGGAUGGGUCUUGUGGUUUUAUGGGAGAAAGCAUGGGUGCAAAGGGAUGGAAUGCUGGACUGAGGGGAGGUAAUGGGGGAGAGGUGGUAAAUAAUGUUGGCCUUUGCCUUUCUAACUCAAUCUGUUCAAGUUCUGCUUUCAAUUUUCUGAUUUCUUUUUUUUUUCUGAUCAAAUUCUAGGCCAUAGUAUCUAUGACUAGCAUGGUUCGUAAUUCUGAAUCCAGUUGAGAGAUUCUGGAUUGGAGAUUUUAGUAAAUUUGCUGCAUCUGGGAAGUGAUCGAGUCCAUCUUAGACUCAAUAUGAUCAGUUCAUAAACUAAUAUGAUUAACCUUUUUAUGGAUAUCAACCAAGGCCUCAUUUUGGGCUCUGGUAUUUUGGGUUUGCCAGUUGAGAACAGCUUCAAAAGAUUUUGGGUCUUCUAAGUGACCUGUGGGAGUUAUGGCUGAAGGAAUAAAAGGUUUAGUUAUGACCUUUCGUUGUGGAUCAGUUUGGGUUUCUAGAGCAGGGAAAUUGGAAGAAUAAUCUUGAGGGGAUGAAAACAUCAUACAAGCCAUAGGCUGUAUGGGUGGAUGGGAAUUCUGGAUAUGUGGAAGAACGUCAGUUUUGUGAGUCUUUGCGAUCCAUCUAAGUUCCUUUUGGUAGAUGGGUAAAGGAGCUGGUGGCGGUGGAGGAUUAUGAGGUGGUUUAGGUUGGGUGUGUGAACACGGAGUUUUAGGUGUUUUCUUUUUGGGUUUUCUUUUCCUCUGUGGUUCAUCAUCAUCUUCGUCCCAAUCAUCCCAACAAGGACAAUCUGGGUCACAAUUUCUGGAUCCAGGGGAAUCCCAAAGAAAAUGGCCAUUAAGUUUGGCAGGGUAGACAGGAUAUCCUUCUGAAGUGAAUCCUGUAAUUGGCAGCUUUUCUUGAGCUGUGUGAACAGCUGUAACCAUGGCUAAAUAAGUGAAUGAAAGCCGUGGAGGUUCCUCUGGUGCAGUUGGUGGAGGUCGAAAAGUCAUUCGGACAGUGCCAUCAGCUCUUCUUUCAAACAUACUUUCUGUUGUCUGGAUAGGAGAAGUAUUGGUGUGGAACUUCUCAUAAUUUGAAAUCCAUUCCAAGGGCAUGAGUUUUAUGAGUUCAUGUCUAGGAAUUUGUCUUGGAAUCUGGAUGAUGGUUGGCAUUUGAUCUGAGUCUGCUAACACCAUGAGGGCGUCAGAGUGAUGCUCAGGUGUAGAAAGAUCUAAGGCAUGGUUCUGGAGCCUAUAGACCAAUUGAUGGUGAAGAGUGGCAAUUUUGGUAGAAGAAAUUUGUUCUGCACCUUGAAUUUGUACUUGGACUUUCAAGGUAGUGAACAGAUUAGUGUCUUGAAGAGAAAGGUUGAAAUUGGGAUAGAAAGUUAAAGAGAGUGAGAUGGUCCUAUGGACGUGUGAUAAAUGUUUGUUGGAAUUGGUUGGAUCAUGGUUGAGUGGGAAUGGAUGUGGAAAUGUUUUCCAUUCAUAUGCCUGGUCUUAUGUCCAGUAGUCUUUAGUGACUGCAUGCUGAAAAUACGGCCUGUGUAUGAUGAAAACUAAGGUAAAUAGAGAUAACAAACUUAGUGGCAUACGGGACUAUGAGGCACCAAACAUACCAUAAUUCAUCUUCUGAAAUGGUAAGAGAUGGAUUGAGAGUGAAUCCUGUGAGAAAUAGGUAUUCUAGGUGAAGGGACGAAAAAUGGAGUGGUUGGGUUCUGUAGACAUUCAUGAAAUACCUAAAAGGAAUUUUUUGGCAAAAUCCUGGAUUUGAAAAGUUGAGCUGAAGGAGAGAUUGAGGGGGAAGGUCUUUUGGGUUAAGGCUUUGAAAGGGAGAGAACGAUACAUUGCUAUAAUGGGUAUAGCAUGGAUGGAAGUAAUGAGAGUAGGUUUAUUUAUAGAUGGAUGGGUAAGGAAAUUAGGGAUUAGAUUUUUAUCACCUUUGAUGUGCUGGACCGUAAAGUCAUACUUGGCGAACUAAGCUUUUAAACUGAGCAAUUGCUUAUUUGUUCUUGAAGUGAAGGAUCUUUGGGAAAGAGAAGUUAUCCAUUCUGAUAAGGAAAUUGUGACUAAUCAGAUGGAAUUCAAAUUUCUUGAUUCCAUACUUGACUGCUAAAAUCUCCUUGUAAAUGACAUGAUAAUUCUUUUCUGCAUCCUUGAAUUGUCCACUUGCAUGGGCGCAAUAGGACUCUUUUUCUCCACUAUUUUCCAAGAGAAUGGCACUCCAGUAUUUGUCACUGGCGUCUGUCUGGAGAAUUCUCUGUCUCGUUGUGGGAAUCUUGAGUGGUGGAGCAACAUUUCAUUUGAUGAAUUUCUUUUCUACAUAAAUAAUUGUAAGAGCUAUGGCAAUUGUGGUCUGAAUCAAUUGAAGUUGUCUGUAUUCUCCCAGACUUUCAAACCAAUCUCGCAAAGAACCAGUGAAUCUGGAACGAAAUUCUCAGAGGACUGCCUAAGAUUGUGUAUUUGGUCGUGUUAUUUGUACAUCAACCCAAGCAACAAAUUCUUGGUGCCUAGCUGGCCAUUUAUCGUGAGGAAUGUCAUCAAAAGUGAACCACUAUGUCGAAGAUGGUUUAGAGGAAGGUUCAGACGCUAGUGGAUUUGGAGGAAUAGGUUCAGUUUGUGAACUGCCUUGGUCUCUAUUUUCAUCAUCAGAUUCUUCUACAACAGGUGUAGACGUACUUAGUUCCUUUGUCUUUAUAGAGAUAUCCGCAUAUUGAGAUUCUGAGUCUGAGAAAGUUUGCUCAUAAGAACUGAAACUACUUUCAGAGACCGAAUCUGGAUCUGGAUCACUGCUUUGCAUACCAACACUCUGAUAAAAGUAUUGGUGUACAGGAGCUUUGUCUUUCUUUGAUGGCUCAGGGGUUGAUUUUGGAGAAUCUUCAGGGAUUGGAGAGCUUUCUUUUGGUUUUAGUUAUGAGAUUUUGACUUUUGUGGUUGGCUUUUUGGAUGUUGAUGGUACUAUGGAAGGUUCUUGAUUUCUGUAAAGAAGAUAGGAAAGACCAAAUAACUUGUCAUAGUCCAUUGGAGGUCUGGAAGGGUUAUAGAAAGGUUUAUAUGUGUCAAAUAGAGGGGCAGGAAUGGGUAAAGAUUGAGUUUUGGUAAAGAGAGGUGGUUGUUCUUUGUCUGCAUCAAUCCUGGCUAACUCUGCUUUGAGCUUUCUAAUAUCUGCUUCCUUUUUAUUGAAUUAUGGUCCCCAUAUACGAUUGUUAAUCAUCGUUCUGAGAUCAACAUCGAGUUCAGAGAUUCUAUUUUGCAAAUUCAGAUAGAUCUGUUCCAGCUGAGCAUUGAGAGAAUCCACUUUUGUUUAUGUUUUUGUCACCUGAGUAGCAACCUUAUCUAUCUUUCUCCCAAGAUUAUGAAGUGCUUGGUUUUAAGCAUUGGCAUUUUGAGUUUGCCAAUUAAAGACUGCUUCAUGUUGUUUUGGGGCUUCUGGUUGACCAGAAGAAGUGAUAGGUGACUGCACAAAGGUUGAGAAACAACUUUUGUUUGUGGAUCUAUUUGUUUUUCAAGUGGGGGAAAAGAUUCUUGGUAAGACUAGCUAGAGGAAGAGAACAUCAGGCAUGACCUGGGCUUUGGUGGAGAAGGAGUUUGUUCUUGUGGAACAGAUGUCUUGUUUUCUUUUUCUAUCCAUUUGAGUGUCGUUUUGUAAAUUGGUAAAGGCUGACUGGUGCUUGGAUCAUCCGGUGGUUCCGAAGAAUAUGAUCUGCAAGGAGUCUUUGGAUGGGAAGGCUUCUUUUUUCUCCUUCGUCUUCUCCUCAUAAUUUCAAAGUCUUCGUCAUUGUCGUAUGGAUCUUCUAGGCAAGGGCAGUCAGGGUUGCACAUAUGGGCUUUUGGAACAUCCCAUAAGAAGUGUCCAUUGACUUUGUCAGAAUAUACUGGAUAUCCUUCUGAAGACAAUCCAUGGAUUGAAAGAUUUUCUUCUUGGCCUGAGGUUACUGUCUUGAUCAUAGCAGUAUAAGAGAGACUUGGAGCUUCGAGAUUCGAAGAUUGUCCUGGGGUUUGGAAGGACAGCUUAACUUGGCCAUCAGUUCUUCUUUCAAAAAUGGCUUCAGAGGUUUGGAUUGGCUCAGAAUUCUGGUGGAAUUGCUCAUAAUUGGAAAGCCAUUCAAGUGGCAUAAGUUUAAGCAAUUCUUGCUUUUGAAUCUGUUUAGAGAUUUGGAUUAUUGUUGGGAUUGUAUCGGUGUCUGCAAGGAUCAUCAAUGCAUAUGUGGUUGUUUGUGAAGUGGGGAGAUCUAGUGCAUGAUUCUAUAAUCGAUACACUAUUUGGUGAUGGAGAGUGGCUAUUUUUGAAAUGGCUGUUUGGUCUACUCCUUGGAGCUGGAUCUGAACUUUUAUAGUUGUUGGAAGAUUUAGAUCCUCAAGGGACAUGUUGAAAUUGGGAUAAAAGGUUAAUAGUACACUUCCGGCAUGGAGUGUAGUUAAAAUAGUUCCAAUGACAGCAUGUUGGUAUUCCUUGAAUCUGGUGUCUAGUAGAGCAAUUUUGGCUUUAACAGGCAAGCCUUUUCUUCCAUGUAAAGUGAGGAUUAGCCUUACACCUCCAAGAUGAAGGUGCGUAUAUCCUUCUCGUUUCCAAUUGGUUACGAGAUCAGUAGGUAUAUCAAGUGUAACGUAUUGUUCACUCUGAGAGGCUUGGAGAGCACAUUGGUCUAGUCUCGAAGACUGAAUCUAUUCUUUGGGUAGAGGUCUCUUAGUGGAAAUCAAGGUUCUGAUGCUUAUGAUAAAGGAGGUUUUCUAUUUGUAAAGAUGGUAUGGGCUCAUUACAAGAAACUGUGAUUCAUUAAUCUGGGUUUAUUCAAGAAUAUACGAGUAUUCAACAAGGUUUUUUUAUUUUAGAGGCAACAUGUUUCUGACAAGAACGAGGUAAAGAGAGAGAGUAGAAGAGAGGGAGAUAUGAGAAGAUUCAGAGGAAAAUGGGUUCGUGGAUGAAGAUGCCAUAUUGAUGAGAUUUCUUCUAGGUGUACAAGUAACACUUGAACACAUCAAAGUAUCUCAGUUUUAUGUAAUAAUAAAAGUUUUGAAAUAUACUAAGGAAUCUUUGUAUGACACUUACCUUUUGUAAGAAAGUUUUGUUUGUCUUGUAUAACUACUUUUAGAAUUCGUAUUUAUAUUAAAGUACAGUGUUUUUUAAAAUAUUUUUAAAAAUAAUUAUUUUAGUGGAGUGUUACAAAAUUCUUGAUUAAAAGGACCUAAAGAAAGAAUGAUCUUUUAAAUUAAAAUAAUAUUGAUCUACAAAUUAUGAAUUUUACAUAGCAUGGUUACUGAGUUUAAAUAGACUAAUAAACUUAACUAACACAUUUAAUGCUUGCGCACAAUCAUUAAUACUAGUCCACCAUCAUUAAUGCUAGCUUAACUAACACAUUGACAAACAUAAAAGACAACAAAAAGAGCUUCAUAAAUGAAGUUAAAAAAAAGCAAAAGAGGUCAUAUAUGGUUGGAAUUCUAAAACUCUAGAUUAGCCUUAGCUUGAAGUCUGAACAUUUUGUAAUAAAUUGAUCAUAACUUCUUUUAGGAAACUCUAAAUCCAGCUUUGUAAAUUUCAUUGGAAAGUUAAUUAUCUUUCCAAUGGUAUAUAACUUGCACAUUAACUCUAACUCAAUUAAUACCAGUUUUUUUUUUUUUUGAAUUUGCUCUUUCUACAAUUAGCCUAAAUUGUGUAUUUGACUCUCCAGUAGCUUAAUUAAUGCUCACAAUGCCUUGUCUUCUCUCCAAGCUCAAUUCAUCAUGUCUUGCACCUUGAAUUGUAUUUUUAGUCCAAGUUUUUUCAAUUAAUUGAGUUAAAGCAGGUUGCAUCUUUUUGGUUUUAGCUCUUGUAAUUAGGCCUAUAUGAAUAAGAUUAGUUUGACCUUUAAUGGUAUUCCCUUGAUAUUUUUGUAUAUUUGUACUAAAAAAAAUACCCUAAAAACCCUGCUAUUUUGUAGACUCAUCUAAUAAAUUUUAAAUUUUACUUUAUAGACUUUUUAAGGACCAAAAAAAUUAUUAUUUAGACCUUUUAAAUUACUAUACACACUCAUAAAACUUAAAGGUGUGUUCAUUUUCCAGAUUGGAGAAUUAAAAUUUGGAAUCAAAAUUAUUUCUAUCAUUUACUUCACAAAAUGAGAGUGGGAAUGGAAUUGAAAUUAUGCAGGGCCCAUAAAUUUGGGAAUCAUUCUAUAGAUCUCGUUUCCAAUUGGGAAUUUGAAUCUGACUCUCGAAACUGCCCAUUUUAUCUAUUAUAUUUUUAUAAUCUUCAUAUUGCCCUCAAAUUCAGUUCUAUAAUUUUUACAUUUGGUCCCAACGGAAUUUAUGAAAUACCAUGAAUCUUUGUAUUAUUUACAAAUAGGUCCUUUAUUACUAUUGUUGUUGUUGUUGUUGUUGAAUCGUCAUUAUUAUUAUAUUAAUAUUUUUAUUAUUAAAUGUAUUGUUUUAUUAUUUUAAUUGUUAUCAUCAUUGUCAUUAAUAAUAAUAAUAAUAAUUAAUAUUAAUAUUACUAUUAAAUUCAUUAAUUUUAUUAUUUUAAUUAUUAUUAUUAUUUUCAUUAAUUUCAUUGUUAUUAUUAUUAUAAAUUUAUUGUUUUAAUUAUUGUUAUGAUUAUUUUUAUUAAUAAUAAUAAUAUUAUUAAAACUUAUUAUUACUACUAAUACUACUACUAUUAUAGUUGUCAUUAAUGUGGUGGUGGUGGUCGUCAUCAUCAUUUUUAUUAUUAUUAAUUUUGUUAUUUUAAUUAUUAAUAUUGUUGUUGUUGAUUUCAUUAUUAUUAUUACUAUUAUUAUUUAAUAAUAAAUUUUUUUAACUUUAUUAUUUUAAUAAAUAUUAAUGUCAUUAUUAUUAUUCUUAUUAUUCUUAUUAUUUAUUGUUAUUAUCAUCAAAUAUAUGAAUAAUACUAGGGACUACAAUUAAGAAAGGGCAUUUUAGUAACUUAUAACAAUCCAUUCUGAUUAAUGAGGAUGCAAUUUCUUUCAAUUUCAAUUCCUACAGCCCAAGUAAAUGACUUAUUCUGAUUCCAAUUUCUUAUUUUGAUAUCAGUUCAUUCUGAUUCAAACCCAUUCUGAUUCUCAUUUAGUAGAUGCACCACAAAAGUUUUUUUUUUUUGGGUAUUAUCAUAAAUAAUUGCUAGAGUCUACAAACCCAGAGCUAGGUGUUGACCGGGCAAAAGCAUUAUUUCAGAAGCACACUGUGGUCUGGUCAAUGUGCCAACAAAGAAGCACGAUUACGUUGUUCGGGCAGGUGAUACAAAGCUAGUUUACAUUAGUUUAUUGAAACUAUAAGAUGUUGAUUUUUUUUUUUUUUUGGUUCAUAGAUCUCUCCUGCAAAAGAGUUGAGCAAUUUUUUAUAAUGGGAUUUAACUUCAUAGAGUGGUUAUGGCACGUGGUUGCUUGUAAAUUUAAAAUAUUAAUCAAAGUUACUUUGAUCAUGGCAGCCAAGCCAUGAUCAUGAAUGAGAAGAUAACACAAGUGUCAGUGAGAUAAACAAUGCAUAUGAAAAAUAAAAUGAAUUUUUUUUUUGUAAUUGAUUUUUUGAAAACAUAAAUUUUAAUUUUAAAAAAUAGGUUUUCAAAGUUGUAUUUUCAUUCUACUUAUGGUGCACUUACUAAAUAGUAUUUGGAAUAGGCUGGAAUUAGAAUAAGUUGUUUACUUGAACUGUAGGAAUCAAAAUUGAAUUGCAUUCUCAUUGAUAUAUUUAAUUUAACUUAUAAUUGGGAUAGAUUGUUAUAAGUUACCAAAAUAACUUUUGUUAGUUGUUGUCUUUUAGUAUUACUUGUAUAUUUUAUAAUAAUAAAAAUAAUAAUAAAGCUAUAAUAAUAAUAAUAAUAAGACAAUAAAAUAAAAAAUAACAAUAACAACAACAACAACAGUUGCAAUAAUAAUAAUAUGAAAUUAACAACAACAUCAACAACAAUAAUAACCCGAGCAUGCGGGCUAUUGGUCCAAAGGAUAACUAAGGUUAUCAUUGUUCUGGUUUAACAACGCCACGUAGUUAGACGAUAGAAAUCAUUCUUUGACAUUGGUAUAGGUUAUAAGAGUUCAAUGCCUUAGGAAUCAAAGCAUUAAGGAAUAGAAAAUCUAAAUCUCAUGGCUUCAUCAUCGUCCUCAGCUACUCCUACUUCUUCAUCUUCUCCAGUUACUCUUUCUUCUACUCUCUCUUUACCUAAAUCCUGUACUAAGCAAACAACCAGUAAGAUAGAGAAUCUUGUUGAAUACUCCUAUGUUCUUGAAUCUGUUCAAAUCAAUGAAUCCUCUUUACCUCUUAUCAGUCCAUAUCACCUGUAUAAAAAACCUUCUUUUACCAGAAGUAUCAAAACCCUAAUUUCCACCAAAUGACCUCAUCCUAAAGAAUACAUCCAGUCGUCCCGACUCGAUCAGUGUGCUUUGCAAGCUACUAUAGCUGAACAAUAUGUCACUCUUGAGAUACCCUCAGAAUUGAUCUCUACGUGGAAACGUGAAGGCUAUACACAUCUUCACCUUGGAGGUGUUCGCCUAAUCCUCACCCUUCAUGGGAGAAAAGGAUUACCUUGACCAUGUGAAGGAGAGGAGAGAAUACUUUUACCAUGUGAUGAGAACCAUCAAGGGAAUACCAUUAAAACUUCAAGUGAUCCUUUGCACAUUCAUGGAUGCCCAAUUACAAGAGCAAGAGCCAAAAAGAUGCAAGCUGCUUUAAAUGGAUUAAUUGAGAAAAUAUGAAUUGAAAAUGCAAUUCAAGAUGCAAGACAUCAUGAAUUGGGCUUGAAGAGAAGACAAGGCAUUGUGGGCAUUAUUCAAGUUAUUGGGUAGCCAAAUACACAAUUUGUAUCAAAUGCAGAAAGGUCAAAUUCGGAAUAAAAACUGUAUUGAUUGAGCUAGAAGCAAUGUGCAAGCUAUAUAUCAUUGGAAAGAUAAUUAAGAUAGCUUUCCAAUAAAUUUUAUAGAGCUAGAUUUGGAGUUCUCUAGAAGGAGUUAUGACCAAUUCAUUACAGCUUGUUCAGACUUGGGAUUUUCAACGACUCCUUUGUUUUUCAACUUCAUUUGUUUGUUUUGUUUCAAGUUUGUCAAUGUGUAAGGUAAGUCUACCAUCAAUGAUGGUGGGCUAACAUUAAGUUUGUCAAUGAUAGCAUUAAUUAUAGUAGGCUAGCAUUAAGUUUGUCAAAGAUAGCAUUAAUUAUGGUGGGUUGGUGAAGACUUUUGAAACAUCCUUUGACAAACCCACUUGGAGGGUUGUUCCAAUGUUUCCAUUUGUAUUUUUAGGAUCUUGGGUUUCUUUUAGCCUAGAGAUUAAUGUUAUUUGAAUUUGAAAGAUUAUUCUUUCUUUGGUUCUUUUAAGAACUAGUGAACUUAUCAAGAAUUUGUAUUCUUGUGGCGUUCUAAAUUUAGACUUAUCACUCACCUUCUCAUCUAUUUCUUGAGUGUGGCGUCAAUAUCAUUCUCUAUACCUUUGAUUCAUGUUUUCUUAAGCAUUGGGUUAAGGUUUUGUUUGUCAUAAAUCUGUUUAGAACUUUCUUGGGAAGUUGAAACUACAAAUUAAGUGUGGGUUUCAAAGUUUCAUUGUGGGAUUCGCAUCACCAUGGCUUUUUGGAAUAGGGAUGGAUCAACUUUGAGACCAAAGGGCAGUACUGUCCAUUGAUAAUGGGCAUUCAGAAUACAGAAGGACGUUUUAGGUCUAUCAGAGGGGGAUAUACCGAGUUGCCAAAAACCAGCUUUGAGAUCAAAUUUGGAAAAGACUUCUGGCUCAAUCAGUACAGUUUUUAUUCCGAAUUUGACCUUUCUGCAUUUGAUACAAAUUGUGUAUUUGGCUGCCCAAUAACUUGAAUAAUGCCCACAAUGUCUUGUCUUCUCUUCAAGCCCAAUUCAUGAUGUCUUGCAUCUUGAAUUGCAUUUUCAAUCCAUAUUUUCUCAAUUAAUCCAUUUAAAGGAGCUUGCAUCUUUUUGGCUCUUGCUCUUGUAAUUGGGCCUCCAUUCCCCCUCUCCUCAAAAGGAUUUGUCCUCGAAUCUUCACCUACAUCGAAAGGAGAAAGAUCAGAAACAUUAAAAGUAGCGCUCACAUUAUACUCACCAGGAAGAUCCAAUUUGUAGGCAUUGUCAUUGAUCCAUGCAACCACUUGAAAUGGACCAUCUCCCCUUGGAAGCAACUUGGAACACCUUUGUGCUGGGAACCUCUCCUUUCUCAUAUGCACCCAAACCCAAUCUCCAGGCUGAAAAACCACUUGCUUACGUCCUUUGUUGGCUUGAGUAGCAUAUUGUUCAGUUCUCUUUUCUAUGUGUUGACGUGUUCUCUCAUGCAAUUGCUUGACAAAUUCAUCUUUCUUUUUACCAUCGAUACUAGCAUGCUCAUCAAUAGGUAAAGGUAAUAAAUCCAAAGGAGUUAAUGGAUUAAAACCAUAUACAAUCUCAAAUGGUGAAAAUUUAGUAGCUAAAUGGACAGUUCUAUUGUAAGCAAAUUCAACAUGUGGCAAACAUUCUUCCCAAGUUUUCAAGUUCUUUUGAAUAAUGGCAUGCAAAAAAGUAGAUAGUGUUCUAUUAGUUUUCAAGUUUGUCCAUCAGUUUGUGGAUGACAAGUAGUAGAAAACAAAAGUUUAGUACCCAACUUAUCCCACAAAGUUUUCCAAAAGUGGCUCAAGAACUUAGCAUCUCGAUCUGAAACUAUGUUCCUUGGUACUCCAUGCAACCUGACUAUUUCCUUGAAAAACAAAUUAGCAAUGUUUGUUGCAUCAUCAGUUUUGUGACAUGGAAUGAAAUGUGCCAUCUUUGAAAACCUAUCAACAACAACAAAAAUAGAAUCAUUUCCCCUUUUUGACCUAGGUAAACCCAAAACAAAGUCCAUAGAAAUAUCAACCCAAGGUUCACUAGGUAUGGGCAGAGGGUUAUACAAUCCAUGGGGUAAAACUCUAGACUUAGCAUUUUUACAAGUGAUACACUUCUUUCAACAUCACGUUUCAUAUGUGGCCAAAAGAAGUGUUCUUUUAAAACAUCUAAAGUCUUUGCAAUGCCAAAAUGUCCCAUUAAACCACCCCCAUGAGCUUCACGCACAAGCAAUUCACGCAAAGAACUAUGAGGCACACACAAUUUAUUUUCUCUAAAUAAAAGCCCAUCAUGCCUAUAGAACUUACCAAAUCCAACUUUCUCACAAGCAUUAAACACAUUAGCAAAAUCAUGAUUGUUAACAUAUAAUUCUUUAAUGUACUCAAAUCCUAACAACUUUGCAUUUAAUGUAGAGAUAAGUGCAUACCUUCUAGAUAAUGCAUCAGCCACCACAUUCUCCUUACCUUGUUUAUAUUUGAUCACAUAAGGAAAUGGCUCAAUAAAUUCAACCUAUUUGGCAUGUCCCUUAUGUAACUUACCUUGUCCUUUCAAAUGCUUCAAGGACUCAUGAUCAGUGUGUAUAACAAACUCUUUAGGUAGAAGAUAAUGUUGCCAAGUUUGCAAUGCUCUCACCAAUGCAUACAUCUCCUUGUCAUAGGUAGGAUAGUUUAGGGCUGCUCCACUCAAUUUCUCACUAAAGUAAGCAAUUGGACACCCUUCUUGCAUCAAUUUCUCCUUAAUUAGAUUAAAUGCCCUUUCUUGUUCACUACCCCACUUAAAUCCCACAUGUUUCUUCACAAUUUCAGUUAAUAGUGCAGAAACCAAUUUCUCCUUAAUUAGAUUAAAUGCCCUUUCUUGUUCACUACCCCACUUAAAUCCCACAUGUUUCUUCACAAUUUCAGUUAAUGGUGCAGCAAGGGUGCUAAAAUCUUUCACAAAUCUUCUAUAAAAACUAGCCAAACCAUGAAAACUUCUUACCUCGCUUACACUUUUAGGUGUAGGCCACUCUUUAAUAGCCUUUACCUUCUCUUCAUCAACCUUAAUUCCUUUAGCACUUACAACAUAACCAAGAAAAACAAUCUGAUUUGUACAAAAGGAACACUUCUUCAAAUUAGCAUACAACUUUUCCUUCCUUAAAACAGUCAAUACACUUUACAAAUGUUCAAUGUGUUCAUCUAAGCCUUUGCUAUAGAUCAAAAUAUCAUCAAAAUAGACAACUACGAAUUUACCAAUAAAAGCAUGCAAAACAUGGUUCAUUAACCUCAUAAAAGUGCUAGGUGCAUUAGAUAACCCAAAUGGCAUCACUAACCACUCAUAUAAACUAUAUUUUGUUUUAAAGGCAGUUUUACACUCAUCUUCCUCUCUAAUCCUAAUUUGAUGAUAUCCACUUUUAAGAUCAAUUUUACUAAACACACAAGAACCAUGCAAUUCAUCAAGCAUGUCAUCAAGUCUAGGAAUAGGAUGUCGAUAGUUUACAGUGAUUUUAUUAAUUGCACGACAGUCAACGCACAUCCUCCAUGUUCCAUCCUUUUUGGGCACUAGUAAAAAUGGUACUGCACAUGGACUCAUGAUCUCCCUCACAUAUCCUUUUGCCAAAAGUUCUUCAACUUGCCUUUGAAGCUCCUUCGUCUCCUCGGGGUUACUUCUAUAUGCAGGUCUAUUAGGAAUGGUAGCUCCAGGGACGAAGUCUAUUUGAUGCUCAAUUCUCCUAAUAGGUGGCAAACCGUUAGGGACUUCAUUUGGAAACACAUCAUCAAAGUCCUGCAAAAGAGUCACAAUAGCGCUAGGCAAAGAAAAGUUAAGCUCAUUAGUGUGUAAACAAGCCUCUUUGCACAAAAGUACAACGAUAGGUUGUUUUGAAAAGAAAGUCCUCUUAACCUCGCUCUCUUUUGCAAACAAGUUCACUUGCUGCAUCUCUUUUCUCUCAAUAAUAUUUUUUUCUAUCUUUUCACUUGCUUUUCUCUCAAUCUCUCUUUCUUUUGUACUCUCAUUUUCUUUUUUUGUAUCACUCUCUUUUUGUAUUGACAUUUGAUCCUCAUACACUUGUCUAGGUGUUAAUGGUACAAGAGUGAUUUGCCUUUUAUUCAUUACAAAAGAAUAUCUAUUUAAGUAACCAUCAUGUGUCACACACCUAUCAUAUUGCCAAGCUCGACCCAAAAGAAUGUGUCCAGCAUGCAUGGGUACUACAUCACAUAGAACCUCAUCCUUGUACAUGUCUUCAUAGCCUCUCUUCCUUAUGAAUUACAGCCAGAUCUUCAAAGAAAACUUACAGCCACUAAUCUGAGCAUAGCUGAUAUCUCUUUGGGAAAGAUUUUUCAAAUGGCCAUGCUAUCUCUUGAUAAAAUCUGUGAGCAAAAUGAAUUCUUCAAAGAUCUCAUGGAAGACAAAAAAUCCUUUUUCUUAGGCUUGUCACAAACCUUAUCUCAAAAUCGAGUGUAAGGAUGAAAAGAAAUGUGUUUGUCCAACCACCAAGAAACGGCAUUUCCAGAAACACUUCCACAAGAAAUCAUCCUCCAAAAAACCUUUUCGGUAUUUAAAAAAGAAAGAUGUUUCUCAGUACCAAAAGAAAAAAUCCAACCGUUGUUUCGUCUGCAAGAAACGCUAUCACUUUGCCCGAAAUUGUCCCCAUAAAUCUGCUAAAGCUAUUCGUCUUAUCCAACAUCUUCAACAUUCUUCUCUGUUAUCUGAGAAUGAGGAUGUCGAAUCAAAUUUUUCAGAACAGUCAGCUCAAGAUGACCAAACUACUUUCCUUAUAGCAGAAUCCUCUGAUUCUGAAGAUAUUUUCGUCAUCUCUAUAGUUCAAACUGUCAACCAUGUUUCCACCAUACCUAGACCUUCUCUCAAGAUGUCCAUCCUUCCUUCUAAAUUCCAUAAACCUGUUCCUGUUAUUGGAUUUAUUGACAUUGGUGUAGACACCAGUAUGAUUGAUCCUUCUGUUCUUCCAUCAGACUGUUGGGAACACCAUUCCAAACUUUUUCAGAGCAGUUAAUGGUGAAACUUUUGAAACAACUUUGAUUACCAAAAAACCCAUUGGUAUUCAAUUCUUUUCGAAUUGUAUAAUUUGGAAAAAGAUUGUAGCCUCCAAACUUCCAGAUAAAGAUUUACUCAUAGGUUUUGACAUUCUUUAUUUGGUUAAAAACUUAUUCCUCACCAGUUCUGGAGUUCGCUACAAACAAAUGUUCUUGACCUAUACAGAUACUCUUCGUCUGUAUGCCCUUUCAGUAACACCAUCUCCAUACAGUCAUAUCUCACAAAAGUUCUUAGAGUUAUGUCCAGAAAACCAUUCCCAGUUCCACCAUCCUUUUCCUCUUUGGAAAAAUGAACAAUUCUUCAUUCACCUUCCCUCCAAACUCAAGGAAGACAUAAACCCCACAAAAGCAUCACACCUGGGUAUGUCUCCUUCAGACCUCCUGCUUGCCAAGCAAGAAUGCUCUUAGUUACUCCAACAAGGUUUAAUUGAACCUACUAAUUCAUAUUGGGCUUGUCAAGCCUUUUAUGUUGAAAAACGAUCUAAAUUAGUUCGUGGAAAAAAGAAUCUCAUUGCCAAGCUCGACCCAAAAGAAUGUGUCCAACAUGCAUGGGUAUUACAUCACAUAGAAUCUCAUCUGUGUAUCUCCCAAUAAAGAAUGAAACCAGCACUUGUUUAUUUACUUUAACUUCCCCACAAUCAUUCAGCCAUUGUAGCUUAUAUGGCCUCGGAUGUUUCAAAGUUUUUAAAUUUAAUUUUUCAACUAAACUAGUGCUAGCUACAUUAGUACAACUUCCACCAUCAACUAUCAUACUACAUACCUUAUCUUUGAUGUGGCAUCUAGUAUGAAAGAUGUUAUCACGUUGUACCUCCACAUCCUCUUUUACUUGCAUGUUGAGAGCACACCUAGCAACCAUCAAUUUACCAUCAACAGGAUAUUCUACACCAUCAUUAGCAUCCUCCAAAGGUGGCAUAGGAUCAUCAUAUGAUUCACCCUCGGUUUCAACAUCACCAUCAUCCCUCAAGAUCAUUACUCUCUUAUUGGGCAUUGAGAUGCAAUAUGACUUGUCCCCAAACAUUUAAAACACUUAAUAUCUCUAUUUCUAGAGUGUUGGGAAUUAGAUUUACCUUUGCUUUGGUUGCCACCCUCUUAAAAAGAAAAAGAAAAAAUCUUCUUAUCCACCAUCAUCUUGCAAGUCUUUUCCUCCACAACCUCCACCAGAUCCCAAACCUCCUGUCCAUCCAAUCAAAUCAUGCCUUAUGUUUUCAAGCCACUCCUAUAAAGAAUCUUUUCCUCCACUUGAAAAACAGACAGACACACAAACCCGAGUUACCUCCAAACCCUUUGUCCAAUCUCCAGUUACAGCCUCUAGGCAACAUGAGUAGCCAAAACAGUAUGAAGCUAUUUUAAACUGGCAAACCAAAAAUGCCAGUGCUCAGAAUCAAACUCUUCAGCAACUCGAUAAGAAGAUUGAUCUUGUUGCCAGUCACGUCUCUCAGACUGAAACUAAAGUUGAUUCCAUAAGCAGUCGUCUUGAUCAGAUGUAUAUCCAUCUCCAAGAUCGGAUCUCCGACGAAUGAUCAACAACUACAUUUGGGCUCCAGAGUUCAAUAAAAAAGAAGUUGAGAUCAGAAAACUCAAAACCUAAUUGACAAGAAUUGAUGCUAAAAAGACUCGACCUUCCCUUUUUACUCAACCACAACCAACACUAGUAUCUCCUCCGUUCUUUGAAACCUAUACGCCUAGAAACACACCAUCCAGACCUCAACAACUUGUUUAUAAUCAGUUCUUUGGGUUCUCGCACCUUCAACCAACUCCUCAACCAUCUUCACCCAGAAAAUCAAAAUCCAAAGUCAAAAUUUCAGAACCAAAGCCAAAGGUCCCUUCAUCUUCCUCUACCUCCACCAUACCUCCAGAAGACUUCCCACAAGACAUUCCAGAGCCUCUUAAGAAAGAUAAAAACCCAACGGAUCAUUAUCAUUAUCAUACUGUCCAGAACCAAUCUUCUGACUCUUCUGAGCCAGAAACAGUUGAUGAGUCAAACCCAUUUGAGUCCAACCUGUCUUCUUCACACUCAUCCACAAACUCAGACGGAACCUCAACUGACUCUGAGUCCGAAUAUGCUAACAUUACAAGCAUAUUAAUGGCCACUCAAACUGCAGAUCCAAGUGCUUCUACUUUAACACCUAUUGUUGAAGAUCAUCCUUCUGAUCAAGCAUCUCAAACAGACCCAAUGCCACCACCAGUUCAUGAACACUCAACAAAACCAUCUUCAGCAUCUUGGUUUACAUUUGAUGACAUUCCUCGUCACAAAUGGUCUGCUAGACUCCAAGAAUUUGCUGGAUGGAUUGAUCUCCAAGGUACCAAACCUAAUGCUCAACCCCAAGCCGUUCUUCGUGAAUUCAUGGCCCGAUCCACGGGUUCUCUACGAGACUGGCUAGAUAGCUUAGGAGAAUACAGACAGAUCCAAUUCAUGGAAUCCCCAAUUGGAACUGCCCUCAAUAUUAUUCAUGAACAAUUCAUCAGUGAAAAAACUGCUUCCACUAAUGCAGACAGGAAAGACUAUCACCAGAUGAAGUGUUGUUCUCUCAAAAGGCACCUUCUAGAUGCUCAUUACAAAAGAAUGAGUAUUCUGUUUUACAAGCUGAAUGGAUUCAAUGAGCCAUCUCUUAAACAUGUCUUCAUAGCCUCUCUUCCUUAUGAAUUACAGCCAGAUCUUCAAAGAAAACUUACAGCCACUAAUCUGAGCAUAGCUGAUAUCUCUUUGGGAAAGAUUUUUCAAAUGGCCAUGCUAUCUCUUGAUAAAAUCUGUGAGCAAAAUGAAUUCUUCAAAGAUCUCAUGGAAGACAAAAAAUCCUUUUUCUCAGGCUUGUCACAAACCUUAUCUCAAAAUCGAGUGUAAGGAUGAAAAGAAAUGUGUUUGUCCAACCACCAAGAAACGGCAUUUCCAGAAACACUUCCACAAGAAAUCAUCCUCCAAAAAACCUUUUCGGUAUUUAAAAAAGAAAGAUGUUUCUCAGUACCAAAAGAAAAAAUCCAACCGUUGUUUCGUCUGCAAGAAACGCUAUCACUUUGCCCGAAAUUGUCCCCAUAAAUCUGCUAAAGCUGUUCGUCUUAUCCAACAUCUUCAACAUUCUUCUCUGUUAUCUGAGAAUGAGGAUGUCGAAUCAAAUUUUUCAGAACAGUCAGCUCAAGAUGACCAAACUACUUUCCUUAUAGCAGAAUCCUCUGAUUCUGAAGAUAUUUUCGUCAUCUCUAUAGUUCAAACUGUCAACCAUGUUUCCACCAUACCUAGACCUUCUCUCAAGAUGUCCAUCCUUCCUUCUAAAUUCCAUAAACCUGUUCCUGUUAUUGGAUUUAUUGACACUGGUGUAGACACCAGUAUGAUUGAUCCUUCUGUUCUUCCAUCAGACUGUUGGGAACACCAUUCCAAACUUUUUUAGAGCAGUUAAUGGUGAAACUUUUGAAACAACUUUGAUUACCAAAAAACCCAUUGGUAUUCAAUUCUUUUCGAAUUGUAUAAUUUGGAAAAAGAUUGUAGCCUCCAAACUUCCAGAUAAAGAUUUACUCAUAGGUUUUGACAUUCUUUAUUUGGUUAAAAACUUAUUCCUCACCAGUUCUGGAGUUCGCUACAAACAAAUGUUCUUGACCUAUACAGAUACUCUUCGUCUGUAUGCCCUUUCAGUAACACCAUCUCCAUACAGUCAUAUCUCACAAAAGUUCUUAGAGUUAUGUCCAGAAAACCAUUCCCAGUUCCACCAUCCUUUUCCUCUUUGGAAAAAUGAACAAUUCUUCAUUCACCUUCCCUCCAAACUCAAGGAAGACAUAAACCCCACAAAAGCAUCACACCUGGGUAUGUCUCCUUCAGACCUCCUGCUUGCCAAGCAAGAAUGCUCUUAGUUACUCCAACAAGGUUUAAUUGAACCUACUAAUUCAUAUUGGGCUUGUCAAGCCUUUUAUGUUGAAAAACGAUCUAAAUUAGUUCGUGGAAAAAAGAGAUUAGUUAUUGAUUACCAGCCACUUAAUCAUUUUCUUAAAUAUAAGUUUCCCCUUCCAAAAAUCCAGACCUUGUUUGUCCAUCUUCAAAGGGCUCGUAUCUUCUCUAAGUUCGAUUUGAAAGCUGGUUUUUGGCAACUUGGUAUUUCACCAAUUGACUAUCACAAAACUGCCUUCUGCAUCCUUGAUGCCCAUUAUCAAUGGACUGUUAUGCCUUUUGGUCUUAAAGUCGCUCCCUCCUUAUUUCAAAAAGCCAUGACAAAAAUCUUUAGUCCUAUUCUUCAUCAUGCAUUGGUCUACAUUGAUGAUAUUUUGUUGUUUUCCUCUAACCAUGAGAGCCACCAGAAGCUCCUUUUGGAUUUCUUUCACAUUGUGCAGGCACAUGGCAUCAUGCUUUCUGAAAAGAAAAGCAGCAUAUGAAAGGAAUCAAUUGACUUUCUUGGCAUGGUGAUUAAAGACGGCCAAUAUCAGCCUGGUCCACACAUUGUAGUUGAAUUAUUAAAGUUUUCGGACACACAUCUCAACAGAAAGCAGAUCCCACAAUUCCUCGGGAUUGUUAAUUAUAUCCGUGAUUUUAUCCCAAAAGUUACAAUUCACACAAGCCAGCUGUCCCGCAUGCUCAAAAAACAGUGCCCUCCAUGGGGCCCUGCUCAGACAGAAGUUGUCAAGCAGAGGUGAUCGCACAAUCCCCUCCUCCACUCAGGAUUCCCACAAAUGGACACCGCAUCCUCCAGACUUAUGCCAGUGAUGAUUACUGGAGUGCCAUUCUUCUCGAAGGAAUCAAUGGCGUGUGUCAUUUCUGUGCACAUGCAAGCAGACAAUUCAAAGACUCUAAAAAGAACUACCAUGUGAUCUACAAAGAAAUCUUAGCAGUCAAGUAUGGAAUUAAAAAAUUCCAUACUUCGAAUUUCAUCUAAUCAGCCACACAUUUCUUAUCAACAUGGAUAAUUCUUCUUUUCCCAGAAUCUUUGACUUCAAAAACAAGUUGCUCCCUAACAAGCAACUGCUCAAUCUCAAAACCUGGUUUGCUAAGUAUGACUUCACUGUUCAACACAUAAAAGGCAACCAAAACCUCACUCCAGACUUCCUCGCACGUCCAACUAUAAAUAAACCCUCACUCAUUUCCUCAAUCCAAACCAUUCCAGUCAUAGCUAUGAAUCGCCAACUUCCUUUGAAAGCUCUCGCCCAGAGAAAGUUUCCCAUGAACAUCUCUUUCCAAUCGGCUUACUAGCUGCAGGAUUUUGCAAAGAAAUUCCUUUACAGGUUCUUCUUUAAUGUUCAAACCAAAAAACCUGACCAUUUUCCUAAUCUUUGCAUGGAACACCUGUUUCUCACAGGCUUCACUCUCUCCUCUCUGUCCAUCUGUGAAGAUGAACUUUGGUACAUGUGGUGUCUCACCGCCUUGUAUGCUACAAAGUUGGUUCUUCCCAUCAAACCAGUCCUAACUCACCUUACCACUCCUGAGUUCUCACCAGACCUCCUAUCCAUUCCUGAGUUCUCAUUAGUCCUAACUCACCUUACCACUCCUUGAAUGGUAUUCCCCACGCACUUGGUGGCGUAAACAACUCCAGCAGUUGAUUACUUUUCAUGAUUAGACAAAAUGCUAGAACAAGAAGCUAAUAUGUGGACUACAGUCUUCAUUGUCCACAGGCCUUACUUCCAGCACCCAGAAACACGGGACUACUAGACACAAGACAUGGCAUAUGAAUGGAGAACUUAUCCUCAUCCAUAUACCCUCAUUCAUGACACAUUUAUCACUUCUGUUCUCAAAACCUACCUUAUGGAACUAAACAAUGUUACUCCCCCAGCCACAGCCAUUCACCACACCUCUAUUGGACCAUCACACACCCUUGAGAUUAUUCCCAAAACACAAGGCUAUAUUCCAGGAUCAAGCUCAAGCCCUCAGGGUAUCCUUGUCAUGGAACAACGUCCUGACUACACCAAUGUCUUAUUCCAAGAUUCUCAGGAUCUAUGGGAAGACUUUCAGUCCCUUCUCCAUACUGAAAAUCCCCAUUAUACUAUCACCACUCCAGACUCUCCUGCUGCAUCUACAUCUCAGCACAUGAUUGAAGCUGAUGAAGUAAAAUACCAGCAAGCUGAGGUAUACCUCAACCAACGACAAAUCCGUCGGCACAAACGACAAUAUGAAAAAGACACAGGAGACGUGUCACCAUCUCGUUAUCCAUCCACUCCAUGAUAACGACUUCUGAACAAGUUUUUGAUACGCCUAUCCAUGCGACUCUCGUUUGUCUUUUGUUAAAGUCCUUGUCAGUAUGCUUUGCUUUUAUUAAAGUCCUUGUCGGUAUGCUUUCCUUUUGUUAAAGUCCUUGUCAGUAUGCUUUACUUUCGUUAAAGUCCUUGUCGGCGUGCUUUACUUUUGUAAAUGUCUUUAUUGGUGUGCUUUACUUUAGAAUCAUUCAAGAGGUCUUGUUCUCAAUGAUUUUCUAUAAAUACCACCUUCAGCUUCAGUUGAGGGGAGCUCAUCAAGAAGAAAUAAACAAUCCAGUUCUCUACAUUAUGUUUCCCUAAAAUUCUCUCUCUCUUCUAGGCAUCAAAGAAAUUAUUUAGAUUAAUAAUGAUACGCUCACCUCCAAAUUUUCUAAACUGAGUAUGCUCUGCACUUGCCUUAAGCCUAAGGAUCCUGUGCAUCAUAAAGGUCCUGUUUUUAUCCUCCAAAAUCGAUUUUAUAACAUGACAGUAUUUUCUCACAACGUUCACCCUCUUUGAAGGCCAUGAGUGCCGAGUUUUCAAGUGGUAUCAUGAAAAACUAUUUUCAACUAUGAUUUCAGAUUUGGUAUUAAAUGGAUAAGUGUAUAUCGGCUGGAAACCAGAACUUGAGGGCUACUGGCCCUAAGAACAGACUUCGUUCUGUUAUAGAUCUGGUGUAACAACGCCACGUACAACUACCCACUAGUUUCUUUUUCUUUCUCUGCAUAACUUCCAAUUCUUCAUCAAUAUCCGUAUCAUCCAAGCAAGGACAAUCCGGAUUACACAUAUGGGCUUCAGGAACAUCCCAUAUGAAAUGAUCAUUGAUUUUAUCUGGAUAAACUGGAUACCCUUCGGAUGAAAAACUAUGAAUAGGAAGUUUCUUUUCUUGAUCAGUUUGAACUGCUGUGAUCAUAGUAGUAUAGGAAAGCUGUGGACUGUCUGAAACAUGCUUGGUAUCAGGAGGAUGAAAAGACAGUUUGACUUGACCAUUUGGUCGUCUGUCAAAUGUGGCUUCUGUGGUUUGUAUUGGUUCAGAAUUUUAGUGAAAGUGCUCAUAGUUGGUUAGCCAUUCAAGAGGCAUGAGUUUGAGCAAUUCUUGUUUCUAAAUUUGUUUGGGGAUUUGGAUGAUGGUUGGAAUUGUGUCUGUGUCAACUAAUAUCAUCAAGGCAUCAGAAGUAGUGUAUGGUGUGGGAAGAUCUAGUGCAUGAUUUUGUAAUCGAUACACUAUUUGGUGAUAGAGGGUUGCAAUCUUUGAUCUGGACUUUAAGAGUUGUUGGAAGAUUAGGGUCUUCAAGAGAGAGGUUGAAAUUUGGGUAAAAGGUUAAUAAGACACUGCCAGCAUGGAGGGUUGUCAGAACGGUUCCUACAACAGCUUGUUGGUACUGUUUGAACCUAGUGUCUAGGAGAGAAAUUCUAGCUGUAACAGGUAAGCUUUUCUGCCAUGAAGAGUGAGAAUUAAUCUUACACCACCAAGAUGGAGGUGUGUGUACCCUUCUCAUUUCCAGUUGGCGAUGAGAUCUGAGGGUAUUUCCAUAGUGACAUAUUGUUCACUCUGAGAGGCUUGUAAAGCACACUGAUCUAGUCUAGAGGACUGGAUGUAUUCUUUAGGAAUUGGUCUUUUAGUGGAAAUCAAAGUUCGGAUACUUCUAGUGAAAGAAGUUUUCUGUCUGUAGAGAUUGUAAGGACUCAUGAUGGAAAACUGGGACUCAUUGAUUUGAGCAGAUUCUGGAAUAUAGGAAUAUUUAACAAGAUUCUCAAUUUUGGAGGCGAUGUGCUUAGAACAUUUUUUUGUGGGGGGUAGAAUAGAAGGCCGCGAAAAAAAAGAAAAAAAAAAAUUUUUUUUUUUUAAAAAAAAAAAAAUUUUNNNNNNNNNNNNNNNNNNNNNNNNNNNNNNNNNNNNNNNNNNNNNNNNNNNNNNNNNNNNNNNNNNNNNNNNNNNNNNNNNNNNNNNNNNNNNNNNNNNNNNNNNNNNNNNNNNNNNNNNNNNNNNNNNNNNNNNNNNNNNNNNNNNNNNNNNNNNNNNNNNNNNNNNNNNNNNNNNNNNNNNNNNNNNNNNNNNNNNNNNNNNNNNNNNNNNNNNNNNNNNNNNNNNNNNNNNNNNNNNNNNNNNNNNNNNNNNNNNNNNNNNNNNNNNNNNNNNNNNNNNNNNNNNNNNNNNNNNNNNNNNNNNNNNNNNNNNNCUGAACUGGGACUCAUUUACCUUUGCUUAACAUCUGUUGAUGUUAAGCAGUAAAACAUUAAGAACAUUUUAAUAAAAUGACAAAAUCUAUUAUAGCCAUGAAGGUUGAAAGUGUGAAAACAAUAAUCCGGCCAUGUUUUUGUUCCCCAUCACAACAACACAGAGAUGAAAUAAUUUAGAAGCAAUAUACACUUUAGCCAUAGCUCAAUCCUUUACCAUUUACAACCUCACCAAGGUGAUAGGUGUGUAUGCUCUAUGUCCUCUCUCAAGUAUUUUGCGGGAGGCCUCUUUGCUCACAACGAGGACCUUCCCAAUACCCAUGUUAAAAGUUCACCUCAUCUCACUAUCUUCUAUUCUUCGAACCUAAACAAAUAGUCAAUAGCCAAAAUUAAGUGAAAUACAUGUGUAACUACUGUGAAAUACAUAAUCAAAUAAGUAACAAGACAUUUAUGAAAAUUAAGCCUAUAAAAAUCCCACUUGAUAAGCCUAAAAACUAAAAAUUGAUGAUCAAUAUUUGCAAAUUCGUUAAACGUAGUCAUAGAAUCUAGUAGCACGUAUUGAAAAAUUGCUUUCAUCUGUUGGAUCCAUUCAAAUACAACUGGAACUUUCCAGGAAUCCUCAUAGAUGAACAGCACCUAAGCCUUUGGGGAACACCCACAGUAUAUUAUCUGUGAAACCACUACCAACGAUGUGAAGUAUUCCUUUUUCUCCUCCCUUGCUAAUUAUGUCCAGCACCUUUUUGACCAAAAUAUCUAUGUUUUAGCAUUAGUUAGAAUGGCAAUGCGCAGCCAUCUAUAUUAAAUAGAUAUCAAUGAAAAAACCUACUUGAAGCUUUAUCCAAUGAAAUGUUUUCACUAGGAAGUUGGAUAUUAAGUAAAAGGCCACUUUGGGCCAAAACCCUAUUAAGAGACAUAGGUUCAAAUCGUAGGAUUUUGGGAUACGUUAGUUUUUGUUUAGAAGAAAGCUACUACAACAAAUAUACUUUAUAUGGUCAAUCAAGCCUUUGGAUAUAUUUCAACAUGGAAUAACAAUUAUAACCAUUUUACAAGAGAGAAACCAUUGGAAUGGACUCCAUUAGAUGGUUGGCCAAUGAGUACAUCUCCAGCCAAAAUGUUUUUCCCAUUAAUAACCGAAUCCUUUUUAACAAUACCAAUAGCAAAACCACUGAGAUCAUACUCAGUUGCCGCAUAAAAAUCACGCAUCUCUGCAGUCUAAAAGGCACAACAUAUCCAGCAAGCUUAACUAAAAACAUUGAAUAAACAAUAGUAAAUCUACAGUAAGGACAAUUGAUAAAACAUGUGAGUUUGUUGGACUCUUAUGAUCUCUUACUUCCUAUAAUAAGAACCGAGCCUUAAAAUGGGAGCCAACAUUUAUGGUAGGCUCCUUGAGCAUUUCAAGAUUGAAUGAGGUUGUCAUUACUUGAUAAGUAGAUUCUAAAAUUAGAUUUUCUCUAUCUUUAAAUUCAGUACUAAAAUGACAUUUCUAUAGAGCAGUAGUAACUAAAUACUUGAUAAAAAUAUAAACACCUCACCUCCUAGAAGAGCACAGUCAGAUAGUUGACAACCGGCAACAGUACCAUUUAUGACUUGAAGAAGAACAACAGAAAAUCAAGCCAAAUUUGCUGCAGCAGAAUAAUUGAUACGAUUUAUACAUCCCCAACUAUUAUGAUUAUCACAUGUACCUUUUCAACAAGAUCAAUACCCAAUGGCUUGUUGCAAAGUAAUCUAAGAAAAAUAAUGGCUUAGCCCCAAAAGUUACAAUAUCAUUGACAUUCAUUGCAACCUGAAAGAGAGUUAGAUUAGAAGCUAAUUCUACUAACACUAUAUAUAUAAUUGUAUUGUGGAUUCCAGUUUCAAAUGCCAACUUAAGUUUAGUUCCCACACCAUCAGUGCCGGCAACAAGUUAAGAAUCACCUGUUCGAAAGAAACUCAUGAGCAAACUAAUACAAUAACACCAAAAAGUAGUUUCAAUAGCUUACUCAAAUCACAAGAAACUACUAAAUGUUAAUUUUUCAAUCAGAAGAUAAGCAACCCAUUCUAAGAAAAAUCCUAGAUAAUCAAACAAAUAAUAAGAAUUAGAUGAUUAUCGAGAGGGAAAAGACCGCCAAAAGCUCAAAUCCUUGGAGCCAUCUUAGCAAUUCUUCUAAGAAGCUUAGACCCAACAUCUAUAUCCACCCAAGCAUCUUUAUAAGUUACCCCUUGCUAGUAUUACUACCACUUCCGUACAUUGAAAGAAUAAGGCAAUUGACCUCUUACUCCUUUGGAGGCUAUUGAAAGAAAAGAAAUUUUACAUUCAUAUGCACAACUGAGUAAUACAUAGUUGGUGGGAUUUGGCUUAUUGGGAAAGUAAUUAAUUAAUGAUGCAAAACAAUGCGAGAGUUCAGUGUUUGCUGCAAUACUAGUGCUCAUGUCAACUUUUGAGAAUGAAUUUUAAGAUUGAUUUUGAGAUAUACUAAGAAAGUCCCGAUUAAGUGAGUGUGAAUGUGAGAUAUACUAUGAUGCCUGAAUUGGGAGUUCAAGACUUCAGUCAGUUUCCUAAGAGAAAACCUAAAUACCAAAAUAAAAAUCAAUAAACACCAAACUAAAACGACGAGUUUGUUACGGUUCUAUAACAGUUCUACUUAAACGUACGAUAAUGGUUCAGUUUAAUAGUUAUGAAGCAAUUAAAGUUGGGGAGUCUCCACUCUAUAAAAACAAAUAUAGGGUUAUUUUAAAAGACCUCCCCUGAGGUAUAGGGUAAUUAUAGUUGGAUGGCGAGUUUCCUUAUAUCUUUACUCACCUCCCCUACUGUUAGUCUGAAUACUCGUAUAACGUUAGUAUACGAGGAUAAAUAUGUAAAAGACUUGUUGAAGAUCCAAAAACUUCAAAACUUAAACAAAAAUUCUUUGAAACCCUAAAAUACCCAAUGAAUAAUUAUAGUACUCAAUUUCACUUGAUAUCCAUCUUGUAAAAGAUUGAUUUUUCUUCUUCAUUACACAAAACUAAAGCAAAAUGUUUCACUCUCAUUGCGAGAAAAUCAAACCAUUUCCACUUCACUCCCCCUUUGAAGCCGCUGUAACCAAAGCAAAUCUUCACAAAUUUAGCUUAACCUAUGAACGAAAAAAUCAAACAAGCUUGAGUGGUCGGAAAAGACUGCCAACCAGUAAACAUCGACGACGCACGGGUUUUGCCAUUGGUAUUGAAUAUAAAACCUAGUUGAAGUGAGGCCUAAAUAGGAUCAAAUGAUAAAAGAAUGACUUUUAGUGAUUUUUGUAGGAUUUUGAGAGGCGGGUUUUGGCUAAAAACUGAAGUAAAAGAUUGUCGGGUUGUGGUUUGAUGCUUAGGUUUCAGCUUCAAAGAUUAUUUAUCAAAUUUUUUCUUUCUCUUUCUCUUUAGAAGCUCAAAAAAAGUGUUAUUGAUUUGGGAAUUAACUUUCCUCUUCUUUUUUGGGAGAAAUUAUUAACUUCCCUUUGGAUGGCUUAGUUGUGCAAAAGUGAGAGGGUAUCUUUUGCACUACACAAGAGUAGUAGAGUGAUGAAAAGUUGAAAGGGUGAGGCUUGUUUAGACAACCAAGGUUGUCGGUUGUGAAUGUUGAAAAGAAGGUUUGGGAUAGGGUUUGUGAUUUGGGUGGCAAGUUCAAUGGGGAUGGUAAAAAAUAGGAUGAAGAGAUAGAUGAAUGGUUUUAUGUUAAUUAUAUGUAUAAUCUUGCUACAUUGUGCAAUAGUUGCAGCCUUGUAUUUCUUUUGCUAAUGUACAAAUACUAGUUGUUCUUAAGAAUUCUAAGCAUUUUUUAUUAUUUAUUUAACGAGUAUAUUUGCUUUGUGUAACAUAGUUUUGUCCAUUUGUUUUCUGUUUUUAUAAUAAUAUAUUAACAUUUUAAGAGAAUGAGAACAAAACGGUUAAGGUAGAAUACUUUUUAAUAAUAAAAAUAAAAUUAUUUUCUCACUUAAAAUAAGGUGUGGAGCCUUUCAAUAGUGAGGAAUCUUUUUUCUUUUUAGAGAAGAGUAUGUAGUUUGACUGAAAUUUUAAAAAGGUACUUUGGUCAUUUUGAUAGUCUAUUAACAGUCAAUAUGUAUUCAUACUAACAGUAAGGGAGGUAAGUGAGGAUACAAGAAAACUCAUCAUCUAGCUGUAAUUACUCCAAACCUAGGUUUUUAAAAAUAAUCCAAUAAAUAUAUAUUGGGGCUACAUUGGCAAUAGCCGAUAUGCUACCAGGCUCUUAAAAAGAAAUGCGUUGUUGUCUUUGGCUACCAUUUGGUAGCCAAAGACUUGGUGUAAUCAUUUUCUUAACCAAUUGAUCUUUUUCUUUAAUAUUAAAAAAAAUAAAUUAAAAUAAUGUAGUAAUUAAGAAAUUGUGAAAAAAUAUGAUUAAUAUUAAAAAAAAUCAAAUAAAAAGAAAAUGAAAGAAAGAUAUAAUCUUAUCACAAUAAAGAUUAAAAAAUAAAAAAUUUAUAUAAUAAAAGACAAAUAUUUGUUUCAUAUUUUAUAAGUGAUAUCCUCUAUUUAACAUCAAAAUUUUCUUUAUAUUGUUACUUGUCUCAACUUUAUUAUUCUAAAUGCCCCUAAAAAUUUCUUUUCCCACCCAUUUCAUGUUUGACAUUCAUGUUGCAUGUUCAACAUCUUGUCUCACAUAUGUCACAUGUUCUAUUGCAUGUUUACGUGGUUCUUAUGUUUAAUCUCAAUUGUUGCAUGUUUGACUUUAAUUGUUGCAAGUUUCAUGUGACUUUUUUACAUGUAAACUUCAUAUUGAAUGUUUGACCUCGCUUGCUGCAUGUCUUGCACAAAGUCAGAAAAUAAAAAAUUUCCUGCCUGUUUCAUGUUUGAUGUCUGCGUUGCAUAUUGACCUCAAUUGUUGCAUAUUUCAUAAGAAUUGUUGCAUGUUUACUUGGUUCUUAGUCUUGAACAAGGCCAAAAAAUGAAGUGGUAAAUGUGAUAGGUUUUUCUAUUCCUUCAGUGAUAGCAAGAAAGCACUUUUUCAUAUCGUGGCAUCAUCUUCUUUAGAAUCCUCUAUUGCCCCAAAUCUUGUUACUCUUUCAUCUACUCUUUCUCUCCCAUCCUCAUGUUUUAAACAUACAGCCUCAAAAAUAGAAAACUUGGUAGAAUACUCCUAUAUCCCUGAGUAAGCCUAGAUAAGUGAAUCAUCCAUGCCCGUAAUUAGCCCAUACCAUCUUUACAAACGACCCAAUUCUUUUACCCGAAGUAUCAAAAUUCUCAUCUCUACCAAACGACCUCUUUCAAAAGAAUACAUCCAGUCUUCCCGAUUGGAUCAAUGUUUAAUUCAGGCCACCCAAGCAGAACAGUACGUAACUUUUGAAAUACCUUUUGAGCUUAUAGCCUCCUGGAAAUGGGAAUGUUAUACUCACCUUCACCUUGGGGGUAUCAGAAUAAUCCUCACCCUUCAUGGCCUAAAAGAUUUACCAGUAACUGCUCGGUUAGCCCUUCUUGAUACCUGUUUUAAAGAAUAUCAACAUGUUGUUAUUGGAACUGUCCUUACAACCCUUCAUGCUGGAAGCUCACUACUUACUUUCUACCCAAAUUUCAACCUCUCUUCAAGAUCCCAAUCUACCCACAACCUUAAGAGUUCAGAUCCAGCUUCAGGGAGCUGAAUAGAUUGUAUCAUCCAAAAUGGCAACAUUGCACCAUCAGUUGGCAUACCGACUUCAAAACCAUGCUCUUGAUCUGCCAACUCCGCAUACAUCAGCUGAGGCUUUAAUGAUAUUAGCUGAUACAGAGUCUGUACCAACCAUCGUACAGACCCCCAAAUAGAUCUCAAAACAAGAUCUGCUCAAGCUCAGCCUUACCUACAAGUUAUUUUAGUCCUCUUCAAAAACACCUCCUAAACAACUAACCAGAGUCGACACUCCUCCAGCUUCAAAUCUUCCCCCACAAGCUAAGAAUAAACAUCCUAGCCAACCCAGUCAACAAUAUGCUGCCCAUUCAGUCCCUUUACUGCACUUAACUUCUCCUUCCGAAUCUUUUGAUUCUGAAUCAAAAUCAGUAAGUGAAUUCGAUUCUGCCUCAAAUUCGAAAGCUGAAUUUGCUGAGAUUACUAUAUUGCCAUACCAUCCACUAGUUCCAAUGAUCCUUCUCCAUCAGAAUUCCCAUCUAAUACACCCAUAGUGGAGGAAUCAGAUGAAACGAGCACAAUUCCUCCUAAUCGACCUAACACGGCUCCUAAACCCUCAAAUGGUCCUUGAUUCACUCUUGAUGACAUCCCUAAGGUGAAAUGGCCCUCACGGUUACAGGAAUUUACAGCCUGGAUCGAUGUCCAAAUGCUUAGGCCUGGUUUAUCAGUCCAAUCAGUCCUGAGAGAAUUUAGUUCCAGAUUUCUUGGUUCACUAAGAGACUGGUUCGAUAUUCUUGGUCAAUAUAGACAAUUGCAGUUCAUACAAAUUCCUAACGUGGGCACAACACUAGGCCUCAUGUAUGAAUAAUUCAUCGGAGAAGCAGUCCCAGCAAAUGAAUUGGCGCGAAAAGAAUAUUUUCAAAUGAAGUGUUGUUCACUUCAACAAAAAGAUUUGGAUUAUCAUUACAAGCGCAUGUCAGCCCUGUUCUAUAAACUAAAUGGGUUUAAUGACCCAAUACUCAAACAUGUGUUUGUAGCCUCUUUGCCAAAAGAACUUCAGCCUGAAUUACAACGGCAAGUGAACCUCCACCAAUUAGACAUUUCCAACCUGUCUUUUGGAAAAAUUUAUCAACUAGCAGUGAGCUGCCUUGAAUGUCUAUGUGAACAAAAAGAAUUUUUCAAAGAUUUGAUGGAAAACCAUCAACCAUUCAAAAGUCGAUGCAAGAAGCCUCAUCUGAAGAUAAAGUGCGGAGAUGAAAAAGACUGCACCUGCUCCUUAAAGAAGAAAUCCCAUUUCAAAAAAGUCUUCUCCAAAAAGAAGUCUUAUUCCAGACCAAAGAAACCCUACCGAUUCUUCAAACAAAAAGAUCCCUUCUCUUCCAAGAACCCAAAAAACAGUCGCUGCUUCAUAUGCAAAAAGAAAGGGCAUUUUGCAAAAAAUUGCCCAAAUAAGCCGGCAAAGUCCAGUCGUCUUCUCCAUCAUUUACAAACCUCCUCUGUCAUAUCAGCCCAUGAUGAUAUUGAGUCCUUAUUUUUAGAACAAAAGAGUGCCAAUGAAGAAACAGUCUUUGCUCUCGAAGAGAGAGAUACCGAUUCUACCUCUAACUCAGAAUAGGUCCAAAUAAUCGACAUGGUCCACACUCUCUGAGCAUCUGUUGCUCAGUCUCCCAUAUCCAUACCCUCCAUCUCAGUCCAUAUUCUCCCUUCAAAAUUUCAUAAACCCAUCUCGGUUAUUGGAUUCAUAGACACUGGUGCCCAGAAAAGUAUGUUGCACCCUUCAAUCCUCCCUCCAAACUGCUGGGUAAAACAUAUCGAAAAUUUCAGAGCUGCAGAUGGCCAAAUCUUUCAAAUCAGCCUUAUCAAUAAGGCUCCCAUUGGGGUACAAAUUUUUCCAAGUUGUGUCAUAUGUUCAAAGAUUAUUGGUUCAGAGCUUCCAAAUAAGGAUUUAUUAAUUGGCUUUGAUCUCUUGGCCUUAUCCAAAAGACUGCAGAUCAUAGCUGCAGGAGACUCCUAUAAAAGACAAUUUAAGCCAUAUACAGAAGUUUUACCCCACCAAAGCCACACAUCCAGGUAUGUCUCCUACAUAUCUUAAAUUGGCUCAACAAGAAUGUUCAGACCUCCUCCAACAAGGUCUAAUUGAACCCACCAAAUUAGACUGGGCAUGUCAAGCAUUCUAUGUGGAAAAAUGAUAUGAAAUCAUUCAGAAAAAGAAGAGACUUAUCAUUGAUUACCAACCCUUAAAUUGUUUUCUUCAAGAUGACAAGUUCCCUUUACCCAAAAUCCAAUCUUUGUUCGUCCACCUCUAUGAUGCAAAGGUAUUCUUAAAAUUUGACCUUAAAGCAGGUUUUUGGCAACUAGGCAUUGGCCAUCAUCAGUGGACUGUCAUGCCAUUUGUCUUAAAGGUAGCCCCUUCUCUUUUUCAAAAAGCUAUGACCAAAAUCUUUGAGUCAAUCCUCCAUCACACAGUAGUCUAUAUUGACGACAUCCUCCUAUUUUACAAAGACAACGUGGCUCACCAAAAGUUGUUGGACCACUUCCUCACCCUAGUGAACUCCCACGGUAUUACACUUUCUGAAAAGAAAAGCACGCUAGGUCACUCCACAAUUGAAUUUCUUGGCAUGAUCCUUGAGGAUGGAUGCUAUCGUUCAGGGCCCCAUAUAGCACAAGAAUUGUUAUACUUUCCAAAUAGCACUUGACCAAAAAACAAAUCCAACAAUUCCUCGGGAUAAUCAAUUAUCUUUGGGAUUUCUUGCUAUCUAAAAUGUUGAAGAAGAAGUCCCCCCUUUGGGAUCCAAAUCAGACAUCUGUUGUCCAACACCUGAAGCUGAUCGCUCAAAAUCCUCCAGCUUUAAAGAUUCUAUCCACUGGUCAAAGAAUUCUCCAAACCAAUGCUAGCUACGAAUACUGGGGUGCCAUUCUACUCGAAUUCAUAGAUGACAAAGAACUUUUUUGUGCCCAUGCCAGUGGGCAAUUCAAGGACUCUGAGAAGCACUACCAUGUGAUAUAUAAAGAGAUCUUGACAAAAGUAUGGAAUUAAAAAAUUUGAGUUCCAUAUGAUUGGUCAUCACUUUCACAUCCAUCUUGACAACUCUUCGUUCCCCAAGAUCCUUGAAUUUAAAAACUCUCCCUGAUAAACAGCUACUGAGAUUGAAAAAUUGGUUUUCCCAAUAUGACUUCUCAGUAAAACACAUAAAGGGAAAUCAAAACCUCAUACCUGACCUCUUGUCCAGACUAAACAAAAUCUCACUAAUCACCUCUCAGACAUAUUUUCCUGUCAUAGCCACGAUGACCUCUUUACCUAAUCAAGCUCUUAUCCAGAAAUCCAGAUCAAAGACUUCGCCCAGAAAUUUAUCUAUCUUAUACGAACCCCGUCAAGAACUGACGCGACCCUAAUCAAUUUAGUUCCCAAGAUUGAAUCUAAACCAGGAAUGGAAUGGAACCUCGACCCAAUGCUUAUUGAAAGCACGAACCUUGGUAUGUGAAGACACCACAAUCAGCUAUGGAUGGUCUGAUUGAUAAGUCAAGAAUUUGAACGCCACAGAAAUCCGAUAAGUUCAAAGAGUUCGUAAAGAACCAAAGAGAAUUAACUCUCUCACCAAUUGCAUCAAAAAACUUCUUUUCUGUUUAUUGAAUGAGUACUUUAUAUAGGGUUUGGUUACAAGAAUUUUUGGAAAUAAAUCCUAACAAAAAAAUCAAAUCUAAAUCUAAAUCUUCCCUAAUAGGAAAGAAUGUAAAUCAAAUCAGAAUCCUAAUCUAAGUAAAUAGGAAAGAAUUUAAACUAAAUCAGGAUCCUAAUUGUCUUAAAUGCCUUACAUCAAUUAAAUGGAAACUAGGCGAUUAAAAUAGAAAUAACUGAUUUGAUUCCCUAAUAGCCUCCUCAAGUAUCUGAAAAAGGAAAAUAAUAUAUUUUUCUGCCAUAAUGUUUAAGCCAGCUCCCUAUUUCAUGGAAGUGAGUAUUUGGAAACUUUAAGAGCCUGAAUCAUGCAUUUAUCAUGUGCGAUUCAUUCAAUGGGCCUCCAUGAAUUUGAUUGAGCCCAAGUUGCUUGAAUCAAUCCAUUAAGCGCUUCUUUGAAUUUCUUUGCUCUAGCUCUUGUAACAGGUCUGACGGGAACUUGAACAGGAUCUGAAUAUGGCUCAUCCCAUGUGCUUGUGAUAGUUUUAUCCUUAAUCUCAUCACUAUAUUUGUUUUUGACAAGUCUUUCAGUUAGUCCAUUUAAGGAUAUCUCUGAAGAUGAAUUAUGGUACAUAUGGUGUAUAACGGUUCUCUAUGCUACAACUCUAUUAUUUCUAGUCCAAGCAAUGCGCUAACAUCUCAACACUCCUGAGAAUGCUAGUUCUCUAUUAUGGACUCUUCUUGAGUGGUUUUCUCCCAUCCCUUGGUGGAGAAAAGAACUCACCUGCAUUCACCACCAAAAUCACCUUCACUUAAUUCCAACAAGUGAAGCCAAUCAGUUUACAUCAGUCUUCAUUAUCCACAGUCCUUAUUUUCAAUAUCCUGUUACCAACCUCUUUUGGACUCAGGAUUAGCUCUAUGAAUGGAAAACCUUGCCCACUUCUUCUCUCCUAAACAUGAUCCCACUAUUAUUUCAACCUUAAGGAAUUUCCUCUUUGAUAUCAACCAUUACCAACCACCUUCAACUCCCAUCCAGCACACCUCAUAAGGUCCUUAACAUGAAAUUCUCAUGUUACCUCCACCUGGUGUAAGCAGUACUCCACCCACCAACGGAAUCAUCAUAAAGGAAGAAAGACCGGACUACAUAGACAUUAUAUUCCAAGACUCUCAAUCAUUGGGAAGAAUUCUCUCCUCUCCUUUCCAGAAAUUUUGCAAAAGACUCCAAGCACUCACCUUGCAUCUUCUGCCCCACUAAACAAGACACCUGUCAACUCUUGUGACAACUCUUCUAAUAAUUCUCCAACACGACAACCUAUGUCCCUAUUUGAUGAAGUAGACAGUGAUGUCGACAACUUGUCCCCAUCUCAUAGCUUUUGAAAAAGCAUCUCCCAACUUUUUCUUUAAGCUCACACUUUAAAAAAUGUUGUAAUAAUUGUGGUUGUUUUUUGACUUUUACUUUAGCCCAUGUGUGUUUGUCGGGCUCUUGUCAAGAAAGUGGUUGCUUUUUGACUUUUGCUUUUGUAAUAAUUGUUCCAACUUUUGCUUUAGCCCAUGUGCGUUUGCUGAGCUCUUGUCAGAAACGUUUGUCGUUUUCUUAGCUUCGUCCUAUAAGAAGCUUUGUUGAAGGAAUAAGAAAAGUUUGAAAGUUUAAAAAAUCACCUUGUGCACAUUUAUGGCUUUCUAAUCUCCUUCCCUACUUUCUUGAAAUCCUGAUAAGAAAAGGAAAGACUAUCAUCAUCGUUCAUUUCCACCCAUACACUAAGUAUGCUCUGCACUUGCCUCUUCGAGGAUCCUGUGCAUCAGAAAACAGUGUUAUCACCACCAAUCAGAUAAAAGCAACUACAGUUCGCCUUGUGUGUCACCCCUUCCACUCUUUGGUAUUUGGUGUUUUUGGGUGAAGUAGUGGCCCCCGACUGGUAUCAGAGCCACUAUUCCCACGAAAGUGGUAAAUGUGAUAGGUUUUUCUAUUCCUUCAGUGAUAACAAGAAAGCACUUUUUUUAUGUCCGUGUUGCAUGUUAGACCUCAGUUGUUGCAUAUUUCAUGUGAAUUGUUGUAUGUUUACAUGGUUCUCAUAUUUAACCUCAAUUGUUGCAUGUUUAACCUCAAUUAUUGCAUGUUUAACCUCAAUUGUUGCGUGUUUUACAUGAAUUUUUUACAUAUAAAUUUCAUGUUGCAUGUUUGACCUUACUUAUUGCAUAUUUCACUUAAAUUGAUGAAAUUUUUUACACAUGCUUCAUGUGUUCCAUAUAGGACCUCAAUAAUUACAUGUUUCACGUGAACUAUUGCAUGUUUGACCUCUCCUAUUACAUGUUUUACUUUAAUUGUUGCAUAUCUUAAAUAAAGCCAAAAAUGAGGAUUUUCCAGUCCAUUUCAUGUUUGACAUCUAUGUUGUGCAUUUGUCAUCAUCUGUCUCAUUUAUAACAGACUCUAUUACAUGUUUACACUCUACUCAUGUUUAAUUAAUGUCAUUGCUUGUUUAACUUUACUUAUUGUAUAUUUCUCUUCAAUUGUUGCAUGUUUUACGUAAUUUUUUUACAUGUAAAUUUCAUGUUUCAUGUUCACAUCACAUGUUGCAUGUUUAAAGUCUGCUCUUUCAUGUCCUAAAAAAUGGCACCAAAAAAAUUUGAGACUAAAUUGUUUGUCCCAUAUAUGAAAUACAAUGCUGCAAGUUUACAUUGUACUCAUACUUAGUAGUUGUUUUGUGUUUUAGGUCAUGAAAAAUGGGGGAUAGUUUCGAGCAAAGUGACUGCGUUUUUUGCAAAUGAAACAACGGUUAUGCUUUUCUUUCUAUACUAGGAGACAUCCUUUUUUCUGAAACCGGAAAGGAUUUUUGGAGGAUGAUUUUUUGUGGAAGUGUUUUUGAAAAUGUUUUUUCUUUUUGGGCGAACAAACACACUUCUUUUCAUCUUUGCACUCCAUCUUGAGAUAAGGUUUUUUACAAGCUUCAGAGAAGGGUUUUGUGUCGGCCAUGAGAUCUUUGAAGAAUUCCUUCUGCUCACAGAUUUUAUCCAGGCAUAACAUUGCCAUUUGGAAAAUCUUUCCCAAAGAAAUGUCAGCAAUGCUGAGAUUAGUGGCUGUGAGUUUUCUUUGAAGAUCAGGUUGUAACUCAGAAGGAAGAAAGGCUAUGAAGACAUGUUUAAGAGAAGGUUCGUUGAACCCAUUCAGCUUGUAAAAUAGAAUACUCAUUCUUUUGUAAUGAGAUUCCAAAAGAUGUCUUUUGAGAGAACAACACUUCAUUUGAUGAUACUCUUUCUGUCUGCAUCGGUAGAUGCUGUUUUUUCACCAAUGAAUUGUUCAUGGAUGAUGUUGAGUGCGGUGCCAACAAAUGAUUGCAUGAAUUGGAGUUGUCUAUAUUCUCCCAAGCUUUCUAACCAAUCUCUCAAAGAACCUGUAGAUCGGGCCAUGAAUUCGCGAAGGAUAGCUUGAGAUUAAGCAGUUGGCUUUGUUCCUUGGAGAUCAAUCCAUGCAGCAAAUUCUUGAAGUCUAGCAGGCCAUCUGUGACGAGGAAUGUCAUCAAAUGUAAACCAAGAUGCUGAAGAUGGUUUUGUGGAGUGAUCAUGAGCUGGUGAUGGCAUAGGUGGCACUGGUUCUGUGUGAGAUGUUUUAUGCUCAUCAUCAGAAGAACUGUCUUCAACAAUUGGUGUAGAAGUUGAAGCACUGGGAUCUUCAAUUUUAGUUGCCAUCAAUAUGCUUGUAAUGUUGGUAUAUUCUGAUUUAGAGUCAGUGGAGGUACUGGUUGAGUUUGUGGAUGAGGAGGAUGAGUGUGACUCUGACGGAUUGGACUCACAUACUGUUUCUGGUUCAGAGGAUUCAGGAGAUGAGUCGUGGACAGUUUGAUAAUGAUACUGAUCCAUUGGUCCUUUAUCUUUUUUAGGAGGGUCAAGAGUUACGUGUGGUGAAUCUUCGGGAGGUACCGGAGGAGUAGAUGAGGAUGAAGUUGGCUUUGUUUUUGGUUCGAAAAUUUUUACUUUGGACUUUGAUUUUUAGGUGAAGAGGGUUUUGGUUGAGGAGUUGGUUGGAGAUGUGAGAAACCAAAAGAUUGGUUGUAAACAGGCUGGUGAGGUCUGGGAGGUGUAUAAAAAGGUGAAUAGGUUUCAAACACAGGAGGAGGCACAGGUGUGGAUUGUGUCUGGGUGAAAAGUGUUGGACAAGUCUUUUCAGCAUCAAUUCUUGCCAAUUCAGGUUUGAGCUUUCUGAUCUCUGCUUCUUUCUUGUUAAACUCGGGACCCCAGAUAUGAUUAUUGAUCAUUCGUUUGAGAUCGAUAUCUAACUCAGAGAUACAAUCUUGUAGAUGUAUGUACAUCUGAUCAAGACGAUGGCUGAUUGAAUCAACUUUAGUUUCAGUCUGGGAGACUUGACUGGCAACUCGAUCAAUUCUUUUUUCGAGUUGUUUGAGGGUUUGAUUCUGAGCAUUGACAUUUUUAGUUUGCCAAUUUAAAACAGCUUCAUACUGUUUUGGCUCUUUAGGUUGCCCAGAGGCUAUAACUGGGGACUAGACAAAAGGUUUAGAGACAACUUUGGUUUGAGUGUCUGUCUGCUUUUCAAGUGGAGGGAAGGACUCUUCAUAAGAUUGACCUGAAAACAAUAAGCAUGAUCUUAUAGUUGAACAGGAGGUUUGGGAUCUAGUGGAGAUAGUGGAGGAAAAGAUUUGCAAGAUGUUUUUGAAUGAGAAGGUUUUUUCUUUUUCUUUUUCUUUCUUCGCAUGACUUCGAGUUCAUCUUCAAUAUCCAUAUCAUCCAAGCAAGGACAAUUUGGAUUACACAUAUGGGCUUCAGGAACAUCCUAUAAAAAAUGACCAUUGAUUUUAUCAGGAUAUACAGGAUACCCUUCAGAUGAGAAACCAUGAAUUGGAAGUUUCUUUUCUUAACCAGUUUGGACUGCUGUAAUCAUAACAGUGUAAGAAAGCCUUGGAGUUACUGAAACAGGUUGAGGCUCGGGUGUUUGAAAAGAUAGUUUGACUUGACCAUUUUGUCAUCUUUCAAACGUGGCUUCUAUUGCUUGAACUGGUUCAGAGUUUUGGUGGAAGUGCUCAUAAUUGGUCAGCCAUUCAAGAGGCAUGAGUUUGAGGAGCAAUUCUUGUUUCUGGAUUUGUUUGGGAAUUUGGAUAAUGGUUGGAAUUGUGUCUGUGUCAGCAAGGAUCAUUAAGGCAUCAGAUGUGGUGUAAAGUGUAGGACGAUCUAGUGCAUGAUUUUGUAAUCGAUACACUAUUUGGUGAUGAAGAGUGGCAAGCUUUGAUGUGGGGGUCUGGUCUGCUCCUUGGAGUUUGAUCUGGACUUUGAUGGUUGUAGGAAGGUUGGGAUCCUCAAGAGAAAUGUUGAAAUUUGGAUAAAAGGUUAAGAGGACACUACCAGCAUGGAGUGUAGUCAGAACGGUUCCUAUAACAACAUAUUGGUACUGUUUGAACCUAGUGUCCAGGAGAGCAAUUCUGGUUAUAACAGGUAAGCCUUUUCGGCCAUGGAGAGUCAGAAUCAAUCUAAUACCACCAAGAUGAAGAUGGGUAUACCCUUCUCGUUUCCAGUUUGCUACGAGAUCUGAGGGUGGUAUUUCUAAAGUGACAUAUUGUUCACUUGGAGAGGCUUGUAAAGCACACUGAUCGAGUAUAGAAGACUGGAUAUACUCUAUUGGGAGUGGUCUUUUUGUGGAGAUGAGGGUUUUAAUACUUCUGGUGAGAGAAGUUUUUUAUUUGUAGAGGUUGUAGGGACUCAUGAUAGGAAACUGUGAUUCAUUGAUCUGGGCAGAUUCGAGAAUAUAAGAAUAUUCGACAAGGUUUUCAAUUUUAGAGGCUACGUGUUUUUGACAUGAUCUUGGAAGAGAGAGACUGGAGGAAAGAGAAAUAUGGGAUGAAGACGAUGAAGGUGUUGAGGCUGAAGAUGAAGUUGUUUCCAUGUUUAGGUAAUCUUCUUCUAGGAGAUCAAAUAAGAUUAUUUAGAAUUCCUAAUGAUACCACCUCAGCCCCAAAAGAGCUCUCAAAGGGUGAGGACUGCCCAGCACUUAUAAGCGACCAGGAGCUUUGGCUUGCCAGCAAUGUGGGAUAAGAGCUUAUCAUUCACUCUACCCUCGCCCUCGAGCCUUGGCUCUGAUACCAGUGGGUAGUUGUACGUGGCGUUGUUACACCAGAUCUGUAACAGAACGAAGUCUGUCCUUAGGGUCAGUAGCUCGCAGGUUCUGGUUUCCAGCCAAUAUGCACUUAUCCAUCAAAUACUAACCGAAAAUCAUAUUUGAAAAUAAUUUUUCACAAUAUCACCCGAGCACACGACACUCAUGGCCUCAAAGAAGGUGAACAUUGUGAGAAAACAUUUCAUUUUAUAAAAAUCGGUUUUGGAGGAUAAAACAAGACCUUUUUGAUGCACAGGAUCCUUAGAUUUAAGGCAAGUGCAGAGCAUACUCAGUAUAGAAAAUGAGAGGCGAGCGUAUCAUUAUUAACCCAAAUAAUUUCUUUGGGUUCUAGAAGAGAGAAAAGAUUUAGAGAAACAUGAUGUAAGGAAACUUAAAUGUUUAUUUCUGAUUAACUCGUGCCUACAACAGAAGCAUAAGGUGCCUUAUAUAGAAAAUCAUCAAGGACAGGACCCCGUGAAUGAUUAUAAUCGACAAAUAGGCACAUGCUGUUAGAAAAGUAAAGCACACCUUUUUAGAAAAGUAAAGCACACUGACUAAGACUUUUACAUAAGACAAAGGAAAACAGAAAGUAAAGCACACCGACUAAGACUUUUUACAUAAACAUUCAAAGCAAACGGGAGACACAUGUGCUUAUUGCAUUAAAAGCAAUGUGAUGGUGACAAGUUGUCAUUAUGGAGUGGAUGGAUAGUGAGAUGGUGACACGUCUCCUGUCGCUUUCUCAUAUUGGCGCUUGUGCCGACGUAUCUGUCUUUGGUCGAGAUACGCCUCAGCUUGCUAAUAUUUGUCUUCAUCAGCAGGAGAGGCUGGGUUGGUGACGGUAUAAUGGGGAUUUUCAAUGUGGAGAAGGGACUGAAAAUUUUCCCAUGUGUCCUGAGCGUCUUGGAAUAAGACGUUGGUGUAAUCAGGGCGUUGUUCCAUGACAAGGAUUCCUUGAGGACUUGAACUUGAACCCGGAGUACAGCCUUGUGUUUUUGGAAUUAUUUCAAGGGUGUGUGAUGGUCCAAUAGAGGUGUGGUGAAUGUUUGUGGCAGGUGGAGUAACAUUGUUAAGUUCCAUGAGGUAGGCUUUGAGAACGAAGGUGGCCGAUGUAUCAUGGAUAAGGGUAUAAGGAUGAGGGUAAGUUCUCCAUUCAUAUGCCAUGUCUUGUGUCCAGUAGUCUCUUGUUUCUGGGUGCUGGAAGUAGGGCAUGUGGAUGAUGAAAACUGUAGUUCACAUGUUAGCUUCCUGUUCUGGCAUUCUGUCUAAUCCGUGAAAAGUACACAGAUUCUGAAGUUGUUUAUGCCACCAUGUGAGUGGGGAAUACCAUUCGAGGAGAGUCCAUAGAAGGUCUUUUGAGAACUCAGGAGUGAUAUGGUGAGUCAGGACUGGUUUGAUGGGGAAAACUAGCUUCGUAGCAUACAAGGUGGUGAGACACCACAUGUACCAAAGCUCAUCUUCACAGAUGGACAGAGAGGAGAGAGUGAGGCCAGCGAGGAAUAGGUGUUCCAUGUAAAGGUUAGGAAAACGGUCAGGUUUUUUGGUCUGAACAUUAAAGAAAUACCUGUAAAGGAACUUCUUUGCAAAAUCUUGCAGCUGGUAAGCAGAUUGGAAAGAGAUGUUCAUGGGGAAGUUUCUCUGGUUGAGAGCUUUGAAAGGAAGUUGGCGAUGCAUGGCUGUUACUGGAAUGGUUUGGAUUGAGGAAAUGAGUGAGGGUGUAUUUAUAGCUAGAUGUGUGAGGAAGUCUGGAAUGAGGUUUUAGGUGCCGUUGAUAUGUUGAACAGUGAAAUCAUAUUUAGCAAACCAGGUUUUGAGAUUGAGCAGUUGCUUGUUAGGGAGCAACUUAUUUUUGAAGUCAAAGAUUCGGGGAAAAAAAGAGUUAUCCAUGGUGAUAAGAAAUUUGUGGCUGAUGAGAUGAAAUUUGAAUUUUUUAAUUCCAUACUUGACUGCCAAAAUCUCUUUGUAGAUCACAUGGUAGUUCUUUUCAGCGUCUUUGAAUUGUCCGCUUGCAUGUGCAUAGAAAUGACGCACGCCAUUGAUUUCUUCAAGAAGAAUGGCGCUCCAGUAAUCUGAUAAGCUUUUAUCCCACAUCGCUGGCAAGCCAAAGCUCAUGGUCGCUUAUAAGUGCUGAGCAGUCCUCACCCUUUGAGAGCUCUUUUGGGGCCGAGGUGGUAUCAUUAGGAAUUCCAAAUAAUCUUAUUUGAUCUCCUAAAAGAAGAUUACCUAAACAUGGAAACAACUUCAUCUUCAGCCUCAACACCUUCAUCGUCUUCAUCCCAUAUUUCUCUUUCCUCCGGUCUCUCUCUUCCAAGAUCAUGUCAAAAACACGUAGCCUUUAAAAUUGAAAACCUUGUCGAAUAUUCUUAUAAAUCAAUGAAUCACAGUUUCCUAUCAUGAGUCCCUACAACCUCUACAAACAAAAAACUUCUCUCACCAGAAGUAUUAAAACCCUCAUCUCCACAAAAAGACCACUCCCAAAAGAGUAUAUCCAGUCUUCUAAACUCGAUCAGUGUGCUUUACAAGCCUCUCCAAUUGAACAAUAUGGUCACUUUAGAAAUACCCUCAGAUCUCAUAGCAAAACUGGAAAACGAGAAGGGGUAUACCCCAUCUUUCAUCUUGGGUGGGUAUUAAGAUUUGAUUUCUGACUCUCCAUGGCCCGAAAAAGGGCUUUACCUUGUUACAGCCCAGAAUUUGCUCUCCCUGGACACCCAGGUUUCAAAAUAGUACCCAAACAUGCUGUUAUAGGGAAACCGUUCUAAACCAUACUCCAUGCUGGGUAGUGUCCCCUUAACCUUUUUAUCCAAAUUUCAACCUUUCUCUUGAGGAUCCCAACCUUCCUACAACCAUUAAAGUCCAGAUCCAGCUCCAAGGAGCAGACCAAACCCCCAUAUCAAAGCUUGCCACUCUUCAUCACCAAAUAGUGUAUCGAUUACAAAAUCAUGCACUAGAUCUUCCUACACCUUACACCACAUCUGAUGCCUUAAUGAUCCUUGCUGACACAGACACAAUUCCAACCAUCAUCCAAAUUCCCAAACAAAUCCAGAAACAAGAAUUGCUCAAACUCAUGCCUCUUGAAUGGCUGACCAAUUAUGAGCACUUCCACCAAAACUCUGAACUAGUUCAGGCAACAGAAGCCACGUUUGAAAGACGACAAAAUGGUCAAGUCAAACUAUCUUUUCAAACACCCGAGCCUCAACCUGUUUCUGUAACUCCAAGGCUUUCUUACACUGCUAUGAUUACAGCAGUCCAAACUGGUCAAGAAAAGAAACUUCCAAUUCAUGGUUUCUCAUCCGAAGGGUAUCCUGUAUAUCCUGAUAAAAUCAAUGGUCAUUUUCUAUGGGACGUUCCUAAAGCCCAUAUGUGUAAUCUAGAUUGUUCUUGCUUGGAUGAUACAGAUAUUGAAGAUGAACUCGAAGUCAUGCAAAGAAAGAAAAAGAAAAAGAAAAAACAUCCCAAACCUCCUGUUCAACCAAUAAGAUCAUGCCUAAUAUUUUCAUGUCAAUCUUAUGAAGAGUCCUUCCCUCCACUUGAAAAGCAGACAGACACUCAAACCAGAGUUGUCUCCAAACCCUUUGUCUAGUCCCCAGUUACAGCCUCUGGGCAACCUGAAGAGCCAAAAUAGUAUGAAGCUGUUUUAAAUUGGCAAACUAAAAAUGCCAAUGCUCAUAAUCAAACCCUCAAACAACUCAGAAAAAGAAUUGAUUGAGUUGCUAGUCAAGUCUCCUAGACUGAAACUAAAGUUGAUUCAAUCCGUCAUCGUCUUGAUCAGAUGUACAUACAUCUACAAGACCGUAUCUUUGAGUUAGAUAUCGAUCUCAGACGAAUGAUCAAUAAUCAUAUCUAGGGUCCCGAGUUUAACAAGAAAGAAGCAGAGAUCAGAAAGCUCAAAGCUGAAUUGGCAAGAAUUGAUGCUGAAAAGACUCGUCCAAUGCUUUUCACCUAGACACAAUCCACACCUGUGCCUCCUCUUGUGUUUGAAACCUAUUCACCUUUUUAUACACCUCCCAAACCUCACCAGCCUGUUUACAACCAAUCUUUUGGUUUCUCACAUCUCCAACCAACUCCUCAACCAAAACCCUCUUCACCUAAAAAAUCAAAGUCCAAAGUAAAAAUUUCUGAACCAAAAACAAAGCCAACUUCAUCCUCAUCUACUCCUCCGGUACCUCCCAAAGAUUCACCACAUGUAACUCUUAACCCUCCUAAAAAAGAUAAAGGACCAAUGGGUCAGUAUCAUUAUCAAACUGUCCACGACUUAUCUCCUGAAUCCUCUGAACCAGAAAAGUAUGUGAGUCCAAUUCGUCAGAGUCACACUCAUCCUCCUCAUCCACAAACUCAACCAGUACCUCCACUGACUCUGAAUCAAAAUAUAUUGACAUUACGAGCAUAUUGAUGGCAACUAAAACUGAAGAUCCCAGUGCUUCAACUUCUACACCAAUUGUUGAAGACAGUUCUUCUGAUGAUGACCAUAAAGCAUCUCGCAUAGAACCAGUGCCACUUAUGCCAUCACCAGCUCAUGAUCACUCCACAAAACCAUCUUCAGCAUCUUGGUUUACAUUUGAUGACAUUCCCCGUCACAGAUGGCCUACUAGACUUCAAGAAUUUGCUGCAUGGAUUGAUCUCCAAGGAACAAAGCCAACUGCUCAAUCUCAAGCUGUCCUUCGCGAAUUCAUGGCCCGAUCUACGGGUUCUUUGAGAGAUUGGUUAGAAAGCUUGGGAGAAUAUAGACAACUCUAAUUCAUGCAAUCACCUAUUGGCACCGCACUCAACAUCUUCCAUGAACAAUUCAUUGGUGAAAAAACAGCAUCUACCGAUGCAGACAGAAAAGAGUAUCAUCAAAUGAAGUGCUGUUCUAUCAAAAGACAUCUUUUGGAAUCUCAUUACAAAAGAAUGAGUAUUCUAUUUUACAAGCUGAAUGGGUUCAACGAACCUUCUCUUAAACAUGUCUUCAUAGCCAGCCUCUCUUCCUUCUGAGUUACAACCUGAUCUUUAAAGAAAACUCACAGCCACUAAUCUCAGCAUUGCUGACAUCUCUUUGGGAAAGAUUUUCCAAAUGGCAAUGUUAUGCUUGGAUAAAAUCUGUGAGCAGAAGGAAUUCUUCAAAGAUCUCGUGGCCGACACAAAACCCUUCUCUGAAGCUUGUAAAAAACCUUAUCUCAAGAUAGAGUGCAAAGAUGAAAAGAAGUGUGUUUGUUCACCAAAAAAGAAAAACAUUUUCAAAAACACUUCCAUAAAAAAUCAUCCUCCAAAAAACCUUUCCGGUUUCAGAAAAAAAGGAUGUCUCCCAGUACAGAAAGAAAAAGCAUAACCGUUGUUUCAUCUGCAAAAAAUGCAGUCACUUUGCUCAAAACUGUCCCUAUAAGUCUGCCAAAGCUGUUCGUCUCAUACAAGCACCUUCAACAUUCUUCCCUAUUAUCUGAGAACGAAAAUGUUGAAUCAAACUUUUCUGAACAAUUAGAACAAGAUGACCAAACUGCUUUCAUCAUCACAGAAUCUGAAGAUUCUGAGGAUAUUUCAGUCAUCUCUACAGUUCAAAAUGUCAACCAUGUUUCCACCAUUCCCAGACCUUUACUCAAAAUGUCUAUCCUCCCUUCCAAGUUUCAUAAACCUGUUCCUGUCAUCGGGUUUCUUGACACUAGUGCAGAUACCAGUAUGAUUGACCCUUCUAUUCUUCCCUUAGAGUAUUGGAAACCGCAUUCAAAGCUUUUCAAAGCUGUUAAUGGAGAAACUUUUGAGACCACUUUGAUUACCAAAAAACCCAUUGGUAUUCAAUUCUUUCCGAAUUGUAUAGUUUGGAAAAAGAUUGUAGCCUCCAAACUCCUCGAUAAAGAUCUCCUCAUAGGUUUUGACAUUCUUCAUUUGGUUAAAAACUUAUUCCUCACUAGUUCUGGAGUUCGCUACAAACAAAUGUUCUUACCCUAUACCGAUACUUUCCGUCUGUAUGUACUUUCAGAAACACCAUCUCCAUAUAGUCAUCUCUCCCAUAAGUUCUUAGAGUUUUGUCCAGAAAAUCAUUCACAAUUUCACCAUCCUUCACCCUUUUGGAAGAAUGAACAAUUUUUUAUCCAUCUUCCUUUCAAAUUCAAUGAAGACAUAAAUCCCACAAAAGCUUCUCACCCGGGUAUGUCUCCUUCAGAUUUCUUGCUUGCAAAGCAAGAAUGCUCUCAGUUACUCUAACAAGGUCUAAUUGAACCUACUACUUUAGAUUGGGCUUGUCAAGCCUUCUAUGUUGAAAAACGAUUUGAAUUAGUUCGUGGUAAAAAGAGAUUAGUUAUUGAUUACCAGCCACUUAAUUCUUUUCUUAAAGAUGAUAAGUUUCCCCUUCCAAAAAUCCAAACCCUAUUUGUCCACCUUCAAGGGGCUCGUAUCUUCUCUAAGUUUGAUUUAAAAGCUGGUUUUUGGCAACUUGGUAUUUCACCAGUUGACCAUCACAAAACUGCCUUUUGCAUUCCCGAUGCCCAUUAUCAAUGGACCGUUCUAACCAAACCUUUGGUCUUAAAGUUGCUCCUUCAUUAUUUCAAAAGGCCAUGACAAAAAUCUUUAGUCCUAUCCUCCACCAUGCUCUGGUCUACAUGGAUGAUAUUUUGUUAUUUUCCUCUGACCAUGAGAGCCACCAAAAGCUCCUUUUGGAUUUCUUUCAUAUUGUGCAGGCACAUGGAAUCAUGCUUUCCGAAAAGAAAAGCAGCAUAGGCAAGGAAUCCAUUGACUUUCUUGGCAUGGUGAUUAAAGAUGGCCACUACCAACCUGGUCCACACAUUGUAACUGAAUUAUUAAAGUUCCCAGACACAAAUUUCACCAAAAAGCAGAUACAACAAUUUCUCGGGAUUGUUAAUUAUGUCCGUGAUUUCAUCCCAAAAGUUGCAAUCCACACAAGCUAGCUGUCGCGCAUGCUAAAAAAAUAGUGCCCUCCAUGGUGCCCUACACAAAAAGAAGCUGUCAAGCAGCUAAAGGUGAUAGCCCAAUCACCUCCUCCACUCCGAAUUCCCACAUCUGGCCAACGCAUCCUCCAGAUUGAUGCCACUAAAAAGAAGCAGAAAAAAGCACCAAAACAGCAAAUAUAACUAGGAAACAACAAUAAAAAUUGCCCAAAAGCGACAGAAAAGAUGCCCAAUGAAAUUAUCCUAAAAUGACAAUGAAAAAUGCCUAAAGGCAGCAUCAAUUUAUGUUUUAUAAAUUGAAGUUGUGGCAAGAUUGGACGAGUGGUUUGUUCCUUCUUGUAAACCAAAGUUGGAUACCCUAGAUCCCACAUGUUGAACUUUACAAAUUCUAAGAGUUCCUUUUGCAAAUUACAAAUGAUUAUGACAAUCAAAUUUAAAGUUUCUAAAGCAAACAUAGGUCCAGUCUUAUAUUUUGGAGUGGUCAAUAAUACUUGUCCUCUCAAGAAACAUGUAGCUCGAAUGGCAAAACCAUCAAGAUCGCCUAUUGUAACGGCUUUAAAUUUUGAUGCCAUUAUGGUUCCUUCUAGCGUCAUUAUGAAGAAUUCAUAAAACCCAGUCAUCUACAGCAUUUGGCUUCACUUUUAUUGGUGUGAUAUUUACAAAAGACUAUGAACUAAAGUUUUCCUUCAAUUGGUAUGCACAUCUCUUUAAUUUUGAAUCAAAAGUAACAAGUCAAUACAUGGUUAAAUCUUUGAAGCUCUUGAGCAUCCACACCACGAUAAAUUCUAGAAGAUCCUCUUUUUAAGUUCCUUCACCACGGCGACAACUAUAUCCUUUGUUAUAUUUUGUAUACUGUGUAAACAGUAAGUUUAGCAAGCUUACUCAGAACUUUUCGAACCUUCUAAACAGGGGAAGAAAACAACUAUUUUUGCCUAGAUAUAGAAGGGUAUAUUUUUCUAUUAACGACCUCCUCUUCAGUAAUGUAUUUAGCUAGGCUGCAAUUUUUAAUUGAAUUUCAGGAUAAUUAAAGUCCAAUGAAAAGGAACCAAAAAACCUAAAUUAAUCUUAACUACAAGAAGCAUAGAAAAAAUAGCGGACAAUGGGUUUAUAUCAUUUCAAUGCUUACGCGAUGCUGGUAAAAAAAGGGCUAUAAAAGUCUGAAUUUUAUUAAUCUUAUAUUUGCAUUUAGUGGCAAUAAAUUCACAAAUUUAGCAUUUAUAGUAACCCAUCUGAUAGAAGUUUAUUCAAAAUGAUAAAAUGUCAAUUCCACUCUUUUGUUGUCGAUCGCCUGCCAUUAGAGAUGAACCUUGAACUGAAUAAAAGAAUACUAAGUCCAAAACUGCAUAAAUUGCAGUGUAUUAUUAGAAAUAAAUAAAUGAUUUAUAUGGAUUUAUACUUACCAAAGUAUAAUAGGAUUACCAAUCUUGGAAAGAGAUACAUGUUGUUCUUUUAGUUUUAGUGGCCAACAUGAACAUUUACUAUAGGACCUAAACUUGCAAUUAGAAAACCCUUACAAUCAUCAUAAAGAAAAGAGGGAGGAAAAAUUUACCACAUAGAAAAAUACAAUCAAUUAAAAGGUUGGAUUAAGAAGAUAUUUUGUUUCUAGAACUUACAAGGAUAAUUAUGCUCAAUAUCAACUGCAAAAGAAUGAGAGAAGCAAGAACCUAUUCUUUUAUUUGUCAUAUGGAUAUAUUAUAUGGUAAUGGAGGCUCAGAAAUAACUAUAGCCAAUUAAGUAAACAAAACACAACCUAAUUCGCCACGAGAACCUUAACAAUAAAAUGGCCUUUAAAUAGAUACUGCUAGUAUGUUGCAUUAGUGCUAGUAUAUUGCAUUUGUACACACUCCAUAUGUUGGCAAUAAAAUAUAUAUUUAUUUAUUUACAACUAUUCCAAAAUUCCAAUGAGUCAUAUGUAAGCUGAUCUAGAUUAUGGUUCCAUUGACCUCCAGAAAAAAACUCAAAUAGACAAUAAAAUCAAGAAGGCCGCAUAAAACAUCAAAUACAGUUGCUUUCAUACAUACAAAGAUCAACACAUUUAAAUGGGUUUCUACUUGCAAAUAUAAUAUUCUCACUAACAAUGGAAAAUGCUUCUUCUGUGAUGCAUUUAGCUACUGAAAAGGAAAGAACAUAAAAGAAAGGUAGGCCUAGUUCAAAAGUCUACAAACUAAAAUAAACUCAUGUUAUAUUUACUAUUUAUGAUGAAGAAGAUAGGAUAAUCUAUACCAUUAUUUGUGGGGUUUGACAUUGCAAAGAUGGCUAGUCUAGUUGAAGUUGAACUUUUUAUGGCUUCCAAAAUCUGAGGUAGUAUGUGCAUGUGUGGGCGCUGGAGGACCAAUAAGAUAGAAUAAUACUUUUAAGUCUAAGAAAGACUAUGCUACUCAAAAUUCUUAAAAUGGUUUAUUGUUAUAAAUGCAAAUUAUGUAUGGUUACUUUGCAGCUAGCUUUCCAUUUAAGUUCAAAUAAAAUUUCCAAGGCAUGGAGUAUCCAUUACUUUAUAGUCACUACAAAAUAAACAUAGCACAUGCUCAUAUGACAAAGUAGUGUGGAUUUAUUUUCUAUAAACAUCAUGCUCAAUGCACAUGAGGAUUUCUUACUGGGUAAGAUGAUAUUUAAAUCCUUCUGCAACUUUCAACUCAAUUUUGACUAUCCAAAUAACCAUCAACAUCAAAUACUUUCUAAAAUAUCAUUUCAUUUAUAGUCAUUCUAUACCUCUUUUGGGAAUAAACCUCCAACCGUAGAUAAUCUAAGAAGCACAUCGAGUUUCACUUGUUGUAUCUGGUUAGUUACAUUAAAAAAAAUGUCGAUAGUAAUUAGUAAGCAAUCUUGGAGCCUAGCCUACUUCUAGAAAAUGAGGGGAUUGUUCAAGUGAGAAGUAAAAGUAGAAAGCCCAACAGUCAACAUUAUUCAAAAUAGAUUUUCACCAUCCAAAACUUGUUUUAAAAUAAUCACCAAACUAGUUUCAAACAUAAAACAAGUGAGAAAGAAAAGAAACACAAGGAAGAAAUGCCUCAACAUGAGUGUGCCACAAACACAGAAGGAGUAGUGGUGGCCUAUUGGAAUAGUUGCUGAAGACAUGGCAACAACUCUACCUCUGUCCUGCUCUCUUGAGCAAACAAAAUACUUCGACAUACUCUUUUAGUAAGCAAACUGAUUUAAUGCCAGGUUCAAUUCAUAAUAUUCACAAUCUUGAGAGAAAAAAAAAAUCGAGCUUAAGGAUGAAAAAUUAUGGAAUUUUUUUGGGAGAAAUAAUUAGAAUAAUUUUAGAGAGAUUUUCAUUGAUCAGAAAAUUAGGGAUUUAACUAACCUCGAGAGAGAAGUAGGCUAGUAACUGGUUGUAAAGAUUGCCUUUUUUUCCUUUAUUUAUUCUUAAUGUUUUAUCUAAACCAUUAGAUUCAUUGAAAAUGAAUCCCACGGUUAAUUUUAAAAUACGGCAUGGUACCGCAAACUUACUUCCCAGCAUUGUAGCUUUAGCCAUAUAUUUUGUAUAACUUUCUCUGUGUGUGUAUAAAAUGCUAUUGGAUGUUCACUUAGUACUUAAAUUAUCCGUAUUUUUUACUAGAAUAUACUGAACCAAAACAACUUUUUUUAGGUUCGGUUUGGUUUUGCCCACUUCUAGCUGCUUCUUACUUCUUAGUCCAUCACUUAACUCGUCAUUGAGAAGUAGCUGUGACAAUGACACAUGGUGGAAGCAGCUAAUGUGAAUGAAGGUGUUGGCCUUGCUUGCUUGCCUUGCUAGUGAACCUUGAUGGAACAGUUGUAGUUCAUGAGUUUUUAAAUUUUAAGAUGGUGGGGUUGAUUUUGAUUUGUGUUAAGGGUUUAUGUUCAAGGUUUGAUUUUGAUUUUGAGGCUAGAUUAUAGAGUUUGAUUUCGAUUUUGGAUAGAAAAAGAUAAUUUGUGUGUAUAUAUAGUUAUACUAUUGUGUGUGAUUGUAUAUGGUAAUAAAAUGAAGCCACCUAUCAAAUUGAGCCAAUUGGCGAACUUUUUAAAAAUUAUAAAAGCAUUUAAUUUUCGAUUUAGUCCAUAAGAACUGAAAGCUAAACUACAAAUUUGGUUUAUUUACAAGAUUAGACUAAUCAACUUCUUAUAACAAUAUAAACCGAAUCGAAACCAAAUUGAAUUAUCGGUUUGAUUCAGUUUCUUCUUAAUAUCCUUUUUUUACCCGCCUUAUCAAUACUUAAUAUUACAACUUGAACUCAAGUGCAAGUAGGUAUAAUGUGCAUUCACAUAGCCAAGCGACAUUUUAGUUUAUUUUAUCCUUUUAAUAAUGUAUAAUUUUUAUUCCCUAAAAGAAUAUUGGAUGAAGUUUUUUUAAUUUUUAUUUAUUUACUUUUUUGAGUUUAUAUCUAAUUGUUAUUUGACUAUAUACUUUCAUAGAAUAUGAGUAAAUUUAUCGAUAGAUGAACGUACUAUUAUAUUUUCUUCUUUUGAAGUGUUUUGUAUUUGAAUGAUGUUAAUAAAUUGUUAUUUAUAAUAAAUUCCUAUUAAUUUUUUUAAUUUCUCACUCGGCCACUACAACCAAAGUUCCCAACUUCCGUCCUUGUUUAAGAUUGGGUUUUGUAUUAUUUUUUCGCCUUUUUUAUAAUUAAGUCAGUUUUUUCACUAAAUUAUGAAAGUAAGGAAAUGAUCCUUGUCAUUUAGUAUAACAUAAAUUAUUAAUUCUGUUAGAAUUAUUACCAAUCAUUUUAUUCAAUUUAAAUUUAAGUUGAAAUUAAUUUGACCUAAUUUAAAAUCUUGUUUCUUAAAAAAAACCAUUAUGCAAAAUAUUAAAAAAUUAAGAUUCUCAUAUAAUCUUAUCACCUCUGGAAUUUACGUCGUCGGUUUCCCAUCGAUAUACUCAAAUGGGGAAUCAGAAAAACUUUUAAAUAAUUUUUUAUCUCGGGUUAUAUAACCCAAAACAGACUUUCUUUUAGUCUAAAAUAGGGUACCAAACCAGAUAAGAAAUCAUCAUAAGUUUUCUGAUGCACAGGAUCCUUGCUAGAGGCAAGUGCAUAGCAUACUUCCUUAAGUUUCAAAAUGAACAAAUUUAAUUCUUUAUUCUUUUUCUUUCUCUAGAGAGCUUCAUUUGCAGAGAGAGGAGAGAGGUUUAGAGAUUCAUAGUGAUAAAAACACACGAGUUUAUUGCUUCAAACUUCUAUAUCUUACAAGCAAGGGGAGAAUCCUUUAUAUAGGAGAAUUCUCAGAGAAGAUAGGACAGGACCCCUAUCUUUUUUCAAAAGCAAAAGUAACAUGACUUCUCAAGUGAUUAUGACCUGUAGCACACUUUUUUAGAAAGCCAAGCCCAUCGAUCAAGACUUGGACAAAUGGACAAAAGAUAAAGCAUGCUUACAAAGACUUUUACUACUGGCAAAAGCCAAAGUGUAAGGCAAGCCAAGACAAAGCCAUAAAGUAAAACAUAAUUAUUACAACAAGACAAACUACUUUAUUGAAAGCAACAAGACAAACAACUUUAUGGAGAGAGGAGAUUCAUGUAAUCGUCUUCGGAUGAGCUUUCGGUUUCAUCGGGGUCAGUGUCACAGUUGGAUUUUGGGAAAAAGGUUUUAGAGAGUUUUGGAUGCUUACAGUGGGGACCACAGCAAGGGGGAUAAGGACAAUCUCUUCGGUAUCCUAGCCUAGGUGAUGUUUGAGUGGCUUUGUCAACUUUGGAGGGUUUAGUGGCCGUGUCAGCUUUGGGAGGUUGGGAUGAGGAUCCUGGUUCAUUCAUGGAGGGUUGUGAAAACUGUUGGAGAUGUUGGCUGAGGGGAAGGAAAUCUUCCCAUAGGUCUUGGGAGUCUUGGUAUAGAAAGUCAGUGUAGUCGGGUCGUUCUUCUUUAAUGAUGAUACCUGUGGACUUAGGUUUAGAUAUGGCGGAUGGAGUGGGGAUCAUGAGGAGGUCAUGUUGUGGGCCUAAGGAGGUGUGGAAGAUGUCUUUAAGUGGCGGAGGUUGGUGGUUUAAUUGGCAAAGGUAGCGAAAGAGAGUUUGCAAGAAAAGCUCUCUUUCGCUUCUUCAUGAAAGCCUAACUUGUAACAGAACCCUUUCCAUUUUCCUCAUUCCACCCAGAAAAUCUGUUCCUUACAGGUUUAACCCUUGAUCCAUCCAGAGAAACCACUGAAGAUGUGUUAUGGUACAUCUGGAUGGCAAAGACAGAAGAAAAGGUUUUAUUAAAGGGAAAAGUUUUCUUGGUGAGAGCUUCUGGGGGUAGUGAUGUAGCCAUGGAGAUUAUCGGAAAGUGGUAUGUAAUGGAAAACAGGGUGAGAGGCUUUUUUGGUUUUGAGAGUCUGGAUAGCAUAUCAGGAAUGAGGUUCUGGGAUCCCUUUAUAUGCUUGACCGAAAAGUUAUAUUUGGAAAACCAAUCUUUUAACCUGAGUAACAGUUUUUCGGGAACAGUUUUACCUUUGAAAUUGAGAAUAUUGGGGAAGGCUGAACUGUCCAUACGGAUGAGAAAAUGGUGUCCAAUCAGAUGGUACUCAAACUUUUUGAUGCCAUUAUUUACCACUAAGAUUUCUUUGAACACGCUAUGGUAAUGCUUUUGUGUGUCAGAAAAUUGUCCGCUAGCGUAAGCGAUAAAGUGUUCUUUUCUAUUGAUAUCUUCAAGGAGGAUCGCACCCCAUGAGUCAUCACUUGCGUCUGUCUGCAAUAUGCGCUUUCCAUCAGUGAUCAACUUUAAAGGAGGCGGAUUUUGCGCAAUCUGCUUGAGAGUAGUGACAGCAUUUGUGUGGUCAGCAUUCCAUUAUGGGGGCUUCUUUUUCAAUAAAGCCGAAAGGUGAUGAGUGUAGUGAUCCACAUGUGGGAUGAAGUCUCUGAUGUAAUUGAUGAUGCUGAGAAACUGUUGAACUUACUUUUUUGAAAGUUACUGAUAUGGAAAAUGAAGCAAUUCUUGGGCAAUAUGAUUUCCUGGCUGAUAAUGGCCAUCUUUUAUGAUCAUACCAAGGAAUUCAAUAUUGUCGGUAGCAAUGGUGCUUUUCUUGGCCGAUAACAUAAUUCCUUGACUUUGGACAAUAUCGUAGAAUUGAGUUAACAGCUGACGAUGUUCAUCAUGGGAUCCUGAAAAAAGUAAAAUAUCAUUAAUAUAAAUUAAGGCAUGAUGCAGAAUAGGCUGAAAGAUGUUGACCAUGGAUUUUUGGAAAAUGGAUGGGGCAGUUUUGAGGGCAAAGGGUAGGACGGUCCAUUGGAAAUGGGCAUUUAGGAUACAAAAAGCAGUUUUGUAACGCUCAAAGGGUUCAAUGCCUAAUUGCCAGAAACCUGAUUUUAAAUCGAAUUUUGAAAAGAUCUGGGCAUUUUUGAGAAAAGUAAACAUGCUUUGUCGAUGGGGCAAGGGAAACUUCUCAUCUUGUAAAAACAUGUUUAAUGGCUGAUAGUCAAUGACUAGCCAUUUCUUUCCUCUGACAAUUUCAAAAUGCUUUUCAACAUAAAAGGCUUGGCAAGCCCAUUGAGAAUUUGUGGGCUCAAUAAGACCUUGGGCUAACAGUUGGGAACAUUCUUGUUGGGCUAGGAGUAAAUCAGAAGGACUCAUUCCUAGGUGAGUAGCUUUGGUUGGGUUAAUGUCUUCAUUGAGUUUGAAAGGUAACUUAAUGAAGAAAGACUUAUUUUUCCACAAUGGGUGUGGAUGGUUGAACUCAGAAUGGGACUCGGGACAGAAACUCAAAAGCUUGUUUGAAAUAUCCUAGUAGGGUGGAGGGGUUUCAGACAGAUUGUAGAGUUUUAGAAUGUCUAUGAAAGGUUUGAACAUGGACUUGACUCGAAUUCCAUUAGGAAGGAUUUGGAGGUGUUUGAUUUGGUGAAGGAUGUUAAAACCUAACAAGAUAUCCUUAUUAGGAAGGGUUGAACCGAUAACUUUGGUCCAGAUGACACAAUUGGGGAAAAUUUGAAUGCCAAUGGGUUUUUUGGUAAUCAGAGAGGUGGUGAAUAGUUUGCCAUUGACAGCUUUGAAAUGUUCUUCAUAGUCUGUCCAGUAUUCUGGUGGAAGAAGAUGUGGGUUUAACAUGCUGCGUUGGGCACCAGUGUCGAUGAGACCAAUUGCUGGAAUGGGCCUUUGGAACUUCGAGGACAAGAUCUGGAGUUUGAUGGAUGGUAUAGGAAUAGUAGUGUCAAGGGACAGUAACUGUUAGUGGAAAAUAACUUGGGACUGAUCACUGUCUGAAUCAUCAGAGGAGUUCUGUAGUGCGAACACUGUGUCAUCAUUGGGUUCAUCUUGUUCAGAGAAAUAGAAUUCCAGUUCAUCCUUUUCUGGAGAGUAAUCUGUAGUGGCUUGGAGAUGCUCAACUAAACGAAUAGAUUUUUCUCAUUUGUUGGGACAGUCUUUAGCAUUGCCUUUCUUCUUGCAGAUGAAACAUCUGCUUGAUUUUCUCCGUUUAAAGUCUCUGGAAGAAUAUGACUUCUUUCGGAAGAAUCUGUAAGGCUUUCUGGAUCGACGAGGUCUGGAUGAAAAUUCUGGAUUUCUGAAUUUCUUAAAAUGCCUUUUCUUUUUAGGACUGCAAUCACAAUCCUUCUUCUUCUUGCAUUUAAUCUGCAAGUAAGGCUUUUUGCAGGCACUCCGGAAAGGCUUUUUGCAGGCACUCCGGAAUGGUUCUUUGUCUUUCAACAGUUCUUUAAAAAACUGCUUUUGUUCGCAGGGUUUAUCGAGACAAGUUUUGGCAAGCUGAAAGAUUUUGCCAAGAGAGAUGUUAUCAAGGGAAAGAUUGGAGGAUGUGAGUUGUCGCUGGAUGUCGGGUUGGAGUUCAUCUAGAAGAGAGGCUAGAAAGACAUGCUUUAAUGUCAGUUCAUUGAAUCCAUUAAGCUUAUAAAAUAGCAAAGACAUUCGCUUGUAAUGGAAGUCAAGAUCCUUAGCAUUAAGGGAACAACAUUUCAUGUUGAGAUAGUCUCGUCAUGUAGCUUCAAAGACUGCAGAGGGGUCUCCAAGGAAUUGGUCAUGAAUAACCACAAGGGCACUUGAGACUUCUGGUAAUUGAACAAACUGCAACUGUCUGUAGUUGCCUAAAGAAUCAAGCCAAUCUCUUAGAGCACCCGUAAACCGAGUAGCAAAUUCUCUAAGGACUGAUUGAGUUGUGGCUCCUGGACGUAGCAUUUGAAGGUCAAUCCAGGUAGACAUUUCAUUAAGACGAUCACGCCAUUUAUGAGAUGGAAGAUCAUCAAAUGUGAACCAUGGGCCAUUGGAAGAUUUUUGACUGGGUGGACUGGUUUGGGCUUGAGCUAGAGGAGGUUGAUUAGUUAUAGAAGAUUCAGGCAUCUCUUCUUCAACUUCCGAGGGAAUAUCGACGUACGAUUCUGAAUGGGAGGUUUGGCCUUGAGGAGUGUGAUCAGGUUGGGCCAUCAAGAUUUUGAUGAUAUCAGCAUAGGACUUUUCAGAAUCACUAGUGGAUACUGAAGAUUCUGUGUCAGUCUCAGUAUGGUUAUCAGAAAUAGCUAGAUUUGAAUCAGAAGUUUGGUCAUCUGUAGUAGAAGAGUGGUCGACUGUAUGGGCACUAAACUGGUGCAUUGGUUGUUUAUCUUUGGAUUGAGAAGGUGGUUGGGAUUCAGUUGGUGGUGGAGGUACUGGUGGCGAUGCCGGAGUAUGACCAGAGGAGUGGUGGCCAGGGAUGGUAAUGGAUGAUGGAUGAAAUAUGACGGGUCGCGGUUGAGGUUUAGGCUUUGGUUUAGGUUUAGGUGGUGGUGGUAAGGGAUUGUCUCUGAAAAGAGUAUUGGUCAUGCCAAAUAACUUGGAAGGAUCAUACUGUCUGAUGGGGGAAAGCAUAGAGGCAAAAGGAUGAUAAGUUGGACCUAUGAAAGGGAUAAGAGGUGAUGUGGAAAAAGGGUAGGUCUUUGUUUUUCAGAUUCAAUCUGAUCAAGUUCAGCUUUUAAGCAUCUGAUUUCCCUUUCCUUUUGGUCAAAUUCUGGGCUAUAAUAGCGCUAGGCAAGCAUAGCUUGUAGUUCAGAAUCGAGUUGGGUAAUUCGGGACUGGAGAUUUUGGUGGAUCUGCUGCAUCUGUGCAGAGAUGGAGUCAACUUUUUGUCUCAAGUUGUUCAGUUCGUAAACUGAUGGUCUCAACUUUGGAGUUGAUAUUUAAAGAAUUGAAUACCAAUGGGUUUUUUGGUAAUCAAAGUUCUCAACAUUAACUGCUCUGAAAAGUUUAGAAUGAGGUUCCCAACAGUCUGAUGGAAGAACAGAAGGAUCAAUCAUACUGGUAUCCGCACCAGUGUCAAUAAACCCAAUAACAGGAAUAGGUUUAUGGAAUUUGGAAUGAAUGAUGGACAUCUUGAGAGAAGGCCUUGGAAUAGUGGAAACAUGGUUAACAGUUUGAACUGUAGAGAUGACGGAAAUAUCUUCAGAAUCUAAAGAUUCUGCAAUUAGAAAGGCAGUCUGAUCAUCUUGUGUUGACUGUUCUGAAAAAUUUGAUUCGACAUUGUCAUUCUCAGAUAGCAAAGAAGAAUGUUGAAGAUAUUGUAUAAGACGAACAGCUUUGGCUAGUUUGUGGGGACAAUUACGGGCAAAGUGACCGCGUUUCUUGCAAAUGAAACAACGGUUGGAUUUUUUCUUCCGGUACUGAGAAACAUCUUUCUUUUUGAAAUACCGAAAAGGUUUUUUGGAGGAUGACUUUCUGUGGAAGUGUUUCUGGAAAUGGCGUUUCUUUGUGGUUAGACAAACACAUUUCUUUUCAUCCUUACACUCGAUUUUGAGAUAAGGUUUUUUACAAGCUUCAGAGAAGGGUUUCUUGUCUUCCAUGAGAUCUUUGAAGAAUUCAUCUUGUUCACAGAUCUUAUCAAGAGAUAGCAUGGCCAUUUGAAAAAUCUUUCCCAGAGAGAUAUCAGCUAUGCUCAGAUUUGUGGCUGUGAGUUUUCUUUGAAGAUCGGGUUGUAACUCAGGGGGAAGAGAGGCAAUGAAGACAUCUUUAAGAGAUGGCUCAUUGAACCCAUUUAGCUUGUAGAAUAGAAUACUCAUUCUUUUGUAAUGAGCAUCCAGAAGAUGUCUUUUAAGAGAACAACAUUUCAUUUGAUGGUAUUCUUUUCUGUCUGCUUCAGUGGAAGCAGUUUUUUCACCGAUAAAUUGCUCAUGAAUAAGAUUGAGGGCUGUACCAAUCGGAGAUUCCAUGAAUUGGAGCUGUCUAUAUUCUCCUAAGCUUUCUAGCCAGUCUCGUAAAGAACCUGUGGAGCGGGCCAUGAAUUCACGAAGAACGGCUUGAGGUUGAGCAUUAGGCUUGGUACCUUGGAGAUCAAUCCAAGCAGCAAAUUCUUGAAGUCUAGCAGCCCAUUUGUGACGGGGAAUGUCAUCAAAUGUAAACCAAGAUGCUGAAGAUGGUUUUGUUGAGUGUUCAUGAACUGGUGGUGGUAUGGGUUCUGUUUGAGAUGCUUGGUCAGAAGGAUUGUCAUCAACAAUGGGUGUUGAAGUAGAGGCACUUGGAUCUGUAGUUUCAGUGGCCAUUAAUAUGCCGGUAAUGUUAGCAUAUUCAUACUCGGAGUCAGUGGAGGCAUUUGAUGAGUCAUAAGAGGAGGACGAACAUGAAUUGUGUGUUUCAGGCUCAGAAGAGUCGGAGGAAUCUGAAGAUUGGGUCUGGACAGUAUGAUAAUGAUACUGAUCCAUUGGGCCUUUAUCUUUGUUAAGAGGCUCGGGACGGUCUUGUGGUGAUUCUUCUGGAGGGAUUGUAGAUGUAGAGGAAGAGGAAGUGGCCUUGGGACAUGGUUCGGAGAUUUUGACUUUAGAUCGUGCCUUUUUGGGUGAAGAUGGUUGAAGGUGGGAGAAACUAAAGAAUUGAUUAUAAAUAGGUUGUUGAGGCUGGGAUGGUGUGUAGAAGGGUGAAUAAGUUUCAAAGAACGGAGGAGAUACAGGUGUAGGUUGUGAUUGAGUAAAAAGGAAGGUCAAGUCUUUUCAGCAUCAAUCCUGGACAAUUCAGCUUUGAGUUUUCUGAUCUCGGCUUCCUUUUUAUUAAACUCUGGACCCCAUAUAUGAUUGUUGAUCAUCCGUCUGAGAUCGGCAUCUAGCUCAGAGAUCCGGUCUUGGAGAUGUAUAUACAUCUGAUCUAAACGACUGCUGAUCGAAUCAACUUUAGUUUCAGUCUGGGAGACUUGAGUGGCAACACGGUCAAUUUUCUUACCGAGUUGUUGGAGAGUAUGAUUUUGAGCAUUGGCAUUUUUGGUUUGCCAAUUCAAAACAGCUUCAUACUGUUUUGGUUCUUCAGGUUGCCCAAAGGCUGUAAUUGGAGAUUGAACAAAAGGCUUUGAGGUGACACGGGUUUGUGUGUCUGUAUGUUUUUCAAGUGGAGGAAAGGAUUCUUCAUAGGAGUGACUUGAAAACAUAAGGCAAGAUCUGAUUGGUUGGACAAGAGGUUUAGGAUCUGGUGGAGUAUGUGGAGGAAAAGAUUUGCAAGAUGAUGGUGGAUAAGAAGAUUUUUUCUUUUUUUUUUUCUUUCUCCGCAUAAUUUCCAAUUCUUCGUCAAUAUCCAUAUCAUCCAGGCAAGGACAAUCCGGGUUGCACAUAUGGGCUUAAGGAACAUCCCAUAGAAAAUGACCAUUGAUUUUAUCAGGAUAUACUGGAUACCCUUCGGAGGAAAAACCAUGAAUAGGAAGUUUCUUUUCUUGACCAGUUUGAACUGCUGUGAUCAUAGCAGUAUAGGAAAGCUGUGGACUGUUUGAAACAGGCUCGGUGUCAGGAGUUUGAAAAGAUAGUUUGACUUGACCAUUUGGUCGUCUGUUAAACGUGGCUUCUGUGGUUUGUACUGGUUCCUAAUUUUGGUGAAAAUGCUCAUAGUUGGUUAGCCAUUCAAGAGGCACGAGCUUGAGCAAUUCUUAUUUCUGGAUUUGUUUGGGGAUUUGGAUAAUGGUUGGAAUUGUGUCUGUGUCUGCCAAGAUCAUCAAGGCAAUCAGAAGUUGUGUAUGGUGUAGGAAGAUCUAUGGCAUGAUUCUGUAAUCGAUAGACUAUUUGAUGAUGGAGGGUUGCAAUCUUUGAUGUGGGUGUUUGUUCUGCUCCUUGGAGCUGGAUCUGGACUUUAAGGGUUGUUGGAAGAUUGGGAUCCUCAAGAGAGAGGUUGAAAUUGGGGUAAAAGGUUAAUAAGACACUGCCAGCAUGAAGGGUUGUCAGAACGGUGCCUACAACAGCGUGUUGGUACUCCUUGAACUUGGUGUCUAGGAGAGCAAUUCUAGCUGUAACAGGUAAGCCUUUUCGACCAUGAAGAGUGAGAAUUAAUCGUACACCACCAAGAUGGAGGUGUGUGUAGCCUUCUCGUUUCCAGUUGGCGACGAGAUCUGAAGGUAUUUCCAUAGUGACAUAUUGUUCACUCUGUGAGGCUUGUAGAGCACACUGGUCCAGUCUAGAAGACUGGAUAUACUCUUUUGGGGGUGGUCUUUUAGUGGAGAUGAGAAUCCGAAUACUUCUAGUGAAAGAAGUUUUCUGUUUGUAAAGAUUAUAAGGACUCGUGAUGGGAAACUAGGACUCAUUGAUUUGAGCAGAUUCUGGAAUAUAAGAAUAUUCAACAAGAUUCUCAAUUUUGGAGGUUAUGUGUUUAGAACAUGAUUUGGGAAGAGAGAGAGUAGAAGAAAGGGAAAUAUGAGAUGAAGAUGAUGUAGAAGUUGAAGAUGUGUGUGUUUCCAUGGUUGAGGAAUCUUCUUCUAGGAGAUCAAAUAAGAUUAUUCAAAUUACUAAUGAUACCACCUCAACAUGCAGUGUGGCUCUGAUACCAGUGGGUAGUUGUACGUGGCGUUGUUUUGCCAGAGUGAUGAGAUCCUUCGCAAGCCAAGAUAUUUAAAUCUCCUUUGGACCAGUAGUCCGCACACUUUGGUUUCCAGCCGAUAUACACUUAUCCAGUUAAUACCAAAUCCGAAAUUCAUUUUUGAAAAUAAUUUUUUCACGAUACCACCCGAAAACCUUCAAAGAGGGUGAACGUUAUGAGAAAAUACUUUCAUUUUAGAAAAAUCAGUUUUGGAGGAUAAACAGGACCUUUCUGAUGCACGGGAUCCUCAGGCUUGAGGCAAGUGCAGAGCAUACUCAGUUUAGAAAUUUUGAGGUGAGCGUAUCAUUUUUAAUUCGAAUAAUUUCUUCGAUUCCUAGAAGAGAGAGAGAGGUUUAGGGAAACAUGAUGUAUAAAACUUAAGCUUUUAUUUUUCAGAUUGGCUCCCUUACAACUGAGACCAAAGGUGCCUUAUAUAGACGAUCAUUGAGAACAGGACCUCUCGAAUGAUCAUAACACAUAGCACACCUUUUUUGACAGCAAAACAUGCCGAUAAGGACUUUGGCAAAAGGUAAAGCAUACUUACAAGGACUUUAACAAAAGUAAAGCACACCGACAAGGAUUUUAACAAAAGUAAAGCAUGCCGACAAGGACUUUAGCAAAAGUAAAGCAUGCCGACAAGGACUUUAACAAAAGUAAAGCAAAAGGCAAACGGGAGUCACAUGGGUUGUGCUAUCAAAACUCGUGCGAUAAAGAUAAGGCGUUGUCAUGGAGUGGAGGGAUAACAAGAUGGUGACACAUGGCCUGUGUCUUUUUCAUAUUGGCGCUUGUGCCGAUGCCUCUGUCUCUGGUCGAGAUACGCCUCAGCUUGCUGAUACUUUUCUUCAUCAACUUCAGACAUUGCUGUGAGGUAGAUGGAGCAGGAGAGUCUGGGUUUGUGAUAGUAUAAUGGUGAGUGUCAGUAUGGACAAAGGACUGAAAGUCUUCCCAUGGGUCCUGAGCAUCUAGGAAUAAGACAUUAGUAUAAUCAGGACGUUGUUCCAUGACAAGAAUUCCGUGAGGACUUGAACUUGAACCUGGAGUACAGCCUUGUGUUUUUGAAAUUAUUUCAAGGGUGUGUGAUGGUCCAAUGGAGGUGUGGUGAAUAUUUGUAGCAGGUGGAGGAACAUUGUUAAGUUCCAUGAGGUAGGCUUUGAGAACGGAGGUGACCGAUGUAUCAUGGAUGAAGGUAUAAGGAUGAGGGUAAGUUCUCCAUUCACAUGCCAUGUCCUGUGUCCAGUAGUCCCGUGUUUUUGGAAGCUGAAAAUAAGGCCUGUGGACAAUGAAGGCUGUAGUCCACAUGUUAGCUUCUUGUGCUGACAUUUUGUCUAAUCCAUGAAAGGUAGACAAAUGUUGGAGUUGCUGGCGCCACCAAGCGAGGGGGGAAUACCAUUCAAAGAGAGUCCAUAGAAGGUCUGGUGAGAACUCUAGAGUGGUAAGGUGAGUCAGGACUGGUUUGAUGGGAAAAACUAGCUUUGUAGCAUACAAGGUGGUGAGACACCACAUAUACCAAAGCUCAUCUUCAGAGAUGGACAGAGAGGACAGAGUGAGGCCUAUGAGAAACAGGUGCUCCAUGCAAAGAUUAGGAAAGCGGUCAGGUUUUUUGGUCUGAACAUUAAAGAAAAACUUGUAAAGGAAUUUCUUUGCAAAAUCUUGAAGUUGGUAAGCCGAUUGGAAAGAGAUGUUCGUGGGGAAAUUUCUUUGGUUGAGAGCUUUGAAAGGAAGUUGGCGAUUCAUGGCUAUAACUGGAAUGGUUUGAAUUGAGGAAAUGAGUGCGGGUUUAUUUAUAGCUAGACGGGUGAGGAAGUCUGGAAUGAGGUUUUGGUUGCCUUUUAUGUGUUGAACAGUGAAAUCAUACUUAGCAAACCAGGUUUUGAGGCUGAGUAAUUACUUGUCAGGCAGCAAUUUGUUCUUGAAGUCAAAGAUGCGGGGAAAAGAAGAGUUAUCCAUGUUGAUAAGGAAUUUGUGGCUGAUGAGAUGGAAUUCAAAUUUCUUAAUUCCAUAUUUGACUGCCAAAAUCUCUUUGUAGAUCACAUGGUAGUUCUUUUCAGAGUCUUUGAACUGUUCGCUUGCAUGUGCACAGAAAUGACGCACCCCAUUGAUGUCGUCAAGGAGAAUGGCACUCCAAUAAUCGUCGCUGGCAUCAGUCUGGAGGAUACGUUGUCCACUUGUGGGAAUUCGGAGAGGAGGAGGUGAUUGUGCUAUCACCUUUAGCUGCUUGACAGCUUCUGUCUGAGUAGGGCCCCAUGGAGGGCACUGUUUCUUGAGCAUGCGUGACAGCUGGCUGGUGUGGAUUGCAACUUUUGGAAUAAAAUCACGGACAUAAUUAACAAUCCCGAGGAUUUGUUGUAUCUGCUUUCUAUUGAGAUGUGUGUCCGGAAACUUGAGUAAUUCGAUUGCAAUAUGGGGACUAGGCUGAUACUGGCCGUCUUUAAUCACCAUGCCAAGAAAGUCAAUUGAUUCCUUUCCUAUGCUGCUUUUCUUUUCGGAAAGCAUGAUGCCAUGUGCCUGUACAAUGUGAAAGAAAUCCAAAAGGAGCUUCUGGUGGCUCUCAUGGUUAGAAGAAAAUAACAAGAUAUCAUCAAUGUAGACCAAUGCAUGAUGGAGAAUAGGACUAAAGAUUUUUGUCAUGGCUUUUUGAAAUAAGGAGGGAGCGACUUUGAGACCAAAAGGCAUAACCGUCCAUUAGUAAUGGGCAUCAGGGAUGCAGAAGGCAGUUUUGUGACGGUCAACUGGUGAAAUACCAAGUUGCGAAAAACCAGCUUUUAAAUUAAACUUAGAGAAGAUACGAGCCCCUUGAAGAUGGACAAACAGGGUCUGGAUUUUUGGAAGGGGAAAGUUAUCAUCUUUAAGAAAAGAAUUGAGUGGCUGGUAAUCAAUUACUAAUCUCUUUUUCCCAUGAACUAAUUCAGAUCAUUUUUCAACAUAAAAGGCUUGACAAGCCCAAUCUGAAUCAGUAGACUCAAUAAGACCUUGUUGGAGUAACUGAGAGCAUUCUUGCUUGGCAAGUAAGAGGUCUGAAGGAGACAUACCCGGGUGUGAUGCUUUUGUGGGGUUUAUGUCUUCAUUGAGUUUGAAGGGAAGGUGAAUGAAGAAUUGUUCAUUUUUCCAAAGAGGUGAAGGAUGGUGGAACUGUGAGUGGUUUUCUGGACAGAACCCUAAGAGCUUUUGUGAGAUAUGACUGUAUGGAGAUGGUGUCUCUGAAAGGGUAUACAGACGGAGAGUGUCUGUAUAGGGCAAGAACAUUUGUUUGUAGCGAACUCCAGAACUGGUAAGGAAAAGGUUUUUAACCAAAUGAAGAAUGUCAAAACCGAUGAGUAAAUCUUUAUCUGGAAGUUUGGAGGCUACAAUCUUUUUCCAAAUUAUACAAUUCGGAAAGAAUUGAAUACCAAUGGGUUUUUUGGUAAUCAAAUUUUUUUCAAAGGUCUCACCAUUAACUGCUCUGAAAAGUUUAGAAUGAGGUUCCUAACAGUCUGAUGGAAGAACAGAAGGAUCAAUCAUACUGGUAUCCGCACCCGUGUCAAUAAACCCAAUAACAGGAAUAGGUUUAUGGAAUUUGGAAGGAAUGAUGGACAUCUUGAGAGAAGGCCUUGGAAUAGUGGAUCAGUAUCAUCUUCAAAGGUCUCACCACAAGACCGUCCCGAGCCUCUUAACAAAGAUAAAGGCCCAAUGGAUCAGUAUCAUUAUCAUACUGUCCAGACCCAAUCUUCAGAUUCCUCCGACUCUUCUGAGCCUGAAACACACAAUUCAUGUUCGUCCUCCUCUUAUGACUCAUCAAAUGCCUCCACUGACUCCGAGUCUGAAUAUGCUGACAUUACCGGCAUAUUAAUGGCCACUGAAACUGCAGAUUCAAGUGCCUCUACUUCAACACCCAUUGUUGAUGACAAUCCUUUUGACCAAGCAUCUCAAACAGAACCCAUACCACCACCAGUUCAUGAACACUCAACAAAACCAUCUUCAGCAUCUUGGUUUACAUUUGAUGACAUUCCCCGUCACAAAUGGACUGCUAGACUUCAAGAAUUUGCUGCUUGGAUUGAUCUCCAAGGUACCAAGCCUAAUGCUCAACCUCAAGCCGUUCUUCGUGAAUUCAUGGGCAUUUUGGGUUUGCCAGUUGAGGACUGAUUCAAAAGGUUUGGGAGGUUCUAGGUGGCCAGAUGAGGUAAUUGGUGAAGGGACAAAGGGUUUGGACACGACAUUUCGUUGGGAAUCUGUGUGAGUGUCUAAAAGAGGAAAAGAGGAAGAAUAGUCUGAAGAAGUGGAUGAAAACAUCAUACAAGUGAGUGGUGGUGUUGGAAGUGAGAUUGGUAAUGGAGUCUCAGAUUUGCAAUGCUUUGCAAUCCAUUUGAGUUAUUUUUGGUAAAAGGGUAAUGGAGCUGGUGGAGGUGGAGGAUCUUGUGGUGGUUUGGGAUUAUAGGGGUGGCAUGAGACUGGAGAUUUUUUCUUUUUGGGUUUCUUUUUCCUUGUGGUGGCAUAAUCAUCAUCCUCUUCCCAAUCAUCCCAGCAGGGACAAUUUGGGUCACACAUGCCGGAGCCAGGGGCAUCCCAUAGGAAAUGGCCAUUUUGCUUGGCUGGAUAAACAGGGUAGCCUUCAGAAGUGAACCCUGAAAUGGGCAGAUCUUCUUGGGCUGUCUGGACAGCUGUGAGCAUUGAAGAAUAGGUAAAGAAGAGUUGAGGAGGCUCUUGUGGAGCACUCGGAGGUGGUUUAAAAGUCAUUCGGACUGUUCCAUCUUGGCGUCUUUCAAACAUGCUUUCAGAGGUCUGAAUUGGAGCUGUAUUGUUAUGGAACUGUUCAUAGUUGGAGAUCCAUUCAAGAGGCAUAAGCUUGAUGAGCUCAUGACGGAGAAUUUGUCUUGGGAUCUGGAUUAGGGUUGGGAUUUGGUCAGAUUUGGCUAAGACCAUGAGGGUAUCAGAAUGAUGUUCAGGAGUGGAUAGAUCUAAGGCAUGAUUUUGAAGCCUAUAGACCAAUUGGUGGUGUAAGGUGGCAAUUUUGGCAGAAGAAAUUUGUUCAGCACCUUGAAUUUGGACUUGAACCUUCAAGGUUGUGGGCAAGUUAGGAUCUUGGAGAGAAAGGUUGAAGUUUGGGUAAAAGGUAAGUAAAACACUUCCUGCAUGGAGAGUUGUAAGAACAGUGCCAAUAACAGCAUCUUGGUACUGUUUAAACCGGGUGUCAAGCAUAGCAAUGCGAGCUGUAACCGGUAACCCUUUUCUUCCAUGAAGAGUAAGGAUUAAUCUGAUGCCUCCAAGAUGAAGAUGAGUAUAACCUUCUCGUUUCCAGUUGGAGAACAACUCAGAGGGAAUCUCCAGAGUGACAUAUUGCUCGGUAGAGGUGGCCUGGAGAGCACACUAAUCCAAGCGGAAAGACUAGAUAUAUUCUUUAGGGUGAGGGCGUCUGGUAGAGAUGAGGGUGCAGAUACUGCAGGUAAAGGAGCUAGGUCGUUUGUACAACUGAUAAGGGCUAAUAAGAGGGUAUGAGGACUCACUGAUUUGGGCUGAUUCAGGGAUAUAGGAAUAUUCGACAAGGUUUUUAAUCUUAUUGAUGGUAUAAAAAGUGCAAGAUCUGGGCAAAGAAAGAGUAGAAGAAAGAGUAACAGGAGGGGAAGAUGAAGUGGAAGCCAUGAAUGAGAAGUUCUCUCUGUGCCUGAAGUUCUAGAGAGCAAAAUAGAAAAAGCCUUAAAUUAUACCAUUUUGGUCAGGAAAACGUUGAUUUAGAAAACAGGAAAGUUUCAAGGAUGGGUAUGGCUCUGAUACUAAAUAAAAAUUCAAAUGAUAAUUAUUGGUUAAUAAAAUAAAAAUAAAUAAAUUAUAUUCGAGUGGGACUAUUUCUAGAUUUCUAUCUAAACCCAUUUUAAAAAAAUUAAUUAUUAAGAAUUAACUAUUUACUUUCUUUCUCUACCUCUGAAUUCAUUUUUUACUUAUAUUUCAUGAUUUCUGUAUAUAUUUUUUCUUGAUAUUCAUGAGUUUUUUUUUUUUUGGUAUGGUAAAAGUUAUUUUCUUGAUAUUUAUUACCUUUCAUGACUAAUAAAAGUUUGUCGAUAUUCAUUUUUAAAUAGUGAGUUUUGUUUCUCAAUUAGACAAUAUAUAUAUAUAUAUAUAUAAAGCUGGAACUCCGUGAUUUUGUGCAAGCUAUUUGACUGGGAUAUAUAUAUUUCCUUCUGGUAUCAGAGCCAAGGGGAAGUGUAUGUGAUAUAGUUGUAUAGAAUUUGUGUUGUUUUAAAUUGUUUUCUGUGUGUGUGCUGAAUUUUUACUGGUAGUAAGUCCCACUUUAGGAUAAGAUUUUCCCUUUAGGGCUGUAAAACCAUACAUGUAGGCAUUCAUAUAGAUUUUAGUUUUAACACCAUGGAUUCUCUACUCUGUAGAGCAUCAUCUUUCUCUAGCUCUUCUUCUGGAAGAACUAGUGAUUCAAAGAAUGUUGUUAAUUCGGAAGAAUUUGUAAUCAAAGACUUCAAUAAAGCAAUUGAUAAUUGGGAACUACCAAAAGUGAAUAAAGAAAUGAUUUAUAAAACAAAAAAGCUUGAUUUUUUAAAGAAUGAUUAUGUUAUAAAGACUGAAGAACGUGACAUAACCCUUUCAAACCCUUUUGAAACAAUUCACUUGUUUUCAAAACAAUCUUUAAAGAAAUUAAGAGAUAAAAAUUUUAAUUAUGUUCACAUCGGCUUAAUACAAGUUGGCAUAAAACCCCUCACUAAAGAAGGCCUUAAUACUUCCACUCUCGCCGUACUAAGAGAUGGUCGAUUCAUCUCUUUUGAUGAUUCCUUACUAAGUAGUAUAGAAUCAAGUCUGUGUAAAAGACCAAUUUCAUUUAAUUGUUAUCCAAACAUAACAAUCUCUUUAAAAGACAAAAAUAUUUUAAAAAGUAUGAUUUUACAAAUCAAGACCCACAAUUAUGAUAUGAUUGAGGGAUCUAUUCCUGUAGCCUUAAUUUAUAAAAUUUCUUACAAAGCCAUGAUUUCUGCGUUUAGUACGCAACAUAAAUUCCAGUCAAAAAGAGAUGAGACUCUCCUCUUGCAGACUGACUUGUCUAAAGCCAACAUUGUUAUUCUAAAACCUAUUCAAUGGAAAGAUGUCAAUCUUCCCGAUGAAUGGGUUCUUGAAGGAGCCACUGCACCAGUGAUUCCGAAACAACUUGAGCCAAAUACAGAGUUGCAAAAGGUGACUCAGUAUUCAUAUGGUAAAGUAAAACUGUCCUUCAGGAGAUCUACUUCAACUAGAUAUUCCGAUAAAGAGUCUUGCUCAAGCAUUCCUUCACUAGAAAGAAAAUUUACAAAGUCCCUUCCGUAAUAAAUCUCCCUUUUCAACAAGUACAAAGUCAACCUAGGUUUUCCACUUCGGAUAUACCUAGUUCCUCUAUACAUUCUGUUGAUUAUACCACUAGUGUUCCUCACCCAAUCUACACUAGCAGUCAACAUGAACAAAGACAAGAAGAGAAGGAACCUUCUCCUCCAACUUCUCCUACGUUUUCUGCAGUCACAGAAAAUGCUAUAAAUGUCAUUGAAAAAUAUUUUGAACUGGAUAAAACUCUUCUCCACAAUGAUUUUUAUUUAGACAGUAAUAAAGAAAAAAGACUUUGGUUUUUUAAACAUUUUCUAAAUCAAAGAAAAGAAAUUCAAGAGACAUAUUAUGAAUUUGUAAAUUCACAUAAAAUUCAUAUAUUGUUUUUUGACUUGUUUGAGAUACAUUCUUCGAAUAACAACAUUUCUUAUCCUUUUAAAUAGUCAAACCCUAUUACUAUUAGGAAGAAAAUUCCUGAGUGAAAACUUUCUGAUAGUAAUAAAACCAUAGAAUCUAAGCAUCCACCUCUUAGGAGUUUAACUAUUGAUCACGGUGAACCUCCUGUCCAAAUUAGAGCCUCACUGAUACGAAUCCCACAAUGAAACUUUCAAUCCUACAAUUAAUUUGUAGUUUCAACUUCCCAAGAAAGUUCUAAACAGAUUUAUGGCAAACAAAAACCUUGACCCAAUGCUUAAGAAAACAUGAACCAAAGGUAUAGAGAAGGGUAUUGACGCCACACUCAAGAAAAAGAUGAGAAGGUGAGUGAUAAGUCUAAAUUUGGAACACCACAAGAAUGUAAAUUCUUGAUAAGUUCACUAGUUCUCAAAAGAACCAAAGAAAGAAUAAUCUUUCAAAUUCAAAAUAACAUUUAAUCUCCUUACAUACCAAGGUUGCUGAAUUUAAAUAGGCUAAAAGGAACCCAAGAUCCUAAAAAUACAAAUGGAAACAUUGGAACAACCCUCCAAGUAAGUUUGUCAAAAGAUGUUUCAAAAGUCUUCACCAACCCACCAUGAUCAAUGCUAUCUUUGACAAACUUAAUGCUAGCCUACUAUAAUUAAUGCUAUCAUUGACAAACUUGAAACAAAACAAACAAAUAAGUUGAAAAACAAAGGAUUCGUUGAAAAUCCCAAGUCUGAACAAGCUGUAAAGAAUUGGUCAUAACUCCUUCUAGAGAACUCCAAAUCCAGCUUUGUAAAAUUUAUUGGAAAGCUAACUUAAUUAUCUUUCCAACGGUAUAUAGCUUGCAUUUUAAUUCUGGCUCAAUCAAUACAGUUUUUAUUCCGAAUUUGACCUUUCUGCAUUUGAUACAACUUGUGUAUUUGGCUGCCCAACGACUUGAAUAAUGCCCACAAAGCCUUGUCUUCUCUUCAAGCCCAAUUCAUGAUGUCUUGCAUCUUGAAUUGCAUUUUCAAUCCAUAUUUUCUCAAUUAAUCCAUUUAAAGCAGCUUGCAUCUUUUUGGCUCUUGCUCUUGUACUUGGGCCUCCAUGAAUGUGCAAAGGAUCACUUGAAGUUUUAAUGGUCCCUUGAUGGUUCUCAUCACUCACCUUAUAAAAUCCCUAAGCCAAAUGAUUCCGAUGCAAAUUUAAGUAGUAUUAUUCAACAGAAUAAUUUCUGUAAUACUAACUUAAAUACGAUAGGAAAACAAUUGACUAGGAUAGAAAGCCAAUUCCAAAGGCCAACCAUAGUUGUUUCUCCUAUUAGCAUAAAAUCGGAUUCUGACAAAAAGCUUAGGGAACCUAUUUUCAAACCUUUUCAGGUUUCAAAAACUAGCCAAAAGCUUGUUCAAGAGUCAAAAUCAGAUUUUGCUAAAGCCAUAAGAGACCAAUUAGAUAAAAUAGAAGCUUCUUCUUCCUCUUCUAAGGUCCAGAUAGCCCUAGAUAGUGCCCAAUCUAGCAAGAUUGGAGUACUAGAACAUGACAAUGUUUCUAUAGCCUCUUCAGAUAUAGAAGCAUUUAAAGAUGAACCAUCUGCUCCUAAAGCCAACAAAAUCCAUUGGGAAUUAGCCUUACCUACUGUCAAGACUCCACCAGAUCUAGCUAUAGAUAAUAGACCAAGUGCUUUAAAUCAAUCGCAAUUUAAUGCAUCUUCUGUCUAUGAGUGGAAUAUUGAUGGCAUGUCUGAGUAUAACAUCUUAGGAUUGUUGCAACAAAUGACCAUGGCAGCCAAUGCCUAUAAAACUCAGGCGAGAACUUCUGAUAGAACCAUAGCAGAAAUUCUCGUUGCUGGUUUUACGGGUCAACUUAAGGGAUGGUGAGAUCAUCUUCUCACUCAACAGCAACAAUUAGAUGUCCUAAACUCUAUUCAAGUCGAUGAGAAUGGAGCCCCCAUUCUUGAUGAGUUCAAUAGUCCAAUUCAGGAUGCAGUUACUACCCUGAUUUUGACUAUAUCCCUUUAUUUCAUAGGUGACCCUUCGCACCUUAGAGAUAAGAACGCUGAGUUACUACACAAUCUCAGGUGUAGGAAACUUAGUGAAUUCCAAAGCUAUAAAACCACUUUUUUCACCAGACUCUUCCUUAGGGAUGAUGCAAAUCAUACAACCUGGAAGGAAAAAUUCCUUGCAGGUUUACCUACCCUUUUAGGAGAGAAGGUUAGAAAUUCCAUUAAAGCCUUGUAUGACCACCGUAUUCCUUAUGACGAGCUUAUCUAUGGUGAACUUGUUAGUUUUGUCAACAAAGAAGGUUUAAAGAUUUGUCAAGAUUUGAAGUUACAGAAACGACUAAAAUGGGAGCUUAGGAAAUCUAAGCAAAAAUUAGGUAGUUUCUGUAAACAAUUCAAUUAUGACCCCUUUAAAACUUCUACUUCCAAAGAUUGUAAUGGUAACUGUUCUUUAAAACCUUACAAAAAACAUUACAAAUCAAAAAGUCAUAGGAAACCCUUUCAAGAUUUUAGAGAACUUUCUUAUAAGAAACCCUCGAGGCCUUAUAAGAAACCCAACUUCUCUAAAAAGAAAGAGUUUAGAGCCAAACCAAAAACCCCUUUUAACUGCAAACAAGCCACAUGUUACAAAUGUGGAAUGAAAGGCCACACUGCAAAAUUCUGCAGAAUGAACAUAAAGCUCCAUGAGCUUGGCCUUGAUGAAGAAAUUCUUUCUAAAGUAGCCCCUUUACUUAUAGAGUCUUCUGACUCUGAGUCUUCAAUGACAGGAGAUAGUGAACCUCUACAGGUUGAUGAGUUAAAUGACUCUGAAUCUGUUUCUUCUAGUGAUUCCGACACCAGUAAUUCAGAUUCCUAUUUAAAGAAAAUCAAUAUUUUAACCAAAGAACAAGAGACUUUUCUUGAGCUUGUUAAACAUAUUUCUGAUCCAAAUCUUCAAAAGGAAUACCUUGAUAAGCUUUUAAAAACCCUGGAUUCUAAUAAAGCAGAAACUUCUAAAGUUCCAAUUGUUAAAAAGAAUUCUUAUGAUCUCACUGAAAUUUUGGGUAAAAAGAAAACAAAGAAAACAAUCCCCAAUAUCUAAGACCUUCAAAAAGAGAUUAAAGAAAUCAAACUUGAGAUUAAAGAAUUAAAAGAGAAACAAAAGAAUGAUUCUGAAACUAUUCAACUUCUCUUACAGAAACAAUUAGAAGAUAAUUCUGAUAAAGAAGUUGAAUCCGAUUGUGAUAAUGAACAAAACCUUGAAAACAUUGAAUCUGUGCCCAAUGAUUUUCUGUUUGUUUUAAAACAAAUCACCACCAGAAAAUACUUGUGCAAAAUCACUUUAAAUUUUUCUAAAGAUUUUGAAAUUGACACCAUUGCCCUCUUUGACACUGGUGUCGAUUUAAAUUGCAUUAAAGAAGAUAUCGUCCCUAUAAAAUUUCAUCAAAAGACAAAGGAAAGACUUUCUGCCGCCAAUAAUUCAAAACUAAAAAUUAAAUCAAAAGUUGAUGCCUAAUUACAUAAUAAUGGUUUUGAAUUCAGAACUUCCUUUCUUCUUACAAAUGACAUACACUAUACUGUCAUUUUAGGAACUCCAUUUAUAAAUCUCACUACCCCAUAUACUGUCAAUUAUGAUAGUAUAUCUUUUAAAGCAAAAAACAAGAAACUUGUUUUCCCUUUUAUUGAGAAACCAAAAACAAGAAACUUAAAUAUUGCUAAAGCUUGUUCUGUUUACCAGAACCAAAUCAAUGCCAUACUUAAAUCUAAACAAAAUAACUUGUUUUGUUAAUUCAAGUUAUUGACUCUUUAAAAGGAUAAGAAAUGUUGAAUUCCACAUUUGUAUCAGAGCCACACAUUUGAUUUUGACUCUUGAACAAGCUUUUGGCUAGUUUUCGAAACCUGAAAAGGUUUGAAAAUAGGUUCCCUAAGCUUUUUGUCAGAAUCCGAUUUUGUGCUAAUAGGAGAAACAGCUAUGGUUGACCUUUGAAAUUGGCUUUCUAUCCUAGUCAAUUGUUUUCCUAUCGUAUUUAAGUUAGUAUUACAGAAAUUAUUCUGUUGAAUAAUACUACUUAAAUUUGCAUUGGAAUCAUUUGGUUUAGGGAUUUUAUAAGGUGAGCCUCUAAUUUGGACAGGAGGUUCACCGUGAUCAACAGUUAAACUCCUAAGAGGUGGAUGCUCAGAUUUUAUGGUUUUAUUACUAUCAGAAAGUUUCCACUCAGGAAUUUUCUUCCUAAUAGUAAUAGAGUUUGACUCUUUAAAAGGAUAAGAAAUGUUGUUAUUCGAAGAAUGUAUCUCAAACCAGUCAAAAAACAAUAUAUGAAUUUUAUGUGAAUUUACAAAUUCAUAAUAUGUCUCUUGAAUUUCUUUUCUUUAAUUUAGAAAAUGUUUAAAAAACCAAAGUCUUUUUUCUUUAUUACUGUCUGAAUAAAAAUUAUUGUGGAGAAGAGUUUUAUCCAGUUCAAAAUCUUUUUCAAUGACAUUUAUAGCAUUUUCUAUGACUGCAGAAAACGUAGAAGAAGUUGGAGGAGAAGGUUCCUUCUCUUCUUGUCUUUGUUCAUGUUGACUGCUAGUGUAGAUUGGGUAAGGAACACUAGUGGUGUAAUCAACAGAAUGUAUAAAGGAACUAGUUAUAUCCGAAGUGGAAAACCUAGGUUGACUUUGUACUUGUUGAAAAAGGAGAUUUAUUACGGAAGGGACUUUUAUAAAUUUUCUUUCUAGUGAAGGAAUGCUUGAGCAAGACUCUUUAUCGGAAAAUCUAGUUGAAGCAGAUCUCCUGAAGGACAGUUUUACUUUACCAUAUGAAUACUGAGUCACCUUUUGCAACUUUGUAUUUGGCUCAAGUUGUUUCGGAAUCACUGGUGUAGUGGCUCCUUCAAGAACCCAUUCAUCGGGAAGAUUGACAUCUUUCCAUUGAAUAGGUUUUGAAAUAACAGUGUUGUCUUUAGACAGGUCAGUUUGCAAGAGGAGAGUCUCAUCUCUUUUUUACUGGAAUUUAUGUUGCGUACUAAACGCAGAAAUCAUGGCUUUGUAAGAAAUUUUAUAAAUUAAGGCUACAGGAAUAGAUCCCUCAAUCAUAUCAUAAUUGUGGGUCUUGAUUUGUAAAAUCAUACUUUUUAAAAUAUUUUUGUCUUUUAAAGAGAUUGUUAUGUUUAGAUAACAAUUAAAUGAAAUUGGUCCUUUACACAGACUUGAUUCUAUACUACUUAGUAAGGAAUCAUCAAAAGAGAUGAAUCGACCAUCUUUUAGUACGGCGAGAAUAGAAGUAUUAAGGCCUUCUUUAGUGAGGGGUUUUAUGCCAACUUGUAUUAAGCCGAUGUGAACAUAAUUAAAAUUUUUAUCUCUUAAUUUCUUUAAAGAUUGUUCUGAAAACAAGUGAAUUGUUUCAAAAGGGUUUGAAAGGGUUAUGUCACGUUCUUCAGUCUUUAUAACAUAAUCAUUCUUUAAAAAAUCAAGCUUUUUUGUUUUAUAAAUCAUUUCUUUAUUCACUUUUGGUAGUUCCCAAUUAUCAAUUGCUUUAUUGAAGUCUUCGAUUACAAAUUCUUCCGAAUUAACAACAUUCUUUUUAACCAGAUCUGAGUCUUCAAUGACAGGAGAUAGUGAACCUCUACAGGUUGAUGAGUUAAAUGACUCUGAAUCUGUUUCUUCUAGUGAUUCCGACACCAGUAAUUCAUAUUCCUAUUUAAAGAAAAUCAAUGUUUUAACCAAAGAACAAGAGACUUUUCUUGAGCUUGUUAAACAUAUUUCUGAUCCAAAUCUUCAAAAGGAAUACCUUGAUAAACUUUUAAAAACCCUGGAUUCUAAUAAAGCAGAAACUUCUAAAGUUCCAAUUGUUAAAAAGAAUUCUUAUGAUCUCACUGAAAUUUUGGGUAAAAAGAAAACAAAGAAAACAAUCCCCAAUAUCCAAGACCUUCAAAAAGAGAUUAAAGAAAUCAAACUUGAGAUUAAAGAAUUAAAAGAGAAACAAAAGAAUGAUUCUGAAACUAUUCAACUUCUCUUACAGAAACAAUUAGAAGAUAAUUCUGAUAAAGAAGUUGAAUCCGAUGGUGAUAAUGAACAAAACCUUAAAAACAUUGAAUCUGUGCCCAAUGAUUUUCUGUUUGGUUUAAAACAAAUCACCACAAGAAAAUACUUGGUUAAAAUCACUUUAAAUUUUUCUAAAGAUUUUGAAAUUGACACCAUUGCCCUCUUUGACACUGGUGCCAAUUUAAAUUGCAUUAAAGAAGAUAUCGUCCCUAUAAAAUUUCAUCAAAAGACAAAGGAAAGACUUUCUGCCACCAAUAAUUCAAAACUAAAAAUUAAAUCAAAAGUUGAUGCCUCAGUACAUAACAAUGGUUUUGAAUUCAGAACUUCCUUUCUUCUUACAAAUGACAUACACCAUACUGUCAUUUUAGGAACUCUGUUUAUAAAUCUCAUUACCCCAUAUACUGUCAAUUAUGAUAGUAUAUCUUUUAAAGCAAAAAAUAAGAAACUUGUUUUCCCUUUUAUUGAGAAACCAAAAACAAGAAACUUAAAUAUUGUUAAAGCUUGUUCUGUUUACCAGAACCAAAUCAAUGCCAUACUUAAAUCUAAACAAAAUAACUUGCUUUGUUUAAAAAAGGAUUUAAGUUUACAAAGAAUUGAAAACCAAUUACAAAAUGAUUUUGUUAAGAGAAAAAUCUCUAAUUUUAAAGAUCUCAUUGAAAAAGAAAUUUGUGCUGAUUUACCAUCUGCUUUUUGGAACAGAAAACAACAUUUGGUAGAUUUGCUCUAUGAAAAUUCUUUUGAUGAAAAGCAAAUACCCAUUAAAGCCCGUCCAAUCCAAAUGAACAUGGAACUGGAACAACACUGUAAAAAUGAGAUAAAAGACUUGGAAACUAAAGGACUCAUUGUAAAAUCUAGCUAAAUUCUAUUUGUUUUAAAACAAAUCACCACCAGAAAAAUACUUGAUUAUUUUCUAUCCCUGAUUUUAAUGAAAGUAAAUAUAUAUGUAUAUAUAUAUAAAGCUGGGAUUAGAGGAGGUGAUGUAGCAUCACUAUUUCUCAUUUUCUUGUAUUCUUGGUAGGGUCGUUAGGGUGCACUAAAUUUAAAACCUUACUACUAGUAUAAAUAAUUAGUACAUAACAAGUAAGGAUCGAUCCCACAGAGACUACGCUAGUUAUAUUUAUUAUCAACUCUAAAGCAAGACUUAAAAUAAAAUAAUAAUAUAAAUAAUUAAUAUAAAUUAAUCUAACUAAAGAAAAUGCCAAUUAAAAAGGGGAGUUUUUGAAUUUUUAACUAAAUAGCAAGAAAUAAAGAAAUUAAACUAUGAAAACAAAAAUUUAAUAAAAACACUAAUUAAAGGAGAAAGAAAUAAUAAUGAUGAAAAUUUUGGUUAAAGGAUAAUUCGCCACCACCCAACAUGUACAUAAUAUAUCAAUUCUAUCAUCAAUUUAUAUCAAAACUAUCAACCGUAGACAACAACAAGCUCUGUUAGUCUCAAUCUUUUCUUAGUGUGUUGCUAAGCAAAACAAGCUCUUAACUUAAUCUCUAACCAUUAAAUAAUUUAAAACAAGCUCUUUAAAUUUAAGAUAAUAGAAGCAUUAAGUAGAGAAAGAUAUUAGAUUGAUCUAGGCAAUAAACACACAAGCUCGGAUUAUUUAACUUAGGUUAUGUUCUCCAAUUGAAAUCACUGAUUCCAACCUGCUACUUAUGAUUAAAAUCUUAAGACAAUUAUGGAUCAAGAAUUUUAAUCUAACAAUAGAAUUUAUUGAAGUCCUAUCUAAUUGACCACUCGAACAAGAUGAGAAUAAAAUCAUAAACAUUAAUUAUAGAAGAACAUAAACAAUUUCAAUUAAAUAAAUUGAAUGAUAGAAAUUAAAAAUUAAUCAUAUGACAUGUUUGGGGUUUUAAAUUCACCCUCAACCAAAUAGAAAAUCUAGCCUAAAAUAAUUAAAUUGGGAAUAAGAGAAUUGAUAAAACCAAUCAUGGAGAUUAAUUCAAGCGGCUGCCUUUUUCUUCAAUUCCUUUCGACUGCUGAUUUUUUUUCUUCUCCUUUGCGGCUGCAAAUUUUUCAGUUUCUCUUGCUGCCGAUUCUCUCUUAAUUCUACUGCAAGUCUUGCUUUUAUUCUGUGCCCUAAAUCAUCACAUGGAAAGGAUUAAAAACAAAAGCCAAGCCGCCACUUUUCUUUGGAUUCACGUGCAAGGCCAUUUUCCCUUUUUGUUUCACUUUGCUUUCCAUAAUCUAAUGCCAUACACGUGACUUAUUUAAUUAAUAAGCCAAUAACAAUUUGGCCAAAGCCCAUCACAAGAAUGUGUUUGCCUUAUUAAUUAAAUUAUUUCUAAUGCUAAUUCUUCUCAUCUUCACGUGAACUUCAAUUAGGCCUUGGCUUCUUUGAUUUUCUUCCAUUUUAACUCCCAUUACUUUCCUUAAAUUUCUAAUUAGUUUCUUCUUUAAGCUCUCCUUGAAUAUUCUGAUUUAAUUCCUCUUUAUUCCCAAAAUGCACCUAAAAUAACAAAAUAUAAAAAUUAAGAUAAAAUUAACAUAAUAAAAUAUAAUUUACUAAAUUAAAAAUUAACUAAAAUAACUAGAAUAUUUAAGACCAAAACAAGAAAAAGAUGGAGAAAUUAAUAGCAAAAUAUAUGAAAAAUAUGCACUUAUCAAUUCUCUAUUAUCUAAUAAAUUGGUUGAGAUUUUAAAAAAUAAGUACAUUAUAAAAUAUUAAAAAUAAAAAAUAAUUAUUAAGUUACAAAAGAUUACAUGUCUCUUCCUCUUUCUAUUUAAAUUCAAUAAUAUGUAACUAUUAAUAAUAAUUAAUUAUAAGUCUUGAAACAUUCAAUUAUUUUAUUAUGCUAACAAUUAAACUUUAGUGGCGUAAAUACAUCAAUUAAUUAAUAUAGGAAGGAAGGUUCCUUCAUCUUCCCUCAACAAUGCCAUUAUGAUAUAAUUUUAAUGUCAUAAUCCCAUAUUUAAUUAUGCAAUCUUUUGUUUAGUCCUUUUUGGCUUCUUCAAAUUCUAUAAAUAUUAAGUAGUUAAGAUUUGUGGCAUCAUUAUUUCUCAUCUUUUUAUAUUCUCUAUUAUCUAAUAGAUUGGUUGAGAUAAAAAAAUAAUUACAUUACAAAACAUUAAAAAUAGAAAAUAAUUAUUAAAUUAGAAAAUAUUACAUGUCUCUUCCUCUUUCUAUUUAAAUUCAACAAUAUGUAAACAUUAAUAAUAAUUAAUUAUAACUUUUGAAACAUUCAUUUAUUUUAUUAAGCCAACAACUAAAUUUUAGUGGUUUAAAAUACAUCAACUAAUUAAUAUAGGAAUGAAGGUUCCUUCAUCUUCUCUCACUAAUGCCACUAGAGCCUAAUUUUAAUGUCAUAAUCUCAUAUUUAAUUAUGCAACAUUUUGUUUAGUGUCUUUUGAUUUCUUCAAACUCUAUAAAUAUGAAGUAUUUAAGAUUUGUUAUGUUUGAGUUUUAUUAUUAUUUAACCAACAUUCUCUUUAGAAAUGUUCUUGGGAGUGGUCUUUUAGUGGAAAUAAGGGUCCGAAUACUUCUAGUGAGAGAAGUUUUCUGUUUGUAGAGAUUUAUUAUGUGUUUCAUGGAGUACUCUUGUUUUUCUUCAUGAGUUGUACAAUGAUAAAGAUAGUUGGAUGAUAAGAGUUAGGUUUUGUAGGAUGUUGGAGUCUGUUAAUACCAAGAAAAAUAGAGAAUUGAUUAGUGUGAACAUAAUUUUUAUUGAUGAAAAUAUUGUGUACACUUAACUAUACACAUUAAUAUAUAUUUUUAAAGUUAACAAAAAAAUAAUUAACUUUCAUAAAUAACAUUAGUUUUAUAAGGCUGCGUCAUCUUUAAAAAAAAUUAAUUCAUAUUUUUUAUCAAUUUCAUAAAGUGCAAAGUAAAAAAAAAAAUGAUACUAAAUUUUUUUCUUUUGUUAAAGCCGUGCGCAAAGUGCGGUUCUAUUUCUUAGUUAUUUAUAAAUAGAAGAAUAAAUUGAUGAGAAUAUGAAAAUUUGAGAAGAGAAAAGAGUUAAUUAAGUAAUUUUUUCAAAAAUUAUUUAGAUAAUAAAAUUCUUAAUUAAAAAAGAGUGCAAAGAAAAAAUUAGUAAAUUUAAGUAACACCACUCAUUAUAUCCAUAUAUUGCUAUUAAAAAAUACUGUAGAAGAUAUUUAAAAGUUUAAGAGGAUUAAGCGAGAAUCUUAAUUCUUAAAAAACCAAUUAUUUUCAAUCUUUAAAAUAUAAAACUUAUGAUGUCGACCAGAAGUCAGAAGUCCAUAAAUUACGUAGGGUUGUUCGCGGAUCAAAUUUUACGGAUUAGACAUCAAUUCAUAUCCGAUCUACGAUUUUGUGAAUUAUAAAUUUUCAAUCAAAUCCAAUCUACAGAUUAGUGAAAUUCAAUCCAAAUCCAAUCCAUACGUCUGCGGAUCGAAUGUAGAUUUAACUAAAUCCAUAUCCAAUCCACCAUUUUACGGAUUGGUUUGCAAAUUGAAAAUUUUUAAUUCUAUUCAAUUCACGAACUAACUAAAUAAAAAAAUUUAAUACAAAAAUAAAUUUACUACCAAUCAAAUUUAAAAUUAAAUAAGAUUUCAAUAAAUUAAUUGUUUAAAUAAAGAUAGAAAAUACUUUAAAGUGUCAAAAUAUAACACAGUAAAAAACAAUCUCAUUUGUUAGAUCAGUACAUGAAAUUAACUGUUUAAGAAUUUAUUUUGUUUAUUUAAUUAUUUUUUAUUUUAUAUAUUAUCGGAUAAGAUAUAAUAUAUUUUAACUUAUUUACUGGUAAAUAUUAAUACCAUAUUUAUAAGUUCUAUUUUUAACUUAUAAAUAUAUUUUAUAACUAUAUUUUAACUUAUUUAUUUACUGGUAAAUAUUAAUACCAUAUUUAUAAGUUCUAUUUUUAAUUAAAUAAAUACUUUUUAUUUUUUUGUAAAUUUACAGAUUUUUUUGAAUUUAUAGAAAUACAUUUAUAUUCAAUCCACCGAUUAUAGGUUAUUAAAUUUUUAAUCCAAUAAAAUCUACCUAUACACAGAUCAAAUUUAUACAUUAGAUAAAUUAAUUGGAUAGCUUUGAAUUCUGCACACCCGUAAAAUUAUGUACUAUUAGUGACAACCGCUUGAUAAAUGGCACACCUGUAAAAUUACGUACUAUUAGUAACAACCGCUUGAUAAAUGGCAACACAUAUGACGGAUGGCCUUAUCGCAGCGCAUAUAUCCUCUUAUGGGGAUUGCCACUUUCCCCCCUACAGUAAUUAAUAUAUACCAUUUACUCCCUUACUAUUUUUAUAAUGACCAAAACCCUCCUGACAGCAUAAAUUUAUAAUAUCACCCUUAUUUUCAACUAUUCUUUUAUUUAUAUUUAUUAUAAAUAAAAUAAAUCACAUGAAUAGAAAUUAAAUAAAAAAUUAAGCAUUAAAAACAAGAAAUAUAUGUUUUGAUAUGAGCAAAAAAAUUAAUAAUAAAUUUUUUUUGUUGGACUUAUUUAUUUUGUGAAAAUUUUCUUAUAAUAAAUAUAUAAAAAAAUUAUUAUAAAAUGAUAAAAAAAUUAUUAUAAGAAAACUUGAAUGACAAAUAAAAAUUUAAAUAAGAUAAAUAAUAAAAUAUUUUGCCUAUACUUUUCACAUUUAAUUUUAAAAUAUUACACCAUGUUUAUUAUAAGAAAAUAUUCACAAAAUAAAAAUUAUAAGAAAAAAUUUAUUAUUAAUUUUUUUACUUAUAUCAAAACAUAUAUUUUUUAUUUUUAAUACUUAUUUUUUUAUUUAGUUCUAUUUAUGUAAUUUAUAAUAAAUAUAAUAAAAGAGUAAUUAAAAAUAAAAAUAAUAUUAUCAGAAAAUUUUUUGACCAUUAUAAAAAUAUUAAAGAGAAAUAAUAUUCGUUAAUUACUGCAGGAACGUGUCAAUCUCCCUAUCUUCUUAUCAACAAUUCAAAGCGAUUCUCUCUCUUUCAAUCCGCUACUACCAAUUCUACAGCAAUAAAUUGCUACGUUGAUCAGUACCGUUCAAUUACAACGCACUGCCGAUUCUACUGCAAUAGAUUGCUACAUUGAUCGUUACUGUUCAAUAACAGCACACCACCUCCAGAUCACUACAGCCUACCUUUCUACCCACGCAUGGUAUCAUUUGCCCAUAAAUUUGACAGGCGGUUCUUAACGUAUACGAAAAAAAAUCGAUCAAAUCCCUUACAAAUCAUCGCGAAAAUCGGUAAAGAGUUGAGGGUUCGUUUACUUCGCACAUUUUUUUAAUCCUUUCAUUUUCCCUCUAAUUUCGCUCACUUUCCCUUGCUUUCUCUCUUUCCAAACAGCUUUUGUGAUCCCAAAUUUCCAUUAUCAAAUGGAGAUGAGGCUGGAAGAUUCGUCCUCGCAUCGCGUUCUUCUUCUCUACAUGGCUCGCGUCGCGCUCUCCGGUAGUGUACGGCCUCGUAAUUUUAUCAAGUCUCCUAUACCGAGUACGCGACGAAUAUGUAAAGUUGGGGCUUUUUAAGCCUCUCGUUGAUAAAUUGUCUUCUAUUUCUUUAAUCUUUAAUUUUAAUUUUUCCCCUUUUACUGUUUUCGAACCUGAAAUCUGAGGAAUUUCUGAGAAUUAUCGUCUUCACUUGUCGAUUUGUGUUAUGAACUGCCCAAAUUGGUGUUAGUGGUUAAAUUGACCUUACAAAGAGUUGAACCUUUGGUUUUCUGAAUGUUCUUGUUGAAUCUGAGUUUAUUAGGGUUUCAUUUGGUUGUUUAUAAUGCUUUUAUUGUGUAGUUGAAGUAAAUCUGUAGGUUUACAGAUUUAAAAUUUGGGGCUUCACUGUGCAAUUUGUGGUAGGGGUUACUUGGCGGUUUGUAGUUAUCUGUUCUUUGAUCUAGAUAGAAUUAUCCAAAACUUUAAUUUGACUAGGGGCGAUUUGAGAUUAGCGUUUUGGCGGGAAAAAUUGGAUGGCUGGAAGGAGGGAAUUAGGGUUCCCAAAGACCAGUGCUUUUAGCUUAAGAGAGCAAUUAGCUAGAACUACUCUUAGCAAUGUGAGAGCGCAAGGACACACGUAUGUGGAGCUUCGUGAAGAUGGCAAGCGGUUCAUAUUCUUUUGCACUUUGUGCCUUGCUCCCUGUUAUAGUGAUUUAGUGCUGUUCGAUCAUUUGAAGGGUAAUCUUCACACUGAGAGGUUAUCUGCCGCCAAGGUUACUCUCUUGGGGCCAAACCCAUGGCCUUUUAAUGAUGGUGUUCUCUUCUUUGACAAUUCUAACGAGAAAGAAAAGCAAACAACGGUAUCAAAUGAUAAAUUGGGCAGGUCGUUGGAUUAUCACAACAAUGAUAGUAAUCUUGCUAUUGUUAAAUAUGGAGAAGAUAUGAAAGUAAAUGGUAAUGAGCAUAGUGGGCUUGAUGAAGUUCAUUUUGAUUGUGAAAAUGGAACUCAAGUUAGGGAUAUUUAUUCGGAGAGUUGUGAUAAGGUGAUUCCAGGGGUGUUUCUUAAGGAUGAAAUUGUUGACUUGAGAGUGAGGUUCAUUGGUCUAGGUCAAAUUGCUGCAAGGAUGAUUCAGAAGGAUGAAGGCUCGAUCGAGAUUUCAAGAAUCUGGUGUGAAUGGUUGGGGAAGAAGGACCCAGAGGAUGAAGAUAUUGUCGAGAUUCCAGAUCAUGAUUUUGCUAUUGUCACUUUUGUUUAUAAUUAUGAUUUGGGUAGAAAGGGUCUGUUCGAUGAUGUGAAGUUAUUGCUUUCCUCAAGUCCUGCAGAAGAUUCUGAGAAUGGGGAGGGUACUGGUAGAAAAAGAAAGAAAUCUUUUUCUGACCCAGAGGAUGUUAGUGAGUCAUUGAGUAAGCAGUAUGAUUCAUGUGGGGAAGAUUCUUCAGCAUCCAAUAGCUCAACUUCAAGAUUGCUUUUGGACCGAUAUGGUGAUCAGCUUCUGCACGCGAGAUUUAUAUCUAGCAAGGCUGCUAGACGAGAAAUGAGACGACAGCAACGCAUAGCUGCAGAACGAAUGUGUGAUAUCUGUCAGCAGAAGAUACUCCCUGAUAAAGAUGUAGCUGCACUCCUGAACUUGAAGACUGGAAAUCUUGCCUGCAGCAGUAGAAAUUUGAAUGGGGUAAGGAUUUCCAAGCACCUUAGCUCGGAUCACUUGGUUAUGGUUUCUUUGCUUAUGUGUUUGGAGUGAUUUGUCUAUGUGUGUUCAGUCAUUAUCGUUUGUUAAUCUGUUUGAGUUUUGGAAUUUUGUGUUUACUGAUUUGAUUCAAAGCUAUAAAGUUCUCAAAUUUCUUUGCAUCCAUGGUCUUAAACUUGUAGGUAUUUCAUGUAUUUCACAUCUCCUGCCUCAUACAUUGGAUACUUUUGUGCGAGUUUGAAUUGAAGACUAACCAGCCUGUGACUCCAAAAGUGAAACGGAGGUCUAGAAGGAAAAAUGGAAGCAAGCGGGUUCAGGCAAGAAAGGAUGGAGAAUAUAUAUUUACAAAUCAAAUUUCUUCAUUGUUCUGCCCAGAGUGCCAGGGUACUGGCGUGAACAUUGAAGGGGAUGAGCUUGAGAAACCCACUAUCUCUCUCUCACAGGUUUGAUGUUUUGAAAAUUUUCCGUAUUUCUUGAAUUUUUUAUUAUUUUUGUGGUUUUCAUUGCCUUCUGUUAUACUUGAAUCGUAAAUUUCAUCAGUUGAUUGUCAUAAUUUUAAACUGGAUUUCAAUACAGUCUGGGCUCUGUAUGAUCUACUUUUCUAAAGUGAUAUUCAAGCAAAACUUAACAUUUUUCAGUAUGAACUGAAUGUAAUGUACAAAUUGUUUUCAUGUGCUUGGGUUUGCUGGACCCUUACAGAUAAGGGUUUCAUUUUCCUACAGAAGUAUUGGAAUAUUAUUUCAUAAAGACAAGUAGAAAUCAUGUAUGUUUUUUGUUUUUCAAAUAUAAGAUUAAAAUUUUCUCUAUUGUGUCAGAUGUUCAAAUAUAAGAUUAAAGUGAGUGAUGCACGUAAAGCUUGGAUGAAAAAUCCUGAAGCAUUGCAGAACUGCUCAACAGGUUUCUAUUUCCCUUCCCGAUCUGAAGAAAAAUUUCAGGUUUUAAAACUUCUUUCUAUUUUUUAUUUUUUGGCUCUUUUUCUUUCUUUAGUUUGUUGAAAUCAAUUUCUUCUUGCAAUUUUCAGGAAAAGGUGUCGCCUCUAAAAUUGCUUCAUUUCUACAGUGCUGAAGUGUAGUAUCCACUGACAAGCUUCCUUGGAUGAGCUUGCAAUCUACCUAGGUUUAGUUGUAAGCAAAAAGUUUGUGUGACCUGUUGUACUAUGGAUGGUAUUUAAGACAGAAAUGUGAUGCAUUUGGGGCGUUUUAACCUUCGUGGAUAGCUGUAUAUAUGUUGUCUAACAGAGGUGAAUAUAUCAGUGUACAUUGCUGACAUAUGUCUGCACUGUAAAUGUAGUGGUGGGUGAUAAUAGAGUGCUCUUGAAUAUUCAAUGGCUUGUCUCGAUUUAUUUGUUAUCGUUUCCUUUUUCCUUUCGGAGGACAAUUUUAUGGUGUGUUUACUUGAUGAAUGAAAAUUUUGAAAUCGAAAUUAAUGAUACUUUUAUUUGUAGAAUUAAACUUUAGAAUUAGAAUCGAAAUAGGGUCGGACUUACAAAUUUGAGUGUCGUUAUCAUAAUUUUGAUUCCUAAGGGGGUGGAAUUACCUAUAUUGCCCUCAUAAUCCUUAAAUUGUCAUUAAUAAAGUUUGGUUGUUUUUAUAUUUGGUCCCUAUAGAAUUUAUGAAAAUACCCAGAAUUUUUGUACUAUUUACAAAUAGAUCUUUUAUAAUGAUGAGGAUGGUGAGAUUAUUAUUAUUAUUAUUUUUUAAUGUCUUUAUUAUUAUUAAAAUUUAUUAAUUUUAUUGUUUUAGUUAAUAUGAUUGUCAUUAUUAUUACUCUUAGUUUUAUUAUUAUUUCAUUCUUAUUAUUGUAUUAUUAUAAUAGAUACAAAUAAAACUAAAUACAAUAAUUAAUAGAGGGCAUUUUGGUAACUUAAAACAAUUUAUUUCAAUUCUUAGAUAAAAUAAACACAUCAAUAGGAAUGCAGCUCAUUCUUAUUCCGAUCCUACAUUCAAAAUAAAUAAUUUACUCUUAAGAAUUAAUAAUAUUAUUAUAUUAUUAAUGUCUUGAAUGACAAAUAGGAAAUGUAUUACGUGGAGUUAGAAAUUAAUGCUGUGUUUAUUUGUUGGAAUAGGAGUGAGGAGUGUGGAUUCAUUUUACUCCAAUGUUUAUUUGCUCAAUUAAGGAGGAGAGUAAGGGUCUUAUUCAUUUUUAGAGUGAGGACUGAGAUUUUUACUCUCAAGAGGAAUCUCUUCUUUUUUUUACUAUUCCUUUAUUAAAAUUUAUAUUUAUUAAAUAAAAUAAUGUUAAUAAUAUUAUAUCUAUUUAAAAAUAUUAUUAUAUUCAUAAAGAAUCAAUAAUAUUAUUAUAUACCAUUUUUAUUUUAAAAUAUAAUAUUAUUAUAUUUUUUAAUUUUGAAUAGUAUUAUAAUUAUUAAAUAUUAAUAAUUAAUAAUAAUAAAUAUUUUAUUCUAAAAAAUUUUAAUUUUGUAGUAUAUUAUUAAUAAUAAUGUUUCAUUUGUUCUUCGCUUAUCAAUAAUUUUUAAUUUACAUAAUUAAAAUUAAAAUUAAUAAAAAUACGAUUUACAUAGUUAAGAAUAUUAAUAAUAAUUACUAAUUUUUAUGAUUAAAAUUAAUAAUAAAAUAAAAAGUUUAUUUUACGAAUAUAUUAUAAUUUGAAAUAAUUCAUUCCUAAUGUAUACACAGUAAACAUAUAAAUGAGAUUUUGAUUUUUAUUUCACACUUAUUCUAGUAUAAGUAAAUAACUUACUCUCACUUCCACUCCAUACUCUCAAUUUUAAGAUUUCACUACUCAGGAUUCUUAAUCAAAUCCAAUCCAAGAAGUAAAUGUUACCUAAAUUUUUUGUUGAUGUUUUGAUUUCUUUUUUUUAUUUGGCCCUUUAGCUACCAUCUUCAUAGUGUUGGCGGGGAAGCACCAAGCUUUCUGAUGGGAUUAUGUUGUCCUUCAAAUUAGUGUUCCUGUUAUAGCCCCUGUUUACAUCUUGUCAUUUCUCAAUGAAGUAUAUCUUAAUGAGUAAUAGAUACGCAUCUUUCGAGUUUUUAUCGGGACUUUUACUUGCCAAGUGAUGUGUUAUCGAUUAGUAGUUGUUACCUGGAAACUUGAAAUUAACGAUGCGUUACUUAAAAUGCAAAUUUUGUGGAUUAGCGUCAUUAGUCAUAAUGCAUACAGCUAACACUUUUCUUGGAUUAGCGUCAUUAGUCAUAAUGCAAAUUUUUGGAUUUGGAUUUUGCACUCACCCUUUACAGACCUUCAGAAUAUAAGAGGAUUCAGUAUGGUUUAUAUAUAUAUUGUGUAAUUGAUACGUAGAGCAAUUGGUCUGCUCCAGUCGUUGGGAACUGUUCGACACUAUGUGAAUGCACUCAACAGAAAAAUGGUACGGCUCUCUGUCUUGGAUUGCUUGCUAUUGGCGGCUGAACGUGUCAAAAUAGUGUAAUUGUUUCCUACCAUGACCAUCAGAUAAUCCAAAACUAGCUAACUUUCGAAGCAUGCAUGUGUAUUUACAUUGCCUGUUAGGCUGAGAAUUUGCCCUCAAACAUUGCGGCACGAACCAUAGUUAAUUUAGUGCGUAAACUAAUGUAUAUGUUGGGCAAUCAAACUUAUCAAAAUAGGCAUCUCAAGUCAACGGUUUUUCCUCAAUUUAGAUGCUACCCUCCACCUAACUAUUUUCAGAAGUAAACUCCCAUAUGGAUAUUGCAACUUUUAGCUUGCAACGUGUGACUACGUUGCCGAGUUUUACUUUGUAAAAGAAACGGCUAGCGAGCCGGCUCAUUGAAAUUCUGCAAGUAUACUCACAAUCAUAUACGCCGUCACCUUCAUCCAACAAAAAGUUAAACCUGUACCAAAAUCCCAAGUUGACGUAAUGACGAAACGGUUUUCAAAUAAUAAGUUAAUUGAGUAAUUUUGAAUAGUAUAAAAUUAGAGUUUUAGAACCCUUUAUAUAGUAAUUUUAAAUGUCACGAAUUUAUUAAAAUAAGUAAAUAUAAAAUAUUAUUUUAUAAUAAAAUUCUCCUAAUCAAAAUAAAAAAGGAAAACAAAUGACAUUAAAUUGAAAUUCUAGAAGAAACGAUACAAAUAUUACAAGAAUCAAGAAAAAUAGUAAAAAAUCUUAAAAUUGAAAAACGACUAAGAAAAAGCAAAAUUUUUUACUUGACCACAGGGCAAAACAAUGCAAUUGAUUCUGGUUUGGUCCGUCUUGUCACAAGUUUUGAAAUAGUAUAUUAUACGUAAAAAAUGGACAUUAGUUCCCCUCACUUAGAAAAGAACUCGUCCUCAAGUUAGGAUGAUACAACUCCUCGUCAUCUAAAUGAUAUGCGAGCAAAUCAGCCACGUUGAAAGUGUGAGAGAUAUUCCAAUUGUUGGCAGUUGAAUCACAUAAGCAUUACCAUUGAUCUUCUAUACUGUGCGAAAUGGACCGUACUUCUGCUUUCCUAACUUGGCACGAAAACUAAAGAAUUGACUAUGUCGUGUGUGUACCAUCACCAAAUCACCCUCCUAAAAUACUUUCUUAUGUCGAUGCUUGUCUGCCUCAGCCUUGUACUUAGCAUUGGUAACCUUCAAGUAAGCUCAAACUUCGGCAUGAAUCUGAAGAGCCUUUUUUGCCAGAUUAUUCGUUCCCUUGCUUCCUCCUGUCACCAUAGGCAUGAUAACCAUAUCACAAACAUAGUGUGGGGAAUAAGUGUAGACAAUCUCAAAAGGGGUCUUGCUAGUAGAUUGAUUGACCAUGCUGUUGUAAGCAAACUCAACCUAAGGUAAGGUGUUUUCCUAGUUUUGUUGCUUGUCAACACAAACACACCACAACAUAUUGCCCAAAGUGUGAUUGACCACCUUUGUUUGACCAUUGUAUGCAGAUGAAAAACACAAUUAAAUGGCAACUGUGUGCCAAACUUAUCUCAAAGAUGAUGCCAAAACUUACUGAUGAACUUCAUAUUUCUGUUAGAAGCGAUAGUCUUUGUAAUACCAUGCAAAUGCACCACCUCUCAAAAAAACAAAUACGUAACUGAAGCGGCAUCUUCAGUCUUCUUACAAGUAAUAAAAUGCGCCAUUUUCAAAAAUCUAUCCUCCACCACCAAUAUGGAAUCCCAACCUGUCCUUGCGCGCGACAAUUCUAACAAAAAAUCCAUGGACAAAUCUAACCAAAUAUUAUUUGGAACUAGUAAUGACAUGUUUAGGGAUGGCAAUGGUACCCGCUAGGGGUGGGCAAAAUACCUGACCCGACCUGAAAAAUUUCAGGUUCGGAUCUGAUCGAGUUGUAAAGGAAAUUCGAUCGGAUGAAAAUGGUGAAACCCGAUCGGGUUAUGAUCGGAUCGGGUUUUCGAUGACGAGAGUGAUGUGGUUAGGUGAAACCAGACACUCCGAAAUAUCUUACAAUGAACUAAGGGUAUAGACAACCCAAAAAGACACAGACUCUCCUUGGUCACUUAGUCUAAAGGCAGGGUUCCGUCUAUUGUCUUAGAACAAAGAAAAAAUGGCAGCCUGACUAGCUUUCUGAUGCACAAGAUCCUUUUUCAAGGCAAGUGCAGAGCAUACUUGCAAAAGAUAGACAUUGAACAAGGGUAAGAGUUCUAAACCUAGGAUCUUAGGAUUAAAGAAUAGAAACUAAGGUUUUAGUUUUCCAUAGGGUGGAAUAUUGAAACUUCAAAUGUUAUCUAAAACUUCCUCUGAUUUUUAUUCAAAAUAACUCUCCUUAUAUAAGGAUAAGGCGGAGAAAAGACAAAAGCUGGAUCGAGAUCAUUCUAGCUGGCAUACAAGCACACUGGCACACUUAUUUUACAAAAGUAGGUAGGGCUCACUGGUACAGUAGUGGUCGACAAAAGUAAAGUGCAUGAUUACAUAAGGACAAACAACUUUUAAAAACUAAAGCAUAAAGCACUUUAUUUUACAUUAUUACAAAGUGACAAAUCUCUUAAGAGAUAUUGACGCGUCUUCAGAUGAGGAGGAAUCUGUCUCAUCAGGGUCACGAUUAGGGUCUCUGUCUUUCUUGAAGAUUCUUUCUGGAUGAGAACAUCUUGGAACACAUGGCCAAGGGCAAUCUUGGGUUUUUAGUGAUAGAGGAGUUGGCUGAGGGUAAUGUUCUGGUUGGGUUGAAAAUGGCGGAUAUGGAGAAGAGGAUGAUCCACAGAGUUCAUAUGGUGAUGGUGAAGGGACUGGAGUGAAGUCUUCAUAAGGGUCUUGGGAAUCUUGAAAUAGAAAGUCAGUAUAAUUUGGCUUUUCUUCUUUUAUGAUGAUUCCACAGUUGGGAGGUUGGGAAUGUAAGGAUGGUGUAGGGAUCAUGAACAUUUCAUGUUUUGGUCUAAGAGAUGUGUGGAGGAUAUCCGGUUGGUCUGGAGGAAUAUGGUUGAGUUCCAUGAGGAAGUUCUUCAAGGAAGUUUUGAUGUGAGGAACUGUGGUCCAUUCAUAACUCUAAUUCUGGGUCCAAAAAGCAUUGGUAUGAGGCUGUUGAAAGUAUGGACGAUGAAUGAUAAAAACAGAAGUGAACUAUUUACCUUCUUGGUCUGGGAGUUUUGGAAGACGAUGUGUGUCAACAAUCUAUGGUAAUGGUGAAAACCAAUCUCUGGAUCAUUGAGCUUGGUGAGAAAGGGUAAGACUGGGAAAACCAUUUUUGUGGCAUACAGAACAGUAAGACACCACGUAUACCAAAGUUCAUCUUCGGUAAUAUCUAUGGGAGGUGUAAUUACUAAUCCUGUGAGGAAAAGAUGAUUAGGAUGAAAGUUAGGAAAAAACAUAGGUUCUUGACUCAUCGUGUAGAUGUUCAUAAAAAACCUAAAGAGGAAUUUUCUAGCGAAGUCUUGAAUCGAGUGAGCUAAUUGGAAAGUCAUGUUGAGUAGGAAAGACUUCUGGGUGAGAGCUGUUUUAGGGAGUGAACUAGCCAUGGCAAUGAUCGGGAAGGUAAUCUGAGAAGUGAUACAAAAGAACUAGGAAGGUUUUGGCUUUGGAGUUCUGGAUAGUAAGUCUGGGAUGAGGUUAUGAUCACCUUUAACCUUUUAUAUGCUGGACAUGGUAAUCAUAUCUUGAAAACCAUUCUUUAAGCCGAAGUAAGGUUUUUUCUAGAACAACCUUCUGUUUAAAGUUUAAGAUAUUGGGAAAAGCUGAAUUAUAUAGUCUGAUCAAUAAUCUAUGACCAAUCAAAUGGAAUUCAAAUUUCUUGAUACCAUUUUUCACGGCUAAGAUUUCUUUAUAGACUGUGUGAUAAUGCUUUCGUCCAUCAAGGAAUUGUCCACUUGCAUAAGCAAUAAAAUGUUCUUUUCUAUUGCAUUCUUCAAGGAGAAUGGCCCCCCAUGACUCAUCACUUGCGUCUGUUUAAAGGAUUCUUUUGCCGUCUAUAAUUAGCUUUAGAGGUGGCGGAUUUUGAGCAAUCUGCUUUAAUUGCUUUACAGCAUCUGAGUGGAUAUCAGACCAGGAUGGUGGAUUGUUUUUGAGAAGUGCAGACAACUUGCUUGUAUGGUGAUUGACAUGUGGCAGGAAAUCACAUAUGUAAUUGAUGAUUCCAAGAAACUGUUGGACUUGCUUUUUUGUAAAGUUACUUUCGGGAAAGUGGAGUAACUCUUGUGCAAUGUGGGGUCCAGGCUGAUAAUGGCCAUCUUGGAUUUUCAUGCCAAGAAAGUCAACAGAGGUUGUCGCAAUUGUACUUUUCUUGUCAGAGAUCAUGAUUCCAUGUUCUUGGUGAUUUGGAAAAACUGUUGGAGUAACUUGUGAUGCUCAUCAUGAGAACUUGAAAAAAAAAAAGCAAAUCAUCAAUGUAAACAAGGGUAUGGUGAAGGAUUGGCUGAAAAAUAGUGGUCAUGACCUUUUGGAAAAUGGAAGGGACAGUUUUAAUGCCAAACAGAAGGACUGUCCAUUGGUAAUGGGCAUUUGGAAUACAAAAAGCAAGUUUGUAUCAUUCUGAAGGGUGAAUGCCAAGUUGCCAAAAACCAGACUUCAAGUCGAAUUUUGAAAAGAUUCGAGCUUUUUUAAGGUGGAAAAAAAGGUUGUGUCUGUUGGGUAAUGGAAAUUUCUGAUCUUGGAGAAAAUUAUUGAGUGGCUGAUAGUCAAUGACUAAUCAUUUUUUGCCACGAAGAAUUUCAGACCUUUUUUCAACAUAGAAAGCUUGACAAGCCCAUUGAGAAUUUGUAGGCUCAAUGAGGCCUUGUUUUAGCAAUUGGGUACAUUCUUGUUGGGCCAAAAUAAGGUCUUGUGGGGUCAUUCCUGUAUGGGUAGCUUUGGUUGGGUUGCUGUCUUCAUUUAGCUUGAAAGGUAAGGAUAUGAAGAACUUUGGGUUUUUCCACAAUGGGUUUGGAUGGGUAAAAAGGCUAUGGUUUUCAGGGCAAAAUUUGAGGAUUUGAUCUAUAAUGACUUGGUAUGUGGGUGGUGAAUGGGCUGAAGAAUAAAUCUUUAGGGUGUUGGUGAAGGGUUUAAUCAUGGAUUUGUAACGAAGACCAGAGGAAGUAAUCUGGACAUUUUUUACCUGAUGUAGGAUGUCAAAACCUACAAGGACAUCUUUGUUUGGCAAGGCUGAACCAAUUAGUCUUAUCCAAACAACACAAUUAGGAAAUAAUUGAAUUCCUAUUGGAUGUUUAGUAAUUAAUUUAGUUGUAAAGAUCUUUCCAUCAACUACUUUGAAGUGUUCUUCCUAAGUUUUCCAAUACUCAGUAGGAAGAAUAGCAGGAUUAAGCAUGCUUCGCUAAGCACCAGUAUCGAGAAAACCAACGGCUGUGAUGGGUUUAUGAUAUUUGGAAUGGAUAAUUUGGAUUUUGACAGAAGGUAUGGGUAUGGUAUGGUCAUGGAUUAGGAUGGAGGAAGGUUGGACUGUGCAGACGGGUUCAAAAUCAGAACUGUCUGAAUCACUGGAUUCAGCUAGUAAGGCAAAGACUGUAUCAUCAUUUGGUUCUUCUUGUUCUGAAAACAAGUGUUCAACUUGUUCUAUGGUUGGGGAAAAUUUUGUAGUGGAUUCCAGGUGUUGGAUAAGCUUGACUGCCUUCUGAGGUUUGACAGGACAGUCUUUGGCAAAAUGACCUUUCUUUUUGCAAAUGAAACAUCUGCUCUUCUUUCUGUUAGGAAAAUCUUUGGAGUGGGAUUGCUUUUUCCUAAAAAAGCGAAAUCGUUGAGUACGCCGUUUCCUGGAUGGAAAUGGGAAUCUGGAUUUCUUGAAAUGAGACUUUUUCUUUGAUGAACAGUCACAUCUUUUUGGAUCUUUGCACUUGAUAGCCAAGUAAGGCUUUUUGCAAGCAGAUCUGAAAGGUUCUUUGUCUUUGAUGAGAUCCUAGAAAAUUUUCUUUUGUGCACACAAUUUGUCGAGGCAUCCCAUAACAAUCUGAAAUAAUUUUUCCAAUGAUAAUGUGUCAAUGUUGAGUUUGUGAGCAGCUAACUGAUGCUGGAUCUCUAGCUAUAAUUCUUCUGGAAGAGAAGCCGGAAAUACAUGUCUUUUGUGUUGAGGGAACAACAUUUCACGUUGAGAUAAUCCCGUCUUGCAACUUCAAAAGUAGCACUUGGUUCUCCAAUAAAUUGAUCAUGGAAAAGGGCUAAAGCCUGAGAAACAUCAGGAAUUUGAAUGAACUGAAGUUGUCUAUACUGUCCAAGACUGUCAAACCAAUCUCGAAGAGAACCCGUAAAUCGAGUACUGAAUUCUCGUAGAACAGAUUGGGUUGUGGCAUCUGGAGCUAACAUUUGGACAUCGAUCUAAGUAAACAACUCUUGUAGUCUUUCUCUCCACUUUGUGGUAGGGAUAUCAUCAAAAGUAAACCAUGGAACAUUUGAAGGUUUGGAGACUUUUGGUGGAGGUGGAACUGUUAACCAGUUUCGUGAUUUUCUUCAUUGGUGUCAACAGGAUCAGUUCUUGGGCUAGUGUCAGUGGUACCAGACAGUUCAGUAGGUUCUGCCAUGAGGAGUUUGGAAAUAUCAACUAGAUUUAAAUCAGAAGUGUCUGAGUCAGACAAAUCAGAUGACUCAAUGGACGAUGAAUCUGUGUGUGAAGGGAAACUUUCAGUAGAAGAAUCUAGAGAUGGAGAAUGAGAAACUUGAUGAGCAGAAUAUUGGUACAUGGGCUGUUUUUCUAAGGAAACAGAGGUUUGGAUUGGCGGUGGUUGGGUAGAUUCAUGUAAAGAAGUUGGUGAUGGAGAGGGUGAUGGUUCAAAUCUGGAUGUUUGUGGAUUUUAUUGAGGAAUGGGUUUUUGAACUGGGACUAGUUUUGGGGUUUUCUUUGGUUUUGGCUGAGGUCGUGGAUGUGGAGGAAACAAAGUGUGGGUCAUACCAAAAAUUCUAGAAGGUUCAUAUGUUUGGGAAGAAGUUGAUGGCAAGAAAGGAUGGUAGGUAGGAUUAAUUACUGGUAAUGGAGCAGAACUUGUAAAAAGGGUAGGCUGGACCUUUUCUAAAUCAAUCCUGGCAAUUUCAGCUUUCAAAGCUCUUAUCUUAGCUUCUUUUUUAUCAAAAUCAGGACUAUAGACUCGUUGAGCAAGCAUAGUCCGAAGUUUAGAGUCAAGUUGAGUAACUCUGUUAUGAAGAUUUUGAUAGAUCUGAUUUAACUUAUCUGAGAUGGUAUAAACCUUUUUCUCAACCUAGUUGGUUUUGUGUGUAAUGUUGUCUACCUUAUGAUGCAAGGUAGUGAUUGUUUGGUUUUGUGCAACAGCAUUUUGAGUUUUCUAGUUUAAGACUGCUUCAAAAGAACGAGGUUCUUCUAAAUGACCAAAAGGGGUUACUGCAGAUGGGACAAAUGGUUCAGAGAUGAAACUCUUUUGUUGGUCAAUUUUUUUUUCCAAAGGCGGGAACUGGGCUUGGUAUUCUGUAGAUGUUGAUGGGGAAAACAUCAUCUAGGACUGUAUGUUAGGAGUGGGAUUAGCAUGGAUGGUCAUCUAUCUCAGAAUCAUCUGUUGACUAUGCGAGGAUGAACGCUAUAUGAUCAUCAUAUUCUGUCUGUUCAGAGAAAUUGGACUCAACUUCAUCAUGUUUAGAGAGCAGUGAAGAUUUUUCCAGGUGUUGAAUGAGACGAACAGCUUUAGCAGACUUGUUUGGACAAUUUCGGGCAAAGCGACCGCAUUUUUCACAAAUGAAACAACGAUUAUGCUUCUUUUUUUUUUUUUAACUGGGAUUGAUCCUUCUUCUUGAAGUAUAUGUAAGGUUUUUUUGCCUCUUUUGGAGGAUCGGUGAGGGUGCUUUUUGAAAUGACCUUUCUUCUUGGUUAGACAAGUGCAUUUUUUGUCAUCUUUGCACUGGAUUUUGAGGUAUGGUUUUUGCAGGCUGAGGAAAAGGGUUGUUUAUUUUCAAUGAGGUCUUUGAAGAAGUCUUUUUGUUCGCACAAUCUGUCAAGACAUAACAUAGUCAACUGGAAAAUUUUUCCAAGAGAAAUGUUGGCUUUUUCCAUAUUGAAAGCUGUGAGUUGUCUCUGAAGUUCUGGCUGAAGUUCUGGAGGAAGUGAAGCAAUGAAAACAUGCUUUAAAGUUGGAUCAUUAAAUCCAUUUAACUUGUAGUAGAGCAUGCUCAUUCUCUUGUAAUGUAUCUCCAAAUGGUUGUGCUUGAGAGAGCAACAUUUCAUUUGAUGAAAUUCUUUUCUGGAGGCUUCAUUUGCUGCAGCUGGUUCUCCAAUGAACUGUUCGUAAAUGACUGUAAGGGUUGUUGCGACUGUGGUUUGAAUUAAUUGAAGUUGUCUGUAUUCUCCCAGACUUUCAAACCAUUCUCGUAAAGAACCAGUGAAUCUGGAACAAAAUUCUCUGAGAAUUGAUUGAGACUGUGCAUUUGGGCGCGUCAUUUGGACAUCAACCCAAGUAGCAAAUUCUUGGUGCCUAGCUGGCCAUUUGUGGCGAGGAAUGUCAUCAAAAGUGAACCACUAUGUCAAAGAUGGUUUAGAGGAAGUUUCAGGUGCUGGUGGAUUUGGGGGAAUUGGUUUAAUUUGUGAACUGCCUUGAUCUGCAUUUUCAUCAUCAGAUUCAUCUACAACCGGUGUAGAUGUGCUUGGUUCUUCCGUCUUUACUGAUGGUUGAACCAUGAGUAAGCCAGAGAUAUCUGCAUCUUGAGACUUUGAGUCUGAGGAAGAUUGCUCUUGAGAACUAGAACUACAAUCGGAGGAUGAGUCUAAAUCUGGAUCACUACCUUAUAACCCAACACUUGGGUAAAAGUAUUGGUGUACAGGAGCUUUGUCUUUCCUUGGUUCAGGAGUUGCCUUUGGAGAGUCUUCAUGUAUUGGAGAGGUUUCUUUUGGUUUUGGUUAUGAAAUUUUGACUUUCGUGACUAGCUUUUUGGAUGCUGAUGGUGGUGUUGGAUCUCUGUAAAGGAGAUGAGAAAUACCAAAGAGCUUGUUAUAGUCCAUUGGCGGUCUGGAAGGGUUAUAGAAAGUUUGAUAUGUGUCAAAUAGAGGGGCAGGAAUUGGUAAAGAUUGAGUUUUGGUGAAAAGGGAUGGUUGUUCUUUGUCUGCAUCUAUUCUGGCUAGAUCAGCUUUUAGUUUUCUAAUCUCUGCUUCUUUUUUGUUGAAUUCUGGACCUUAUAUACGAUUGUUAAUCAUCGUUCUGAGAUCAACAUCAAGUUCAGAGAUUAUGUUCUACAAAUUCUGAUAGAUCUGUUCUAACUGAGAACUAAGUGACUCCACCUUUGUUUCAGUUUUUGUCACCUGGGUUGCAACUUUGUCGAUUUUUCUCCCAAGAUUAUGAAGUGCUUGGUUUUUGCCAAUUUAAGACUGCUUCAUAUUGCUUUGGACCUUCUGGUUGACCAGAAGAUGUGAUGGGUGACUGCACAAAAGGCUGAGAAACAACUUUGGUCUGUGGAUCUGUUUGUUUUUCAAGUAGGGGAAAUGAUUCUUGGUAGGAUUGACUGGAGGAGGAAAACAUCAGGCAUGACCUGAGCUUUGGUGGUGAAGGAGUGGGUUCUUGUGGAAUGGCCUUAGUGUUUUCUUUUUCUAUCCAUUUGAGAGCCUUUUUGUAGAUUGGUAUAGGCUGAUUUGAACUUGGAUCAUCUAGUGGUUCCGGAGAAUAUGAUCUGCAAGGAGUCUUUGGAUGGGAAGGUUUCUUCUUUCUCCUUCUUCUUCUCCUCAUGAUUUCAAAGUCUUCAUCAUCGUCAUAUGGAUCUUCGAGGCAAGGGCAAUCAGGAUUGCACAUAUGGGCUUCUCCUACUUGGAGGGUUGUUCCAAUGUUUCCAUUUGUAUUUUUAGGAUCUUGGGUUUCUUUUAGCUUAUUUAAACUCAGCAACCUUGCUAUGUAAUAAAAAAUUAGAGAUGAAUGUUAUUUGAAUUUGAAAGAUUAUUCUUUCUUUAGUUCUUUUGAGAACUAGUAAACUUAUCAAGAAUUUGUAUUCUUGUGGCGUUCCAAAUUUAGACUUAUCACUCACCUUCUCAUCUAUUUCUUGAGUCUGGCGUCAAUAUCAUUCUCUAUACCUUUGGUUCAUGUUUUCUUAAGCAUUGGGUCAAGGUUUUGUUUGUCUUAAAUUUGUUUAGAACUUUCUUGGGAAGUUGAAACUACAAAUUAAGUGUGGGUUUGAAAGUUUCAUUGUGGGAUUUGCAUCACCAUCAUUGAUGGUAGACUUACCUAACACAUUGAUAAACUUCAAACAAAACAAAUAAAUGAAGUUGAAUAAACAAAGUAGUCGUUGGAAUUCCAAAGCCUGAACAAGCUGUAACAAAUUGGUCAUAAUUUCUUCUAGAGAACUCCAAAUCUAGCUCUGUAAAAUGUAUUGGAAAGUUAACUUAAUUAUCUUUCCAACGAUAUAUAGCUUAUACAUUAGUUCUGGCUCAAUUAAUACCAAUUUUAUUCCAAAUAUGUCCUUUCUGCAUUGGAUCCAAAUUGUGUAUUGGGCUACCCAAUAGCUCGAAUAAUGCCAACAAUGUCUUUUCUUCUCUCCAAGCCCAAUUCAUGAUGUCUUGCAUCUUUAAUUGCAAUUUCAGUCCACAUUUUCUCAAUUAAUCCAUUUAAAGCAGUUUGCAUCUUUUUGGCUCUAGCUCUUAUAAUUGGGCCUCUAUGAAUGUGCAAAGGAUCACUUGAAGCUUUAAUGGUAUUCCCUUGAUGGUUCUCAUCAUUGCCCCUCUCCUCAAAAGGAUUCGUCCUCGAAUUUUCACCUACAUCGAAAGGAGAAAGAUUAGAAACAUUAAAAGUAUCACUCACAUUAUACUCACCAGGAAGAUCCAAUUUGUAGGCAUUGUCAUUGAUCUGUGCAAUCACUUGAAAUGGGCCAUCUCCCCUUGGAAGCAACUUGGAACACCUUUGUACUGGGAACCUCUCCUUUCUCAUAUGCAGCCAAACCCAAUCUCUGGGUUGAAAAACCACUUGCUUACGUCCUUUGUUGGCUAGCAUAUUAUUUAGUUCUCUUUUCUCUGUGUUGUCCCGUUCUCUCAUGCAAUUGCUUGACAAAUUCAGCUUUCUUUUUACCAUCCAUACUGCUCAUCAAUAGGUAAAGGUAAUAAUCUCAAAUGGUGAAAAUUUAGUAGCUGAAUGGAUAGUUCUAUUGUAAGCAAAUUCAACAUAUGGCAAACAUUCUUCACAAGUUUUCAAGCUCUUUUGAAUAAUGGCAUGUAACAAAGUAGACAGAGUUCUAUUUACAACCUCAGUUUGUCCAUCAGCUUGUGGAUGACAAGUAGUAGAAAAUAAAAGUUUAGUACCCAACUUACCCCACAAAGUUUUCCAAAAGUGGCUCAAGAACUUAGCAUCUCGAACUGAAACUAUGCUCCUUGGUACUCCAUGCAAUCUGACUAUUUCCUUGAAAAACAAAUUAGCUAUGUUUGUUGCAUCAUCAGUUUUGUGACAUGGAAUUAAAUUUGCCAUCUUUGAAAUUCUAUCAACAACAACAAAAAUAGAAUCCUUUCCCAUUUUUUACCUAGGUAAAUCCAAAACAAAGUCCAUAGAAAUAUCAACCCAAGGUUCACUAGGUAUGGGCAGAGGGUUAUACAAUCCAUGGGGUAAAACUCUAGACUUAGCUUGUUUACAAGUGAUACACUUCUCACAUAUUCUUUUAACAUUACGUUUCAUAUGUGGCUAAAAGAAAUGUUUUUUAAAACAUCUAAAGUCUUUGCAAUGCCAAAAUGUCUCAUUAAACCUCCCCCAUGAGCUUCAUGAUGAGAACCAUCAAGGGAAUACCAUUAAAAGUUUAAGAGAUCCUUUGCACAUUCAUGGAGGCCCAAUUACAAGAGCUAGAACCAAAAAGAUGCAAGUUGCUUUAAAUGGAUUAAUUGAGAAAAUAUGGAUUGACUUUGGUAUACAUGGUGUCUUACUGUUCUGUAUGCCACAAAAAUGGUUUUCCCAGUCUUACCCCUUCUCACCAAGCUCAAUGAUCCAGAGUCUUCUACUUCUCUUACCUGGACUCUUUUUGAAUGGUUUUCACCAUUACCAUGGUGGUGCAGAAAGUUACAACAGAUUGCUGACACACAUCGUCUUCUAGAACUCCUAGAUCAAGAAGGCAAACAAUUCACUUCUAUUUUUAUGAUCCAUCGUCCAUACUUACAGCAUCCUCAUACCAAAGAUUUUUGGACCCAUAAUAAGAGUUAUGAAUGGGCCAUAGUUCCUCACAUUGCAUGUCUUGAACAAGAUUUUCAAAUCAAGACUUCCUUAAAGACCUUCCUCAUGGAACUCAACCAUAUUCCUCCAGACCAACCGGAUAUCCUCCACACAUCUCUUGGACCAAAACAUGAAAUGUUCAUGAUCCCUACCCCAUCCUUACAUUCCCAACCUCCCAACCGUGGAAUAAUCCUAAAAUAAGAAAAGCCAGCCUAUACUGACUUUCUAUUCAAGAUUCCCAAGACCCUUAUAAAGACUUCACUCCAGUCCCUUCACCAUCACCAUAUGAACUCUAUAGAUCCUCCUCUUAUCCAUAUCUACCAUUCUCAACCCAACCAGAACAUUUCCCUUAGCCAACUCCUCUAUCACCAAAAGCCAGAGAUUGCCCUUGGCCAUGUGUUCCAGGAUGUUCUCAUCCAGAAAUAAUCUUCAAGAAAGACAGAGACCCUGAUCGUGACCCUGACGAGACAGAUUCCUCUUCAUCUGAAGACGCGUUAAUAUCUCUUUAAGAGAUUUGUCACUUUGUAAUAAUGUAAAAUAAAGUACUUUAUGCUUUAGUUUUUAAAAGUUGUUUGUCCUUAUGUAAUCAUACACUUUACUUUUGUCUGCCAUUAUUGUACCAGUGAGCCCUACCUACUUUUGUAAAAUAAGUGUGCCUAUAUGCCAGCUGGAAUGAUCUCGAUCCAACUUUUGUCUUUUAUCCUCCUUAUCCUUAUAUAAGGAGAGUUAUUUUCAAAAAAGAAGAAGAAGUUUUAGAUAACAUUUCAUGUUUCAAUAUUCCACCUUAUGGAGAACUAAAACCCUCAUUUCUAUUCUUUAAUCCUAAGAUCCUUUAGGUUUAGAACUCUUACCCUUGUUCAAUAUCUAUCUUUUGCAAGUAUGCUCUGUACUUGCCUUGAAAAAGGAUCAUGUGAAUCAGAAAGCUAGUCAUGCUGCCAUUCUUUCUUUGUUCUAAGACAAUAGACCCCUGCCUUUAGACUAAGUGACCAAGGAGAGUCUGUGUCUUUUUAGGUUGUCUAAACUCUUAGUUCUCUCUUAGUUCAUCAAACAGAAUGUCUGGUAUCUCGUAACCACGUCAUUCUCAUCCCCAGUUGGUAUCAGGGCUGCUCCACUCAAUUUCUCACUUUGGAUGCCCUUCUUGCAUCAAAAUGACUCCAAUACCUAUACCAAAUAUGGUGCAACACUAUUCAUUUGGUGCUAGGGAAAAAAGUCUCAAAUAUCCUUAUUACUUUUUCUUAUUUACAUAUAUGUCCUAUUUUAUAUAAUAUUUUAAGUUAUUAUUAUUAUUAUUGUUAUUAUUUUUAUUUCAUUUUUUAAUUUUUGAAUAUUAUACUAAUAUUUUAAAUAAAAAAUAUUCAACACAAAAAUUAAUAAUAAAAAUAAAAUAUCAAUAACAUUAAUUACUAGAUUACAUAUUACAUAUUACAAAAUUAAAAAUACAAAAUUAAAUUAACACAAACUAAAAUACCCUUUGAGAGCUCUUUUGGGGUUGAGUUAGGCCCGGUCCAAGUUGGUAUCAGAGCCAAGGCCUGAGGGCGAGGGUAGAGUGAAUGAUAAGCUCUUAUCCCACAUCGCUGGCAAGCCAAAGCUCUUGGUCGCUUAUAAGCGCUGGGCAGUCCUCACCCUUUGAGAGCUCUUUUGGGGCUGAGUUAGGCCCGGCCCAAGUUGGUAUCAGAGCCUAAUGUACUUACGCAGAGGUGGUAUCAUAGUUUAAGAACUCAAGUGUGUUUAUUUAAAACCUAGAAGAAACUCUAUUAAAAAUGGCAUCUUCUUCUUCAACAGAAAUAGCACCAUCAAAAUCCUCUCAUAUUUCUCUUUCUUCUACUCUCUCCUUACCUCGUUCUUGCCAAAAGCAUAUAGCUUCAAAAAUAGAAAAUCUUGUUGAAUACUCAUAUAUUCCUGAAUCUGCUCAGAUCAAUGAAUCAUAGUUUCCUGUCAUGAGUCUAUAUCACCUUUACAAACAAAAGACCUCCUUCACCAGAAGUAUAAGAACCCUGAUUUCUACAAAAAGACCUCUUCCCAAAGAAUACAUCCAGUCUUCAUGACUUGAUCAAUGUGCACUCCAAGCCUCUCAAAGUGAGCAAUAUGUCACCAUGGACAUACCAACAGAUCUCGUAACCAACUGGAAGCGAGAAGGGUAUACAAACCUCCAUCUUGGUGGUGUCAGGUUAAUUCUCGCUCUACAUGGCAGAAAAGGCUUACCAGUUACAACCAAAAUUGCCCUUCUGGAUACAAGGUUCAAACAGUAUCAACAUGUUGUUAUUGGAAUUGUUUUAACCACUCUCUAUGCUGGAAGUGUCUUGUUGACCUUCUACCCAAAUUUCAACUUGUCAUUAGAAGAUCCCAACCUCCCAACAACACUGAAAGUCCAAAUCCAGCUUCAAGGAGCAGAGCAAACACCAACUUCUAAAAUUGCCACUCUCCAUCCCCAAAUAGUGUAUCGAUUACAAAAUCAUGCGCUAGACCUCCCAACUGCAAAAGCAAUCGGUGAUGCAUUAAUGAUCCUUAUAGACACAGACACAAUUCCAACCAUAAUCCAGAUUCCCAAACAAAUUAAAAAACAAGAGUUGCUCAAACUCAUGCCUUUGGAAUGGCUUACCAACUAUGAGCAAUUCCAUCAGAAUUCAUAACCUGUCCAAACAUCACAAGCUAUUUUCGAAAGAAGAACAGAUAGACAAGUCAAGUUGUCUUUUCAGACUCUAGACAAACCAAGUCCAGAUCUUCUACAACUCUCUUAUACUGCUAUGAUUACAGCAGUUUCUACUGGACAAGAGUCAAAUCUUCCAAUCUACGGAUUUUCCUCAGAAGGGUAUCCUGUAUAUCCUGACAAAGUCAAUGGUCAUUUUUUAUGGGAUGUUCCAGAAGCCCAUAUGUGUAAUCUAGAUUGUCCUUACCUGGAAGACACAGAUGAUGAGGAUGAUGACUUCGAAAACAUGAGAAGAAGAAGGGGAAAGAAAGAGUCUCCCAUUCCUAUUCUUUAGGACCACCAGACAAACCAGAACCAGAUCAACCUUUACCGAUCUAUAAGAAAGCACUCAGGCAAAUAAAAAAAAGAGUCCUCAUCUAAGCCUAUUCCUCCUCAACCAAAAAUCAAGUCAUGUUUGAUGUUUUCAUCCUCUAGCCAAUCAUACCAAGAAUCCUUUCCCCCACUUGAAAGACAUACAGAUCCGCAAACCAAAGUUGUUUCUCAACCCUAUGUCCAAUCACCAAUCACAACUUCAAGACAACCUGAAGCACCAAAACAGUAUGAAGCAGUACUAAAUUGGCAAACCCAAAAUGCCAAUGCUCAAAACCAAACUCUCCACCAUCUCGGUAAGAAGAUUGAUAAAGUGGCAUCACAAAUGUCACAAACUGAAACAAAGGUGGACACAAUCAAUGCCCGGCUUGAGCAGAUCUAUUCGAAUCUACAGAACAGAAUCUCUGAAUUGGAUAUUGAUCUCAGAACAAUGAUAAACAAUUGUAUUUGGGGUCCGGAAUUCAAUAAAAAAGAAGCAGAGAUUAGAAAGUUGAAAGCAGAGCUGGCUGGAAUUGAUGCUGAUAAAGCACAAUCGUCCCUUUUUACCAAAACACAGUCCAUACCUAUACCAGCACCAUUAUUCACAUCAUACCAACCUUUUUACAAUCCUCCUAAACAGUCAACUUAUGAUCAAUAUUUUGGUCUUUCCUAUCUCUAUUCUACAAACCCAAAUAUUCCUCCAGUUCCACCAACAAAGCCUUCUUCACUGAAAAAACCCAGAUCAAAAGUCAAAGUUUCAAAACAUCCACCUAAGGAAGAUCUUCAAAUCCCAGAAGACUCUCCUAAAGCAACUCUUGAACCUCCAAAGAAAGAUAAAGCUCCAGCUUACCAAUACCAUUACCAGCCACUUAAUGCUUUCCUGAAAGAUGAUAAAUUUUCCCUUCCAAAGAUCCAGUCCCUAUUCAUUCAUCUUCAAGGUGCAAAAGGAUUUUCAAAAUUUGAUCUUAAAGCUGGUUUUUGGCAACUUGGCAUUUCGCCAGAAGACCGUCCCAAAACAGCCUUCUGUAUCCCUGAUGCUCAUUAUCAGUGGACAGUCUUGCCCUUCGGUCUCAAAGUUGCUCCCUCCUUAUUUCAAAAAGCAAUGGUCAAGAUCUUUUCUCCAAUCCUCCAUCAUGCUUUGAUCUACAUUGAUGAUAUCCUGUUGUUUUCACACAACCACCAAACACAUCAACUCCUUUCAGAUUUCCUGAAAAUUGUACAAACACAUGGUAUCAUGCUUUCUGAAAAGAAAAGCAGCAUAGGAAAGGAAUCUAUUGAUUUUCUUAGCAUGGUUCUAAAAGAUGGUCAUUACCAUCCAGGACCACAUAUCGCAGCAGAAUUAUUAAAGUUUCCUGACAUUGAUCUCAACAAAAAGCAUAUCCAACAGUUUCUUGGAAUUGUUAAUUAUGUUAGAGACUUUAUCCCCAAAGUUGCAGUCCACACCAGCCAACUGUCUUGCAUGCUUAAAAAGAAGACCCCACCAUGGGGUCUGACUCAAACAGAAGCUGUAAAGCAGCUAAAAAAGAUAGCCCAGUCACCUCCUCCACUCAAAAUUCCCACUACAGGCCAACGCAUUCUCCAGAAAGAUGCUAGUGAUGACUUUUGGAGUGCUAUCCUUUUGGAAAUGAUAGGUGACUCAGAGUCCUAUUGCGAUCAUGCAAGUGGACAGUUCAAAGAUUCAGAAAAGAAUUAUCAUGUGAUUUACAAGGAAAUUCUCGCGGUCAAGUAUAGAAUCAAGAAAUUUGAAUUUCAUCUAAUCAGCCCCAAUUUCCUCAUCAGAAUGGACAAUAGUUCUUUCCCAACGAUCUUUGAUUUCAAGAACAAAUUGCUUCAUGACAAGCAAUUACUCAAUUUAAAGACGUAGUUUUCAAAAUAUGAUUUCACAGUCCAACACAUCAAAGGUGACAAACAUCUUAUCCCAGAUUUCCUUACCCGUCCAUCUAUAAAUAGACCUAUUCUAAUCUCCUCCAUCAAAACCAUCCCAGUUGUAGCCAUGUAUCGAUCUCUUCCUUUCAAAGCUUUAACUCAAAAGGCUUUUCCUUUAAAUCUCACUUUCAGAUCAACCUCCCAAAUCUAGGACUUUGCUAAAAAAUUCCUUUUCAGGUAUUUCAUGAAUGUCCACAGAACCAAACUAGAAAGAUUUCCCUCUUUGUGUUUAGAACACUUGUUCCUCACUGGUUUCACCAUUGUCCCCAGCCUCACCAUCUCUGAAGAUGAGUUAUGGUACAAAGCUUAUUCCACCUGUCUUACCAACCCUUAGGCAUAUCUCCACACAAGAUCAUGCAUCCACACUUCUCUGGAUGCUUCUUGAAUGGUUCUCACCCCUCACCUGGUGGCGUAAGCAAUUGCAAAAUCUCUCUAACUUUCAUCAGUUAGAUAAAAUUCCAGAUCAAGAAGCGGAUAUGUUUACUUCUGUAUUCAUAGUCCACAUGCCAUAUUUCCAACAUCCUGAAACUAAAGACUACUGGACACAGGACAUGGCAUAUGAAUGGAAAACAUUCCCACAUCCUUUCCUUCUCAACCAUGAUCCCACAAUCAUCUCUACACUCCAAGCCUACCUAUUAGAACUCAAUAAUGUCCAAUUUGUCCCUAUAAACAUUCACCAUACAUCCAUUAGUCUAUACCAUACUCUUGAAAUUAUACCAAGAACUCAGACAUGUACUCCGGGAUCUAGUUCCAGUCCUCAUGGAAUUCUUGUUCAUGAACAAAGACAUGACUAUACCCAUGUUCUCUUCCAAGAUGCCCAAGACCCUUGGGAAGAUUUUCAAUCCUUAUUACCAUCACCAGAAUCUCAGUACUCAGUCAUUGAACCAAGUUCUUCGUCCACUCCAACUCCAGCACAAAGAAAAGAAUUUCAAGAUCUAGAUGAAGACUAAGAAAUUCAAGAUCUAGAUGAAGACUAUCUGAUCUACCAGGAAAUUUACAAGGCAAAAGAAGAUUAUGAAAAUGAAACUGGUGACGUGUCUCAAUCCAGAUUUCCCUCCACUUUGUAAAAAGGCUUCACAUGGCUACAAAGUCAUCCGGGAAUUUUGGCUUUUCCUGCUUUCAAUAAAGGACAGGGGUCUUGUCCUGUCUAAAGUGUGUUUUUACUUUUUAUGCUUUUAAGAGUGAAUUAUUAUUUUCCUUUUGUUGCUUGCUUUUAAGAAGAUAAGGGUCCUGUCUUAUCUUUGCUUUAUGGCUCUAUUUAAGAGCUUUCUAAUCUUGGAACAAGGCAAAAAACUCUAUGGUUUACUAAGUUUCUUUUCUUCUUCUAGGGAACGAAGAAAACACUUGGGUUAUUAAAUUAAGAAUGUUCAUCUCUAUUUUCUACACUGAGUAUGCUCUACACUUGCCUUUGUUAAAGGAUCCUAUGUAUCAGAAAAGUCCUGAUUUAAUUAUAAAAUCGAUUUGAAAUAAAACUAUUUUCUCAUAAUGUUCACCCUCUUUGAAGGUCAGAGGCGACCUGUUUUCGGGUGUAUCUUGAUAAAUGGUUUUUGCUUUUUUGAAUUUUAUAUCUCAGGGAUAAUAGGUAUAUCGGCUGGAAACCAGAACUUGCGGACUAGUAGUCCAAAGGAUAGUCUUAGCACUAUCAUAGUUCAGGUGUAACAACGCCACGUACCUUCUACCCCCAAGUUGGUAUCAGAGCCAAGGCCCAAGGGCAAGGGUAGAGUGAAUGAUAAGCUCUUAUCCCACAUCACUGGCAAGCCAAAGCUCCUGGUCGCUUAUAAGCACUGGGCAGUCCUCACCCUUUGAGAGCUCUUUUGGGGUUGAGUAACAAAAAAAAAAAGAAAAAAAACGUACCAAAAAAAAAACCAGAUUGCAAAAUGAAUCAAGUAUUCCUACUUUCAUCAAAUUGAAAUUUAGUUAUUCAUUUUCCUUGACAUUGUUUACACACAAUAUCAAUUGUGUUCCUUUGUUUUCUUGCUUUCUUUUCAUCAAUUUCCUUUGUUGUUCUUUGUGUCCUCUUAAUUAUUAUUUUUGUUUAGUGUCUUGGUUUGUCAUAUUUGGUGUGCCACUUGGGUUUUUCUUGAUUUUGUUUAUUUAGUUCAAUAAAGAAUUGAAAGAGAGAAUUAAGUGUGGUAAAUAAAAAAAAAAGUUUGUGAGGGUAAAAGCCAAUUUGUGUGUUAAACACGAGAGUUAAGUGAUAUCAAAAUGAGUGAAACACGUGAGGGAGUGUUGUGAGGUCUUUUUGCUAACAUUCUUUUCAUAUCACAAAUAUGUCAAAAGAUCAAGAAGCUAUAGACCAAUCAAUCAUGCUCAAAGCCAUGUAACAACAAUUUGAGUGCAUGAAUAUGAUGUUUGGAGAGAUCCGUGACAAAUUGGAGAGGCAAGACACUGCCAUAAACAAUCUACAAAGGGGGUAACAACCAAUAGCUCCUAAUGUAAGAGGUAAUCAAGGGCGUGCUGUCAUGGGAGAAGAAGAUGGUGAUGACAUAGAUGAUUUUGAUGACCAGGCUACCGUUGACAUGUGUGGAAGAGAUAGAAGGGCAAGACGUAUAGAUCAUGAUUUGGGGAGUAUUAAACUGAAAAUUCCUUCUUUUCAAGGUAAAAAUGAUCCGAAAGCUUAUUUGGAGUGGGAAAAAAAGGUAAAACUAGCUGCUGUUGAAUUUACUGAUUAUGCUAUUAUUUGGUGGCAUCAACUUGUUUUGAGUAGGAGACGAAAUCGUGAAAGGCCUAUAAACACUUCGGAGGAGAUGAAGGCCAUCAUGAGGAGGAGAUUUGUUCCUAGUCAUUAUUAUAGGGAGCUACAUCAAAGGCUUCAAAGUCUUACACAAGGUUCUAGAAGUGUGGAAGAUUACCACAAGGAGAUGGAAAUAAUCAUGGUUUAAAUCAAGAUAUUGCUAAUGUGGUUGACUUGCAAUACUAUGUUGAGUUGGAAGACAUGGUUCACAUGGCCAUGAAAGUGGAACGACAAUUGAAAAAGAAAGGUUCCACUAGAACCAAUUUGGGUUCAUCUUCCUCAUGGAAGUCAAAAAUGGAGCAAAGAUGAAAAGGUUGUUUCAAAGCCUAAGAUUGAGCCAAUCAAGGAUCAUAAAGAGGGAGGCAACCAAAGCAAAGGUAAAUCUGAUUCCCAACACUCUAGAAAUAGAGAUAUUAAGUGUUUUAAAUGUUUGGGGACAGGUCAUAUUGCAUCUCAAUGCCCAAAUAAGAGGGAUGAUGGUGAUGUUGAAACUGAGAGUGAAUCAAAUGAUGAUCCUAUGCCACCUUUGGAGGAUGCUAAUGAUGGUGUAGAAUAUCCUGUUGAUGGUAAAUUGAUGGUUGCUAGGCGUGCUCUCAACACGCAAGUAAAAGAGGAUGCGGAGGUACAACGUGAUAACAUCUUUCAUACUAGAUGCCACAUCAAAGAUAAGGUAUGUAGUAUGAUAAUUGAUGGUGGUAGUUGUACUAAUGUAGCUAGCACUAGUUUAGUUGAAAAAUUAAAUUUGAAAACUUUGAAACAUUCGAGGCCAUAUAAGCUACAAUGGCUGAAUGAUUGUGGGGAAGUUAAAGUAAAUAAACAAGUGCUGGUUUCAUUCUCUAUUGGGAGGUAUAAGGAUGAGGUUCUAUGUGAUGUAGUACCCAUGCAUGCUGGAUCCAUUCUUUUGGGUCGACCUUGGCAAUAUGAUAGGCAUGUGACACAUGAUGGUUACUUAAAUAUGUAUUCUUUUGUAAUGAAUAAAAGGAAAAUCACUCUUGUACCAUUAACACCUAGGCAAGUGUAUGAGGAUCAAAUGUCAAUACAAAAAGAGAGUGAUACAAAAAAAGAAAAUGAGAGUACAAAAGAAAGAGAGAUUGAGAGAAAAGCAAGUGAAAAGAUAGAAAAAAAUAUUGUUGAGAGAAAAGAGAGGCAGCAAGUGAACUUGUUUGCAAAAGAGAGUGAGGUUAAGAGGGCUUUCUUUUCAAAACAGCCUAUCGUUGUACUUUUUUGCAAAGAGGCUUGUUUACACACUAAUGAGCUUAACUUUUCUUUGCCUAGUGCUAUUGUGACUCUUUUGCAGCACUUUGAUGAUGUAUUUCCAAAUGAAGUCCCUAACGGUUUGCCACCUAUUAGGGGAAUUGAGCAUCAUAUAGAAGUAACCCCGAGGAGACAAAGGAGCUUCAAAGGCAAGUUGAAGAACUCUUGGCAAAAGGAUAUGUGAGGGAGAGCAUGAGUCCAUGUGCGGUACCAGUUUUACUAGUGCCCAAAAAGGAUGGAACAUGGAGGAUGUGUGUUGAUUGUGGUGCAAUUAAUAAAAUCACUAUAAAGUAUCGACAUCCUAUUCCUAGACUUGAUGACAUGCUAUGAAUUGCAUGGUUCUUGUGUGUUUAGUAAAAAUUGAUCUUAAAAAGUGGAUAUCAUCAAAUUAGGAUUAGAGAGGGAGAUGAGUGGAAAACUGCCUUUAAAACAAAAUAUGGUUUAUAUGAGUGGUUAGUGAUGCCAUUUAGGUUAUCUAAUGCACCUAGCACUUUUAUGACGUUAAUGAGCCAUAUUUUGCAUGCUUUUAUUGGUAAAUUCGUAGUUAUCUAUUUUGAUGAUAUUUUGAUCUAUAGCAAAGGCUUAGAUGAACACAUUGAACAUUUGCAAAGUGUAUUAACUGUUUUAAGGAAGGAAAAGUUGUAUGCUAAUUUGAAGAAGUGUUCCUUUUGUACAAAUCAGAUUAUUUUUCUUGGUUAUGUUGUAAGUGCUAAAGGAAUUGAGGUUGAUGAAGAGAAGGUAAAGGCUAUUAAAGAAUGGCCUACACCUAAAAGUGUAAGUGAGGUAAGAAGUUUUCAUGGUUUGGCUAGUUUUUAUAGAAGAUUUGUGAAAGAUUUUAGCACCCUUCCUGGACCAUUAACUGAAAUUGUGGGAUUUAAGUGGGGUAGUGAACAAGAAAGUGCGUUUAAUCUAAUUAAGGAGAAAUUGGUUUCUGCACCAUUACUUGCUUUACCUGAUUUUGCUAAAACUUUUGAAAUUGAGUGUGAUGCUUCAGGUAUAGGUAUUGGAGCUGUUUUGAUGCAAGAAGGGCGUCCAAUUGCUUAUUUUAGUGAGAAAUUGAGUGGAGCAACCCUAAACUAUCCUACCUAUGACAAUGAGAUGUAUGCAUUGGUGAGAGCAUUGGAAACUUGGCAACAUUAUCUUCUACCUAAAGAGUUUGUUAUACACACUGAUCAUGAGUCCUUGAAGCAUUUGAAAGGGCAAGGUAAGUUACAUAAGAGACAUGCCAAAUGGGUUGAAUUUAUUGAGCCAUUUCCUUAUGUGAUCAAAUAUAAACAAGGUAAGGAGAAUGUGGUGGCUGAUGCAUUAUCUAGAAGGUAUGCACUUAUCUCUACAUUAAAUGCAAAGUUGUUAGGAUUUGAGUACAUUAAAGAAUUAUAUGUUAAUGAUCCUGAUUUUGCUAAUGUGUUUAAUGUUUGUGAGAAAGUUGCAUUUGGUAAGUUCUAUAGGCAUGAUGGGUUUUUAUUUAGAGAAAAUAAAUUGUGUGUGCCUCAUAGUUCUUUGCGUGAAUUGCUUGUGUGUGAAGUUCAUGGGGGUGGUCACAUAUGAAACGUGAUGUUGAAAGAAUAUGUGAGAAGUGUAUCACUUGUAAACAUGCGAAGUCUAGAGUUUUACCCCAUAGAUUGUAUAACCCUCUGCCCAUACCUAGUGAACCUUGGGUUGAUAUUUCUAUGGACUUUGUUUUGGGUUUACCUAGGCAAAAAGGGGAAUUGAUUUUGUUUUUGUUGUUGUUGAUAGGUUUUCAAAGAUGGCACAUUUCAUUUCAUGUCACAAAACUGAUGAUGCAACAAACAUAGUUAAUUUGUUUUUCAAGGAAAUAGUCAGGUUGCAUGGAGUGCCAAGGAGCAUAGUUUCAGAUCGAGAUGCUAAGUUCUUGAGCCACUUUUGGAAAAUUUUGUGGGGUAAGUUGGGUACUAAACUUUUGUUUUCUACUACUUGUCAUCCACAAACUGAUGGACAAACUAAGGUUGUAAAUAGAACUCUAUCUACUUUGUUGCGUGCCAUUAUUCAAAAGAAAAUGUUUGCCACACGAUUAGUCAUUGACUAUCAGCCACUCAACAAUUUCCUCCAAGAUCAUAAAUUCCCAUUACCCAACAGACACACCCUUUUUGUCCACCUCAAAAAUGCUCGAAUCUUUUCAAAAUUCGACUUGAAGUCCGGUUUUUGGCAACUUGGCAUUCACCCCUCAGAACGAUACAAAACUGCUUUUUGUAUAUCAAAUGCCCAUUACCAAUGGACAGACCUUACUUUUUGCCUCAAAACUGCCCCUUCCAUUUUUCAAAAGGCCAUGACCACCAUCUUUCAACCAAUCCUGCACCAUACCCUUGUUUACAUUGACGAUUUGCUUCUUUUUUCAGGUACUCAUGAUGAACAUCACAAGCUACUUCAACAGUUUUUCCAGAUCAUUCAAGAUCAUGGAAUCAUGAUCUCUGACAAGAAAAGUACGAUUGCGACUACCUCUGUUGACUUUCUUGGCAUGAAAAUCCAAGAUGGCCAUUAUCAGCCUAGACCCCACAUUGCACAAGAGUUACUCCACUUUCCCGAAAGUAACUUUACAAAAAAGCAAGUUCAACAAUUCCUUGGAAUCAUCAAUUACAUUUAUGAUUUCCUGCCACAUGUCAAUCACUAUACAAGCUGAUGCGAAUCCCACAAUGAAACUUUGAAACCCACUCUUAAUUUGAAGUUUCAACUUCCCAAGAAAGUUCUAAACAGAUUUAUGACAAACAAAACCUUGACCCAAUGCUUAAGAAAACAUGAACCAAAGGUAUAGAGAAUGAUAUUGAUGCCACACUCAAGAAAUAGAUGAGAAGGUGAGUGAUAAGUCUAAAUUUAGAACGCCACAAGAAUGAAAAUUCUUGAUAAGUUCACUAGUUCUCAAAAGAACCAAAGAAAGAAUAAUCUUUGAAAUUCAAAUAAGAUUGAUCUCUAAUAAUAUUACAUAGCAAGGUUGCUGAAUUUAAAUAGGCUAAAAGAAACCCAAAAUCCUAAAAAUACAAAUGGAAACAUUGGAAUAACCCUCAAAGGAUGUUUCAAAAGUCUUCACCAACCCACCAUAAUUAAUGCUAUCAUUAACAAAUUAAUGUUAGCCCACCAUCAUUGAUAGUAGACUUAUCUUACACAUUGACAAACUUGAAACAAAACAAACAAAUGAAGUUGAAAAACAAAGGAGUCGUUGAAAAUCCCAAGUCUGAACAAGCUGUAAUGAAUUGGUCAUAACUUCUUCUAGAGAACUCCAAAUCCAGCUCUGUAAAAUUUAUUGGAAAGCUAACUUAAUUAUCUUUCCAAUGGUAUAUAGCGUGCACAUUAUUUCUAGAUCAAUCAAUACAGUUUUUAUUCCGAAUUUGACCUUUCUGCAUUUGAUACAAAUUGUGUAUUUGGCUGCCCAAUAACUUGAAUAGUGCCCACAAUGCCUUGUCUUCUCUUCAAGCCCAAUUCAUGAUGUCUUGCAUCUUGAAUUGCAUUUUCAAUCCAUAUUUUCUCAAUUAAUCCAUUUAAAGCAACUUGCAUCUUUUUGGUUCUUGCUCUUGUAAUUGGGCCUCUAUGAAUGUGCAAAGGAUCACUUGAAGUUUUAAUGGUAUUCACUUGAUGGUUCUCAUCACAAGCAAGUUCUUUGCCCUUCUAAAAAAAAGUCCACCAUCCUGGCCCGAAAUCCACUCAGAUGCUGUAAAGCAAUUAAAGCAUAUUGCCCAGAAUCCUCCACCUUUAAAGCUGAUUACAGACAGCAAACAAAUCCUGCAAAUGGACGCCAGUGAUGAGUCAUGGGGGGCCAUCCUCCUUGAAGAAUGCCAUGGAAAAGAACACUUUAUUGCCUAUGCAAGUGGACAAUUUCCUGAUGCACAAAAGCAUUAUCACACAGUCUACAAAGAAAUCUUAGCUGUGAAAAAUGGUAUCAAGAAAUUUGAAUUCCAUUUGAUUGGUCAUAGAUUCUUGAUCAGACUAGAUAAUUCAGCUUUUUCCAAUAUCUUGAACUUUAAGUAGAAAGUUGUCCUAGAAAAAACCCUACUUCAGCUUAAAGAAUAGUUUUCAAGGUAUGAUUACCAUGUCCAGCAUAUAAAAGGAGAUCAUAACCUCAUUCCAAACUUAUUAUCCAGACCUCCAAAAUCACAACCCUCCCAGUUCUUUUGUAUCACUUCUCAGAUUUCUUUCCCGAUCAUUGCCAUGGCUAGUUCACUCCCUAAAACAUCUCUCACCCAUAAGUCUUUCCCACUCAACAUGACUUUUUAGUCACCUCACACAAUUCAAGACUUUGCUAGGAAAUUCCUCUUUAGGUUUUUUAUGAACAUCUAUCAGAUGAGUAGAGAACCUAUGUUCCUUCCCAGCUUUCAUCCUGAUCAUCUUUUCCUCACAAGAUUAGUAAUUACACCUCACAAAGACAUUACCGAAGAUGAGCUUGGGUAUACAUGGUGUCUUACUGUUUUGUAUGCCAUAAAAAUGGUUUUCCCUAUUUUACCCCUUCUCAACAAACUUAAUAAUCUAGAGUUAUCCAUCUCCCUUACCUGGACUCUUUUUGAAUGGUUUUCACCAUUACCAUGGUGACGCAGGAAGCUGCAACAAAUUACUAACACACACUACCUUCUCGACAACAGUUCACUUCUGUUUUUAUCAUUCACCGUCCAUAUUUCCAACAUCCUCAUACCAAAGAUUUUUGGACCCAUAAUCAAAGUUAUGAAUGGAUGACAGUCCCUCACAUUGCUUGUCUUGAACAAGAUUUCCAGAUCAAGACUUCCUUGAAGAAUUUCCUUAUGGAACUCAACCAUAUUCCUCUAGACCAACUAGAAAUCCUCUACUAUCCUUACAUUCCCAACCUCCCAACCGUGGAAUCAUCAUAAAAGAAGAAAAGCCAGAUUACACUAACUUCUUAUUUCAAGAUUCCCAAGAUCCUUAUGAAGAUUUUACUUCGGUACCUUCACCAUCACCAUAUGAACUUUGAUCAUCCUCAUCUCCAUAUCCACCAUUUUCCUCUCAGCCUGAUCGGCCUGAACAUUAUCCUCAACCAGUUCCUUCAUCUCCACAAGAUAUUCCUCUACCAAAAGGACAAUAUUACCCUUGGCCAUGUGUUCCAGGAUGUUCUCAUCCAGAAAGAAUCCUAAAAAAAGACAAGGACCCUGAUCGUGACCCUGACAAGACUGAAUCCUCAUCUAAAGAUGGAACCAUAUCUCUUUAAGAGAUUUUUCAUCUUGUAAUAAUGAGUGUCUUUAGCUUUUGCUUUAGCUUUAAGUGUAUGCUUUAGCUUUUUAAAAGUUGUUUGUCCUUAUGUGAUCAUGCCUUUUACUUUGUCGGCCACUACUGUACCAGUGAGCCCUACCUACUUUUGUAAAAUAAGUGUGCUUGUAUGCUAGUUAGAAUGAUCUUCAUCCAGCUUGUCUUUUCCCCUCCUUAUCUUUAUAUAAAGAGUAGUUAUUUGAAUAAAAACCAGAAGAAGUUUUCGAUAAUAUUUCAAGUUUCAAUAUUCUACUCUAUGAAUAACUAAAACCUUCGUUUCUAUUCUUUAAUCCUAAGAUUCUUUAGGUUUAGAACUCCUACCCUUGUUCAAUAUCUAUCUUUUGCAAGUAUGCUCUGCACUUGCCUUGAAAAAGGAUCAUGUGCAUCAGAAAGCUAGUUAGACUCUUAUUCUUUCUUUGUCUUUUUGGGUUGUCUAGGUUCUUAGUUCAUCGUAAGAUAUGGAAUGUCUGGUAUCUCGCAACCACGUCAUUCUCAUUUUCUAGGUAUAUCAGCUAGAAACCCAAGCAUGCAGACUACUGGUCCAAAGGAUAACUCUGUUAUCAUUGCUUUGGUAUAACAACGCCACAUACUUAGAAUCCCAAGUUGGUAUCUGAGCCAUGCUCGAAAUUCUCAAAUAUUGGUAUAGGUUAUAAGAGUUCAAUGCCUUAGGAAUCAAAGAUUUAAAGAAUAGAAAAUCUUAAUCUCAUGGCUUCAUCAUCAUCCUUAACUACUCCUACUUCGUCACCUUCUCCAGUUACUCUUUCUUCUACUGUUUCUUUACCUAAAUCUUGUACUAAGCAAAUCGCCAGUAAAAUAGAAAAUCUUCUUGAAUACUCCUAUGUUCAUGAAUCUGUUCAAAUCAAUGAAUCCCCUUUACCUCUCAUCAGUCCCUAUCACCUUUAUAAAAAACCUUCUUUUACCAGAAGUAUCAAAACCCUGAUUUCCACCAAACGACCCCAUCCGAAGGAAUAUAUCCAGUCAUCCCGACUCGAUCAGUGUGCUUUGCAAGCUACCACAACUGAACAAUAUGUCACUCUUAAGAUCCCCUCAGAAUUGAUCUCUACAUGGAAACAUGAAGGCUAUACGCAUUUUCACCUUGGAGGUAUUCGUCUUAUUCUUACUCUUCAUGGGAGAAAAGGCUUACCUGUAACAGCCAGAAUUGCUUUACUUGACACCAGGUUUAAGCAAUAUCAGCAUGCCAUCAUUGGCACAGUCCUUACCACACUCCAUGCCGGAAGUGCUUUGCUUACAUUUUAUCCCAAUUUUAAUCUUUCACUUCUUGAUUCCAACCUUGCCACUACUUUAAAAGUCCAGAUCCAGCUUCAAGGAGCUGAACAAAUAACCUCGGCUAAAAUCGGUACCUGCACCAUCAGCUUGUUUAUAGGCUGCAAAAUCAUGCUUUGGAUUUGCCAACUCCACAUACUGUAAAUUCAGAAGCUCUUAUGAUUCUUGCAGAAUCUGAAGAGAUCCCAACCAUUAUUCAAAUACCAAGGCAAAUUCCUCGUCAUGAAUUGAUCAAACUCAUGCCUUUAGAAUGGUUGUCCAAUUAUGAAUAAUUUCAUCAAAAUUCUGAACCCAUACAAACUUCUGAAAGUCAUUUCCAGAAAAAUUCAGAUGGAACUAUUCAUCUUACUUUUAAACCACCACCUAGUUCGUCUUUAGAACCACCCAGGUUAUCUUUUACCUAUUCUUCAAUGAUCACUUCUGUACACACAGAACAAGAAAACCUACCCAUUCAAGCCUUUAAUGAUCAAGGUUUUCCUAUCUACCCAGCAAAACUCCAUGGGCAUUUCUUAUGGGAUGUCCCGGCCUUUGGCAAUUGUGAUGCAGGCUAUCCUUGUUGGGAAGAUAUUGAAGAAGAUGAUCACAAACCAAAAAGACGCAAACGCAAGUCUAAAAAGAUCAUUUAUCCAGCUUGCCGCUAUUAUGCUGCUCAUCCUAAAGAUCCACCUGAGCCUGAUUCUCAAGCACCUUUACCCAUUUAUGAUAAAGGUCUUGCCUGGAUUCGAAAACAUGAACCCGCUUUGCUCAGCUACAGACUUCAAUCAACCCAUGAGACUACCCAUGUUAGUCCCACUCCUAAAAUACAGUCCUGUAUGAUGUUUUCCCCAUCAACAUCUACAUAUAAGUGCCUUAGAUCAUUACCACUCUCCAUCAUCAAUUGGUCUGUCGGCUUCAAAAUCAGGCCUUAGAUCUACCCACUUCAGAACACCACUCUGACACCCUCAUGGUGUUAGCAGAUUCUGACCAAAUUCCCACAAUCAUCUAGAUCCCAAGACAAAUUCCCCAUCAUGAACUCAUCAAACUUAUGCCUCUUGAAUGGAUCUCCAACUAUGAACAGUUCCAUAAUAAUACAGCUCCAAUUCAGACAUCUGAAAGUAUGUUUGAAAGACGACAAGAUGGCACAGUCAAAAUGACUUUUAAACCACCUCCAAGUGCUCCACAAGAGCCUCCUCGGCUCUCCUUUACCUAUUUCUCAAUGAUCACAGCUGUUCAGACAGCCCAGGAAGAUCUGCCCAUUAUAGGGUUCAAUUCUGAAGGCUACCCUGUUUAUCCAGCAAAGUAAAAUGGACAUUUCCUAUGGGAUGUCCCAGGCUCAGACAUGUGUGACCCAAAUUGUCCCUGCUGGGAUGAUUGGGAAGAGGACGAUGAUUAUGCCACCACAAGGAAAAAGAAACCCAAAAAGAAAAAAUCUCCAGUCUCAUGUCACCACUGUGACCCCAAACUGCCACAAGAUCCUCCACCUCCACCAGCUCCAUUACCCUUUUACAAAAAGGAACUCAAAUGGAUUGCAAAGCAUUGCAAAUCUGAGACUCUAUCACCAAUCCCACUUCCAUCGCCACCACUGACUUGUCUGAUGUUUUCGUCUACUUCUUCAGAUUACUCUUCCUCCUUUCCUCCUUUAGAACCCUACACAGAUUCCCACCGAAAUGUGGUAUCCAAACCUUUUAUUCCCUCCGCCAUUACCUCUACCGGCCACCUAGAACCUCUCAAACCUUUUGAAUCAGUCCUCAACUGGCAAACCCAAAAUGCCAGGGCACAGAAUGAUACUUUGUUGAAUAUCAAUUCCAAAGUUGAGAAAAUCAGUUUGCGAACUGAACAACUUGAGACAAAAGUUAACUCCAUCACUGCACAGAUGCAGUAGAUCCACGAAAAUCUCCAGUCCAGAAUUACUCAACUCGAUUCUGAGUUACGAACUAUGCUUGCCCAGCGUUACUAUGGCCCAGAAUUUGAUCAAAAAGAAAGAGAAAUCUGCCGCUUAAAAGCUGAGCUUGAUCAAAUUGAAUCUGAAAAACAAAGACCUACCCUUUUUACCACAUCACCUCUUAUCCCUUCCAUAGGUCCAACAUAUCAUCCAUUUGCCUCUAUGCUUUCCCCCAUCAAACAAUAUGAUCCUUCCAAGUUAUUUGCCAUGACUCAUACUCUUUUCAGAGACAAUCCUCUACCACCACCACCUAAACCUAAACCAAAGCCUAAACCUCAACCACGACCCAUCACAAUUCAUCAAUCAUCCAUUACUAUAUCGGGAAAUCAAUCCCCUAGUUAUACGCCGGCAUCCCCACCAGCACCUCCACCACCAACUGUAUCCCAACCACUUUCUCAAUCCAAGGAUAAACAACCAAUGCAUCAGUUUAGUGCCCAUAUAGUAGACCACUCCUUUACUGCAGAUGACCAAACUUCUAAUUCAAAUCUAGUUGUAUUUGAUAGCCAUACCGAGACUGACACAGACUCCUCAGUAUCCACUAGUGACUCUGAAAAGUCCUAUGAUCAACCUCCUCAAAGCCGAACCUCCCAUACAGAACCAUAUGUUGAUAUUCCCUCAGAAGUUGAAGAAGAGAUGCCUGAAUCUUCUACAACCAAUCAACCUCCUCUUUCUACAACCAAUCAACCUCCUCCAGCUCAAGCCCAAACCAGUCCACCCAGUCAAAAAUCUUCAAAUGGCCCAUGGUUCACCUUUGAUGAUCUCCCAUCUUCUAAAUGGUGUCACCGCCUUAAUGAAAUGUCUGCCUGAAUUGACCUCCAAAUGCUAAGGCCAAAAGCCACAACUGAACCUGUCCUUAGAGAAUAUGCUACUCGUUUUACAGGUGCUCUAAGAGAUUGGUUUGAUUCUUUAGGCAACUACAGACAAUUACAGUUUGUUCAAUUACUAGAAGUCUCAAGUGCCCUUGUGGUUAUCCAUGAUCAAUUCCUUAGAGACCCUUCUACAGUUUUUGAAGCUGCACGCCGAGACUAUCUCAACAUGAAAUGCUGUUCACUCAAUGCUAAGGAUCUUGACUUCCAUUAUAAACGAAUGUCCCUCCUGUUUUAUAAGCUUAAUGGAUUCAAUGAGCCAACAUUAAAGCAUGUCUUUCUAGCUUCCCUUCCAGAUGAACUCCAACCAGACAUACAGAGACAACUCACCGCAUCCAAUCUUGCUCUUGACAACAUCUCUCUUGGCAAAAUCUUCCAGCUUGACAAACUUUGCAAGCAGAAACAGUUUUUCAAAGAACUGUUGAAAGAUAAAGAACCAUUCCGAAGUGCUUGCAAAAAGCCUUAUUUGCAGAUCAAAUGUCAGAAGAAAAAUGAUUGUGAUUGCAGUUCUAAGAAGAAAAGGCAUUUUAGGAAAUUCAAAAAUCCAGAAUUUUCAUCCAGACCUCGCAGAUCCAGAAAGCCUUACAGAUUCUUCAUAAAGAAGUCAUCUUCUUCCAGAGACUUUAAACGGAGAAAAUCAAGCAGAUGUUUCAUCUGCAAUAGAAAAGGCCAUUACGCUAAAGAUUGUCCCAAUAAACGGGAAAAAUCUAUUCGGCUAGUUGAGCAUCUUCAAGCCACUACAGACUACUCUCCCGAGAAGGAUGAACUAGAAUUCUAUUUCUCUGAACAAGAUGAACCCAAUGAUGAAACUGUGCUCGUACUGCAAAAUUCCUCUGAUGAUUCAGACAGUGAUCAGUCCCAAGUGAUUUUCCACCAACAGCUACUGUCCCUCGACACUACUGUUCCUAUACCUUCCAUCAAACUCCAGAUCUUGACCUCAAAAUUCCAAAGGCCCGUCCCAACCAUUGGUCUCAUCGACACUGGCGCCCAACGAAGCAUGUUAAACCCACACAUUCUUCCAUCACAAUACUGGACAGAGUCUGAAGAUCAUUUCAAAGCUGUCAAUGGCAAACUAUUCACCACCUCUUUGAUUACCAAAAACCCUAUUGAUAUUCAAAUCUUCCCCAAUUGUGUCAUUUGGACUAAGGUUAUCAGUUCAACCCUUCCUAAUAAGGAUUUCUUGUUAGGUUUUGACAUCCUUCACCAGAUCAAACACCUUCAAAUCAUUCACACUGGAAUUCGAGUCAAGUCCAUGUUCAAACCAUUCACAAACAUUCUGAAACUCUACAAUCUGUCUGAAUCCCCCCAGUCCUACUAGGAUAUUUUGACUAAACUUUUGAAUUUCUCUCUAGAAUCCCAUUCUGAGUUCACCCAUCCAACUCCAUUAUGGAAAAACCCGUCUUUCUUCAUUAAGUUACCUUUCAAACUCAAUGAAGACAUUAACCCAACCAAAGCUACUCAUCCAGGAAUGAGUCCCUCUGACUUACUACUAACCCAAAAAGAAUGUUCACAACUGUUAGUGCAAGGUCUAAUCGAGCCCACAAGUUCUCAAUGGGCUUGCCAAGCCUUUUAUGUUGAAAAGCAUUUUGAAAUUGUCCGAGGAAAGAAACACCUAGUCAUUGACUAUCAGCCAUUAAACAUGUUUUUGCAAGAUGACAAGUUUCCUUUACCUCGCCGACAAAGCAUGUUUACUUUUCUCAAAAUUUGAUUUAAAAUCAGGUUUCUGGCAAUUAGGCAUUGAACCCUCUGAGCAUUACAAAACUGCCUUUUGUAUCCCAAAUGCCCAUUUCCAAUGGACAGUCCUUCCCUUCGGCCUCAAAACUGCCCCAUCCAUUUCUCAAAAAUCCAUGGUUAACAUCUUUCAGCCCAUCCUGCAUCAUGCAUUGAUUUACAUUGAUGAUAUCUUGCUUUUUUUAGGAUCAUAUGAUGAACAUUGCCAGCUGUUAACUCAAUUCUAUGAUAUUAUCCAAAGUCAUGGAAUCAUGUUAUCAGCCAAGAAAAGCACCAUUGCUACAGACAAUAUUGAAUUCCUUGGUAUGAUAAUAAAAUAUGGUCAUUAUCAGCCAGGAAAGCAUAUUGCCCAAGAGUUGCUUCACUUUCCAGAUCAGCAACUUUCCAAAAAGCAAGUUCAACAGUUUCUCAGCAUUAUCAAUUACAUCUGUGAUUUCAUCCCACAUGUGGACCACUACACUCGCCACCUCUUGGCUUUAUUGAAAAAGAAGCCCCCAGAGUGGAAUGCUGACCACACAACUGCUGUCACUACUCUCAAGCAAAUUGCCCAAAAUCCGCCUCCCUUAAAGUUGAUUACUGAUGGAAAGCGCAUACUACAGACAGACGCAAGUGAUGAAUCAUGGGGUUCCAUCCUGCUCAAAGAAAUCAACAGCAAAGAACACUUUAUCGCUUAUGCUAGUGGAUAAUUUUCUGACACACAGAAGCAUUACCAUAGCGUGUUCAAAGAAAUCUUAGCGGUAAAAAAUGGCAUCAAAAAAUUUGAGUAUCAUCUCAUUGGACAUCAUUUUCUCAUCCGUAUGGACAGUUCAGCCUUCCCCAAUAUUCUCAAUUUUAAAGGUAAAUCUGUUCUCGAAAAGAUGUUACUCAGAUUAAAAGAUUGGUUUUCCAAAUAUGAUUUUUCAGUUAAGCAUAUAAAGGGGUCCCAGAACCUCAUCCCUGAUAUGCUCUCCAGACUCUCAAAACCAGAAAAUCCUCUCACCUUGUUUUCCACCACAUACCACUUUCUGAUCAUCUCCAUGGCUACAUCCCUACCCCCAGAAGCCCUCACCAAGAAAACUUUCCCCUUUGACAAAAACUUUUCUUCUGUCUUUGCCAUCCAAGAGUUUGUAAGGAAAGCUGUUUUCUGCUUCUUCUUGAAAGCCUACCUUGUAACAGACUCCUUUCCAUUUUCCACCUUCCACCCAGAAAAUCUGUUCCUAAUAGGUUUAACCCUCACUCCAUCCAGUGAAAUCACUGAAAAUGAGUUAUGGUACAUCUGGUGCCUAACUGUUCUCUAUGCCACCAAGCUAGUCCUACCCAUCACUCCCAUUUUGAACACUCUCCUUAAUCCAGACAAAGCCACCUCUCUUACCUGGACAUUACUUGAAUGGUUCUCCCCAAUACCAUGGUGGAGAAAGAAGCUACCACAACUAUCAGAGACUUAUAAUCUUGAACGUAUGCCUGCCUCUGAAGCACAACUAUUCACAUCAAUAUUUAUCAUUCAUAGGCCAUACUUCCAACAUCCAGACACAAAUCUCUUUUGGACUCAAGACCAUGUAUAUGAAUGGAUUUACUGCACCUCACCCAGUUGUCUUUGACGAUGAAAUCCGAUUCCACCCUGCACAACUACCUUUGUCAAUUAAACCACCAAACUCCGCCACACAAAGGCAUCUUCCACACCUCCUUAGGUCCACAACAUGACCUCAUCAUGAUCCCCACUCCAUCCGCCAUAUCUAAACCAAAGUCCACAGGCAUCAUCAUUAAAGAAGAACGACCAGCCUACACUGACUUCCUUUACCAAGACUCCUAAGACCCAUGGGAAGAAUUCCUUCCCCUCAUCCAAUAUCUCCACCAGUUUCCACAACCAACCAUGUAUGAACCAGGAUCAUCAUCUCAACCCUCCAAAGCUGACAAGGCCACUCAAAUGCUAAGUCCUAAGUCCCAGUCAUCACCCUCCAAACCAGGAUGUCGAAGAGAUUGCCCUUAUCCACCUUGCCGUGGUCCCCACUGUAAGUAUCCAAAGCUCUCCAAAACCUUUUUUCCACCAACCUCUCGUGACACUGAUCCCGAUGAAACCGACAGCUCAUCUGAAGACGACUACAUGAAUCUCCACUCUCCAUAAAGUAGUUUGUCUUGUUGUAUGUUGUAAUAAUUAUAUUUCACUUUAUGCUUUUGUCUUGUAGUGGCUUGAAGAUGCUCAACUAACCGAAUAGAUUUUUCUCGCUUGUUGGGUUAAAGUCUUUUAGGUUAAACCUUUGAAAGGAAGGGAACAAUUCAUGGCUAUGAUCGGUAUGAUCUGGAUGGAGGUGAUGAGGGUAGGUUUAUUUAUAGAUGGACUGGUGAGAAAAUCAGGAACUAGAUUUUUAUCACCUUUUAUGUGCUGGACUGUGAAGUCAUACUUGGCAAACCAAGCUUUUAAACUGAGCAACUACUUGUCUGGAAGCAAUUUGUUCUUGAAGUCAAGAAUUUUUGGGAAAGAGGAGUUGAUAAGGAAAUUAAGACUAAUCAGAUGGAAUUCAAAUUUCUUGAUUCCAUAUUUGACUGCUAAAAGCUCCUUGUAAAUGACAUGAUAAUUCUUUUCUGCGUCCUUGAACUGUCCACUUGCAUGAGCGCAAUAGGACUCUAUUUCUCCAUUUUUUUCUAGAAGAAUGGCACUCUAGUAUUCAUCACUGGUGUCUGUUUGGAUAAUUCUUUGUCCAACUAUGGGAAUCUUGAGUGGUGGUGGUGACUGAGAAAUCUUUUUGAGCUUUUGAACAACUGUUGUCUGCUCAGGGCCCCAUGGUGGGGGUUGUUUAUUUUUUAAGCAUGCGCGACAACUAGUUGGUGUGGACCGCAACUUUGGGAAUAAAGUCUCUCAAAUAAUUCACAAUUCCAAGGAACUGUUGAAUUUGCUUUUUAUUGAGAUAUGUGUCUGGGAACUUUGUCAAUUCUUGUCCAAUGUGUGGUCCUGGAUGGUAGUGGCCAUUUUUUAACACCAUGCCUAAAAAGUCGAUAGAUUCCUUCCCAAUGCUGCUUUUCUUUUCGGAAAGCAUUAUGCCAUGUGUGUGUAUAAUGUCAAAGAAAUCUGAAAGUAAUUUUUGGUGGGUCUGGUGGUUGGUCGAAAACCAGAGCAUGAUGGAGGAUAGGAGAGAAUAUUUUCACCAUUGCUUUUUGGAACAGGGAAGGAGCAACUUUGAGACCAAAGGGCAUUAUUGUCCAUUGAUAAUGGGCAUUGGGAAUACAGAAGGUCGUUUUAGGUCUAUCAGAGGGUGAAAUGCCGAGUUGCCAGAAACCAGCUUUAAGAUCGAAUUUUGAGAAAAUUUUGGCAUCUUGAAGAUGGACAAAUAAGGACUGGAUUUUUUGAAGAGGAAAUUUUUCAUCUCUUAGAAAAGCAUUUAGAGGCUGAUAAUCAAUUACCAAUCUCUUUUUUCCUCGAACUAACUCAGACCUUUUUUCAACAUAAAAGGCUUGACAUGCCCAAUCUGAAGUUGUUGACUCAAUGAGACCUUGCCUAAGCAAUUGAUCACAUUCUUGUUUGGCUAAAAGAAGGUCAGAAGGUGGCAUUCCCGGAUGAGUUGCUUUUGUUUGAUUGAUAUCUUCAUUUAACUUGAAUGGUAGUUGAAUGAAGAACUUGUCAUUUUUCCAAAGAGGGAAAGGAUGAUUGAACUGAGAAUGAUUUUCAAGACAGAACUGAAGAAGUUUUUGAGUGAUGGGAGCAUAAAGAGGGUUGUAUCUGAGAGAGUAUACAGAUGAAGAAUAUCUGUACAAGGCAAAAACAUUUGUUUGAACUUGAUGCCGGUUGGUGUAAUGUAGAGGUUUCUUACUAGAUGUAGGAUAUCAAAUCCUAUGAGAAGAUCUUUGUUUGGUAAAUCUAAACCAACGAUUUUUUGCCAUAUGAUACAGUUUGGAAAGAACUGAAUCCCAAUGGGUUUUUUGGUAAUUAGUGAUGUUUUGAAAUUUUCACCAUUGGCUGCUUUGAAGAACUCAAUAUGUUUUUCCCAGUAAGAGGAAGGAAGAACGGUGGGACUGAGCAUACUGUGUUGUGCACCAGUAUCAAGGAAACCAAUAAUAGGAGUUGGCUUAUGAUACUUGGAAGGGAGAAUUGAAAUUCUUAUUGAAGGAGCAGGAGUUAACCUGAUUUACUUCUUGAACAUUAGAACUAACAGAAAUUUCAUCUAUCUUAGAAUCAUUUGUUGACUCUACGAGGAUGAAUGCUGUAUGAUCAUCAUAUUCUGUCUGUUCAAAGAGCAGUGAAGAUUUUUCCAGGUGUUGAAUGAGACGAACAGCUUCAGCAGACUUGUUUGGACAAUUUCGGGUAAAGUGACCACGUUUUUUGCAAAUGAAACAAUGGUUAUGCUUCUUUUUUCUGAACUGGGAUUGAUCAUUCUUCUUGAAGUAUCUGUAAGGUUUUUUGCCUCUUUGGAAGAUUGGUUUNNNNNNNNNNNNNNNNNNNNNNNNNNNNNNNNNNNNNNNNNNNNNNNNNNNNNNNNNNNNNNNNNNNNNNNNNNNNNNNNNNNNNNNNNNNNNNNNNNNNNNNNNNNNNNNNNNNNNNNNNNNNNNNNNNNNNNNNNNNNNNNNNNNNNNNNNNNNNNNNNNNNNNNNNNNNNNNNNNNNNNNNNNNNNNNNNNNNNNNNNNNNNNNNNNNNNNNNNNNNNNNNNNNNNNNNNNNNNNNNNNNNNNNNNNNNNNNNNNNNNNNNNNNNNNNNNNNNNNNNNNNNNNNNNNNNNNNNNNNNNNNNNNNNNNNNNNNNNNNNNNNNNNNNNNNNNNNNNNNNNNNNNNNNNNNNNNNNNNNNNNNNNNNNNNNNNNNNNNNNNNNNNNNNNNNNNNNNNNNNNNNNNNNNNNNNNNNNNNNNNNNNNNNNNNNNNNNNNNNNNNNNNNNNNNNNNNNNNNNNNNNNNNNNNNNNNNNNNNNNNNNNNNNNNNNNNNNNNNNNNNNNNNNNNNNNNNNNNNNNNNNNNNNNNNNNNNNNNNNNNNNNNNNNNNNNNNNNNNNNNNNNNNNNNNNNNNNNNNNNNNNNNNNNNNNNNNNNNNNNNNNNNNNNNNNNNNNNNNNNNNNNNNNNNNNNNNNNNNNNNNNNNNNNNNNNNNNNNNNNNNNNNNNNNNNNNNNNNNNNNNNNNNNNNNNNNNNNNNNNNNNNNNNNNNNNNNNNNNNNNNNNNNNNNNNNNNNNNNNNNNNNNNNNNNNNNNNNNNNNNNNNNNNNNNNNNNNNNNNNNNNNNNNNNNNNNNNNNNNNNNNNNNNNNNNNNNNNNNNNNNNNNNNNNNNNNNNNNNNNNNNNNNNNNNNNNNNNNNNNNNNNNNNNNNNNNNNNNNNNNNNNNNNNNNNNNNNNNNNNNNNNNNNNNNNNNNNNNNNNNNNNNNNNNNNNNNNNNNNNNNNNNNNNNNNNNNNNNNNNNNNNNNNNNNNNNNNNNNNNNNNNNNNNNNNNNNNNNNNNNNNNNNNNNNNNNNNNNNNNNNNNNNNNNNNNNNNNNNNNNNNNNNNNNNNNNNNNNNNNNNNNNNNNNNNNNNNNNNNNNNNNNNNNNNNNNNNNNNNNNNNNNNNNNNNNNNNNNNNNNNNNNNNNNNNNNNNNNNNNNNNNNNNNNNNNNNNNNNNNNNNNNNNNNNNNNNNNNNNNNNNNNNNNNNNNNNNNNNNNNNNNNNNNNNNNNNNNNNNNNNNNNNNNNNNNNNNNNNNNNNNNNNNNNNNNNNNNNNNNNNNNNNNNNNNNNNNNNNNNNNNNNNNNNNNNNNNNNNNNNNNNNNNNNNNNNNNNNNNNNNNNNNNNNNNNNNNNNNNNNNNNNNNNNNNNNNNNNNNNNNNNNNNNNNNNNNNNNNNNNNNNNNNNNNNNNNNNNNNNNNNNNNNNNNNNNNNNNNNNNNNNNNNNNNNNNUGUUCAUAAAAUGACUGUAAGGGCUGUUGCGACUGUGGUUUGAAUUAAUUGAAGUUGUCUGUAUUCUCUUAGACUUUCAAACCAAUCUCGCAAAGAACCAGUGAAUCUCGAACAGAAUUCUCGAAGAACUGUUUGAGAAUGUGCAUUUGGUCGUGUCUUAGGCAUGACCUGAGCUUUGGUGGUGAAGGAUUGGGUUCUUGUGGAAUGGCAUUUGUGUUUUCUUUUUCUAUCCAUUUGAGAGCCUUUUUGUAGAUCAGUAAAGGCUGAUUUGAACUUGGAUCAUUCGGUGGUUCCGGAGAAUAUGAUCUGCAAGGAGUCUUUGGAUGAGAAGGUUUCUUGUUUCUCCUUCUUCUUCUCCUCAUGAUUUCAAAGUCUUCAUCAUCGUCAUAUGGAUCUUCGAGGUAAGGGCAAUCAAGAUUGCACAUAUGAGAGAAUAUAGACAGCUCCAAUUCAUGGAAUCUCUGAUUGGUACAGUCCUCAAUCUUAUUCAUGAGCAAUUCAUCGGUGAAAAAAUUACUUCCACUGUCCUUGUCGGUGUGCUUUACUUUUGUUAAAGUCCUUGUCGGUAUGCUUUCCUUUUGUUAAAGUCCUUGUAGGUUUGCUUCACCUUUUGUGAAAGUCCUGAUCGGCGUGCUUUGAAAGCUAUCCCACAUUACUGGCAAGCCAAAGCUCCUGGUCGCUUAUAAGCAUUGGGCAGUCCUCACCCUUUGAGAGCUCUUUUGGGGUUGAGUUAGGCCUGGCCCAAGUUGGUAUCAGAGCCAAGGCCCGAGGGCGAGGGUAGAGUGAAUGAUAAGCUCUUAUUCCACAUCGCUGGCAAGCCAAAGCUCCUGGUCGCUUAUAAGCGUUAGGCAGUCCUCACCCUUUGAGAGCUCUUUUGGGGUUGAGUUAGGCCCGGCUUGAGGCAAGUGCAAACCAUAAGAAGUGUCCAUUGACUUUAUCAGGAUAAACUGGAUAUCCUUCUGAAGAAAAUCCAUAAAGUUGGAGAUUUUCUUCUUAUCCCGUGGUUACUGCUUUGAUCAUAGCAGUACAUGAGAGCCUUGGAGUUUCGGGAUCUUAAGAUUGUCCUGGGGUUUGGAAAGACAUCUUAACUUGGCCAUCAGAUCUUCUUUCAAAUAUGGCUUUAGAAGUUUGGAUUGGCUCUGAGUUUUGGUGAAACUGCUCAUAGUUGGAAAUCCAUUCAAAGGGCAUGAGUUGAAGCAACUCUUGCUUUUGAAUUUGUUUAAGGAUUUGGAUUAUUGUUGGGAUUGUAUUAGUGUCUGCAAGGAUCAUUAAUGCAUCUAUGGUUGUUUGUGAAGGGGGGAGGUCUAGUGCAUGAUUCUGCAAUCGAUACACUAUUUGAUUUUAAAGUAGCUGUUUGUUCUGCUCCUUGGAGCUGAAUUUGAACUUUUAUAGUUGUUGGGGGAUUUGGGUCUUCAAGGGACAUGUUGAAAUUGGGGUAGAAGGUUAACAAUACAAUUUCCAGCAUGGAGUGUAGUUAAAACAGUGCCAAUAACAGCAUGUUAGUAUUCUUUGAAUCUGGUAUCCAUGAGGGAAAUUCUGGCAGUGACUGGCAAGCCUUUUCUACCAUGUAAGGUGAGAAUUAGCCUUACUCCUCCAAGAUGGAGGUGCGUAUACCCUUCUCGUUUCCAGUUGGUUAUGAGAUCUGUAGGUAUCUCGAGUGUAACAUAUUGUUCACUCUGGCUUGAAGAGCACAUUGAUGUAGUCUUGUAGACUGAAUGUAUUCUUUGGGUAUAUGUCGUUUAGUAGAGAUCAAGGUUCUGAUACUUUUGGUGAAAGAGGUUUUUUGUUUGUAAAGAUGGUAUGGGCUCAUUACUAGGAACUAUGAUUCAUUGAUCUGGGCAGAUUCAAGAAUAUAUGAGUAUUCAACAAGGUUUUCUAUUUUUGAAGCUAUAUGUUUCUGACACGAACGGGAUAAAGAGAGAGUAAAACAAAGAGAAAUAUGACAAGAUUAAGAGGAUACUGGGUUUGUAGAUGAGGAAGCUAUACUGGUGAGAUUUCUUCUAGGUUGACUAGCAACACUUGACACAUUAAACUUAUGAUCCCAGAACUUUAAUAGUUUAAAUGCCACGUACUCUGACCCCACUAGUAUCAGAGCCCAAACCGAAGAAAUCUCAAAGCAGAUAACAGUUAAAUGCCACGUACUCUGACCCCACUGGUAUCAGAGCCAAACGAAGAAAUCUCAAGCAGAGGUGGUAUCAUAGUUUAAUGUGUUCAAGUGUUACUGGUAUCAGAGCCAACCAAACAUUUUCCCGAGGUGGUAUCAUGGUUUAAUUCUCAAGUAUUAUUAUUCAAGACCUAGAAAAAACUCUAUCAAACAUGGCAUCUUCCUCUUCUUCAACCGAUAUAGCUUCAUCAAAAUCUUCUCCUAUUUCUCUCUCUUCUACUCUGUCUUUACCUCGUUCUUGUCAAAAACAUGUAGCCUCAAAAAUAGAAAAUCUUGUUGAAUACUCGUAUAUCCCUGAAUCUGCUCAGAUUAAUGAAUCCCAGUUUCCUGUUAUGAGUCCAUACCAUCUCCAGAAGAGAACAACAUUUCAUCUGGUGAUAUUCUUUUCGAGAUGCUUCAGUUGAUGCUGCUGGUUCUCCAAUAAACUACUCAUAAAUGACUACAAGAGCUAUAGGAAUUAUGGUUUGAAUCAAUUGGAGUUGUCUGUAUUCGCCUAGACUUUCAAACCAAUCUCAUAGAGAUCCAGUGAAUCUGGAACAAAACUCUCGGCGAACAUUAUGAGAUUGUGCAUUAGGACUUGCCAUUUGCACAUCAAUCCAGGCAGUAAAUUCUUGAUGUCGAGCCUGCCAUUUGUGACGAGGGAUGUCAUCAAAUGUAAACCAUGGAGAAGAAGAUGGUUUGGAAGAUUUUUCAGAAACCGGAGGGACAGAGGGAGCCGGUUCUAUUUGUGAGCCUUGGACAUUAUCAUUAUCAUCAGAAGAUUCUUCGGCAAUAGGAGUGUCUACAACAGGAGUGGAUGUACUAGGAUCUUCUGCUUUUGUGGCCAUGAGAAGACCAGAAAUAUCUGCAUAUUGAGACUCGGAGUCUGAAGAAGUUUGUUCAGAGGAACUGAGUAUCUCUGUGGAGGGUAAACUUUCUUCUGAGGUAGAAUCUGAGUCAUUGUUUGUAGAAUCAAUGUGCUGAUAAUGGUAUUGAUAAGCUGGAGCUUUGUCUUUCUUUGGAGGUUCAGGAGUUGCUUUAGGAGAGUCUUUUGGAACUUGAAGAUCUUCCUUGGGUGGAGGUUUUGAGAUCUUGACUUUUGAUUUGGAUCUUUUUAGUGAAGUAGUUUUUGGUGGUGGAACGAAAGGGAUAUUAUGAAGAUGGGAAAGACCAAAGAAUUGGUCGUAAGUUGACUGUUUAGAAGAAGUGUAAAAAGUCUGGUAUGAUGUGAAUAGCGGUGCUGGAAUAGGUAUGGACUAUGUUUUGGUGAAAAGUGACGGUUGUGCUUUGUUAGUAUUAAUUCUGGCCAAUUCUGCCUUUUUAGCUGUCUGAUCUCUGCUUCUUUCUUAUUGAAUUCUGGACCCCAAAUACGAUUGUUGAUCAUCAUUCUGAGAUCAGUAUCUAAUUCAGAUAUUCUAUUAUGCAAAUUUGAAUAAAUCUGUUCAAGUCGGGAAGUGAUUGUGUCCACCUUUGUUUCUAUUUGCGACACUUGUGAUGCCACUUUGUCAAUCUUCUUACCAGGAUGGUGGAGAGCUUGAUUCUGAGCACUGGCAUUUUGGGUUUGCCAGUUUAGUACUGCUUCAUACUACUUUGGUGCUUCUGGUGCUCCAGAGGUUGUGAUUGGUGAUUGGACAUAGGGUUGAGAAACAACUUUGGUUUGAGGGUUUGUGUGCCUUUCGAGUGGAGGAAAGGAUUCUUGGUAUGAUUGGCUAGAAGAUGAGAACAUCAAGCAUGACUUGAUUUUUGGUUGAGCAGGAAUAGGCUUAAAUGAGGAGUCUCGUUGGAGUUGCUUGAGUGCUUUCUUGUAAAUGGGUAAAGGUUGAUCUGAUUCUGGAUCAUCCAGUGGUCCUGAAGAAUAGGGCCUACACGGGGUUUUAAGAGUAGAAGGCUUUUUCUUUCUCCUUCGCCUUUGUCUCAUGAUUUCAAAGUCUUCUUCAUCAUCUGUGUCAUCCAAACAGGGACAAGUUGGAUUACACAUAUGGGCUUCUGGAACAUCCCAUAAAAAGUGAUCGUUGACUUUGUCAGGGUAAACAUGAUACCCUUUUGAGGAAAUUGCUGUAAUCAUAGUAGUAUAUGAGAGCCGUGGAGGAUCUGGACUUGGCUUGUCUGGAGUCUGAAAAGACAACUUGACUUGUCCAUCUAUUCUUCUUUCGAAGACAGCUUGAGAAGUCUGGACAGGUUCUGAAUUCUGAUGGAAUUGUUCAUAGUUGGUAAGCCAUUCUAAAGGCAUGAGUUGGAGCAACUCUUGUUUUUAAUUUGUUUGGGGAUCUGGAUGAUGGUUGGAAUUGUAUCUGUGUCUGCAAGAAUCAUCAGUGCAUCACUGGUUGUUUGUGUAGUUGGGAGAUCUAGCACAUGAUUUUGCAAUCGAUACACUAUCUGAUGAUAGAGUGUGGCUAUUUUGGAAGUGGAAGUUUGUUCUGCUCCUUGGAGCUGGAUUUGGACUUUCAGUGUUGUGAGAAAGGUUGGAAUCUUCUAGGGACAUGUUGAAAUUUGGGUAGAAGGUUAACAAGACACUUCCAGUAUAGAGAGUGGUUAAAACUGUGCCAAUAACAGCAUGUUGAUACUGUUUGAACCUUGUGUCAAGGAGGGCAAUUCUGGCUAUGACGGGUAAGCCUUUUCUGCCAUGUAAGGUGAGGAUAAGCCGGACACCACCUAGAUGGAGGUGUGUAUACCCUUCUCGUUUCUAGUUAGUGACGAGAUCUGUGACUAUUGUUCACUUUGAGAGGCUUGGAGAGCACACUGAUCAAGUCGUGAAGACUGGAUGUACUCUUUGGGAAGAGGCCUUUUUGUGGAAAUUAGGGUUCUGAUACUUCGUGUGAAAGAAGUUUUUUGUUUAUAGAGAUGGUAUGGACUCAUAACAGGAAACUAAGAUUCAUUAAUCUGAGCAGAUUCAGAGAUAUACGAGUAUUCAACAAGAUUUUCUAUUUUUGAGGCUACAUGUUUUUGACAAGAACGAGGUAAUGACAGAGUAGAAGAGAGAGAAAUAGGAGAAGAUUUUGAUGAAGCUAUAUCGGUUGAAGAAGAGGAAGAUGCCAUGUUUGAUAGAGUUUUUUCUAGGUCUUGAAUAAUAAUACUUGAGAAUUAAACCAUGAUACCACCUCGGGAAAAUGUUUGGUUGGCUCUGAUACCAGUAACACUUGAACACAUUAAACUAUGAUACCACCUCUGCUUGAGAUUUCUUUGUUUGGCUCUGAUACUAGUGGGGUCAGAGUACGUGGCGUUCUUCUAGUAUAAAACGAAGCCAAACGAAGAAAUCUCAAGUAGAGGUGGUAUCAUAGUUUAAUGUGUUCAAGUGUGACUUGUCAACCUAGAAGAAAUCUCAUCACUAUGGCAUCCUCAUCUACAAACCCAGUUUCCUCUGAAUCUUCUCAUAUUUCUCUUUCUUCUACUCUCUCUUUACCCUGUUCUUGUCAGAAACAUAUAGCUUCAAAAAUAGAAAACCUUGUUAAAUACUCAUAUAUUCCUUAAUCUACCCGGAUCAAUGAAUCACAGUUCCUAGUAAUGAGCCCAUACCAUCUUUAUAAACAAAAAACCUCUUUCACCAAAAGUAUCAGAACCUUGAUCUCUACUAAAAGACCUCUACCCAAAGAAUACAUUCAGUCUUCAAGACUACAUCAAUGUGCUCUUCAAGCCUCCCAGAUUGAACAAUAUGUUACACUUGAGAUACCUAUAGAUCUCGUAACCAACUGGAAAUGAGAAGGGUAUACACACCUCCAUCUUGGAGGAGUAAGGCUAAUUCUCACCUUACAUGGUAGAAAAGGCUUGCUAGUCACGGCCAGAAUUGCCCUCCUGGAUACCAAAUUCAAAGAAUACCAACAUGCUGUUAUUGGCACUGUUAUUGUUAACCUUCUACCCCAAUUUCAACAUGUCCCUUGAAGACCUAAAUCCCCCAACAACUAUAAAAGUUCAAAUCCAGCUCCAAGGAGCAGAACAAACAGCUACUUCAAAAUCAAAUAGUGUAUCGAUUACAGAAUCAUGCACUAGACCUCCCCACUUCACAAACAACCAUAGAUGCAUUAAUGAUCCUUGAAGACACUGAUACAAUCCUAAUAAUAAUCCAAAUCCCUAAAUAAAUUCAAAAGCAAGGGUUGCUUCAACUCAUGCCCCUUGAAUGGCUUUCCAACUAUGAGUAGUUUCACCAAAACUCAGAGCCAAUCCAAACUUCUAAAGCCAUUUUUUAAAGAAGAUCUGAUGGCCAAAUUAAGAUGUCUUUCCAGACCCCAGGACAGUCUUCAGAUCCCCGAAGCUCCAAGGCUCUCAUGUACUGCUAUGAUCAAAGCAGUAACCACGGGACAAGAAGAAAAUCUCUAACUUUAUGGAUUUUCUUCAGAAGGAUAUCCAGUUUAUCCUGAUAAAGUUAAUGGACACUUCUUAUGGGAUGUUCCAGAAGCCCAUAUGUGCAAUCCUGAUUGCCCUUACCUUAAAGAUCUAUAUGACGAUGAUGAAAACUUUGAAAUCAUGAGGAGAAGAAGAAGGAGAAAGAAGAAACCUUCCCAUCCAAAGACUCCUUGCAGAUCAUAUUCUCCGGAACCACCGGAUGAUCCAAGUUCAAAUCAGCCUUUAUCGAUCUACAAAAAGGCUCUCAAAUGGAUAGAAAAAGAAAACACAAAGGCCAUUCCACAAGAACCCACUCCUUCACCACCAAAGCUCAGGUCAUGCCUGAUGUUUUCCUCCUCCAGUCAAUCCUACCAAGAAUCAUUUCCCCCACUUGAAAAACAAACAGAUACACAAACCAAAGUUGUUUCUCAGCCUUUUGUACAGUCACCCAUCACAUCUUCUGGUCAACCAGAAGCUCUAAAGCAAUAUGAAGCAGUCUUAAAUUGGCAAACAAAAAAUGCCAAUGCUCAAAACCAAGCACUUCAUAAUCUUGGGAGAAAAAUCGACAAAGUUGCAACCCAGGUGACAAAAACUGAAACAAAGGUGGAUUCACUUAGUUCUCAGUUAGAACAGAUCUAUCAGAAUUUACAGAACAGAAUCUCUGAACUUGAUGUUGAUCCCAGAACGAUGAUUAAAUGGGGUCCAGAAUUCAACAAAAAGAAGCAGAGAUUAGAAAACUAAAAGCUGAGCUAGCCAGAAUAGAUGCAGACAAAGAACAACCAUCCCUUUUCACCAAAACUCAAUCUUUACCAAUUCAUGCCUCUCUAUUUGACAUAUAUCAACCUUUCUAUAACCCUUCCAAACUGCCAAUGGACUAUAACAAGUUCUUUGGUCUUUCUCAUCUCCUUUACAGAGAUCCAACACCACCAUCACCAUCUAAAAAGCUAGCCAUGAAAGUCAAAAUUUCAGAACCAAAACCAAAAGAAACCUCUCCAAUACCUGAAGACUCUCCAAAGGCAACUCCUGAACCAAGGAAAGACAAAGCUCCUAUACACCAAUACUUUUACCAAAGUGUUGGGUUACAAGGCAGUGAUCCAGAUUCAGACUCAUCCUCUUAUUAUAGUUCUAGUUCUCAAGAGCAAUCUUCCUCAGACUCAGAGUCUCAAUAUACAGAUAUUUCUGGCUUACUCAUAGUUCAACCAUCCGCAAAGACCGAAGAACCAAACACAUCUACACCAAUUGUAGAUGAAUCUGAUGAUGAAAAUGCAGAUCAAGGCAGUUCACAAAUUGAACCAAUUCCUCCAAACCCACCAGAACCUGAAACUUCCUUUAAACCAUCUUCGACACAAUGGUUCACUUUUGAUGACAUUCCUCGCCACAAAUGGCCAACCAGAUACCAGAAUUUGCUACUUGGGUCGAUGUACAAAUGACACGACCAAAUGCACAUUCUCAAAUAGUUCUUCGAGAAUUCUGUUCGAGAUUCACUGGUUUUUUGCGAGAUUGGUUUGAAAGUCUGGGAGAAUAUAGACAACUUCAAUUAAUUCAAACCACAAUUGCAACAGCCCUUACAGUCAUUUAUGAACAGUUCAUUGGAGAACCAGCUGCAACAAAUGAAGCCUCUAGAAAAGAACUUCAUCAAAUGAAAAUGUUGCUCUCUCAAGCGCAACCAUUUGGAGAUGCAUUACAAGAGAAUGAGCAUGCUCUACUACAAGUUAGAUGGAUUUAAUGAUCCAACUUUAAAGCAUGUUUUCAUUGCUUCACUUCCUCUAGAACUUCAGCUAGAACUUCAAAGACAACUCACAGCUUCUAAUUUGGACAUAGCCAACAUUUCUCUUGGAAAAAAUUUUCAGUUGACUAUGUUAUGUCUUGAUAGAUUGUGUGAACAAAAAGACUUCUUCAAAGACCUCAUUGAAAAUAAACAGCCCUUUGCCUCAGCCUGCAAAAAACCAUACCUCAAAAUCUAGUGCAAAGAUGACAAAAAAUGCACUUGUCCAACCAAGAAGAAAGGUCAUUUCCAAAAGCACCCUCAUCGAUCUUCCAAAAGAUGCAAAAAACCUUAUAGAUACUUCAAGAAUAAGGAUCAAUCCCAGUUCAGAAAAAAGAAGCAUAACUAUUGUUUCAUUUGCAAAAAACGCGGUCACUUUGCCCGAAAUUGUCCAAACAAGUCUGCCAAAGCUGUUCGUCUCAUUCAACACCUGGAAAAAUCUUCACUACUCUCUGAACAUGAUGAAGUUGAGUCAAAUUUCUCUAAAUAGACAGAAUAUGAUGAUCAUACAGCAUUCAUCCUCGCAGAGUCAACAAAUGAUUCUAAGGUAGAUGAAAUUUCUGUUAUUUCUACUGUUCAAGAAGUAAGUCAGGUUAAUUCUAAACCUACUGCUCAUUCAAUAAGAAUUUCAGUUCUCCCUUCCAAGUAUCAUAAGCCAACUCCUGUUAUUGGUUUCCUUGAUACUGGUGCACAAUGCAGUAUUCGCAAUUCCACAGUUCUUCCUUCCUCUUGCUGGGAAAAACAUAUUAAGUUCUUCAAAGCAGCCAAUGGUGAAAUUUUCAAAACAUCACUUAUUACCAAAAAACCCAUUGGGAUUCAGUUAUUUUCAAACUGUAUGAUAUGGCAAAAAAUCAUUGGUUCAGAUUUACCAGACAAAGAUCCUGUCAUAGGAUUUGAUGUCCUACAUCUAGUAAGAAACCUCCACAUUACACCAACUGGCAUCAAGUUCAAACAAAUGUUUUUGCCUUAUACAGAUAUUCUUCGUUUGUAUACUCUCUCAGAUACAGCCCCACUUUAUGCUCCCAUCACUCAAAAACUUCUUCAGUUCUGUCCUGAAAAUCAUUCUCAGUUCAGUCAUCCUUUCCCUCUUUGGAAAAAUGACAAGUUCUUCAUUCAACUACCAUUCAAGUUAAAUGAAGAUAUCAAUCGAACAAAAGCAACUCAUCCGGUAAUGCAACCUUCUGACCUUCUUUUAGCCAAACAAGAAUGUGAUCAAUUGCUUAGGCAAGGUCUCAUUGAGUCAACAACUUCAAAUUGGGCGUGUUAAACCUUUUAUGUUGAAAAAAAAGGUUUGAGUUAGUUCGAGGAAAAAAGAGAUUGGUAAUUGAUUAUCAGCCUCUAAAUGCUUUUCUCAGAGAUGAAAAAUUUCCUCUUCCAAAAAUCCAAUCCUUAUUUGUCCAUCUUCAAGAUGCCAGAAUUUUCUCAAAAUUUGAUCUUAAAGCUGGUUUUUGGCAACUCGGCAUUUCACCCUCUGAUAGAGGGCAUUACUGCCCAUUAUCAAUGGACAGUAAUACCCUUUGGUCUCAAAGUUGCUCCUUCCCUGUUCCAAAAAGCAAUGGUGAAAAUAUUCUCUCCCAUCCUCCAUCAUGCUCUGGUGUAUAUCGAUGACAUUUUGUUGUUUUCCACCAACCACCAGACCCACCAAAAAUUGCUUUCAGAUUUCUUUGACAUUAUAGACACACAUGGCAUAAUGCUUUCCGAAAAGAAAAGAAGCAUUGGAAAGGAAUCUAUCAACUUUUUAGGCAUGGUGUUAAAAGAUGGCCACUACCAUCCAAGACCACACAUUGUACAAGAAUUGACAAAGUUCCCAGACACAGAUCUCAAUAAAAAGCAAAUUCAACAGUUUCUUGGAAUUGUGAAUUAUUUGAGAGACUUUAUUCCCAAAGUUGCGGUCCACACCGGCAAGUUGUCAUGCAUGCUAAAAAAACAACCCCCACCAUGGGCCCUGAGCAGACAACAGCUGUUCAAAAGCUUAAAAAGAUUUCUUAGUCACCACCACCACUCAAGAUUCCCACAGUUGGACAAAGAAUUCUCCAGACAGAUGCUAGUGAUGAAUACUGGAGUGCCAUUCUUCUAGAAAAAAUUAGAGAAAUAGAGUCCUAUUGCGUUAAUGCAAGUGGAUAGUUCAAGGAUGCAGAGAAGAAUUAUCAUGUCAUUUACAAGGAGAUUUUAGCAGUCAAAUAUGGAAUCAAGAAAUUUGAAUUCCAUCUGAUUAGUCACAAUUUCCUUAUCAAAAUGGACAACUCCUCUUUCCCAAAAAUCCUUGACUUCAAGAACAAAUUGCUUCUAGAUAAGCAGUUGCUCAGUUUAAAAGCUUGGUUUGCCAAGUAUGACUUCAUAGUCCAGCACAUAAAAGGUGAUCAAAAUCUAAUUCAUGAGUUUCUCACCCGUCCAUCUAUAAAUAAACCUACCCUCAGGUACAUCACAACUCCUAAUCAUGCACCAUCCCUUCUCUGGACAUUACUUGAAUGGUUUUUGCCAUUAACAUGGUGGUGUAAACAACUCCAAAACAUCACAACCCAUCAUCAGAUCUGUUUACCUCAGUUUUCAUCAUUCACAGACUAUAUUUUCAACGUCCAACCACUAAAGACUACUGGACACAAGACAUGGCAUAUGAAUGGAAAACAUUUCCACAUCCAUUUCCACUCAACCAUGAUCCAACCAUCGUCUUAGCCCUUAAAGCUUUCCUUCUGGAACUCAAUAAUGUCCAACCAGUCCCAACAAACAUUUGUCACACAUCCAUAGGACCAUCUCACUCACUUGAGGUUCUACCACGAUCCCAAGAAAAUACUCCAGGAUCAAGCUCAGGUCCGAGGGGUAUUCUCGUUAGAGAAGAGCGCCUUGAUUACACGAAUGUUCUUUUUCAAGAUGCUCAAGAUCCUUGGGAAGACUUUCACUCACUUCUCCCAUCUCAAGAGUCUCCAUGUUUUCCUACUGAGUCGGUCUCUCAGCCAGUCACGACUGCCGCAGAAAAAGAUGAGCUUGAUGAAGAUUGGAUGACGUACCAACAAAUUUACAAAGCUUGAAAGAAAGAGACAAGAGACAUAUCUCCAUCCAGAUUUCCCUCCACUUCAUAAAGCUUCUAGCUUUUUCACAUGGCUACAGCAGCUUUCUGUGGAUUUUGGCUUUAAUAAAAGUUGACAGGGAUCCUGUCCUGUCUAAAGUGUGUUUUUAUGUUUUUCACGUGCGAACUUUUUCUUUAUGCUUUCUCUUUAUGCAUUUUGUCGUUUGCUUUCAAAGAUAAGGGUCCUGUCUUAUCUUUUGCUUUCCAAAGCUCUAUAUAAGAGCUCUCAAGUCUUUGUAUUAGCCAGAACAUCUUCAAUAAAAAUUUGAGUGUUUAUUUAUAAUCCUCCAAUGUCGCUCUAAAUCCCUCUCUUCUGAGUAUGCUCUGCACUUGCCUUUGAGUAAGGAUCUUGUGCAUCAGAAAAGUCCUGAUUUAUCUUCAAACCAGUUUAUCAAAAUUGUUCUCUCACAACGUUCACCCUUUUCAAGAGUCUAUGAGAUGACUUCUCCUCGGGUGGUAUUGUGGGCAAUGGUUUUCUCCCACUGGUUUGAUAUCUAAAGGAUUAGAGUAUAUCGGCUGGAAACCCGCACUUGCGGACUACUGGUCCAAAGAACAGUUUUAACUGUUAUAGUUCUAGUAUAACAACACCACGUACUCUGACCCCCCACUAGUAUAAGAGAAUAAAUUAUACAUCAAGUCUUGAUUCACUUAAAUGAAUUUCACCCUUCAAGAAUUAGUGAGUUUGUGAAAUAUACCAUUUAUCAUAUUACUUAUGACACAUUUUUCAAUCAUCAAAAUUACAAUUUGUAUAGUCCUUUAGGCUAACAAUCUCCCUUUUUUGUUGAUGACAAACAUCUCAUGUAUUUUGACAUUUCUACUCCCCUUGAGUAUGUGACGUAUAUGAUUCAAUAAUUAAACAAAUGAAAUAGAUCUAGCCUCCCCUUCAAUACAUGAUCAAUAAUAUUUGUAAACUCCCCCUAAGUAAGGCACUUCAAAAGUUUCAAAAUACAUGUUACCUCUUCUCCCCCUUAAAACUCAACAAUUGUUAAUCAAGAAACCAUCAUGUAUCAAACAAAUAACUAGAGCAUCUAGAAAUAUUAUUAUCAAAUCAAAACAUCCAAACAUCAACAAGAAUCCAGAAAGCAAAGUUCAAAUAGAAGUGUCAAAUGCAUAUGAGAAUCUAAGUGCAUAACGAGAUAGGGAACAAGAAUAAAAACAAAAGAUGAAUGACACUAGUUAGGUAGUUGAGAUGAUGAGGAUGAUGGUGGUGGAUACCCAAGGGCAGAAAAAAGUCACUGCCGGCCCUCAAGGAUCUACUGUUGUUGAUCAAAGAACUGCUCAGAAUGGAAAUAAAUCUGAAAUCCCUCGAAUUGUGAUUGAAGUUAACUCUACUACUCAUAUAUGAAGCGCACUUCACUCAACAGCUGUUGUAUUCGAUCCUUAGAAACUGUUGAGGUGGAAUGAGAAUGCUGAGGAUUGAUCGUUGUGCGGCACUAAGAUCGGGAAGCUAGUCUGAGGGAAGAAAAUCGUUAAAAGUAUGAUGAUCUAAAGGAGCUAGUUCUAUAACCUUGUUCUUAUAUCUUCAGUCUUUAACCCACUUGUCAUCCACCCACAAAAACUCUAAAUUCGCUAUAGUUUCAUCUCCUAGCUCUUUAGUACCCAGAAAGGUUGGUUCAGUUAGAGGAAUCAGAAAUAUUUAAGAAUUCAGGUAAUGAUGCUACCAAAUAGAAGAGAAUACUAUCUAAUAAGGCCACAUCUAAGUCGGUAACUUCAUCCCCAUGCCGAGACCUAGAACUAAUAACAUGCUGAAGGACACUAUGAAGAAUUUGAAGCUAAAGAGGUAAGGCUGGUGAUUUCAAAGUAGAGUUACAAAAUUUUGGAGACAAAUUGGAUCGUCUAUAUAUUUUCCAAACAACAUCUUCAACAGAAUACCAAGGAUAAUCGAUUCUGUUCCUAGAGGUAUAAAGUUCUAGCCUUUUAUUCUCAGUUCUAAGAAUCAUAUUUAAAUAUGCUACAUCACCUCAAUAGAAAUUCCCCCAACAUUUGUAACAACUCUAUUAGUGGUUUGUGAAGAAAACCAUGUUUGAGUAAAAGACUCGAACUAAAUUAGGGUAAACUCGUUCCUUAAUAACUAAGACAUUUGUCCAACCCAUAUCAACAAGUAAUUCCCUAAGAGUUUUGUCAUAAAUAGCUAAGUUCUCUAAAUUAUCAAGGUUAACAAAAUAGAAGGUGAGAAUCGACCUUGAAAUAAAUUUGUUUUGAAAAAUGUUUCCGAAAUGAUGGAUGUGGUAAGUGAGUCAAAAUGAAUUCUAGAAUAUCCCCAUGAUGUUCUUUGUGAUUUUUGGCUACUUGCUUUCCUUGGACUUAUCACCACUAGUCAUUGUUGAAAUUACCAAAGUACUUGAACACACAAAUUCGGGUUUACACAAUUAUGAGUGAAAUGAAUGAUGUUGAACCAAUUAUAUUGAUCCUAGAGAUAAUUUGAGACAAUGCGUAGGUUCAAUUUGAUCAAAAGUGAGCUAAAAUUGGCUGAAAUUUGAAGAGAGAGAACAGGUAACCUACGUUUUGAAUUUGGGAUUUUUGAAAAUACUUGAUAAAAUGAAGUUUUGGAAGUGUAUAAUGAGAGAUGAAUAUGUGGGAAAUGGUUAUGAAAGUUUAUUUUGACAUGAAAAUUGAUAAAAAAAAAUGGAUGAUUUUAGAGUGAGAGAGAAAGAAUAGAUGGAGAUGAACGAGUUUUCAAGAGAGAGAAAGAAUGAAUGAAGAAGAAGAUCAAUAAAAGUAAUAAUACUCAAAGCCGACUAGCUGGGUGAAUUAGGCGGCUAGCGAUUAAGUCUCGAGUUUGGCUGGCAACUGGCCGCUUGCUUCUAGAUGACUAGUCGGUUCCCCUGUUUUUUGCACCUUCUUGCUUUUCGGCCAAAAUUUGAUCAAUUCUGAGACCAUUGUGUGACCUCGAAUAAUUUUGAAAGCCAUGAGACAUGAUGAUAAUCAUUCAAAAACUAUCAAAAAUUGAAAAUCAAUCAAAUUAAUAGUCUUAAUAUCAUGAGGAGAAAUAUUAGUAUGAAAAUCUCAUCAUCCGAAGUUCAUGUCGAAUUUUUGAAAAAUAUUUUGCGCAAAAGUUGUUUUUCUGUAGAAAUAAAUUCUAAUGCAAUAUCUCUCUUUUGAACAUGAUCUCUUAAGAAAUAAUGUCUAAUCUCCAUAUGCUUUGUACUAGAAUGUUGAAUGGUAUUCUUUGAUAGGUUUAUAGCACUAGUAUUAUCACACAUGAUAGGAAUUUGAUAUGGUUAAUGUCAUAGUCUCUAAGGGUUUGGUUCAUCCAAAGUGCUUGUACACAACAACUACCUGCAGCAAAAUAUUCUGCCUCGGUGAUUGAAAGUGGAAUAGAAUUUUAUUACACUAGUACUCUUCCUAUCAACCUUGUAAUCGAUAAAAUUAGCAUCCAAAUAAUAGGUUAAAUCUAGGUGAGUUCCUCUAGGAUACCAAAGGCUAAGAUCUAGAGUUCGAUUCAAAUAACAUAAAAUUCCUUUAACCGCAAGCAAAUAAGAUUCCUUAGGACAUGAUUGAAAUCUUGCACACAAAUAUAGACUAAACAUGAUAUCAAGUCUACUAGCAGUUAAGUAAAGUAAAGAUCCAAUCAUACCUCGAUACAUUUUGAUUCAAACUUAAUAGUUGAGCUCAUUGGAAUACUUUUAGCGUUUCUUUGACAUAUUUGGCUUGAUUGAUGAAGAUUCCUCCAUUGUAUUGUUUGAUUUGAAGUCCGAGGAAAUACUUCAAUUCUCCUAUCAUGCUCAUUUCAAAUUCUUUAUUCAUGCCUGAGGAAUUUAGGGAGUGUUUGAGAGUCACCUUGAUUUUGCUCUAUAUUAGUUUGUUCUUCUUGUUUGCCAGUUUAAGACUGCCUCAAAAGAACGAGGUUCUUCUAAAUGGCCAGUAGGAGUUACUGCAGAGGGUUAGGAGAUGAUCAUUAAAGCUUCUGAAUUUGCAGUUUGUGGGGUUGGCAAAUCCAAAGCAUGAUUUUCCAGCCUCUAAACAAGCUGAUUGUGUAGGGUAGCUAUUUUAGCUAAGGUGAUUUGUUCAGCUCCUUGAAGUUGGAUUUGAACUUUUAGAGUGGUAGCAAGGUUGGAAUCAAGAAGUGAAAGAUUAAAAUUGGGAUAAAAGGUAAGCAAAGCACUUCUGGCAUUGAGGGUGGUUAGGACUGUGCCAAUGAUGGCAUGCUUAUAUUGCUUAAACCUGGUGUCAAGUAAAGCAAUUCUGGCUGUGACAGGUAAGCCUUUUCUCCCAUGAAGAGUGAGAAUAAGACGAACACCUCCAAGGUGAAGAUGUGUAUAGCCUUCACGUUUCCAUGUAGAGAUCAAUUCUGAGGGGAUCUCAAGACAUAUUGUUCAGGUGUGGUAGCUUGCAAAGUACACUGAUCGAGUCGGGAUGACUGGAUAUAUUCCUUCGGAUGGGGUCGUUUGGUGGAAAUUAGGGUUUUGAUACUUCUGGUAAAGGACGAUUUUUUGUACAAGUGAUAGGGACUAAUGAGAGGUAAAGAGGAUUCAUUGAUUUGAACAUAUUCAGGAACAUAGGAGUAUUCAACAAGAUUUUCUAUUUUACUAGCUAUUUGUUUAGUACAGGAUUUAGGUAAAGAAAGGGUAGAAGAGAGAGUAACUGGAGAAGAUGACGAAGCAAGGGUAGCUGAGGAUGAUGAUGAAGCCAUGAGAUUAAGAUUUUCUAUUAUUUAAAGCUUUGAUUCCUAGGUGGUUAAACUCUUAUAACCUAUACCAACAUUUGAGAAUUUCGUGUAUGGCUCUUCUUGUUCAGAAAACAAGUGUUCAACUUGGUCCGUGGUUGGGGAAAAAUCUGUAGUGGAUUCUAGGUGUUGAAUAAGUUUUAUUGCCUUGUGAGGUUUGACAGGACAAUUUUUGGCAAAAUGACCUUUCUUUCUAUCAGGAAACCGUUUGGAAUGGGAUUGCCUUUUUCUGAAAAAUCGAAACUGUUUGGUACGUUGUUUCCUGGAUGGAAAUGAGAAUCUGGAUUUCUUGAAGUGAGACUUUUUCUUGGGUGAGCAGUCACACUUCUUUGGAUCUUUGCACUUGAUAGCCAAGUAAGGCUUUUUGCAAGCAUAUCUGAAAGGUUCUUUGUCUUUGAUGAGUUCCUGGAAGAACUUCUUUUGUUCACACAAUUUGUCAAGACAUCCCAGAGCAAUCUGGAAUAAUUUUCCCAAUGAUAAUGUGUCAAUGUUGAGCCUGUGAGCAGCUAACUGAUGCUGAAUUUCUGGUUGUAAUUCUUCUGGAAGAGAUGCCAGAAAUACAUGCCUAAGUGUGGGAUCAUUGAAUCCAUUCAGCUUAUAAUAGAGCAAAGGCAUUCGCUUGUAGUGGUAAUGAAGAUCUUUUGUGUUGAGAGAACAACAUUUCAUGUUGAGAUAAUCACGUCUUGCAGCUUCAAAAGUAGCACUUGGUUCUCCAAUAGAACCUAUAACAGCUUUCUACUCUGAUACCAACUUGGGCCGGUCCUAACUCGGCCCCAAAAGAGCUCUCAAAGGGUGAGGGCUGCCCAGCGCUUAUAAGCAACCAGGAGCUUUGGCUUGCCAGCGAUGUGGGAUAAGAGCUUAUCAUUCACUCUACGCUUGCUCUCGGGCCUUGGCUCUGAUACCAACUGGAGCUUCUAAGUACAUGGCGUUGUUAUACUAAAGCAAUAAUAACAGAGUUAUCCUUUGGACCAGUAGUCUGCAUGCUCUGGUUUCCAGCCGAUAUACUUAGAAAAUGAGAAUGACGUAGUUACAAGAUACCAUACAUUCCGUUCUUACGAUGAACUAAGAGCAUAGACAACCCAAAAAGAUAGACUCUCCUUGGUCACUUAGUCUAAAGGCACGGUUCCGUCUAUUAUCUCAGAACAAAGAAAGAAUAAGAGCCUGACUAGCUUUCUAAUGCACAAGAUCCUUUUUCAAGGCAAGUGCAGAGCAUACUUGCAGAAGAUAGACAUUGAACAAGGGUAAGAGUUCUAAACCUAAAGAAUCUUAGGAUUAAAGAAUAGAAACGAAGGUUUUAGGUAUCCAUAUGGUGGAGUAUUGAAACUUGAAAUGUUAUAAAAAACCUCUUGAUCUUUUAUUCAAAAUAACUCUCCUUAUAUAAGGAUAAGGAGAAGAAAAGACAAAAGCUGGAUCAAAAUCAUUCCAGCUGGCAUACAAGCACACUUAUUUUACAAAAGUAGGUAGGGCUCACUGGUACAGUAGUGGCCGACAAAAGUAAAGGGCAUGAUUACACAAGGACAAACAACUAAAGCAUAAAGCUAAAGCAUACACUUAUUACAAAAUGACAAACAACUUUUAAAAAGUUAAAGGCAAAAGCUAAAAGCAAAAACUAAAGACACCCAUUAUUACAAGAUGACAAAUAUCUUAAAGAGAGAUGGAGCCAUCUUCAGAUGAUGAUUCAGUCUCAUCAGGGUCACAAUCAGGGUCCUUGUCUUUCUUGAAGAUUCUCUCUGGAUGAGAACAUCCUGGGACACAUGGCCAAGGGCAAUAUUAUCCUUUUGGUAGAGGAAUAUCUUGUGGAGAUGAAGGAACUGGUUGAGGAUAAUGUUCAGGUUGGUCAGGCUGAGAGGAAAAUGGUGGAUAUGGAGAAGAGGAUGAUCCAAGUUCAUAUGGUGAUAGUGAAGGUACUGGAGUAAAACCCUCCAUGCCGGAAGUGCUUUUCUUACCUUUUAUCCCAAUUUUAAUCUUUCACUUCUUGAUUCCAACCUUGCUACCACUUUAAAAGUUCAGAUCUAGAUUCAAGGAGCUGAACAAAUCACCUCAGCUAAAAUAGCUACCCUACACCAUCAGCUUGUUAAUAGGAUGCAAAAUCAUGCUUUGGAUUUGCCAACCCCACAAACUGCAAAUUCAGAAGCUUUAAUGAUUCUUGCAGAAUCUGAAGAGAUUCCAACCAUCAUUCAAAUCCCAAGGCAAAUUCCUCGACAAGAAUUAAUCAAACUCAUGCCUUUCGAAUGGUUGUCUAAUUAUGAACAAUUUCAUCAAAAUUCUGAACCCAUACAAACUUCUGAAAGUCAUUUUCAGAAAAAUUCAGAUGGAACUGUUCGUCUUACUUUCAAACCACCACCUAGUUCGUCUUCAGAACCACCCAAGUCAUCUUUUACCUAUUCUUCAAUGAUCACUUAUGUACACACAGAACAAGAAAACCUACCCAUUCAAGCCUUUAAUGAUCAAAGUUUUCCUAUCUACCCAGCAAAACUCCAUGGACAUUUCUUAUGGGAUGUCCCAGCCUCUGGUAACUGUGAUGCAGGCUGUCCUUGUUGGGAAGAUAUUGAAGAAGAUAAUGAUGAACCAAAAAGACGCAAGCGCAAGUCUAAAAAGAUCAUUUAUCCAGUUUGCCGCUAUCAUGCUACUCAUCCUUAAGAUCCACCUGAACCUGAUUCUCAAGCACCUUUACCCAUCUAUGAUAAAGGUCUUACCUGGAUCCGAAAACAUGAACCCGCUUUGCUCAGCUGCAGACUUCAAUCAGUCCAUGAGACUAACCAUGUUAGUCCCACUCCCAAAAUACAGUCCUGUAUGAUGUUUUCCCCAUCAACAUCUACAGAAUACCAAGCCCAGUUCCCACCUUUGGAAAAACAAACUGACCAACAAAAGAAUUUCAUCUCCAAACCAUAUGUCCCUCUGCAGUAACUCCUGUUGGCCAUUUAGAAGAACCUCGUUCUUUUAAGGCAGUCUUAAAUUGGCAAACUCAAAAUGUUGUUGCACAGAACCAAGCACUCACUACCUUGCAUCAUAAGGUAGACCACAUUACACACCAAACCAACUAGGUUGAGAAAAAGGUUGAUACUAUCUCAGAUAAGUUAAAUUAGAUUUAUUAAAAUCUUCAUAACAGAGUUAUUCAACUUGACUCUGAACUUCGGGCUAUGCUUGCUCAACGAGUCGAUAGUCCUGAUUUUGAUAAAAAAAAAAAAAAAGCUGAGAUAAGAGCUUUGAAAGAUGAAAUUGCCAAAAUUGACUCAGAAGCUGUCCAGCCUACCAUGUUUACAAGUUCUGCUCCAUUACCCGUAAUUAAUCCUACCUAUCAUCCUUUCUUGCCAUCUUUUUCCUCCCGAACAUAUGAACCUUAUAAACUUUUUGGUAUGACCCAUACUUUGUUUCCUCCACAUCCACGACCUCAACCAAAACCAAAGAAGACACCAAAACCAGCUCCAGUUCAAAAACCCAUUCCUCAGCAAAAUCCUCAGACCUCCAGAUUUGAACCAUCACCCUCUCUAUCACCAACUUCUUUACCUGAAUCUACUCAACCACCACCAAUACAAACUACUGUUAUCUAGGCAAACAACCCAUGUACCAGUAUUCUGCUCAACAACUUUCCCAUUCACCAUCUCUAGAUUCCUCUACUGAAAAUUCCCCUUCACAAUCAGAUUCAUCAUCCAUUGAGUCAUCCAAUUUGUUUGAUUCAGACACUUAUGAUUCAAAUCUAGCUGAUAUUUCCAAACUCAUGGCAGAACCUACUGAACAGUCUAGUGCCACUGACCCUAGCCCAAGAACUGAACCUGUUGACACUAAUGAAGAAGACCAAGAAACUGGUGAAACUGGUGAAUCUUCUCAGCCAAUUCCACCUCAACCAAAAGUUUCCAAUCCUUCCAAUGGCCCAUGGUUUACUUUUGAUGAUAUCCCUCCAACAAAAUAGAGAGAAAGACUACAAGAGUUGUCUGCUUUGAUUGAUCUCCAGAUGUUAGCUCCAAAUGCAACAACCCAAUCUGUUCUAAGAGAAUUCAGUACUCGAUUUACAGGUUCUCUUGGAGAUUGGUUUGACAGUCUUGGACAGUAUAGACAACUUCAGUUCAUCCAUAUUUCUGAUGAUACCAAAUGAUGCGAAUCCCACAAUGAAACUUUCAAUCCCACACUUAAUUUGUAGUUUCAACUUCUCAAGAAAGUUCUAAACAGAUUUAAGACAAACAAAACCUUGACCCAAUGCUUAAGAAAACAUGAACCAAAGGUAUAGAGAAUGGUAUUGACGCCACACUCAAGAAAUAGAUGAGAAGGUGAGUGAUAAGUCUAAAUUUGGAACGCCACAAGAAUGCAAAUUCUUGAUAAGUUCACUAGUUCUCAAAAGAACCAAAGAAAGAAUAAUCUUUCAAAUUCAAAUAACAUUAAUCUCUAAUCUCAUUACAUAGCAAGGUUGCUGAAUUUAAAUAGGCUAAAAGAAACCCAAGAUCCUAAAAAUACAAAUGGAAACAUUGGAACAACCCUCCAAGUAAGUUUGUCAAAAGAUGUUUCAAAAGUCUUCACCAACCCACCAUAAUUAAUGCUAUCUUUGACAAACUUAAUGCUAGCCUACUAUAAUUAAUGCUAUCAUUGACAAACUUAUUGUUAGCCCACCAUCAUUGAUGGUAGACUUACCUUACACAUUGACAAACUUGAAACAAAACAAACAAAUGAAGUUGAAAAACAAAGGAGUCGUUGAAAAUCCCAAGUCUGAACAAGUUGUAAUGAAUUGGUCAUAACUCCUUCUAGAAAACUCCAAAUCCAGCUCUGUUCUUGAACAAGCAGCUUGCAUCUUUUUGGCUCUUGUUCUUGUAAUUGGGCCUCCAUGAAUGUGCAAAGGAUCACUUGAACUUUUAAUGGUAUUUCCUUGAUGGUUCUCAUCACUCAGGCUUUAGUCGUUCUCCAUGUUCAAUUUAUUAGAGAACCAAGUGCUACUUUUGAAGCUGCAAGAUGUGAUUAUCUCAACAUGAAAUGUUGUUCUCUCAACACAAAAGAUCUUCAUUACCACUACAAGCGAAUGUCUUUGCUCUAUUAUAAGCUGAAUGGAUUCAAUGAUCCCACACUCAGGCAUGUAUUUCUAGCAUCUCUUCCAUAAGAAUUACAACCAGAAAUUCAACGUCAGUUAGCUGCUCAUAGGCUCAACAUUGACACAUUAUAAUUGGGAAAAUUAUUCUAGAUUGCUUUGGGAUGUCUUGACAAAUUGUGUGAACAAAAGAAGUAUGUUGAGAAGGGGUAUAACAAGAAAAACCAUUUUUGUGGCAUACAGAACAGUAAGACACCAUGUAUACCAAAGCUCAUCUUCGGUAAUGUCUUUGUGAGGUGUAAUUACUAAUCCUGUGAGGAAAAGAUGAUCAGGAUGAAAACUGGGAAGGAGCAGAGGUUCUUUACUCAUCUAAUAGAUAUUCAUAAAAAACCUAAAGAGAAAUUUUCUAGCAAAGUCUUGAAUUGCGUGAGGUGAAUGAAAAGUCAUGUUGAGUGGGAAAGACUUCUAGGUGAGAGAUGUUUUAGGGAGUGAACUAGCCAUGGCAAUGAUCGGGAAGGAAAUAUGAGAAGUAAUACAUAAGAACUGGGAAGGUUUUGGUUUUGGAGGUCUGGAUAGUAAGUCUGGAAUGAGGUUAUGAUCUCCUUUUAUAUGCUGGACAUGGUAAUCAUAUCUUGAAAACCAUUCUUUAAUCCGAAGUAGGGUUUUUUCUGGGACAACUUUUUGCUUAAAGUUCAAGAUAUUGGGAAAAGCUGAAUUAUCUAGUCUGAUCAAGAAUCUAUGACCAAUCAAAUGGAAUUCAAAUUUCUUGAUACCAUUUUUCACGGCUAAGAUUUCUUUGUAGACUGGGUGAUAAUGCUUUUGUGCAUCAGGAAAUUGUCCACUUGCAUAGGUAAUAAACGGUUCUUUUCCAUUGCAUUCUUCAAGGAGGAUGGCCCCCCAUGACUCAUCAUUAGCGUCUAUUUGCAGGAUUCGUUUGCCAUCUGUAAUCAGCUUUAAAGGUGGAGGAUUCUAGGCAAUUUGCUUUAAUUACUUUACAGCAUCUAAGUGGAUUUCUGACUAGGAGGGUGGAUUCUUUUUUAGAAGGACAGACAACUUGCUUGUGUGGUGAUUGACAUGUGGUAGGAAAUCACGGAUGUAAUUGAUGAUUCCAAGGAAUUGUUGGACUUGCUUUUUGGUAAAGUUACUUUCGGAAAAGUGGAGUAACUCUUGUGCAAUGUGGGGUCCAGGCUGAUAAUGGCCAUCUUGGAUUUUCAUGCCAAGAAAGUCAACAGAGGUAGUCGCAAUCUUACUUUUCUUGUCAGAGAUCAUGAUCCCAUGUUCUUGAAUAAUCUGAAAAAAAAAACUAUUGAAGUAGCUUGUGAUGUUCAUCAUGAGUACUUGAAAAAAGAAGUAAAUCGUCAAGGUAAACAAGGGUAUGGUGGAGGAUUGCCUGAAAGAUAGUGGUCAUGGCCUUUUGAAAAAUGGAAGGGGCUGUUUUGAGGCCAAAAGGAAGGACUGUCCAUUGGUAAUGGGCAUUUGAAAUACAAAAAAUAGUUUUGUAUUGUUCAGAGGGGUGAAUACCAAGUUGCCAAAAAUCAGACUUCAAGUCGAAUUUUGAAAAGAUUGGAGCAUUUUUGAGGUGGACAAAAAGGGUGUGUCUGUUGGGUAGUAGAAAUUUUUUAUCUUGGAGAAAAGUAUUGAAUGGCUGAUAGUCAAUGACUAAUCAUUUUUUGCCACGAAGAAUGUCAGACCUUUUUUCAACAUAAAAGGCUUGACAAGCCCAUUGAGAAUUGGUGGGCUCAAUGAGGCCUUGUUUUAGCAAUUAGGCACAUUCUUGCUGGGCCAAGAUAAGGUCUUGUGGGGUCAUUCCUAUAUGGGUAGCUUUGGUUGGGUUGCUGUCUUCAUUUAGUUUGAAAGGUAAGGAUAUGAAGAACUUUGGGUUUUUCCACAACGGGUUUGGAUGGGUAAAAAGGUUGUGGUUUUCAGGGCAAAAGUUGAGGAUUUAGUCUAUAAUGGCCUGGUAUGAGGGUGGUGAAUUGGCUAAAGAAUAGAUCUUUAGAGUGCUGGUAAAGGGUUUAAUCAUGCAUUUGUAACGGAGACCAGAGGAAGUAAUCUGGACAUUUUUUGCUUGAUGUAAGAUGUCAAAACCUAUAAGAAGAUCUUUGUUUGGCAAAGAUGAACCAAACAACACAAUUAGGAAAUAACUGGAUUCCUAUUGGAUGUUUAGUAACUAAUUUAGUUGUAAAGAUCUUUCCAUCUGCUGCUUUGAAGUGUUCCUCUUGAGUUUUCCAAUACUCAGUAGGAAGAAUAGUACGAUCAAGCAUGCUUCGCUGAGCACUAGUGUCGAGAAAACCAAUGGCUGUGAUAAGUUUAUGAUAUUUGGAAGGGAUAAUUUGGAUUUUGACAUAAGGUAUGGGUAUGGUACGAUCAUGAAUGAAAAUAGAGGAAGGUUGGACUGUGUAGAUGGGUUCAAAAUAAGAACUGUCUGAAUCACUGGAUUCUGCUGGUAAGGUAAAGACUGUAUCAUCAUUUGGUUCUUCUUGUUCAGAAAACAAGUGUUCAACUUGGUCCGUGGUUGGGGAAAAAUCUGUAGUGGAUUCUAGGUGUUGAAUAAGUUUUAUUGCCUUGUGAGGUUUGACAGGACAAUCUCGGGCAAAAUGACCUUUCUUUUUGCAAAUGAAACACCUGCUUUUCUUUCUGUCAGGAAAUCAUUUGGAAUGGGAUUGCCUUUUCUGAAAAAGUGAAAUUGUUUAGUACGCCAUUUCCUGGAUGGAAAUGGGAAUCUGGAUUUCUUGAAGUGAGACUUUUUCUUGGGUGAGCAGUCACACUUCUUUGGACCUUUGCACUUGAUAGCCAAGUAAGGUUUUUUGCAAGCAAAUCUGAAAGGUUCUUUGUCUUUGAUGAGUUCCUGGAAGAACUUCUUUUGUUCACACAAUUUUUCAAGACAUCCUAGAGCAAUCUGGAAUAAUUUUCCUAAUGAUAAUGUGUCAAUGUUGAGCCUGUGAGCAGCUAACUGAUGCUGAAUUUCUGGUUGUAAUUCUUCUGGAAGAGAUGCCAGAAAUAUAUGCCUGAGUGUGGGAUCAUUGAAUCCAUUCAGCUUAUAAUAGAGCAAAGACAUUCGCUUGUAGUGGUAUUGAAGAUCUUUUGUGGUGAGAGAACAACAUUUCAUGUUGAGAUAAUCAUGUCUUGCAGCUUCAAAAGUAGCACUUGGUUCUCUAAUAAAUUAAUCAUGGAGAACGACUAAAGCCUGAGAGACAUUAGAAAUCUGGAUGAAUUGAAGUUAUCUAUACUGUCUAAGACUGUCAAACCAAUCUCGAAGAGAACUUGUAAACCGAGUACUGAAUUCUCUUAUAGCAGAUUGGGCUGUUGUAUCUGGAGCUAACAUCUGGAGAUCAAUCCAUGCAGACAACUCUUGUAGUAACCAUGGACCAAUGGAAGGUUUGGAAACUUUUGGCUGAGUUGGAAUUGGCUAAGAAGAUUCACCAGUUUCACCAGUUUCUUAGUUUUCUUCAUCACUGUAUUCAGAAGCUUUAAUGAUUCUUGCAGAAUCCGAAGAGAUUCCAACCAUCAUUCAAAUCCCAAGGCAAAUUCCUCGACAAGAAUUAAUCAAACUCUUGCCUUUAGAAUGGUUGUCCAAUUAUGAACAAUUUCAUCAAAAUUCCAAACCCAUACAAACUUCUGAAAGUCAUUUUCAGAAAAAUUCAGAUGGCACUGUUCGUCUUACUUUCAAACCACCACCUAGUUCGUCUUCAGAACCACCCAAGUUAUCUUUUACCUAUUCUUCCAUGAUCACUUCUAUACACAGAGAACAAGAAAACCUGCCCAUUCAAGCCUUUAAUGAUCAAGGUUUUCCUAUCUACCCAGCAAAACUCCAUGGACAUGUCUUAUGGGAUGUCUCAGCCUCUGGGAACUGUGAUGCAGGCUGUCCUUGUUGGGAAGAUAUUGAAGAAGAUAAUGACGAACCAAAAAGACGCAAGCACAAGUCUAAAAAGAUCAUUUAUCCAGUUUACCGCUAUCAUGCUACUCAUCCUUAAGAUCCACCUGAACCUGAUUCUCAAGUACCUUUACCCAUAUAUGAUAAAGGUCUUGACUAGAUCCGAAAACAUGAACCCGCUUUGCUCAGCUGGAGACUUCAAUCAACCUAUGAGACUACCCAUGUUAGUCCCAUUCCUAAAAUACAGUCCUAUAUGAUGUUUUCCUCAUCAACAUCUACAGAAUACCAAGCCCGGUUCCCACCUUUGGAAAAACAAACUGACCAACAAAAGAAUUUCAUCUCCAAACCAUAUGUCCCCUCUGCAGUAACUCCUGCUGGCCAUUUAGAAGAACCUCGUUCUUUUGAGGCAGUCUUAAACUGGCAAACUCAAAAUGUUGUUGCACAGAACCAAGCACUCACUACCUGGCAUCAUAAGGUAGACCACAUUACACAGAAAACCAACUAGGUUGAGAAAAAGGUUGAUACUAUCUCAGAUAAGUUAAAUUAGAUUUAUCAAAAUCUUCAUAACAGAGUUAUUCAACUUGGCUUUGAACUUCGGGCUAUGCUUGCUCAACGAGUCUAUAGUCCUGAUUUUGAUAAAAAGAAGCUGAGAUAAGAGCUUUGAAAUUGCCAGAAUUGACUCAGAAAUGGUACCCUGUUUAACAAGUUCUGCUCCAUUACUCGUAAUUAAUCCAUGGGUCAUGUCAUCUGCGUUUAUCUUUUUCCUCCCGAACAUAUGAACCUUCUAAACUUUUUGGUAUGACCCAUACUUUGUUUCCUCCAUAUCCACGACCUCAACCAAAACCAAAGAAGACACCAAAACCAGCUCUAAUUCAAAAACCCAUUCCUCAGCAAAAUCCUCAGACCUCCAGAUUUGAACCAUCACCCUCUCCAUCACCAACUUCUUUACCUGAAUCUACUCAACCACCACCAAUCCAAACUACUGUUUCUCUAGACAAGCAGCCCAUGUACCAGUAUUUUGCUCAACAACUUUCCCAUUCACCAUCUCUAGAUUCCUCUACUAAAAAUUUCCCUUCACAAUCAGAUUCAUCAUCCAUUGAGUCAUCCGAUUUGUCUGAUUCAGACACUUUUGAUUCAAAUCUAGCUGAUAUUUCUAAACUCCUUAUGGCAGAACCUACUGAACAGUCUAGUGCCACUGACCCUGGCCCAAGAACUAAACUUGUUGACAGAAGAAAACCAAGAAACUGGUGAAACUGGUGAAUCUUCUCAGCCAAUUCCACCUCAGCCAAAAGUUCAACAUCUUCUUUGACAUUUGAAGGCUCUUCUUGUUGUAAUGCUUUAUUUGCAUCAUUGUUAAUAGCAACCUUCUCCAUAGAGGAGGGGUUAGACUCAUCAAACGUGAUAAAAACCAAGGUUCUUUUAUUAGACACUCUAUAAGCUUUGCUUGUAUUUAAAUAUCCAAGAAAAAUCCUAACAUUAGAUUUUGGAUCAAAUUUACCAAGAUUAUCUUUUGUAUUCAAUAUAAAACAUUUGCAUCCAAAAACUUUAAAAUAACCAAUGUUUGGUUUUCUAUUUUUCCAAAACUCAUAGGGAGUUUUGAUGUGAAUCCCACAAUGAAACUUUGAAACCCACACUUAAUUUGUAGUUUCAACUUCCCCAGAAAGUUCUAAACAGAUUUAUGACAAACAAAACCUUGACUCAAUGCUUAAGAAAACAUGAACCAAAGGUAUAGAGAAUGAUAUUGAUGCCACACUCAAGAAAUAGAUGAGAAGGUGAGUGAUAAGUCUAAAUUUAGAACGCCAAAAGAAUGCAAAUUCUUGAUAAGUUCCUAGUUCUCAAAAGAACCAAAGAAAGAAUAAUCUUUCAAAUUCAAAUAACAUCAAUCUCUAAUAUUCUUACAUAGCAAGGUUGCUGAAUUUAAAAGAAACCCAAGAUCCUAAAAAUACAAAUGGAAACAUUGGAACAACCCUCCAAGUAGGUUUGUCAAAGGAUGUUUCAAAAGUCUUCACCAACCCACCAUAAUUAAUGCUAUCUUUGACAAACUUAAUGAUAGCCUACUAUAAUUAAUGCUAUUAUUGACAAACUUAAUGUUAGCUCACCAUCAUUGAUGGUAGACUUACUUUACACAUUGACAAACUUGAAACAAAACAAACAAAUGAAGUUGAAAAACAAAGGAGUCGUUGAAAAUCCCAAGUCUGAACAAGCUGUAAUGAAUUGGUCAUAACUCCUUCUAGAAAACUCCAAAUCCAGCUCUGUAAAAUUUAUUGGAAAGCUAACUUAAUUAUCUUUCCAAGGUAUAUAGAUUGCACAUUACUUUUGGCUCAAUCAAUACAGUUUUUAUUCCGAAUUUGACCUUUCUGCAUUUGAUACAAAUUGUGUAUUUGGCUGCCCAAUAACUUGAAUAAUGCCCACAAUGCCAUGUCUUCUCUUCAAGCCCAAUUCAUGAUGUCUUGCAUCUUGAAUUGCAUUUUCAAUCCAUAUUUUCUCAAUUAAUCCAUUAAAAGUAGCUUGCAUCUUUUUGGCUCUUGCUCUUGUAAUUGGGCCUCCAUGAAUGUGUAAAGGAUCACUUGAAGUUUUAAUGGUAUUCCCUUGAUGGUUCUCAUCAAGUUUUAUUAAGAUAGGAUCUAAUCAAAACACGAUUCAAAACAUAGCAUGUGGUAUUAACGUCUUCAGCCCACAAAACGUUUGGUAAUGCAUUUUCAUUGAAUAUGGUCCUAGACAUUUCUUGAAUAGACACAUUAUUUCUCUCAACUACUCCAUUUUGUUGAAGAGUCCUUGGUGAUGAAAAUUGAUGCUCAAUGCCAAAAUUAUUGCAAAAACUUUCAAAUGAAUAAUUUUCAAAUUCUCCACCAUGAUCACUUCUAAUACAUCAUCCUUAUUUACUAAGAACAAUACCCAUGUGUAAUACUUACCACUUAGACUAGUAUAUCUAGAAGGGCCAAAUAAAUCCAUGUGAAGAAUUUGAAGUGUUGAAACAUGAUUUUUGUUUUUGAAAGACAUUUUGAUUUUUUUUCCAAAUUGGUAAGUUUCACAAAUUCUAUCUUUUUGAAAAUCGAUUUUUGGAAGACCUUUAACCAAAUCAUUUCUGGAAAAUUUUGAAAUUAAAUCCAUGCUUGCAUGUCCUAGUCUUCUAUGCCAUUACCAACCAUCAUCAUAUAAUGUGGAAAAACACUUAUCAUGAGUAGAUGUACAAUCUAUAUCAAUGACAUAUACAUUAACACAUCUAUUUCCAACAAAGAAAACUUUUCUUUGCCAUUACAUUAUUCUCAAUAACACAUUUUGUUUUAUAAAAAAUAACUCUAUAACCUUUAUCACAUAACACACAUUUUCAAUAAAGGUAGAAGAAUCUUUACGGACAUUACUAAUACCAAUAAUCUUUCCUUUAAAACUCGAAAACCAAGAAUAAUUUCAUGUCAUAUUUCUCAAGCAUCCACUGUCCAAGUACCAUUUAUUUUUCUUCUUCUUUGAUCCUUGUAGAAGAAAUAUCAAGUUUUAGGCGCCCAAAGCUUUUUGCAUCCUUAAGUGUUAGUAAUUGUUCCUUUUGGUGCCCAAACACAUUUAAUUCCAAAAUAUGCUUUUUUCUUAAUCGGACAUGCAUUUUAAUUACAAUAAUGGCAAACAACAUUAUGAUCACUAAUAAAGGUAGCCUUAAUGAUAACUCUAUGAAAUGAGAGUUAUCAUGGCACUUUUAGACUAAAACCAAUAUUACUUAGAGAGUAAAUGAUGUGCUUUUGUGGAAUUUUUGAUAUAUUUUGCAUGAACAUCCAUUUAAGUUAAUUUUUAAUAAAUUGAUUUUAUUUUAGAUCAUUUUAUGCUCCGAUCGUGUGUGAUUGUAGGUGACCAAAAAGUUCAAGUUUUAUGGAUGAAAUGUUGCUGCAACAGACUUGCAGAGAAGAUAAAAGAACUUGGCUACAGAGGAAUUAAAACAAGUCUGAAACAAUAAAGAUGUUGUAGCCGUUGCUGCACCAUUCCUAUAGCAACAACAGACUGGAUUUCGCGUGCGAUAUCUAAAAGAUGGCGAUCCAAGUUUCCAAAAAUGGAAGAUACGUGACAUGCGCUUUUGGUUGCCCUAAUUCCAAGUUAUAAAAGGAACACACAUGAAAAGGAAAAAAAAAAAAAAGAGCCGUCACUCAAGGAAAAAUUAUGGAGAAAAACACAAGUAAACAGAAAUUAAGAGAGAAUUAAGGGUUGAAAUCGAGGAUUCAUAGAGAAUAAGGAGAGAUCAAAAGAUCAAGCAGACUUCAACUCUUAUUCUUAUUUUCUAUUUAUUUAUAGGAAUGUACUUGAUGGCUAAAAUGAUUUUAUUUUUUGUUUUAUCAAAAAUCAUGAACUUAACUUUAUUGUGGUUGAGUGAUAAACAAGCGUAAUGGUUAUUUGAUUGAUAUAUACGUUUUGCUAUAGUAUUUUGUCUUAAUUUUACUUAUUGUAAUUUCUUAUUUUGGCCGACCUAUCAUUUAGUGGAUACUAGCUAAGAAAGAACCUAAAAAAUGUCUGACUUAGUGAAAUAAAUUAAGACAAUACAUGAUUUUAGAUUGGGUUUCCCAAGUUGAGUUAAUUUCGAUUUGAAUAGGGCCAACCAACACUGAAAAGGCCUAACCAAUGGAAGGGAAGGUUCUCACCCUGUCCCCGACAUUGUUCUCCGACGAUGCCCCCUGGGCAUAAGGGGCCACCAUUCUCUUUCUUUCUUCAAUCGUUGCUUGAUCUAAAAUUAGUGAAUAACUAGAUGUAGGGAUUCACAUUGUAGGGUAAAUGGAACCUAUAAUGCAUAAUGAUAUAUCCAAUGUCAGCGUAACAAUUGGUCACUAUUAGGCUACAUUAAGGUAUAAGAUAUCUAACAGACGACAACUGAGGAUGCAUAAGGGAUUCUACCAUGUGCUGUAGUAGAUGCUAUAGCAAUAGGAUCUUAAUUGGAAAAACAGUCAAUACUAUUAAGUGAGUUUAAUUACUUAACUACUUCUUUCCCAUUAAUUAUAUCCUUGUGUUUGAUGUGAGAAGUUUGUUUAUUGCAUUUUAUUUUAAUCACUUCAUUCAUUUCAUUAAUUGUCUUAUUUUAAUUUAGAAUAAAACUACACUGCUAUUAUUGGUAUAACAAAUCUGAUAACAUCAAUCCUUGUAGAGAUGAUAUGAAUACUCAUCAGUAUAUUACUUGUGUACACUUGCACAUUGACCCCUCUUGCAUUAGAAAUCACCUAAUAAGUUUUUGGCGUCGUUGCCAGGGAUUAAUUGUUUAUUGUGAUUUGUGAAUUCAAUUUUAAUCCGUGCUGUUUUUUUAGCUUAAUGUUAAUUUGUUUAUUUUGUUGACAAAAAUGCUCAAGCAACCCUUGCAUGCGCAAAUACAAACUUGUUGAAUUCCAGUUUGAUCCAAAAAUUUAAAGAACUGCAAGGAGAUUGAGAAAAGAGCUUAGGAAUUUAAAAGUUGUAGACAUGGAUGAUUUGCAAGAUAUGGGGAACUUGAACCCUCGUGGAGUAAUUGAACAACUCAAUGCACAAGGAAGUCAAGUAGGUCAGAACGGGCAGUUUAUUCAUGGGCAACUAGGGAACAAUAUUAUUCAUAUAAUAAAAGACAGAGACAAAUCCAUUAGAGAUUAUGUUGUGCUGACUCCUCAAGCCAUAAAUCCUAGAAUUGCAAGCUGAUUAUUUCGAGCUCAAACUAGUGAUGUUUCAAAUGCUUCAAACUGUGGGGCAAUUUAAUGGGCUGCCAUCAAAAGAUCCUCAUCUACACAUUAAACUAUUUUUAGAAGUAAGUGAUGCUUUCAAGAUUGCUGGAGCAUCACAAGAAACAUUGAGACUCAAACUUUUCCCAUUUUCUCUAAGGAAUCGAGAAAGUGCAUAGUUAAAUUCUCUACCACCUGACUCCAUUACUACAUGGAAUGACUUGCCUGACAAAUCUUCCAUCAACUUGAAGAUGAAAGCUUGUAUGAUGCAUGAGAAAUAUUCAAGAAGUUACUUAAGAGAUGUCUUCAUCACGGUAUUCCUUGUUGUAUACUACUAAAAACUUUCUACAAUGGUCUUAACCCAAGCACUAAAUUGAUGGUAGAUGUUUCAACAAAUGGGGCCUUACUAUCUAAGUCUUACAAUAAGGCUUAUGAAAUUUUGGAGAGGAUAGCCAUCUACAAGACAAGCUACAGUAAGAGGAACAGUAGGAGUUCACAAUGUAGAAGCCUUGACAGCCCCAUUAACCCAAGUAACUUCAUUGACAAAUAUUGUAAAGGCUAUGACUACUGUUCCAACAACUGUCAAUCAAGUUACUGAGGUAUCUUGUGUUUAUUGUGGAAAAGGGCAUAUAUUUGACAAUUGUCUUGGAAAUCCAACCUCGGUCAACUAUGUGGGCAACUUCAACAGAAAAAAUCAAAACAACCCUUACUCAAACACUUACAACCCUAGAUGGAGACAACACCCAAACAUCUCAUAGAACAAUCAGAAUUAACAUGCUGCAACAUCCAGCGGAAAAAACAGGCAUGUUCAACCACAUGGAUUCCACUAGCAAAAUCAAGGGCAAAGAACCAAUAGUAAUGAUCAAUUCAGUUCUCUUGACUCUUUGAUUAAAGAGUACAUUGUGAUGAAUGAAGCGAUUGUCCAAAGCCAAGUGGUAUCCUUAAGAAACUUAGAAAAUCAAAUGAGACAGCUUGCUACAACAUUCAGAAAACCAACUUGGGCCGGGCCUAACUCAGCCCCAAAAGAGCUCUCAAAGGGUGAGGACUGCCCAGCGCUUAUAAGCGACUAGGAGCUUUGGCUUGCCAGCGAUGUGGGAUAAGUGCUUAUCAUUCACUCUACCCUCGCCCUUGGGCCUUGGCUCUGAUACCAACUUGGGCCGGGCCUAACUCAGCCCCAAAAGAGCUCUCAAAGGGUGAGGACUGCCCAGCGCUUAGAAGCGACCAGGAGCUUUGGCUUGCCAGCAAUGUGGGAUAAGAGCUCAUCAUUCACUCCAAGGCAAUUGACCUAGAAACGCAAAGGAUCCAAGAAGAUAAGGAAAUGAGCAUUGCAAAGUUAAGAUCUGGAAAGGAUGUUCAUAUUCCUUUUGGUGUACCAAAAAGAAGAGUUGAACCCAUUCAACCCAAGAGGUAACUCAAGUUGAAGAGGAGCCACAACAUUCUACUUUUCAGCCCACUAGUGUGAACAACCAAGCUACAACAUCAGCAGAAAAUAAUUAUCCAACACAUGUUCGUGAAGAUAGUACAACACCUACCUCAUCAACUCAGAGCUUGGCAAAAGAGAAGCAGCCUGUAUAGCCUGUUACAGCACAACAAUUUAGGCAUCCACCACCCUUUUCACAAAAAUUCUAGAAGCAAAAAUAAGAUAAGCAAUUCAUUAAAUUUUUAGAAGUGCUAAAGCAGUUACAUAUCAACCUUCCUUUUGUAGAAGCUCUAGAACAAAUGCCAAAUUAUGUGAAGUUUUUAAAAGAUAUUUUGGCAUGGAAAAAAAGACUUGGAGAGUUUGAAACAAUUACUCUAACACAAGAAUGUAGCCAUAUGCUUUAGAACAAGAUCGCUCAGAAGUUAAAGGAUCUAGGAAGCUUUACAAUCCCUUGCUCCAUAUGAACUAAGUACAGUGGUAAAGCACUCUGUGAUUUAUGGGCUAGCAUUAAUCUCAUGCCUUUAUCAAUGUUCAAGCAAUUGAGAGUUGGAGAAGUUAUACUAACAACAAUAACUUUAUAACUUGUUGACAGAUCUCUUGCCUAUUUAAGGUAGAUAAGUUUAUUUUUCCAGUGGAUUUCAUAGUGUUGGACUUUGAGGCAGAUAAAGAAGUUCUAAUCAUUUUAGGCAAACCUUUCUUAGCUAUGGAAAAAACUUUAAUUGACGUGCAAAAAGGAGAACUGACUAUGCGGGUGAAUGAUUAGCAAGUGGCAUUCAAUGUGUUAGAUGCCACGAAGAGUCCUAAUGAAGUUGAAGAUUGUAAUUUUAUCAGUGUUGUAGAUUUUACUGUAGCAGAAAGAUUAAACAGUUACUGCAAAAAUGAGGAAGUCAAGGCUAUAACAUUUAAAGAACUUAAAGAUGAAGAUCUUGAAACAACUGUCAGAUGUAUAUACACCUGAUCAAGAUGACUGCUGAUUGAAUCAACUUUAGUCUCACUCUAAGAGACUUGACUGGCAACACUAUGAAUCUUUAGAUCUCUCAAACAGGGAAGUAAAACCUUUUGUUCUCUCUAUUGAGUCACCGUCUGUUUUAGAAUUAAAAUUUUUACCUUCACAUUUGAAGUAUGUUUAUCUUGGUGACAAUAACACACUUCAUGUAAUUAUUUCAUCUUCUUUGAAUACAGAGAAGAAAAGAGCUUGGUGGAUGUAUUGGGAAGAUAUAAGAAAGCUAUUAGAUAGACCAUGAUAGAUAUUAAAGGAAUUAACCCCUUAAUAUGCAUGCACAAGAUUUUGCUGGAAGAUUGCUACAGCAAUUUUGUAAAGUAACAGAGAAGAUUAAAUCCCAUCAUGAAGGAAGUUGUGAAAAAGGAGAUCAUCAAGUGGCUGGAUGCUGGAAUUACUUACCUAAUAUCCGAUAGCUCACGGGUAAGUCCAAUACAAUGUGUUCCAAAGAAAGGUAGAAUAACAAUUAUAGAAAAUGAAAAGAAUGAGCUUAUUCCCACAAGAACAGUAACUGAAUGGAGAGUUAUGGAUUAUAAGAAGUUAAACAAAGUCGUAAGGAAGGACCAUUUUCCAUUGCCUUUCAUAGAUAAAAUAUUGGACAGACGUGCUGGAAAAGAGUACUAUUGUUUCUUGGAUGAAUACUCAAGCUACAACCAAAUUGAUAUAGCACCAAAGGAUCAAGAGAAGACAACAUUCACUUGUCCUUAUGGCAUAUUCGCUUUUAGAAGGAUGCCAUUUGGAUUGUGCAAUGCUCUAGCAACUUUCCAGAGAUGUAUGAUGUCUAUUUUUAUAGAUAUGGUUGAGCAAACACUUGAGGUAUUCAUGGAUGAUUUUUUCAGUUUUUGGGGAAUCAUGUGAUGACUGUUUGCAUAACCUAGAAAAUGUGCUUAAGAGAUGUGAGGAGACAAAUUUAGUGUUGAAUUAGGAGAAAUGACAUUUCAUGGUACAAGAAGGGAUAGUCCUAGGCCAUAGAGUCUCUAGAAAGGGGAUAACGUAAAAAUAGAGGCGAUUGAUAAACCUCCACCACUUACUUCAGUAAAGUACAUUAGGAGCUUCUUAGAACGUGCUAGGUUCUAUAGAAGGUUUACCUUUAUACAUGUUGCUGGAGCAUGACAGACCCUUCAAUUUUGAUGAGAAUUGUUUAAAGGCCUUUAUUGAGUUAAAGAAAGCUCCUGUUACAACACCAAUUGUUGUAGCACCAUAUUAGGGUAUGCGUUUUAAGUUUAUAUGUAACGUUGGUGACCACUCUAUUGGAGCAGUGGUAGGGUAGAGGAAAAGCAAGAUUUUUCACUCCAUUUAUUAUGCUAGCAAAACUCUAGCUGAUUCACAUAACUACACGAUCAUUGAAAAAGAGUUGCUAGUAUUUGCUUUUACAUUUGAUAAAUUCAAAGCUUAUUUGGUUGGCACCAAAGUGACUGUUUAUACAGAUCACUCAACUAUAAAGUAUUUGAUUUCAAAUAAGGAUGCCACACCAAGGUUUAUUUAUUGGAUUUUUUUACUACAAGAGUUUGACUUGGGGAUCAAGGAUAGAAAAGACACUGAGAAUCAAGUAGCAAAUUAUCUCUCAAGGUUGGAAGCAGAUACAAGUACUCUAACUAAGCAAGACAUAACAUAAACUUUUCUUGAUGAUCGAUUGCUGAUGAUACAACAUGCACAGAUGUUGCAGCAAUAUGGAUUUCCUAUGCAUAUUUUGCUAAUUAUUUGGUGGGUGGAUUAUUACCCCUGAUUUGACCUACCAGCAAACGAAGAGAUUUCUCCAUGAUGUCAGAAGCUAUCAGUGGGAUGACCUUUACUUGUGUUCCUGAUAAGGAAAUUUUAAACAUUCUGCAAUCCUGUCAUGCUGCAGCAUAUGGUGGACAUUUUGAAGGACACAGAACAACAGCAAAAGUUCUUCAAUCAGGUUAUUACUAGCCCUCUAUUCUUAAGGAUGCUUAUGAGUUUGUUAAAUGUUAUGAUAAGUGCCAAAGAACAGGGAACAUCUUUGAAAAGCAUGAAAUGCCACUAACCAACAUUUUAGAGGUUGAACUUUUUUAUGUAUGGGGAAUAAACUUUGUGAGACCAUUUCCACCCUCAUUUGGAAACUUAUACAUCUUAGUCGUUGUGGACUAUGUAUCCAAAUGGGUAGAAGCUGAAGCAUUACGAACAAAUAAUGUCAAGGCAGUGGUGAAAUUUCUUCAGAAGAACAUUUUCUCAAGAUUUGGCACUCCUAUAGCUAUAGUCAAUGAUGAAAGAACCCAUUUUUGCAACAGGAUGUUUGUUAUAGCAUUGACUGAGUAUGGGAUCAAGCAUAAAGUUGCUACAUCAUAUCAUCCACAAACUAGUGGUCAGAUAGAAGUGUCAAACAAGGAGAUAAAAAAUAUUUUGGAGAAAGUGGUGAAUCUCGAUAGAAGGGAUUGGUCUCUUCAAUUAAAUGACUCUUUAUAGGCAUGUCCCCAUACAGAAUUAUUUAUGGAAAGCUUGUCAUUUACCUUCAGAGUUGGAGCACAAGGCAUAUUGGGCAAUAAAACAACUAAACAUGGAUAUGAUUGUUGCAAUAGAACAGAGGAAGCUGGAACUUUGUGAGCUGGAAGAAUUAAGGUUAUUCUUCUAUGAAAAUGCAAUAAUCUACAAGGAGAGGACCAAGCAAUGGCAUGACAAGCAAAUGAAGCAAAUGAAGCUCAUUCCAAGCCAACAAGUUCUACUCUAUAACUCAAGACUAAAGCUUUUCUUGGGAAAAUUAAAGUCUAGAUGAUCAGACCCUUUCAAACUUAUCAAUGUGUAACCUCAUGGGGAUGUGGAACUUCAAGAUGAAAGGACAAGUCAGAAAUUCAAGGUUAAUGGACAAAGAGUACAACAUUAAAUUGGAGCUGCUGUGAACAAUCCUAAGGAGGAUUUAUUCCUCAAGGAUCCAGCUUGAGAAAUCAUAGAUGGUCAAGCUGAAUGACCUAAAAUCAAGCGCUGAUUGGGAGGUAACCGAAUAAGGGAAGUUGUUUCAAAAUUUUAAUCAUUAAAUUUAGUCUUAAUUGUAUUAAUUUCUAGCAGGUAGAAGUUAAUAUAUAAAAAAAAAAAUUAUGGGCAAAGAAACUGACAAGAAUUGCUACAGCAUCAUGUACAACAUGGUAGUCAGAAGGUGGUCUUUAGCCAAUGAGGGAAUUUAUUGCUAUUGCUGUAGCAAUGGAUUGAUUGCUACAAUAACAAUUUUUACCGUUGAAGGGCUGACAUGCUUACGUCAGCAAAUUAGAUUUACUGAUAAGGAUGAUUCUGAAAUCCCUAAUUUGCCAUGACCCAUAUCCUUUCUUUUCCUUUUCAAAAUUUGUAUUUAAAAUUUAAAAAUUUCUAAGAUUAUCCUAUUAAUUAUCUUCCUCUUUUACUUUCCCUUGUGGCUAUAAAUUAGGGAUUUAUUGUAACCUUUUCAAUUUCCCUACAACUCUUUCUCUCCCCAUCGGUAACUCUCAACAAUCUUUACAAUUUUUUUUUACAUUUUACUUUUCUUUUCAACAAAGUACAACUUUGUUCCAACUGCUACAGUAAUACCGAAAUUUAAAACGCGUGAUGCUAGAUGGAAGGACCUUGUGUGCUUCCACAGUUACAAAGCUAAGGACAAAUUUGAAGACAUAAUCAAGCCUAAAAAAAUAUUAGAGGACAAGGGCUUUCAAUUUCCACAACAGCUAACAGGAAUGAUGAAUAACAUAUAUACUUCUAUAGCGCGAAGGGGAUGGUUGAAGUUUUGUACUUACCCUUAAGACCUUGUUGUUCCAGUCGUUAAGGAGUUUUAUUCCAACAUGUUACAGCGAGACCAUCAUAACAUCUUUGUAAGGCAAGUUCAAGUACCUUUAGACUCUCGAGUUAUUAAUGCUUUUUAUAACUUGCCUACUGUGAUUGAUGGUGAAUAGCUAAGUCUACCGAGAACAUAAUGGUGAAAAAGUGAGGGGAGGUGUUCAAAACCUUGACUGUUCAAGGUAGUGAGUAGAUGAAAUAAGAAGGUAGAGUAGUUAAGAAGAUAGACUUGAAACGGCAAGAUUUGGGUGAAAGUUUUUAAAUCUAGAUUGAUGCCAAUAGCCCACACUACCACUGUUUCCCAAGAUAGACUUACAUUACUUUAUGUUAUAGUCAAGGGUUUAGCCAUAGAUGUUGGGAAGGUCAUUGAAAAAGAAAUUAGAGAGUGUGUAAUCAAGAAGCAAAAAUCUACUGCCUUGUUGUUUCCUUCACUAAUCACAGGGAUUUGUGAGGCCUUUGAGGUGAAAUUUGAGGCAAGUAAUUAGAGAGUAAAGAAUAAAAAGGUCAUCACAGCCAGGACAGUUGAAAUGAUUGAUGUGGAAUCUAUUACUGCAACAACCCUAGAGCACCCUACUGCAGCUAAAGUAGAGCAAGCCACAAGGAUUGAACAAAUUAUACAGGAGCUCAGUGAUAGUAUAAAUGCAUGUGUUCAAGCAUAGAAAUAAGAAAAAUCAGAGGUUUUGGACAUACUUAAUGCAUUUUGAAGCAUAAAAGCAUCAAUUUGCCAGAUACAUAAAGAACAAGUAUGUAGAUUUUCCAAAGUCACUGCUGCAGCAUUUUAAUUUUUAGAGAGUUGAGAAACCUACUUCAGAAGCAGAAAGUGAAGAAAUGGAGAGUGAAAGAGAGUCAGAAGAAGAGGAGCAGAAAGAACAAGGGGAUACUAAAGAGGCUGAAGCAGAGGAAGAAGAAUAAAGUGAAGAGGAAAGUAAAAAAGAUGAACCACCAAUUGUAACUCCUAAGAGCAAAGGUAAAGAGAAGAUUUUGAUUGAGGAGGAAGAGACUGAAUCAGAGUGGGAAGAGGAUGUUGAUGCAGUAAUUGAAGAGGCAAUCAACAAGAUCACAAGGAUAGAAAAAGCAAAGAGGAAUUUAAGGGAAGUCAUUGCAAGCAUCACUGCCGAGCAACCAGCAACAACAACUCCUACACCUGCCAUAGUAAAGACAAUUCCCUCAAAGUCUUUUGUAUCAACUCCCAGGGCAUCCAACAAGAGGAAAUGGGCACAACCUUCUAGAUGUAUUGUAGCAAUGCGAGCACCAAAAGGACUAGAAUAAAAGAAAACAAAGCCAAUUCAGCCUAGACUCACAGAAGUUGCUAGAACCCCUCCAACCAACCCGACCAAAAGCCAGAGAAAGAAACAGCUAGUUGCUGCCCCACUUGGUUCACCUAAAGAACAUUUGAGAAGUGCAUCAAAGAAGAAGUGAACCUUAUCAGCCUGAGCUGUAGCAUCGCUUCAAAUGACAAGGGAGUAUCCCCUGCCAGCCUAGUUUUGUUUUGCUAUUUCUAAAAAUUUUCCUUUCUUUUAUUUAUUUUAUUUUGUUUAUUGCAUGUUGUCUUUAACUCAUUUUGUGUGCUUGUGAGGACACAAGACCUCUCAAGUUUGGGGGGGCUGUUCCAUGGUGUAAUCUGUUUAUGAAUGCAUGUGCUUGAGUUGUGUGUGUAGCUCUGAACCCAAUAAGGAUGAUUUGAGUGUUGAAAUGUGGGAAUGAAUGACUGCCAAGUAGAGACAGUUUAUAGACAAAGGAUGGAACUACUUUUUUACACUUAAACUUUGGUUGAGUUUUGUAAGUAUGUUGUAGCAAAACCAAGUAGAACAAAAGAAUAAAAAAUAUCUCAAGUUUGGGGGGGGGGGAAUGGGGAACCUAAAAAAACUUUCAGAAUCAUCACAAACUGUGCUUAAAUUAAAUAAAUUCUACUCCAAUGACUUAAUUGCUGAGUAAUUAGGGCUGAGUAUGUACUCCAUAUGCAGACUUGAGUAAAAAAGCAGCGAGAUUUAUGAUCAUUACUGUAGCAAAAUAAAAUAAAAUAAAAAAUUUUAGGUCCUCUAUCUAGGAUAUUGAGUAGCCAAGUUUGUUCAUAAGCCCCAUGUUCAUCCUUGAGUCAAAGGUGUCCAAAGAUAAGACUAUGUUAUUGCAUCUUAGAUGUUACUGCUACAACAACUUUGAUCUAUACAUUGGUCAAAUAAUUGGGUGUCAUAAUUACAAGUGAUAGAUAUUCACAUAAAAUUCAAUGUUACAUUGAGGAGUGAUUGAACCUAUUUUUGACUUCUGUUCCCCCUUAUAUGAAUGUACUUAUGUUUUAUCUUUGAGUUAUAUGUGAUGCCUAUGUGAUUCUGCAGCAACACUAGAGCUUGAUAAAAGCACCACACAUAUACUUUGGAUAGAAUAAGACCUAAGUCUAGAACUGAAACUACUAUGGCAAUUUUACAUGUUUUAAGUGUGAUAUGAGGGUUGAUGAAUCAUAACAAGCUAGAUGAUAGAGUUAGUGUGAGUGAAGUGUUAUUGUUGUGAUAGGUUUUUCUAUUCCUUCGGUGAUAACAAGAAGGCACUUUUUCAUAUCAUGGCAUCAUUUUCUUCAGAAUCCUCUAUUGCCCCCAAUCCUGUAACUCUUUCAUCUACUCUUUCUCUCCCAUCCUCAUGUUCUAAACAUACAGCCUCAAAAAUAGAAAACUUGGUAGAAUACUCCUAUAUACCUGAGUCAGCCCAGAUAAGUAAAUCAUCCAUGCCCUUAAUUAGCCCAUAAAAUCUUUACAAACGGCCAAAUUCCUUUACUCGAAGUAUCAAAACUUUCAUCUUUACCAAACGACCUCUUCCAAAAGAAUACAUCCAGUCUUCCCGAUUGGAUCAAUGUUCAAUUCAGGCCACCCAAGCAGAACAGUAAGUAACCCUUGAAAUACCUUCUGAGCUUAUAGCCACCUGGAAACGCGAAGGUUACACUCACCUUCACCUUGGGGGUAUCCGACUAAUCCUCACCCUUCAUGGUUGAAAAGGUUUACCAGUAACUGGUCGGUUAGCCCUUCUUGAUACCCAUUUUAAAGAAUACCAACAUGCUGUUAUUGGCAUUGUCCUCACAACCCUUCAUGCUGGAAGCGCACUACUUACUUUCUACCCAAAUUCAACCUUUCUCUUCAAGAUCCCAAUCUACCCACAGCCUUAAGAGUUCAGAUCCAGCUUCAGGGAGCUAAAAAAACUGUAUCAUCCAAGAUGGCAAUGCUACACCAUCAGUUGGUAUACUGACUUCAGAACCAUGCUCUUGAUAUGCCAACUGCACAUAUUUAGCUGAGGCUUUAAUGAUCCUAGCUGAUACAGAGUCUGUACCAACCAUCGUACAGAUCCCCAGACAGAUCCCAAACACUUGAAUGGCUUUCUAAUUAUGAGCAGUUCGACCAAAACUCUCAGCCUGUCCAAACUUCAGAAGCUUCUUAUGAAAAGCGUCUGGAUGGAACUGUCUGGAUGACCUUUAAGCCCCCUGCAGAAUAAGCCCUAAGACUUUCUUUUUCCUACUCCUCGAUGAUUACUGCUAUUUCCACAAGUCAGGAGGAUAUUCCCAUUUUUGCUUUCAAAAUAGAUGGAUAUCCCAUCUGUCCUGCCAAACUCAAUGGCUAUUUCUUAUGGGACACUUCUGAGGCCCAUAUGUGUGAUCCCGACUAUCCCUGUCUGGAUGAUUAUGAUUCAAACGACAAUUAUCUUGAAAAAGAAGAAACUUAUUUUUGCAAACACCCCAUGUCAUACCGACCCUCCUCACCUACCAGAUGAACCUGACUUUCAACGUCCCUUACCAGUUUAUAAUAAAGGGCUCAAAUACUUGCAAAAGAUGCAUGCUUUUUCUUGCAAACCUCAAACAGGUGUAACCCCUAGUCCACCUAUGGUUUCUCCUUGUAUGAUGUUUUCAAGUUCUUCAUCUUCAUACCAAACACACUUUCCAACACUUGGAAAACAAACUGUUCUAAAUACAAAGGUUUCCUUACAACCUUAUGUACAAUCCCCAAUUACCCCUACUGGACAGUUGGAAGAACCUCGCCCUUUUGAAGUCGUCUUCAAUUGGCAGACUUAGAAUGCAAUAGCACAAAAUGCUGUUUUGUAAAACCUUGAUCAUAGGGUUCAAUAAGUUACAACUCAGGUUCAGAACACAGAUAAAAAAAUUGAUAGCAUUGCUGCCCAACUUGAACAGAUGUAUACUGAUCUCAAGAACAAAGUUACUCAACUUGACUCUAAACUCAGACAGAUGAUCCAACAACGAUACUAGGAUCCUGAAUUUGAUAAAAAAGAAGCUGAGAUCCGUAAACUCCAAGUAGAAUUAUCUAGAAUUGACUUUGAAAAACAGCAACCUUUGCUGUUUGCUCCUACACAACCUUUGCCCAGACAUACAUCCCUAAAUACGCACCCACCUUUCUACACUCUGUCCUUAUAUAGGAAACCCCAUGAUUAUUCCAAAACAUUCAGCCUUACCUAUAACUUAUUUCAGUCCUCUUCAAAAACACAAGCCUUAACCUCUGUACCAUCUUCCUUUACAACACCUCAUAAACAACCAACCAGAGUAGACACUCUUCCAGAUUCAAAUCCUCCCCCACAAGCUAAGGAUAAACAUCCUAGCCAACCUAGUCAACAAUAUGCUGCCCAUUCAGUCCCUUAGUGCACUUAACUUCUCCUUCUGAAUCUUCUGAUUCUAAAUCAAAAUCAGUAAGUGAAUCCGAUUCUGCCUCAGAUUCGGAAGCUGAAUUUGUUGAUAUUACCAAAUUACUCAUGGACAUACCAUCCACUAGUUCCAAUGAUCCUUCUCCAUCAAAAUUCCCACUUGACACACCAAUAGUGGAGGAAUCAGAUGAAACCAGCACAUUUCUCCUAAUCGACCUAACACGGCUCCUAAACCCUCUUGAUGACAUCCCUAAGGUGAAAUGGCCCUCAUGGUUAUAGGAAUUUACGACCUGGAUCGAUGUCCAAAUGCUCAGGCCUGGUUCAUCAGUCCAAUCAGUCCUGAGAGAAUUUAGUUCCUGAUUUCUUGGUUCACUAAGAAAUUCUUGACCUGGCCACAACAUUAGGCCUCAUGUAUGAACAAUUCAUCGGAGAAGCAGUCCCAGCAAACGAAUUAGCGCAAAAAGAAUAUUUUCAAAUGAAGUGUUGUUCGCUUCAACAAAAAGAUUUGGAUUAUCAUUACAAGCGCAUGUUGGCCCUGUUCUACAAACUAAAUGGGUUUAAUGACCCAACACUCAAACAUGUGUUUGUAGCCUCUUUGCCAAAAGAACUUCAAUUUGAAUUACAAUGGCAAGUGAACCUCCACCAAUUAGAUAUUUCCAACUUCAGUGAGCUGUCUUGAACGUCUAUGCCAACAAAAAGAAUUUUCAAAAACUUGAUGGAAAACCAUCAACCAUUCAAAAGUGCACGCAAGAAGCCUCAUCUGAAGAUUAAGUGUAAAGAUGAAAAAGACUGCACCUGCUCCUCAAAGAAGAAAUCUCAUUUCCAAAAAGUCUUCUCCAAAAAGAAGUCUUAUUCCAGACCAAAGAAACCCCACUGGUUCUUCAAAAGGAAAAAUCCCUUCUCUUCCAAAAGCCCAAAAAACAGGGCAUUUUACAAAAAAAUUGCCCAAAUAAGCAGACAAAGUCCAGUCGUCUUAUCCAUCAUUUACAAACCUCUUCUGUCCAUGAUGCUAUUGAUUCCUUAUUUUUAGAACAAGAGUGUGCCAAUAAAGAAACAAUCUUUGCUCUUCGAUUCUGCCUCUAACUUAGAAUAGGUCCAAAUAAUCAACAUGGUCCACACUCUCCGAGCAUCUGUUGCUCAGUCUCCCAUAUUCAUACCCUCCAUCUCAGUCUAUAUUCUCCCUUUAAAAUUUCAUAAACCCAUCUCGGUCAUUGGAUUCAUAGACACUGGUGCCCAGAAACGUAUGUUACACCCUUCAAUCCUCCCUCCAAAUUGUUGGGUAAAACAUAUUGAAAAUUUUAGAGCUGCAGAUGGCCAAAUUUUAAAACCUGCCUUAUCACUAAGGCUGCCAUUGGGGUACAAAUUUUUCCAAAUUAUGUCAUAUGGUCAAAGAUUAUUGGUUCAGAGAUCCCAAAUAAGGAUUUAUUAAUUGGCUUUGAUCUCUUGGCCUUAUCCAAAAGACUGCAAAUCACAGGUGUAGGAGUCUCCUACAAAAGAUACCAUUGGGGUAUGUGUACGUGGCAUUGUUAUACCAGAUCAAAACAUACCAAAGUCUGUCCUUAGAACUACUAGCCCGCAAGUUCUAGUUUCCAGCCGAUAUACACUUAUCCAUCAAAUACCAAAUUCGAAAAUCAUUCUUUGAAAAUAGUUUUUCACGAUACCACCCGAAAAUACGGCACUCUUGGCCUUCAAAGAGGGUGAACGUUGUGAGAAAAAAAUUUCAGUUUAUAAAAAUCAAUUUUGGAGGAUAAAACAGGACCUUUUUUAUGCACAUGAUCCUUAGGCUGAAGGCAAGUGCAGAGCAUACUCAGUUUAGAAAAUUAGAGGUGAGCGUAUCAUUAUUAACCCCAAAUAAUUUCUUUGAUUCCUAGAAGAGAGAAAAGGGUUUAGAGAAACAUGAUGCGAAGAAAACUGAUUUUAUUCCAAAUUAACUCCUGCCUUACAAAUGGAUAGAGAGAUCCUUAUAUAGAGAUCUUGAGGAAGGAGAGAUAAGGUGGGACUCUUAUCUUUUACAAAAGUAGAAUAAUUAAAGCACACCAUGCCAAAAUUAAAAAGGAAAAGUAGAAAACAUACUUUAGACAAGACAGGACCCUUGUCUAAAUAUUAAAGCAAAUUUUUUUAAAAAAGCAAAAGCUAAAGAUUCCCAUGCGCGUCUGCAAUCAUGGAGUGGAUGGGUAGUGUGAUGGAGACACAUCGCCAGUUUCUUUUUGAUAUUUUUGUUUAGCACGGCGGAUCUAUUUGUGAUCAAGAUAAGCUUCAGCUUAUAGAUAGGCUUCUUCAUCAGCAUUAGUCAUCUCUUUUCGGGUUGAUGUAGCAGGAGGGUCUAGGUCUGUGACAGUGUAAUGGGGAUUUUUAGUAUGGAGAAGAGAUUGAAAAUCUUCCCAUGGAUCCUGAGCGUCUUGGAAUAGGACGUUAGUGUAGUCAGGACGUUGUUCCAUGACAAGGAUUCCUUGAGGACUUGAACUGGAACUUGGAGUACAAGUCUUUUUUUUUUUUUUUGCACAAUUUCCAAGAUGUGUGAUAGUCCAACAGAGGUGUGGUAGAUGUUUGUGGUAGGUGGCCGAAUAUUGUUAAGUUCCAUUAGAUAUGACUUGAGAAUAGAGGUAAUAGAUGUAUCAUGGAUUAGGGUAUAAGGAUGAGGACAAGUUUUCCAUUCAUAGGCCAUAUCUUGUGUCCAGAAGUCUCUUGUUUUUGGUUACUGGAAGUAAGGUCUAUGAACGAUGAAGACUGUAGUGAAUAGGUUGGCUUCUUGUUCUGGCAUCCUGUCUAAUCCGUGAAAAGUACAUAGAUUUUUGAGUUGUUUUCGCCACCACGUGAGUGCUGAAUACCACUCAAGGAGAGUCCAGAGAAGAUCUGAUGAGAACUCAGGAGUGGUGAUGUGUGUGAGGACUGGUUUAACAGGAAAGACCAGUUUGGUCGCAUACAGGGUAGUGAGACACCAUAUGUACCAUAACUCAUCUUCGUAUAUGGUUAGGGAAGACAGGGUAAGACCUGUGAGAAAUAGGUUUUCCAUACAGAGGGAAGGAAAACGAUCAGGCUUUUUGCUUUGAACAUUGAAGAAAUAUCGGUAAAAGAAUUUCUUUGUAAAGUCUUUCAUCUGGUAGGCUGACUGAAAAGAAAGGUUCAUGGGAAAGGUUCUUUGGUUGAGAGCUUUGAAAGGACGAUUCAUGGCUAUAACUGGGAUGAUGUGGAUGAAGGAAAUAAGUGAAGGUUUAUUUAUAGCCAGACGUGUAAGGAAGUCUGGGAUGAGGUUCUGUUUGCCUUUUAUGUGUUGGACAAUAAAAUCAUAUUUAGCAAACCAGUUUUUGAGGCUGAACAACUAUUUGUCAGGGAGCAACUUAUUUUUGAAGUCAAAGAUCCAGGGAAAAGAGGAGUUGUCCAUGUUGAUAAGGAAUUUAUGGCUGAUUAGAUGAAAUUCAAACUUUUUGAUUCCAUACUUGACCGCCAAAAUCUCUUUGUAGAUCACAUGGUAAUUCUUUUCAGAGUCUUUGAAUUGUCUGCUGGCGUAUGCACAGAAGUGACGUACACCAUUUAUCUCUUCAAGAAGAAUGGCACUCCAAUAAUCAUCACUGCAUCAGUUUGUAGAAUGCGUUGUCCAGUUGUGGAGGAAAAUAAUAAGAUAUCAUCAAUGUACAUCAAAGCAUGAUGAAAAAUAGGACUGAAGAUUUUUGUCAUGGCUUUUUGAAAUAAUGAAGGAGCUACUUUAAGACCAAAAGGCAUAACAGUCCACUGAUAAUGAGCAUUAGGGAUACAGAAGGCAGUUUUGUGACGAUCAACUGGUGAAAUACCAAGUUGGCAAAAACCAGCUUUUAAAUCAAACUUAGAGAAGAUACAAACCCCUUGAAGAUGGACUAACAAGGUCUGGAUUUUUGGAAGGGGAAACUUAUCAUCUUUAAGGAAAGAAUUAAGUGGCUGGUAAUCAAUCAUUAACCUCUUUUUUCCACGAACUAAUUCAGAACGUUUUUCAACAUAGAAGGCUCGACAAGCCCAAUCUGAAUCAGUAGAUUCAAUGAGACCUUGCUGAAGCAGUUGAGAACAUUCUUGAUUAUCAAGUAGGAGGUCGGAAGGAGACAUACCCGGGUGUGAUGCUUUGGUGGGGUUGAUGUCUUCGUUAAGCUUCCCAUGGGUCCUGAGCGUCUUGGAAUAAGACGUUGGUGUAAUCAAGUCGUUGUUCCAUGACAAGGAUUCCUUAGAGGACUUGAACUUGAACUCGAGGUACAUUAGGAAUUCCAAAUAAUUUUAUUUGAUUUCCUAGAAGAAGAUUACCUAAACAUGGGAACAACUUAAUCUUCAGCCUCAACACCUUCAUCGUCUUCAUCCCAUAUUUCUCUUUCCUCCAGUCUCUCUCUUCCAAGAUCAUGUCAAAAACAUGUAGCCUCUAAAAUUGAAAACCUUGUCGAAUAUUCUUAUAUUCCCGAAUCUGCCCAAAUCAAUGAAUCACAGUUUCCUAUCAUGAGUCCCUACAACCUCUACAAACAAAAAACUUCUCUCACCAGAAGUAUUAGAACCCUCAUCUCCACAAAAGACCACUCCCCAAAGAGUAUAUCCAGUCUUCUAGACUCGAUCAUUGUGCUUUACAAGCCUCUCCAAGUGAACAAUAUGUCACUUUAGAAAUACCCUCAGAUCUCGUAGCAAACUGGAAACGAGAAGGGUAUAUCUAUCUUCAUCUUGGUGGUAUUAGAUUGAUUCUAACUCUCCAUUGCCGAAAAGGAUUACCUGUUACAGCCAGAAUUGCUCUCCUGGACACCAGGUUUAAACAGUACCAACAUGCUGUUAUAGGAACCGUUUUGACCACACUCCAUGCUGGUAGUGUCCUCUUAACCUUUUAUCCAAAUUUCAACCUUUCUCUUGAGGAUCCCAACCUUCCCACAACCAUCAAAGUUCAGAUCCAGCUCCAAGGAGCAGACCAGACACCCACAUCAAAGCUUGCCACUCUUCAUCACCAAAUAGUGUAUCGAUUACAAAAUCAUGCACUAGAUCUUCCUACACCUUACACCACAUCUGAUGCCUUAAUGAUCCUUGUUGACACAGACACAAUUCCAACCAUCAUCCAAUUCCCAAACAAAUCCAGAAACAAGAAUUGCUCAAACUUAUGCUCUUGAAUGGCUGACCAAUUAUGAGCACUUCCACCAAAACUCUGAACCAGUUCAAGCAACAGAAGUCACGUUUGAAAGACACUCCAAGGCUUUCUUACACUGCUAUGAUUACAGCAGUCCAAAGAGGUUAAGAAAUAAAACUUCCAAUUCAUGGUUUCUAAUCCGAAGGGUAUCUUGUAUAUCCUAAUAAAAUCAAUGGUCAUUUUCUAUGGGAUGUUCCUGAAGCUCAUAUGUGUAAUCCAGAUUGUCCUUGCUUGGAUGAUACAGAUCUUGAAGAUGACCUCGAAGUCAUGCGAAGAAAGAAAAAGAAAAAGAAAAAACCUUCUCAUUCAAAAACAUCCUCCAUUAUCUCCACCAGAUCCCAAACCUCCUGUUCAACCAAUAAGAUCAUGCCUAAUGUUUUCAGGUCAAUCUUAUGAAGAGUCCUUACCUCCACUUGAAAAGCAGACAGACACUCAAACCAGAGUUGUCUCUAAACCCUUUAUCCAGUCACCAGUUACAGCCUCCGGGCAACCUGAAGAGCCAAAGCAGUAUGAAGCUGUUUUAAAUUGGCAAACCAAAAAUGCCAAUGCUCAGAAUCAAACCCUCAAACAACUCGGAAAAAGAAUUGAUCAAGUUGCCAGUCACGUCUCCCAAACUGAAAUUAAAGUUGAUUCAAUCAACCAUCAUCUUGAUCAGAUGUACAUACAUCUACAAGACCGUAUCUCUGAGUUAGAUACCGAUCUCAGACGAAUGAUCAAUAAUCAUAUCUGGGGUCCCGAGUUUAACAAGAAAGAAGUAGAGAUCAGAAAGCUCAAAGCUGAAUUGGCAAGAAUUAAUGCUGAAAAGACUUGUCCAACACUUUUCACCUAGACACAAUCCACACCUGUGCGUCCUCCUGUGUUUGAAACCUAUUCACCUUUUUAUACACCUCCCAGACCUCACCAGCCUGUUUACAACCAAUUCUUUGGUUUCUCACAUCUCCAACCAACGCCUCAACCAAAACCCUCUUCACCUAAAAAAUCAAAGUCCAAAGUAAAAAUUUCAGAACCAAAAACAAAGCCAACUUCAUCCUCAUUUACUCCACCGGUACCUCCCGAAGAUUCACCACAAGCAACUCCUGGCCCUCCUAAAAAAGAUAAAGGACCAAUGGAUCAAUAUCAUUAUCAAACUAUCCGCGACUCAUCUCCUGAAUCAUCUGAACUAGAAAUAAUAUGUGAGUCCAAUCCGUCAGAGUCACACUCAUCCUCCUCAUCCACAAACUCAACCAAUACCUCCACUGACUUUGAAUCAGAAUAUGCUGACAUUACGAGCAUAUUGAUGGAAACUAAAAUUGAAGAUCCAAGUGCUUCAACUUCUACACCAAUUGUUGAAGACAGUUCUUCUGAUUAUGAGCAUAAAGCAUCUCACAUAGAACCAGUGCCACCUAUGCCACCACCAGCUCAUGAUCACUCCACAAAACCAUCUUCAACAUCUUGGUUCACAUUUGAUGACAUUCCCCGUCACAAAUGGUCUGCUAGACUUCAAGAAUUUGCUGCAUGGAUUGAUCUCUAAAAAACAAAGCCAAAUGCUCAAUCUCAAGCUGUACUUCGCGAAUUCAUGGCCCGAUCUACGGGUUCUUUGAGAGAUUGGUUAGAAAGCUUGGGAGAAUAUAGACAACUUCAAUUCAUGCAAUCACCAGUUAGUACAGCACUCAACAUCAUCCAUGAAAAAUUCAUUAGUGAAAAAACAACAUCUACUGAUGCAGACAGAAAAGAGUAUCAUCAGAUGAAGUGCUGUUCUCUCAAAAGACAUCUUUUGGAAUCUCAUUACAAAAGAAUGAGUAUUCUAUUUUACAAGCUAAAUGGGUUCAACGAACCUUCUCUCAAACAUGUCUUCAUAGCCUCUCUUCCUUCUGAGUUACAACCUGAUCUUCAAAGAAAACUCACAGCCAUUAAUCUCAGCAUUACUGACAUCUCUUUGGGAAAGAUUUUCCAAAUGGCAAUGUUAUGCCUGGAUAAAAUCUGUGAGCAGAAGGAAUUCUUCAAAGAUCUCAUGGCCGACACAAAACCCUUCUCUAAAGCUUGUAAAAAACCUUAUCUCAAGAUGGAGUGCAAAGAUGAAAAGAAGUGUACCUGUUCUCCCAAUAAGAAAAAACAUUUUCAAAAAAACUUCCACAAAAAAUCAUCCUCCAAAAAACCUUUCCGGUAUUUCAGAAAAAAGGAUGUCUCCCAGUACAUAAAGAAAAAGCAUAACCGUUGUUUCAUCUGCAAGAAACGCGGUUACUUUGCUCGAAACUGUCCCCAUAAAUCUGCCAAAGCUGUUCGUCUCAUACAGCACCUUCAACAUUCUUCCCUGUUAUCUGAUAAUGAAGAUGUUGAAUCCAACUUUUCUAAACAAUCAGAACAAGAUGACCAAACUACUUUCAUCAUCGCAGAAUCUUCCGAUUCUGAGGAUAUUCCCAGACCUUCACUCAAAAUGUCAAUCCUUUCUUCCAAGUUUCAUAAACUUGUUCUUGUCAUUGGGUUUAUUGACACUGGUGCAAAUACCAGUAUGAUUGACCCUUCUGUUCUUCCUUCAGACUAUUGGGAACCUCAUUCAAAGCUUUUCAGAGCUGUUAAUGGAGAAACUUUUGAGACCACUUUGAUUACCAAAAAACCCAUUGGUAUUCAAUUCUUUCCGAAUUGUAUAAUUUGGAAAAAGAUUGUAGCCUCCAAACUCCCUGAUAAAGAUCUCCUCAUAGGUUUUGACAUUCUUCAUUUGGUUAAAAACCUAUUCCUCACUAGUUCUGGAGUUCGCUACAAACAAAUGUUCUUACCCUAUACCGAUACUCUCCGUUUGUAUGCACUUUCAGAAACACCAUCUCCCUAUAGUCAUCUCUCCCAUAAGUUCUUAGAGUUUUGUCCAGAAAAUCAUUACAGUUUCACCAUCCUUCACCCCUUUGGAAGAAUGAACAAUUUUUUAUCCAUCUUCCUUUCAAACUCAAUGAAGACAUAAAUCCCACAAAAGCUUCUCACCCGGGUAUGUCUCCUUCAGAUUUCUUGCUUGCCAAGCAAGAAUGCUCUUAGUUACUCCAACAAGGUCUAAUUGAACCUACUGAUUCAGAUUGGGCUUGUCAAGCCUUCUAUGUUGAAAAAAGAUCUGAAUUAGUUCGUGGUAAAAAGAGAUUAGUUAUUAAUUACCAGCCACUUAAUUCUUUUCUUAAAGAUGAUAAGUUUCCCCUUCCAAAAAUCCAGACCCUGUUUGUCCAUCUUCAAGGGGCUCGUAUCUUCUCUAAGUUUGAUUUAAAAGCUGGUUUUUGGCGACUUGUUAUUUCACCAGUUGACCAUCACAAAACUACCUUUUGCAUUCCCGAUACCCAUUAUCAAUGGCCCAUUCUGCCCUUUGGUCUUAAAGUUGCUCCUUCAUUAUUUCAAAAGGCCAUGACAAAAAUCUUUAGUCCUAUCCUCCACCAUGCUCUGGUCUACAUUGAUGAUAUUUUGUUAUUUUCCUCUGACCAUGAGAGCCACCAGAAGCUCCUUUUGGAUUUCUUUCAUAUUGUGCAGGCACAUGGAAUCAUGCUUUUUGAAAAGAAAAGCAGCAUAGGCAAAGAUUCCAUUGACUUUCUUGGCAUGGUGAUUAAAGAUGGCCACUACCAACCUGGUCCACACAUUGUAACUGAAUUAUUAAAGUUCCCGGACACAAAUUUCACUGAAAACCAGAUACAAUAAUUCCUCGGGAUUGUUAAUUAUAUCUGUGAUUUCAUCCCAAAUGUUGCAAUCCACACAAACCAGCUGUCGCGCAUGCUCAAAAAAUAGUCCCCUCCAUGGGGCCCAACACAGACAAAAGCUAUCAAGCAACUAAAGGUGAUAGCCCAAUCACCUCCUCCACUCUAAAUUCCCACAUCUGGCCAACGCAUCCUCCAGACUGAUGCCAGCGAUGAUUACUGGAGUGUUCUUCUUGAAGAAAUCAAUGGCGUGCGUCAUUUCUGUGCACAUGCAAGUGGACAAUUCAAAGACUCUGAAAAGAACUACCAUGUGAUCUACAAAGAGAUUUUGGCAGUCAAGUAUGGAAUUAAAAAAUUCAAAUUUCAUCUCAUCAGCCACAAAUUUCUUAUCAACAUGGAUAACUCUUCUUUUCCCCGAAUCUUUGACUUCAAAAACAAGUUGUUCCCUGACAAGCAACUGAUUUCACUGUUCAACAUAUAAAAGGCAACCAAAACCUCAUUCCAGACUUCCUCACAUGUCCAGCUAUAAAUAAACCCUCACUCAUUUCCUCAAUCCAAACCAUUCCAGUAAUAGCCAUGCAUCGCCAACUUCCUUUCAAAGCUCUCAACUAGAGAAACUUCCCCAUGAACAUCUCUUUCCAAUCGGCUUACCAGCUGUAAGAUUUUGCAAAGAAGUUCCUUUACAGGUAUUUCUUUAAUGUUUGACCAAAAAGCCUGACCGUUUUCCUAACCUUUGCAUGGAACACUUGUUCCUCACUGGCCAUCUGUGAUGAUGAGCUUUGGUACAUGUGGUGUCUCACCACCUUGUAUGCUACGAAGCUAGUUUUCCCCAUCAAACCAGUCCUGACUCACCUUACCACUCCUGAGUUCUCACCAGACCUUCUAUGGACUCUCCUCGAAUGGUAUUCCCCACUCACAUGGUGGCGUAACCAACUCCAGAAUCUGUGUACCUUUCACGGAUUAGAUAAAAUGCCAGAACAGGAAGCUAACAUGUGGACUACAGUUUUCAUCAUCCACAUGCCCUACUUCCAGCACCCAGAAACAAGAGACUACUGGACACAAGACAUGGCAUAUGAAUGGAGAACUUACCCUCAUCCUUAUACCCUCAUCCAUGAUACAUCGGCCACCUCCGUUCUCAAAGCCUACCUCAUGGAACUUAACAAUGUUACUCCACCUGCCACAAACAUUCACCACACAUCUAUUGGACCAUCACACACCCUUGAAAUAAUUCCAAAAACACAAGGCUGUACCCCGAGUUCAAGUUCAAGUCCUCAAGGAAUCCUUGUCAUGGAACAACGCCCUGAUUACACCAACGUCUUAUUCCAAGAAGCUCAGGACCCAUGGGAAGAUUUUCAGUCCCUUCUCCAUACUGAAAAUCCCCAUUAUACCGUCACCAACCCAGACUCUCCUGCUGCAUCUACAUCACCACACAUGACUGACGCUGAUGAAGACAAAUAUCAGCAAGCUGAGGCGUAUCUUGACCAGAGACAUAUACAUCAGCACAAGUGCCAAUAUGAGAAAGCGACAUGAGACGUGUCACCAUCGCGUUAUCUAUCCACUCCAUAAUGACAACUUGUCCCCAUCACACUGCUUUUAAUGCAAUAAGCCCAUGUGUCUCCCGUUUGCUUUGAAUGUUUAUGUAAAACGUCUUAGUCGGUGUGCUUUACUUUCUGUUUUCCUUUGUCUUAUGUAAAAGUCUUAGUCGGUGUGCUUUACUUUUCUAACACCAUGUGCCUAUUUGUCGCUUAUAAUCAUUCAAGGGGUCCUGUCCUUGAUGAUUUUCUAUAUAAGGCACCUUAUGCUUUCGUUGUAGGCACGAGUUAAUCAGAAAUAAACGUUUAAGUUUCCUUACAUCAUGUUUCUCUAAAUCUUUUCUUUCUUUUAGGGCUCAAAGAAAUUAUUUGGGUUAAUAAUGAUACGCUCGCCUCUAAUUUUCUAUACUGAGUAUGCUCUGCACUUGCCUUAAGCCUAAGGAUCCUAUGCAUCAUAAAGGUCCUGUUUUAUCCUCCAAAACCAAUUUUGAUAAAAUGAAAAUGUUCUCACAAAGUUCACCCUCUUUGAGGCCAUGAGUGCCGUGUGUUUGGGUGAUAUCAUGAAAAACUGUUUUCAAAUAUGAUUUUCGGAUUUGGUAUUUGAUGGAUAUGUGUAUAUCGGCUGGAAACCAGAACUUGCGGGCUACUAGCCCUAAGGACAGACUUCGUUCUGUUAUAGAUAUGGUGUAACAACGCCACGUACAACUUCCCACUGGAAGAAUUGUUCAUUUUUCCAAAGAGGUGAAGGGUGGUGGAACUGUGAAUGGUUUUCUAGACAAAACUCUAGGAACUUCUGUGAAAUAUGACUAUGGGGAUGGUGUUUCAAAAAGUGCAUACAGGCGUAAUGUAUCUGUAUACAACAAGAACAUUUGCUUGUAGUGAACUCCAGAACUGGUGAGGAAUAGGUUUUUAACCAAAUGGAGAAUGUCAAAACCUAUAAGUAAAUCUUUAUCUGGAAGUUUGGAUGCUACAAUCUUUUUCCAAAUUAUGCAAUUCGGAAAGAAUUGAAUACCAUUGGGUUUUUUGGUAAUUAAAGUGGUUUCAAAAGUUUCUCCAUUAGCUGCUUGGAAAAGUUUCAAGUGUGUUUCCCAACAAUGAGAGGGAAGGACAGAAGGAUCAAUCAUACUAGUAACUACGCCAGUGUCAAUAAACCCGAUGACAGGAACAUGUUUAUGAAAUUUUAAAGGAAGGAUGGACAUUUUUAAAGAAGGUCUAGGAAUGGUUGAAACAUGAUUGAUAGUUUGAACUAUAGAAAUAACUAAAAUAUCAUCAGAAUCAGAAGAUUUUGCGAUAACGAAGGCAGUUUGAUCAUCUUGUUCUGACUGUUCUGAAAAAUUUGAUUCAACAUCUUCAUUCUCAUAUAACAAGGAAGAAUGUUGAAGAUACUGUAUGAAACAAAUAGUUUUGGCAUAUUUAUGAGGACAAUUUCGCGCAAAGUGACCGCGUUUCUUGUAAAUGAAACAACGGUUGUGCUUUUUUCUUUCUGUACUGGGGAGCAUCAUUUUUUCUAAAAUAUCGGAGAGGUUUUUUAAAGGAUGAUUUUCUAUGGAAGUGUUUUUGAAAAUGUUUCUUCUUUCUGGUCGGGCAGAUACACUUCUUUUCAUCUUUGCAUUCUAUCCUGAGAUAGGGUUUUUUACAGGCUUCAUAAAAGGAUUUUUUUGUCUUCCAUGAGAUCUUUGAAGAAUUCUUUUUGCUCACAGAUCUUGUCGAGACAUAGCAUUGCCAUUUGGAAAAUCUUUCCUAGAGAGAUAUCAGCUAUGCUGAGAUUAGUGGCUGUGAGUUUCCUUUGAAGAUCAGGUUGUAACUCAGAAGGAAGAGAGGCUAUGAAGACAUGUUUGAGAGAUGGCUCGUUGAACCCAUUCAGCUUAUAAAAGAGAAUACUCAUCCUUUUGUAAUGGGAUUCCAAAAGGUGUCUUUUGAGCGAACAGCACUUCAUCUAAUGAAACUCUUUUCUGUCUGCAUCAGUAAAUGCUGUCUUUUCACCGAUGAAUUGUUCAUGGAUGAUAUUAAGUGUUGUGCCAAUUGGAGAUUGCAUGAAUUGGAGCUGUCCGUAUUCUCCCAAGCUUUCUAACUAGUCUCGCAAAGAACCCGUUGACCGGGCCAUGAAUUCGCGAAGAACAGCUUGAGGUUGAGCAUUAGGUUUGGUUCUUUGGAGGUCAAUCCAUGCGGCAAAUUCUUGAAGUCGAGCAGGCCAUUUAUGACGGGGAAUGUCAUCAAAUGUGAACCAAGAAGCUGAAGAUAGUUUUGUUGAGUGAUCAGGGACUGGUGGAGGCAUUGAUGGCUCUGGUUCUGUUAAAGAUGCUUUAGUUUCAGCAUCAGAAGAACUGUCUUCAAGCUGUUGAAGUGCUUGGAUCUUUAGUUUUGGUGGCCAUUAAUAUGCUUGUAAUGUCAGCAUAUUCGGAUUCAGAGUCAGUGGAGGUACAAACUGAGUUUGUGGAUGAGGAAGAGGAAGACCAGUUGGACUCUGAUGGGUUUGACUCAUAGAUUGUUUCUGUCUCAAAACAUGAUACUGAUCCAUUGCGCUUUUGUUUUUUUUGGGAGGUUCAGGAGUGGCUUUUGGUGAGUCUUCUGGUGGUACUGGAGGAAUAAAUGAAGAUGAAGUUGCCUUUGACUUUGGUUCUGAGAUCUUGACUUUGGAUUUUGAUAUUUUGGGUGAAGAUGGCUUUGGUUGAGGAGUUAGUUGAAGGUGGGAGAAUCCAAAGAACUGAUUGUAAACAGGUUGUUGAGGUCUGGAUGGUGUGUAGAAAGGUGCAUAAGUUUCAAAGAUCGGAGGAGGUACCGCUGGGGUUUGUGUUUGAGUAAAAAAGGAAGGUCGAGUCUUUUCAGCAUCAAUUCUUGUCAAUUCAGCUUUAAGCUUUCUGAUCUCUACUUCUUUUUUAUUAAACUCUAGACCCCAGAUGUGGUUGUUGAUCAUUCGUCAGAGGUCGGUGUCUAGCUCAGAGAUACGAUCUUGUAGAUGGAUGUAUGAUGAGAACCAUCAAGGGACCAUUAAAACUUCAAGUGAUCCUUUGCACAUUCAUGGAGGCUCAAUUACAAGAGCAAGAGCCAAAAAGAUGCAAGCUGCUUUAAAUGGAUUAAUUGAGAAAAUAUGGAUUGAAAAUGCAAUUCAAGAUGCAAGACAUCAUGAAUUGGGCUUGAAGAGAAGACAAGGCAUUGUGGGCAUUAUUCAAGUCAUUGGGCAGCCAAAUACACAAGUUGUAUCAAAUGCAGAAAGGUCAAAUUCGGAAUAAAAACUGUAUUGAUUGAGCCCGAAUUAAAAUGCAAGCUAUAUACCGUUGGAAAGAUAAUUAAGUUAGCUUUCCAAUAAAUUUUACAAAGCUGGAUUUGGAGUUCUCUAGAAGGAGUUAUGACCAAUUCUUUACAGCUUGUUCAGACUUGGGAUUUUCAACGAAUCCUUUGUUUUUCAACUUAUUUGUUUGUUUUGUUUCAAGUUUGUCAAUGAUAGCAUUAAUUAUAGUAGGCUAGCAUUAAGUUUGUCAAAGAUAGCAUUGAUCAUGGUGGGUUGGUGAAGACUUUUGAAACAUCUUUUGACAAACUUACUUGGAGGGUUGUUCCAAUGUUUCCAUUUGUAUUUUUAGGAUCUUGGGUUCCUUUUAGCCUAUUUAAAUUCAGCAACCUUGGUAUGUAAGGAGAUUAAAUGUUAUUUUGAAUUUGAAAGAUUAUUCUUUCUUUGGUUCUUUUGAGAACUAGUGAACUUAUCAAGAAUUUACAUUCUUGUGGUGUUCCNNNNNNNNNNNNNNNNNNNNNNNNNNNNNNNNNNNNNNNNNNNNNNNNNNNNNNNNNNNNNNNNNNNNNNNNNNNNNNNNNNNNNNNNNNNNNNNNNNNNNNNNNNNNNNNNNNNNNNNNNNNNNNNNNNNNNNNNNNNNNNNNNNNNNNNNNNNNNNNNNNNNNNNNNNNNNNNNNNNNNNNNNNNNNNNNNNNNNNNNNNNNNNNNNNNNNNNNNNNNNNNNNNNNNNNNNNNNNNNNNNNNNNNNNNNNNNNNNNNNNNNNNNNNNNNNNNNNNNNNNNNNNNNNNNNNNNNNNNNNNNNNNNNNNNNNNNNNNNNNNNNNNNNNNNNNNNNNNNNNNNNNNNNNNNNNNNNNNNNNNNNNNNNNNNNNNNNNNNNNNNNNNNNNNNNNNNNNNNNNNNNNNNNNNNNNNNNNNNNNNNNNNNNNNNNNNNNNNNNNNNNNNNNNNNNNNNNNNNNNNNNNNNNNNNNNNNNNNNNNNNNNNNNNNNNNNNNNNNNNNNNNNNNNNNNNNNNNNNNNNNNNNNNNNNNNNNNNNNNNNNNNNNNNNNNNNNNNNNNNNNNNNNNNNNNNNNNNNNNNNNNNNNNNNNNNNNNNNNNNNNNNNNNNNNNNNNNNNNNNNNNNNNNNNNNNNNNNNNNNNNNNNNNNNNNNNNNNNNNNNNNNNNNNNNNNNNNNNNNNNNNNNNNNNNNNNNNNNNNNNNNNNNNNNNNNNNNNNNNNNNNNNNNNNNNNNNNNNNNNNNNNNNNNNNNNNNNNNNNNNNNNNNNNNNNNNNNNNNNNNNNNNNNNNNNNNNNNNNNNNNNNNNNNNNNNNNNNNNNNNNNNNNNNNNNNNNNNNNNNNNNNNNNNNNNNNNNNNNNNNNNNNNNNNNNNNNNNNNNNNNNNNNNNNNNNNNNNNNNNNNNNNNNNNNNNNNNNNNNNNNNNNNNNNNNNNNNNNNNNNNNNNNNNNNNNNNNNNNNNNNNNNNNNNNNNNNNNNNNNNNNNNNNNNNNNNNNNNNNNNNNNNNNNNNNNNNNNNNNNNNNNNNNNNNNNNNNNNNNNNNNNNNNNNNNNNNNNNNNNNNNNNNNNNNNNNNNNNNNNNNNNNNNNNNNNNNNNNNNNNNNNNNNNNNNNNNNNNNNNNNNNNNNNNNNNNNNNNNNNNNNNNNNNNNNNNNNNNNNNNNNNNNNNNNNNNNNNNNNNNNNNNNNNNNNNNNNNNNNNNNNNNNNNNNNNNNNNNNNNNNNNNNNNNNNNNNNNNNNNNNNNNNNNNNNNNNNNNNNNNNNNNNNNNNNNNNNNNNNNNNNNNNNNNNNNNNNNNNNNNNNNNNNNNNNNNNNNNNNNNNNNNNNNNNNNNNNNNNNNNNNNNNNNNNNNNNNNNNNNNNNNNNNNNNNNNNNNNNNNNNNNNNNNNNNNNNNNNNNNNNNNNNNNNNNNNNNNNNNNNNNNNNNNNNNNNNNNNNNNNNNNNNNNNNNNNNNNNNNNNNNNNNNNNNNNNNNNNNNNNNNNNNNNNNNNNNNNNNNNNNNNNNNNNNNNNNNNNNNNNNNNNNNNNNNNNNNNNNNNNNNNNNNNNNNNNNNNNNNNNNNNNNNNNNNNNNNNNNNNNNNNNNNNNNNNNNNNNNNNNNNNNNNNNNNNNNNNNNNNNNNNNNNNNNNNNNNNNNNNNNNNNNNNNNNNNNNNNNNNNNNNNNNNNNNNNNNNNNNNNNNNNNNNNNNNNNNNNNNNNNNNNNNNNNNNNNNNNNNNNNNNNNNNNNNNNNNNNNNNNNNNNNNNNNNNNNNNNNNNNNNNNNNNNNNNNNNNNNNNNNNNNNNNNNNNNNNNNNNNNNNNNNNNNNNNNNNNNNNNNNNNNNNNNNNNNNNNNNNNNNNNNNNNNNNNNNNNNNNNNNNNNNNNNNNNNNNNNNNNNNNNNNNNNNNNNNNNNNNNNNNNNNNNNNNNNNNNNNNNNNNNNNNNNNNNNNNNNNNNNNNNNNNNNNNNNNNNNNNNNNNNNNNNNNNNNNNNNNNNNNNNNNNNNNNNNNNNNNNNNNNNNNNNNNNNNNNNNNNNNNNNNNNNNNNNNNNNNNNNNNNNNNNNNNNNNNNNNNNNNNNNNNNNNNNNNNNNNNNNNNNNNNNNNNNNNNNNNNNNNNNNNNNNNNNNNNNNNNNNNNNNNNNNNNNNNNNNNNNNNNNNNNNNNNNNNNNNNNNNNNNNNNNNNNNNNNNNNNNNNNNNNNNNNNNNNNNNNNNNNNNNNNNNNNNNNNNNNNNNNNNNNNNNNNNNNNNNNNNNNNNNNNNNNNNNNNNNNNNNNNNNNNNNNNNNNNNNNNNNNNNNNNNNNNNNNNNNNNNNNNNNNNNNNNNNNNNNNNNNNNNNNNNNNNNNNNNNNNNNNNNNNNNNNNNNNNNNNNNNNNNNNNNNNNNNNNNNNNNNNNNNNNNNNNNNNNNNNNNNNNNNNNNNNNNNNNNNNNNNNNNNNNNNNNNNNNNNNNNNNNNNNNNNNNNNNNNNNNNNNNNNNNNNNNNNNNNNNNNNNNNNNNNNNNNNNNNNNNNNNNNNNNNNNNNNNNNNNNNNNNNNNNNNNNNNNNNNNNNNNNNNNNNNNNNNNNNNNNNNNNNNNNNNNNNNNNNNNNNNNNNNNNNNNNNNNNNNNNNNNNNNNNNNNNNNNNNNNNNNNNNNNNNNNNNNNNNNNNNNNNNNNNNNNNNNNNNNNNNNNNNNNNNNNNNNNNNNNNNNNNNNNNNNNNNNNNNNNNNNNNNNNNNNNNNNNNNNNNNNNNNNNNNNNNNNNNNNNNNNNNNNNNNNNNNNNNNNNNNNNNNNNNNNNNNNNNNNNNNNNNNNNNNNNNNNNNNNNNNNNNNNNNNNNNNNNNNNNNNNNNNNNNNNNNNNNNNNNNNNNNNNNNNNNNNNNNNNNNNNNNNNNNNNNNNNNNNNNNNNNNNNNNNNNNNNNNNNNNNNNNNNNNNNNNNNNNNNNNNNNNNNNNNNNNNNNNNNNNNNNNNNNNNNNNNNNNNNNNNNNNNNNNNNNNNNNNNNNNNNNNNNNNNNNNNNNNNNNNNNNNNNNNNNNNNNNNNNNNNNNNNNNNNNNNNNNNNNNNNNNNNNNNNNNNNNNNNNNNNNNNNNNNNNNNNNNNNNNNNNNNNNNNNNNNNNNNNNNNNNNNNNNNNNNNNNNNNNNNNNNNNNNNNNNNNNNNNNNNNNNNNNNNNNNNNNNNNNNNNNNNNNNNNNNNNNNNNNNNNNNNNNNNNNNNNNNNNNNNNNNNNNNNNNNNNNNNNNNNNNNNNNNNNNNNGUGACACAGGAUGGAUACUUAAAUGGAUAUUCUUUGGUAAGGAAUAAAAGGCAAAUCACUCUUGUACCAUUAACACCUAGGCAAGUGUAUGAGGAUCAAAUGUCAAUAAAAAAAGAGAGUGAUACAAAAAAUGAAAAUGAGAGUACAAAAGAAAGAGAGAUUGAGAGAAAAGCAAGUGAAAAGAUACAAAAAAAUAUUGUUGAGAGAAAAGAGAGGCAGCAAGUGAACUUGUUUGCAAAAGAGAGUGAGGUUAAGAGGGCUUUUUUUUUCAAAACAGCCUAUCGUUGUACUUUUGUGCAAAGAGGCUUGUUUACACACUAAUGAGCUUAACUUUUCUUUGCCUAGUGCUAUUGUGACUCUUUUGCAGGACUUUGAUGAUGUGUUUCCAAAUGAAGUCCCUAACGGUUUGCCACCUAUUAGGGGAAUUGAGCAUCAAAUAGACUUCGUCCCUGGAGCUACCAUUCCUAAUAGACCUGCAUAUAGAAGUAACCCCAAGGAGACAAAGGAGCUUCAAAGGCAAGUUGAAGAACUCUUGGCAAAAGGAUAUGUGAAGGAGAGCAUGAGUCCAUGUGCAGUACCAGUUUUACUAGUGCCCAAAAAGGAUGGAACAUGGAGGAUGUGUGUUGACUGUCGUGCAAUUAAUAAAAUCAUUGUAAAGUAUCGACAUCCUAUUCCUAGACUUGAUGACAUGCUUGAUGAAUUGCAUGGUUCUUGUGUGUUUAGUAAAAUUGAUCUUAAAAGUGGGUAUCAUCAAAUUAGGAUUAGAGAGGGAGAUGAGUGGAAAACUGCCUUUAAAACAAAAUAUGGUUUAUAUGAGUGGUUAGUGAUGCCAUUUGGGUUAUCUAAUGCACCUAGCACUUUUAUGAGGUUAAUGAACCAUGUUUUGCGUGCUUUUAUUGGCAAAUUCGUAGUUGUCUAUUUUGAUGAUAUUUUGAUCUAUAGCAAAGGCUUAGAUGAACACAUUGAACAUUUGCAAAGUGUAUUGACUGUUUUAAGGAAGGAAAAGUUGUAUGCUAAUUUGAAGAAGUGUUCCUUUUGUACAAAUCAGAUUGUUUUUCUUGGUUAUGUUGUAAGUGCUAAAGGAAUUGAGGUUGAUGAAGAGAAGGUAAAGGCUAUUAAAGAGUGGCCUACACCUAAAAGUGUAAGUGAGGUAAGAAGUUUUCAUGGUUUGGCUAGUUUUUAUAGAAGAUUUGUGAAAGAUUUUAGCACCCUUGCUGCACCAUUAACUGAAAUUGUGAAGAAACAUGUGGGAUUUAAGUGGGGUAGUGAACAAGAAAAGGCAUUUAAUCUAAUUAAGGAGAAAUUAGUUUCUGCACCAUUACUUGCUUUACCUGAUUUUACUAAAACUUUUGAAAUUGAGUGUGAUGCUUCAGGUAUAGGUAUUGGAGCUGUUUUGAUGCAAGAAGGGCGUCCAAUUGCUUAUUUUAGUGAGAAAUUGGGUGGAGCAGCCCUAAACUAUCCUACCUAUGACAAGGAGAUGUAUGCAUUGGUGAGAGCUUUGGAAACUUGGCAACAUUAUCUUCUACCUAAAGAGUUUGUUAUACACACUGAUCAUGAGUCCUUGAAGCAUUUGAAAGGGCAAGGUAAGUUACAUAAGAGACAUGCCAAAUGGGUUGAAUUUAUUGAGCCAUUUCCUUAUGUGAUCAAAUAUAAACAAGGUAAGGAGAAUGUGGUGGCUGAUGCAUUAUCUAGAAGGUAUGCACUUAUCUCUACAUUAAAUGCAAAGUUGUUAGGAUUUGAGUACAUUAAAGAAUUAUAUGCUAACGAUCCUGAUUUUGCUAAUGUGUUUAAUGCUUGUGAGAAAGUUGCAUUUGGUAAAUUCUAUAAGCAUGAUGGGCUUUUAUUUAGAGAAAAUAAAUUGUGUGUGCCUCAUAGUUCUUUGCGUGAAUUGCUUGUGCGUGAAGCUCAUGGGGGUGGUUUAAUGGGACAUUUUGGCAUUGCAAAGACUUUAGAUGUUUUAAAAGAACACUUCUUUUGGCCACAUAUGAAACGUGAUGUUGAAAGAAUAUGUGAGAAGUGUAUCACUUGUAAACAUGCUAAGUCAAGAGUUUAACCUUGGGUUGAUAUUUCUAUGGACUUUGUUUUGGGUUUACCUAGGUCAAAAAGGGGAAAUGAUUCUGUUUUGUUGUUGUUGAUAGGUUUUCAAAGAUGGCGCAUUUCAUUCCAUGUCAUAAAACUGAUGAUGCGACAAGCAUAGCUAAUUUGUUUUUCAAGGAAAUAGUCAGGUUGCAUGGAGUACCAAGGAGCAUAGUUUCAGAUCGAGAUGCUAAGUUCUUGAGCCACUUUUGGAAAACUUUGUGGGGGUAAGUUGGGUACUAAACUUUUGUUUUCUACUACUUGUCAUCCACAAACUGAUGGACAAACUGAGGUUGUAAAUAGAACUCUGUCUACUUUGUUGCGUGCCAUUAUUCAAAAGAACUUGAAAACUUGGGAAGAAUGUUUGCCACAUGUUGAAUUUGCUUAUAAUAGAACUGUCCAUUCAGCUACUAAAUUCUCACCAUUUGAGAUUGUAUAUGGGUUUUAAUCCAUUAACUCCUUUGGAUUUAUUACCCUUUACCUAUUGAUGAACGUGCUAGUAUGGAUGGUAAAAAGAAAGCUGAACUUGUCAAGCAAUUGCAUGAGAGAACAGGUCAACACAUAGAAAAGCGAACUGAACAAUAUGCUACUCAAGCCAACAAAGGACGUAAGCAAGUGGUUUUUCAGCCUGGAGAUUGGGUUUAGGUGCAUAUGAGAAAGGAGAGGUUCCCAGCACAAAGGCGUUCCAAGUUACUUCCAAGGGGAGAUGGUCCAUUUCAAGUGGUUGCACGGAUCAAUGACAAUGCCUACAAAUUGGAUCUUCCUGGUGAGUAUAAUGUGAGUGCUACUUUCAAUGUUUCUGAUCUUUCUCCUUUCGAUGUAGGUGAAGAUUCGAGGACGAAUCCUUUUGAAGAGAGGGGGAAUGAUGAGAACCAUCAAGGGACCAUUAAAACUUCAAGUGAUCCUUUGCACAUUCAUGGAGGCCCAAUUACAAGAGCAAGAGCCAAAAAGAUGCAAGCUGCUUUAAAUGGAUUAAUUGAGAAAAUAUGGAUUGAAAAUGCAAUUCAAGAUGCAAGACAUCAUGAAUUGGGCUUGAAGAGAAGACAAGGCAUUGUGGGCAUUAUUCAAGUCAUUGGACAGCCAAAUACACAAGUUGUAUCAAAUGCAGAAAGGUCAAAUUCGGAAUAAAAACUGUAUUGAUUGAGCCCGAAUUAAAAUGCAAGCUAUAUACCGUUGGAAAGAUAAUUAAGUUAGCUUUCCAAUAAAUUUUACAGAGCUGGAUUUGGAGUUCUCUAGAAGGAGUUAUGACCAAUUCUUUACAGCUUGUUCAGACUUGGGAUUUUCAACGAAUCCUUUGUUUUUCAACUUAUUUGUUUGUUUUGUUUCAAGUUUUUCAAUGAUAGCAUUAAUUAUAGUAGGCUAGCAUUAAGUUUGUCAAAGAUAGCAUUGAUCAUGGUGGGUUCGUGAAGACUUUUGAAACAUCUUUUGACAAACUUACUUGGAGGGUUGUUCCAAUGUUUCCAUUUGUAUUUUUAGGAUCUUGGGUUCCUUUUAGCCUAUUUAAAUUCAGCAACCUUGGUAUGUAAGGAGAUGAAUGUUAUUUUGAAUUUGAAAGAUUAUUCUUUCUUUGGUUCUUUUGAGAACUAGUGAACUUAUCAAGAAUUUACAUUCUUGUGGUGUUCCAAAUUUAGACUUAUCACUCACCUUCUCAUCUCUUUCUUGAGUGUGGCGUCAAUACCCUUCUCUAUACCUUUGGUUCAUGUUUUCUUAAGCAUUGGGUCAAGGUUUUUGUUUGCCAUAAAUCUGUUUAGAACUUUCUUGGGAAGUUGAAACUACAAAUUAAUUGUAGGAUUGAAAGUUUCAUUGUGGGAUUCGUAUCAAAGCCCAUCUUGAAUAUUGGUCUCUUACACACAUGAUAGGAUUUUGUUCAAGAUUAAUGCCAAUAUCUCCAAGUGUUUGUUUCAUCCAAAGGGUUUGUGCACAACAACUACCAGCAGCAAUAUAUUUUUCCUUGGUGGUUGAAAGUGCAACCGAAUUUUUUUUCUUACUAAACCAUGAAACAAGUGAAUGAUCUAGGAAAUGGCAAUUUCCACUAGUACUUUUCCUAUCGACCUUAUAAUUGCCAAAAUCGGCAUCCGAAUAACAAGUUAAAUCUAUAUGGGUUCCUCUAGGAUACCAAAGGCCAAGAUCUAUGGUUCCACUCAAAUAGUAGAAAAUUCUUUUAACAGCAAGCAAAUGAGAUUCCUAACACAAACAUACAAUAAACAUGAUAUCGGGUCUACUUGUGGUUAAGUAAAGUAAAGAGCUUAUCAUACCUCGAUACAUUUUGAUAUCAACCUCUUUACCUUUUCAUGUUCGUCAAGCUUGAUUGUUGUGGUCAUUGGAGUGCUCUUGGGUUUUGAGUCAUCAAUGCCAAAUCUCUUGAGUAGAGCUUUGACAUAUUUAGCUUAGUUGAUGAAGAUUCCCUCAUUGUUUUGUUUGAUUUGAAGUCCAAGGAAAUACUUCAAUUCUCCCAUCAUGCUCAUUUCAAAUUCCUUACUUAUACAAGAUGAAAAUUCCUUGCACAGAUAAAUUCCUUCUUNNNNNNNNNNNNNNNNNNNNNNNNNNNNNNNNNNNNNNNNNNNNNNNNNNNNNNNNNNNNNNNNNNNNNNNNNNNNNNNNNNNNNNNNNNNNNNNNNNNNNNNNNNNNNNNNNNNNNNNNNNNNNNNNNNNNNNNNNNNNNNNNNNNNNNNNNNNNNNNNNNNNNNNNNNNNNNNNNNNNNNNNNNNNNNNNNNNNNNNNNNNNNNNNNNNNNNNNNNNNNNNNNNNNNNNNNNNNNNNNNNNNNNNNNNNNNNNNNNNNNNNNNNNNNNNNNNNNNNNNNNNNNNNNNNNNNNNNNNNNNNNNNNNNNNNNNNNNNNNNNNNNNNNNNNNNNNNNNNNNNNNNNNNNNNNNNNNNNNNNNNNNNNNNNNNNNNNNNNNNNNNNNNNNNNNNNNNNNNNNNNNNNNNNNNNNNNNNNNNNNNNNNNNNNNNNNNNNNNNNNNNNNNNNNNNNNNNNNNNNNNNNNNNNNNNNNNNNNNNNNNNNNNNNNNNNNNNNNNNNNNNNNNNNNNNNNNNNNNNNNNNNNNNNNNNNNNNNNNNNNNNNNNNNNNNNNNNNNNNNNNNNNNNNNNNNNNNNNNNNNNNNNNNNNNNNNNNNNNNNNNNNNNNNNNNNNNNNNNNNNNNNNNNNNNNNNNNNNNNNNNNNNNNNNNNNNNNNNNNNNNNNNNNNNNNNNNNNNNNNNNNNNNNNNNNNNNNNNNNNNNNNNNNNNNNNNNNNNNNNNNNNNNNNNNNNNNNNNNNNNNNNNNNNNNNNNNNNNNNNNNNNNNNNNNNNNNNNNNNNNNNNNNNNNNNNNNNNNNNNNNNNNNNNNNNNNNNNNNNNNNNNNNNNNNNNNNNNNNNNNNNNNNNNNNNNNNNNNNNNNNNNNNNNNNNNNNNNNNNNNNNNNNNNNNNNNNNNNNNNNNNNNNNNNNNNNNNNNNNNNNNNNNNNNNNNNNNNNNNNNNNNNNNNNNNNNNNNNNNNNNNNNNNNNNNNNNNNNNNNNNNNNNNNNNNNNNNNNNNNNNNNNNNNNNNNNNNNNNNNNNNNNNNNNNNNNNNNNNNNNNNNNNNNNNNNNNNNNNNNNNNNNNNNNNNNNNNNNNNNNNNNNNNNNNNNNNNNNNNNNNNNNNNNNNNNNNNNNNNNNNNNNNNNNNNNNNNNNNNNNNNNNNNNNNNNNNNNNNNNNNNNNNNNNNNNNNNNNNNNNNNNNNNNNNNNNNNNNNNNNNNNNNNNNNNNNNNNNNNNNNNNNNNNNNNNNNNNNNNNNNNNNNNNNNNNNNNNNNNNNNNNNNNNNNNNNNNNNNNNNNNNNNNNNNNNNNNNNNNNNNNNNNNNNNNNNNNNNNNNNNNNNNNNNNNNNNNNNNNNNNNNNNNNNNNNNNNNNNNNNNNNNNNNNNNNNNNNNNNNNNNNNNNNNNNNNNNNNNNNNNNNNNNNNNNNNNNNNNNNNNNNNNNNNNNNNNNNNNNNNNNNNNNNNNNNNNNNNNNNNNNNNNNNNNNNNNNNNNNNNNNNNNNNNNNNNNNNNNNNNNNNNNNNNNNNNNNNNNNNNNNNNNNNNNNNNNNNNNNNNNNNNNNNNNNNNNNNNNNNNNNNNNNNNNNNNNNNNNNNNNNNNNNNNNNNNNNNNNNNNNNNNNNNNNNNNNNNNNNNNNNNNNNNNNNNNNNNNNNNNNNNNNNNNNNNNNNNNNNNNNNNNNNNNNNNNNNNNNNNNNNNNNNNNNNNNNNNNNNNNNNNNNNNNNNNNNNNNNNNNNNNNNNNNNNNNNNNNNNNNNNNNNNNNNNNNNNNNNNNNNNNNNNNNNNNNNNNNNNNNNNNNNNNNNNNNNNNNNNNNNNNNNNNNNNNNNNNNNNNNNNNNNNNNNNNNNNNNNNNNNNNNNNNNNNNNNNNNNNNNNNNNNNNNNNNNNNNNNNNNNNNNNNNNNNNNNNNNNNNNNNNNNNNNNNNNNNNNNNNNNNNNNNNNNNNNNNNNNNNNNNNNNNNNNNNNNNNNNNNNNNNNNNNNNNNNNNNNNNNNNNNNNNNNNNNNNNNNNNNNNNNNNNNNNNNNNNNNNNNNNNNNNNNNNNNNNNNNNNNNNNNNNNNNNNNNNNNNNNNNNNNNNNNNNNNNNNNNNNNNNNNNNNNNNNNNNNNNNNNNNNNNNNNNNNNNNNNNNNNNNNNNNNNNNNNNNNNNNNNNNNNNNNNNNNNNNNNNNNNNNNNNNNNNNNNNNNNNNNNNNNNNNNNNNNNNNNNNNNNNNNNNNNNNNNNNNNNNNNNNNNNNNNNNNNNNNNNNNNNNNNNNNNNNNNNNNNNNNNNNNNNNNNNNNNNNNNNNNNNNNNNNNNNNNNNNNNNNNNNNNNNNNNNNNNNNNNNNNNNNNNNNNNNNNNNNNNNNNNNNNNNNNNNNNNNNNNNNNNNNNNNNNNNNNNNNNNNNNNNNNNNNNNNNNNNNNNNNNNNNNNNNNNNNNNNNNNNNNNNNNNNNNNNNNNNNNNNNNNNNNNNNNNNNNNNNNNNNNNNNNNNNNNNNNNNNNNNNNNNNNNNNNNNNNNNNNNNNNNNNNNNNNNNNNNNNNNNNNNNNNNNNNNNNNNNNNNNNNNNNNNNNNNNNNNNNNNNNNNNNNNNNNNNNNNNNNNNNNNNNNNNNNNNNNNNNNNNNNNNNNNNNNNNNNNNNNNNNNNNNNNNNNNNNNNNNNNNNNNNNNNNNNNNNNNNNNNNNNNNNNNNNNNNNNNCAACCUGGUCCACAUAUUGCAAUCGAAUUAUUAAAGUUUCCGGACACACGUCUCAACAGGAAGCAGAUACAAACAAUUCCUCGGGAUUGUUAAUUAUGUCCGUGAUUUUAUCCCAAAAGUUGCAAUUCAAACCAGCCAGCUGUCAUGCAUGCUCAAAAAACAGUACCCUCUAUGGGGCCCUGCUCAGACCGACGCUGUCAAGCAGUUAAAGGUAAUAGCACAAUCACCUCCUCCACUCCGUAUUCCCACAAAUGGACAACGCAUCCUCCAGACUGAUGCCAGCGAUGAUUAUUGGAGUGCCAUUCUCCUUGAAGACAUCAAUGGCGUGCGUCAUUUCUGUGCUCAUGCAAGCGGACAGCUUAAAGACUCUGAAAAGAACUACCAUGUGAUCUACAAAGAGAUUUUGGCAGUUAAGUAUGGCAUUAAAAAAUUUGAGUUCCAUCUUAUCAGCCACAAAUUCCUUAUCAACAUGGAUAAUUCAUCUUUUCCCUGAAUCUUUGACUUCAAGAGCAAAUUGCUACCUGACAAGCAAUUACUCAGUCUCAAAACCUGGUUUGAUAAAUAUGAUUUCACUGUUCAACACAUAAAAGGCAACCAAAACCUCAUUCCAGACUUCCUCACCCGUCCAGCUAUAAAUAAACCCGCACUCAUCUCCUCGAUUCAAACCAUUCCAGGUAUAGCCAUGAAUCGCCAACUUCCUUUCAAAGCUCUCAACCAAAGAAAUUUCCCCAUGAACAUCUCUUUCCAAUCGGCUUAUCAAUUGCAAGAUUUUGCAAAGAAAGAAACUGGUUUUUCUUUAAUGUCUAGACCAAAAACCCUGACCGAUUUCCUAAUCUUUGCAUGGAACACUUGUUUCUCACAGGCCUCACUUUGUCCUCUCUAUCCAUCUCCGAAGAUGAGCUUUGGUAUAUGUGGUGUCUCACCACCUCGUAUGCUACAAAGCUAGUUUUUCCCAUCAAGCCAGUCCUGACUCACCUUACCACUCCCGAGUUCUCACCAGACCUUCUAUGGACUCUCUUUGAAUGGUAUUCUCCCCUCACUUGGUGGCGCCAGCAACUCCAACAUUUGUGUACCUUUCAUGGAUUAGACAAAAUGCCAGACCAAGAAGCUAACAUGUGGACCACGGCCUUCAUCGUCCACAGGCCUUACUUCCAGCAUCNN
rnacentral:lncRNA from 1 species